CAUAUUUGUUUUCCCAGGUGCUUUCCUGAAGGCAUCGACAUCUAUUUCGAAAAUGUUGGGGGUAAGAUGCUUGAUGCAGUCCUACUCAACAUGAGAAUUCAUGGCCGCAUCGCCGUAUGCGGAAUGAUCUCACAGUACAACCUUGAGAAGCCUGAAGGCGUACACAACUUGAUGCAAGUAGUUGGAAAACGAAUUCGCAUGGAAGGGUUUCUUGCCGGUGAUUUCUACCACCAAUAUCCGAAAUUCUUGGAACUGGUUAUGCCGGCAAUCAAAGAAGGAAAGUUAGUAUAUGUCGAGGACAUAGCUGAAGGCCUGGAGAAAGCUCCAUCAGCCCUAGUUGGGAUAUUCACUGGGCAGAAUGUUGGAAAACAACUGGUUGUAGUUGCUCCUGAAUGAUAUGAUUACAAUAUGCUUUAAAAGUGGACUGUGCCAUGCACUUUAAAAGCUUAGUGAAGAUGCCUCUGUCUUAUUUUUGAUACAUGUUAUGUUUGUUUGAUCAAGUUGUACUCAGCUAUAAAUGAAAGAUUCAGAACAUGUGUAUGGUACUGGUUUCUAAAUCAAUGAACGCUUUGAAAUGUUAGUGUUUUCACUGGAGAAUGCAGUUUAAUUCAUCAACAAUGUCCCAACAAGACCCUCAAGAGUGGUAGCUUGCAAAGUUAAUUACUAUAUUUUUUUCUUUCCGAUAUAUUGUUCAUUUCAUAGAAAGUUUACAUUAAUUAAAGUCUCAUGUUUCUUUGAAAGGUAAGCAAGUGUGAAUGUUUCUAUCUAGAGCUGGAAAAUGCAUUUCCGUGCAACUUACUUGAUGAAUGAAGUUUUCAUCUCUGACCUUGAUGUUUCCCAGAGCUGCAUUCAUUUCAGCUGAUCUAUUUCAUUUCGUUUGCAAAGGAGUGACACAAAACCUCCUUUGUUAAGGGGAGAAUUUAGAGUGGCUUCAACGGUUAACAAAUAGCCUAAUGUAAGACUUAAUCAAUUUCCUGCCCGGUUGCUUACCACUACUUAUCACUUUAACGUAUGAAACCUAAUCAAGAUUCCUUUGAUGAUUUUUCUAUUUGCUAAUUGAUUGAUAAGCUCUUCAGUGAAGAUAUAGUGUCCGCAAGCCAUAUGUUGAUAGAGUUAGAGUUUGCAGAAGCUACUGUACCAUAUGUUGUUAGAGGCGGUAAAAACGGAGGCAGAUCAACACACAUUUAAAUUUCAAUGACAAUUUACUGGAAAUAAAUUUCCUAUGACCCUACAUGUGACUAAUUGAUGAGAACUUGACAAUGACAAAAGAAAGUGUAUGAGCUUUGCAGGCUGGCUUGCCAAUAUUGACUGUAUGGCACCAUCCGCAAGUAAGUAUCAUUACUGUUUAAUCAACUUGGUGGAGUCCACUGGGACCACCCCACAUGGUCAGUCUUAUCUCUACUCCUAAAUUUUCAAUAUUCCAUACAUCAAACCAAUUGCAGUUUUGAUAUCAAAUUCAAUUUUAUUGUUGGUGACGAUUCUGAUUCCUUUCAUUCUCACAAAACGGAACCAUGGUUGCUGUUGGAGAGAUCUUACUCAACGCCUUCCUUGAGGUGUUGUUUGACAGGUUGGCUUCUCGUAAUUUGCUCCGCUUUGUGCGUCAACUCCAAGGCGGGGUUGAUUCGGAGCUCAAGAAGUGGGAGAAAAAGCUGAAGAUGAUUCAGGCUGUGCUCUGCGAUGCAGAGGAGAAACAACUGACCGAUGAGGCUGUGAAGAUGUGGCUGGACGAACUCCAAGACUUAGCUUAUGACGCUGAGGACAUUCUUGAUGAGUUUGCUACUCAAGCUUUGGAAAGCAAGUUGAUGGCGCAAAACCAGGAUAGCUCUGGCCAGGUUCUCAGUCUCAUCCCGGCUAGUUUGAAUCCGAAUGCUAUUAUGUUCAAUUAUAGCAUGGGGUCCAAGAUUAAAGAUAUGACUAGCCGGCUGGAGCAACUCUGCCAAGAAAGAAUUGAACUUGGACUGCAACGGCUUACUGGAGGGGCGUCAUCAACCGCUGCUGCUGCACACCGGAGGCCACCCAGUUCGAGUGUCCGAACAGAACGUGAAGUAUUUGGAAGAGAAGAAGAUAAGGCCAAAAUUCUUGAUAUGGUCAAUACCCCAAGUGAUCACGCCAACUUUGUUGUAAUACCUAUUGUUGGAAUGGGCGGGAUAGGAAAAACAACUCUUGCUCGGGAGGUCUACAAUGACAAGGCAGUUGAGGAUUCCAAGUUUGACGUAAAAGCAUGGGUUUGUGUCUCCGACAACUUUGAUGUUUUCAACAUUUCAAAGGCACUUCUCGAGUCAAUCACCUCCGCAGCUAGUGAUCUCAAGACUUUAAAUGAAGUGCAGGUUCAACUGAAAAAAGCAGUGGACGGAAAAAGAUUCUUGCUGGUCUUAGAUGAUGUUUGGAACGAGGACUACAGCUUGUGGGUAGACUUAAAAGCUCCGUUCCUGGGUGCUGCACCAAACAGUAAGAUGAUCGUCACCACACGCAAUUUAAACGUUGCAUCAACAAUGGGACCAAUUGAACAUUAUAAUCUCAAGAGUCUGUUAGAUGAUGAUUGCUGGUCCAUUUUCAUACAGCAUGCAUUUGAAGGUAGAGAUCUUAACGCAUAUCAAAUUUCAGAAUCAUUCAGCAAGAAAGUUGUUGGCAAGUGUGGGGGCUUGCCUCUGGCAGCAAAAACGCUCGGGGGCCUUCUGCGCACAACAAGGCAUGAUGCGUGGGACGAUAUAUUGGAUAGCAAAAUAUGGGAUUUACAUCAACAAAGCAGCAUUCUCCCUGUGUUAAGAUUGAGUUACCAUCAUCUUCCGUCUCAUUUGAAAAGAUGUUUUGCUUUUUGUGCCAUCUUUCCAAAAGAUUAUGAAUUCACUGAGAAGGGGCUAACUUUCUUGUGGAUGGCUGGAGGUAUUAUUCGACAGUCAAGAAACAGUGAGCAGCUGGAAGAUUUGGGCAGCAAGUGCUUUCAUGAUCUAGUGUCAAGGUCUAUUUUUCAACAAACCAGCUCUGGUAGUUCUAAAUUUGUAAUGCACGACCUUAUCCAUGAUUUUGCUGAAUUGGUUUCUGGAGAGACCAUUUUAAGGUUAGAGGAAUCCACCAACUUGUCGUCAAGGAGAUUUGAAAGAGUUCGCCAUUCUUCCUAUGCCCGUGGUUGGCUUGAUGGUAAAAAUAAGUUUGAGGUUUUCUAUGAAAUUGAACAUCUGCGAACAUUCUUGCCAUUCUGCAUAAGAGGUGGCCCUAAUACUAGUUACGUAACUAGUUUACUUCUAUAUGAUUUGUUGCCGAAGUUUAAAAAGUUGAGGAUGCUAUCUUUAGAAGGAUACCAGAUUGGUGAGUUACCAAUUCCAUUUGAAGAUUUGAGACCUUUAAGGUUCCUCAACCUUGCCGACACUGACAUAAGAAGUUUACCCGAGUCAACAUGCAAAUUGCUGAACUUGGAAAUUUUGAUAUUACGAAAUUGUUCCCGUUUGAUAAAGCUUCCGCCCAAAAUGAGGAAUUUGAUCAAUUUACGCCAUCUCGAUAUAAAAGGUGCAAAGCUGCUGAAGGAGAUGCCAUUGGGAAUGAAAGCGUUGAGGAGUCUUCAAACAUUGUCCAAUUUUAUUGUAGGCAAGGGUGAAUCUGCAUCUGGUUUGGAAGAUUUAAAAAGUUUAAACUUUCUUUGUGAUGAACUCUGCAUUGCUGGAUUAGAGAGUGUGAAUAGUCCACAGAAUGCAAGAGAAACCGCAUUAUGCGAGAAGCACAAUCUUGAAGCAUUGACUCUAGAAUGGGGGUCUCAAUCUAACAGUCCUCGGGAUGCAGUACUAGAGGAGAAUGUACUUGACACUCUACAGCCUCAUAAACGUAUAAAAGAGCUGGCAAUCAGGCACUAUGGUGGUGCAAGAUUUCCACUUUGGAUCGGACAUCCUUCGUUCUCCGAGAUGAAGGUCCUUAAAUUGGAGAACUGUGACAAGUGUGUAUCUCUGCCAUCGCUUGGCCUGAUGAAUUCACUUAAGCACCUUGCUGUUAAAGGGCUGAAGAAACUAAAAAGCAUAGAGUCUGCGGUCUUUCCAUCAUUGGAGAUUCUAAGUUUUGAGAAUUUGCCAGAAUGGGAGCAUUGGGACACCAAUAUCAAUGGAAAUGUGCACGUUGAAAUAUUUCCUCAUCUCCAAGAACUUUCCAUUGCAGAAUGUCCCAAACUCUCUGGAGAACUGCCUGAGCUCCUGCCCUCCUUGGAGACACUUGUCGUUAGUAAAUGUGAACAGUUGGCAGUUCCAUUGUCUUGCUAUCCGAUGCUCUGCAGAUUAGAAGUUGAUGAGUGCAAAGAACUCGUGUGCGGGACUCCAAUUAAUUUUAAGUUGGUAAAGUCUUUGACCAUUUCAAAUAGUUCAUUAGACAUGAAUGGAUGCAAUGGGAUGCUAUACCAUGGUCCAGCUGGCUCUUCACUGUCUAAACGCAUGACUAUUACAAAUGUUUUGGAGUUUGGAAAAUUAUUGAAGCCUGGAUUUCAGAUAUUAGAAUAUUUGGUAAUUGGCAAUUCUGAACAGCUCAAGUCAUGGAGGCGGGCCAGGAGACCUAGACGUUUUAAUGAACCAGAACACGGGCUAAAAAUUCUCGCUUCCCCUGAAGAGGUAACAAUUGAAGAAAGUUGCGUAAAUCUUGUUUUGUUUGCAGAGAUCAAUUUCUUUCCCAGAAAUCUGCGCUCUCUUCUAAUUUUCAAUAACAUACCUUUAAAAUCCUUACCCGAGGAAAUGAUGGACAACAAUUCACAACUGGAAAGCUUGUGCAUCAGAAAUUGCGAUUCUCUAACAUUCAUCACAAGACACAAGCUACCUUCAUCUCUAAAAAGUAUAGCAAUUAAGAAUUGUGAGAAAUUGCAACGUCCGUUCGAUGAUGAAGAGGAUGCUUCUUCUUCUUCUUCUCCUUCAUCCUCGUCUUCCCCAGUGAUGCUGCAAUGCCUGACUAUAGAGAACUGCCCAGAGCUCACCAGUUUAUCAUCGGGAAUCCAAUUCCUUGAGGCGCUUGAAGUACUCGAGCUAAGGGAUUGUCGAAAGCUGGAGUCAUUACCGGAUGGCCUGCAAAAUCUUAACUGUUUACAGAGCAUUCAUAUAGAUGGAUGUCCAAGUCUUGUUUCCUUCCCAGAAAGAGGGCUUCCCAACACCAUUUCGAGAGUUUACAUUCGUGGUUGUGAGAAGCUUGAAGCCCUGCCCAACGACAUGCACAAACUCAACUCUCUCGAAACUUUAAACAUACGGAAAUGUCCAAAUCUUGUAUCGUUUCCAGAGGAAGGUUUUCCUACCAGUCUAGUAUCACUUACAAUUGGAUAUGUCAAAAUGUAUAAGACACUCGUCCAGUGGGGGUUGCAUAGGCUUACCUCUCUUACACACCUCGAGAUUAUUGGAUGUGAUGAUGAAGCAGAGUGUUUUCCAGACGAGGAGAUAGGAAUGAUGCUGCCCACCUCUCUCACUCAUCUGCAACUUUCGGAAUUCAAAAAAUUGAUAUCUCUCUCUUCGACGGGUUUUCAGAGCCUCAACUCUCUUCAAUCUUUGUGGAUAUUGGGUUGCCCAAAUCUCACAUCAUUCCCAGAGGUGGGCCUUCCAUCCUCACUUUUGGAAUUACACAUUGUCAAGUGUCCAAAGCUUAAAGAAGUUUGCAAAAGAGACCAAGGAGAAGAGUGGCCCAAAAUUGCUCACAUCCCUUGUUUUGAGAUAGACUGGAAAUUCAUAUACGAUCCAGAAUCAGAGGAGUAGAUUCUCCUAUUAAGGUCAGUUGAUUUUUUAUUAUCCGUUAUAACAAGCUCCUCCUUUUUUAUUUUUUUAAUAAUAAUUUAGCAGUUCUAUAUAAUUAUAAAUCCUCCGCCCUUAAUUGAAAAUGUCACUCAUUUGAUUCCAUUUUCACAAGUCAGAUCGUAUGUUGAGGUUAUUUGCAUUUUAUCGGUGUUUAUUAAGGUAAUUAGUGCGUUAUAGGUUGAUUACUCACAGAUUAAGUUAUAACAUUUAUCUUAAAAUUUAAUGUCAUAGACAGAGAUGAUUUUUUAAUCCAAAGUUUUCUUGAUUCACUUCAAUUAGCAUUUUCUUUUCCCCAGAUCAGGCACGCGGAGAGUUCCAAUCAAGAAUUGGAGCAUGUGAAUGGGAUUUUUGUGAAAACAUAAUGAUGCAGGAACUGGGAUCUCAAAGUCAACAGAAUUUUAUUUACUCAUUGACUUUUCAACUCCUGUGGUUAUUUAUGGGUGAAAGAAAGAUAAGGGCAAUUUCAAGAAAUUUGCAAACUCUGUCAAUUUCUUUUAAUUGUACCAAUUUGUCGUUUAUGCUUUGGUUUUAUUUUUUCAGUUUUGUUUAUUGCUUAGAUGGUAGCAUACUUGAAAUGAUACAUAGCCUUCACCGGCAGAAUUCUAGUCUUGGCUUUCACCUCUCUAACUCAUCUCAUCUGUUCCUAUUGGGAUUCCAGAAAUUGAAAUUUCUGUCAUCAAUGGGUUUCAAAGCCUCACCGCUCUCCGAUUUUUGUGGAUCGGGAAUUGCACAAAUCUCACAUCAUUUCCAGAGGUGGGCCUUCCAUCCUUGCUUUUUGGAAUUACAAAUUGGAAAAUGCUACUUUCCCCGGGUCAAAUCCCAGGUCAAACCCCGAAUUAAACCAAAACGACACCGUUUUGGUUUCUUUUUUUUGUCCUUUUUGCUUCCAUGAAACGUGGUCGUUUCAGCCAAACAAAAGCAAAUGUCUUCGUUUUUUACUUCCUCUCCUCUUCGAUUCUCCUCUUCGUUUUACCAACAGACCAACAGAGCACAAAUUGCAGAAGUCACUUGCACAUCAAUUCAUCACAAAAUGCAGAGUUUUACUAAAGAAAAAAACGAUGCCGUUUUUCUUGCCAAAUAUUUUCCAUUUCCUUCGUUCAUGGAGCUCCUGCCACCGCCAAAGCCAAAUAUUUCCCCUUUCAUUUCCUUCGUCAAUCAAGCUCCAGCCACUUGCUUCGUCGAUCGAGCUCUAGCCACAGCCAUUCGCAAAUCGCAGUCCACAAUCCGCGCCUGAAAUUGUCAUUCACAAUCCACAACUCACAACCAUGACUUCACACAGAGAACGACUCCCACAGCCUUCACGCGACAGCGAGAUCGAGCUCUUUAACAUUCGAAGAACAUAUCUGGUUGCGAAAGUUGAUUUUUAAUUUGCUUGCGAGCUGAGAUGCUUCGAAUUCUCUGUUUUUUUUUUUUUUUUGUAAAUUACUAAGCCAAAAGCUUUGCAUAAGCUUCUGCUUCGGUUUUGAAGAUUGUGAAGCUGGAAAUGUUUUUUCCCUUUUUAUAAAUGGAUAAUUGAAAGUUUGAACUUUACCUUCGUACUUUCUUUUUCAUAAAUUGCUCAUGGUGCAGUCUCAUUUUGCUAGUUGAAGAAACAGUUAAGGGGGUCUGUAGUUGGGAAGAAAGAGGAAACGAAAAUGAAAAGAAAAAGCUUAAGUCUCGGUGCGUUCAAGUAGCAUUUUUUCAAUUAAAAAAUUUAAUUCUCAAAACGGCGUCGUUUUCUAAAGUUUCGGGGUUUGACCCGGGAUUUGACCCGGGGUAAAUAGCAGAACUCUUACAAAUUUACAGUUGUCAGAAGCUUGAAAAAGUGUGUAAAAGAGAUCAAAAUUCUUGUCUUGGCUUUCACGUAGGGAUGGCAAAAAUCCCCACGGGGACGGGUACCCUCGGGGAUUUUCCCCAUUCGGGGAGGGUAUGGGGAUAAUUUCAUACCCAAUUUCUUAUUCGGGGAGGGGACGGGGAAAUUUUGUUACCCAAUUUCUUAUUCGGGGAGGGGACGGGGAUGAGGUGGAAUCCCCAUCCCCUACCCAUUUCCCCAUUUUAAUUUUUAAUUUUAUUUUAAUUUUUUAAAAUUACUAGUAAAUAAAUAAUAAAAUUUAAAUUAUAAAAUUAUAAAUAUUGGUAAAAAUAAAAAAUAUCAAAAUAUUUAUAUUAUUAAACUUUUAGGCUUAAUUAACUAAUUAAAGUCCUAAAUUUUUAUUUAGGACAUUAAAAAGACCGAGUAGAUUCUAUUAGCCCAAAAGUUUUUUAUUUUUAAUAUUCUUUAAAUAUUUUAAACUUAAAUCUAUUUUUUAUUUAUUUUUAGAUGUUAUAAUUGCCCACAUCGAAUCACAAUUUUAAUAUCUAAUCUAAUCUAAUCUAAUCUAAUAUUUACUCUUGAUUUGCUCCGAUUUAACUAUUGUGUUGUAAAGGGAAUAGUCCACAUUUAUAAAGUGCCCACGCCACCAUUAAAAAAGUUAAUUUUGAAUCUAAAUUCGAUUUUAUUUGUAACAAUUUUGUAUUAAACUAUUAAUUUGUUCAUGAUAGUUUGUAAAAGAAGUUUGUAUCCCUUGCAUGCUGUGUUACUUACUAAUUUAAUGUAUGUGACUUUUGUAAUGGAUAUUAAUGUAAGAUAUAUUUCAAAUUUUACUUUUAUUUGAAUUUUUUAUUUUAAUAUGAUUAACUCAAAAUCGAAAAAAAAAUAUUAGUUAUUCGGGGAUCGGGGACCCUCGGGGAUCCCCUGUUAUUAUUCGGGGAGGGGAUGGAGAUUCGCUCAAGUAAUUCUGACGGGAACGGGGAGGGGACGGGGACAUACGCAAAAUAUCGGGGAUGGGUACGGAGAGAUUGGUCCCCUCCCCUCCCCUCCCCAUUGCCAUCCCUACUUUCACGGAUAGUUUUUAUCACGUAACCACGUGAGGAAGCAUGUGCUGGAGCCUGAAUUCAGUUAGUUAAAGUUUGUUAACCACGUGUCAACAAACUGUAUAAUCUGGAAAAUAAGCUAGCUAUUGAAACAGGGUAUAAAGGCUGGUUUUUCAGGGACUAUCGAGAGCUGAUUCUAGAGUCUUGUAGAAAGAGGUUUGUGAGAGAGAAAGUGUCAUCUUGUUCUCUGUAAAAUCCGAUAUAGGGCUCUGUAACGAUCUCCAUUGUUGAAUCAAUAAAACUCAUCUAGAAGCUUCUCUCGUGGACGUAUUCUGAGCAAUCAAUGCACAGCUGAACCACGUAAUAUCUUGGUUUCUGUGGGUUCUUGUUUUGGUUCUUGAUAAAUUCUUGUUGUUGUAUUGAGGUGUGAUUUGAUCUGUCUAAACUUGUAUCUGUGCAACUUGAAUUGAUUUGAUGAUAAGAAUCUUGGGCAGUGAUCAGAUUCGUUUAGUUUAAAGAACAAGCUGAUUACUACCGUACCUAUGCAUGGACCUGCAACCUGUGCUGACAAAACUGAAACUGUGAGUUUGAGGUAAAAAGGUCCUGGACCCUCACAGUUUAACUUUGACUUGUUGCUUUCUGGAUAAACAUAUUUUAGAAAUUUGCAAUUUGUUGUUAAUUAUGGUAUGUGAUUUUCUUCUUUGUUUUCGCUUUUGUAGAAUCUACCGUAUUACAUAUUGGCAGUUGUAUCUGAGGUACCUUUUUUGCAUUUAACUUGCCUUUAUCUGUUUUGCCUGUUACUUAACAACACAAACACAUCAUUUCCCAAACAUUUGGAGAAGCAUCUCAAGAUGCUUAACAAACUUGACAAACUUCAAGAUGCUCCCAAGCCUUGAUUCUUCACAAUGGAAGACCUGUGAGUACACUUAUGCCCGCAAUUAUUGUGAAGUGAUUGCAACUUUGAUGCAGCGAAAUGGUUUGCUGAUGCAAAGCUUUAAAACUGUUAAGAAUUACCCUGCAGGCUUGUUGGAUGUUGUAUACUCCAAAAGCCACCAACACCAAGAACUAUAACAGCAAGACUAGGUUUGCAUUAAUUCAAUUAGCUGAAAUAAUGAUGCAAAUGGCACUAUCCAGCUCGACUUAGAGACUAGUCAGGUCAAUCAUCCAUUUCAUCAACAGUUAAUGUCAGGAUGGUGGCUAGCAGAGGAAACAAAGGAUAUGUUGGAAUCAAUAAGAACAGUGAGAAGCAUGAGAGGAGCUUUGAUUAUAAGUAGGCUCAAUGAACUAGUGUUGGUAAGUGGUAAUUAGAGCAAUUUGUGAGCUUAGUAGAGUUUCAAUAUUUUCUGUUUGGGAUAUAGUUGAUAAGUUGAUACUCUGAUUAAGAAGGCUGAUUAUAGUAGCUGACUAUAUUAACCGGGUUCUCUUUUUUGGUUUGCUGUUGUUUUUUCUUUCAAUAUCUUUUUCAACAUUAGGUUUAGCUGUUGAAGAACAAGCUUGGGUUUGAUUAUCAGGUAAGAACAAAUGAAUGCUUUAACCAUGUUUCUCACUUAUCACAAUGCACGGAUUGAAGGCGUCUGAGUUGAUCCUGAAAAUUUGAUGGAAACACUUCUCUGUUUUCAUAAAACAGGACAACCAGAAAUAUCUGAUCAUGCCUGAGAAUUCGUCGCAUUGAAAUUUUCUACCAUUGCCAAACAUAGAAUAAACCAGGGAUACAUUAGCUUAAGACUCAAUUUUGAGAAGGAAGUUUGUACUUGCAGACUAUAAAAUCAUGUCUACCUUGUAUGUUUCUGUGGGGAAUGAAAGAUUCUGUGUGUUCUUUUACUUCGGGUUUGCUGAAAUCACAUUUGUUUUCUCAGAUGCUUUCCGGAAGGUAACAACGUCAAUUUCAAAAAUGUUGGGGUAAGAUGCAUCAUGCAGUGCUGCUCAACAUGAGAAUUCCUGGCCGCAUUACCCGUAUGUGGAAUGAUCUCACACUACAACCUUGAGAAGGUUGUAAGGAGUACACAACUAGAUGCGAGUAGUUUCAAAAUGAAUUCACAUGGAAUUAUAUGUUGCCGCUUAUUACUAUCACGUCUAUCCGAAAAUUCUUGGAAUUUGUCACCGGCAUUGAAGGAUUGUAUACGUGAAGACAUAGCUGAUGGCCUUGCGAAAGCUCCAUCAGCACUUAUAUCGGAAACAGCUGGUUGUAGUUGCUCCUGAGUGAUAUGAUUAAUAGAUACUGUAAAAAUGAACUGUGCCACUCAUAUCGAAAACCAGCUGUUAUGAUGUGUUGGUAAUGUGUUUGAUGCUUGUUUGAUUUAUGUUGUAUUCGGCUAUAAAUCAAAGAUCAGAACAUGGGUGUGUUACUGGUUUCCAAAUCAAAAAAUGCCUUGUGAUGUUAGUGUUCACUGUUUUCACAGGAGACCAGGUUCCUUGUUAAUGAGUCAAGAAGAAGACAAGUGAAUCCAUGUCUGAGUUCAAAUGUGUCUUUUCUAUUUCUUUUACCGACACAUUUAUUUUGAUUUCUUUGACUAGAUGACUAAAGAGUAAAGAUAGAAGAAAUCAAAACAAAUGAGUCAGGUCCCACCUGGCCCAUUGGCCCAUCUCUCUUCCAGCCCAAAUCACUCUCAUUCGCUAUUUUGCCACCUUCAUUUCACUGCCCUCAUAGCUCCCCGUUCUCACGGUGGCUGCCAUCUUUCUGCUCACGCAUCUUUCAAAUUUCAAACCUAACAGCAUUCUGUUGCUCUGUCGUGGGUACUUCAACUUCUGUCACCUUCGGUAAGCUUAUCUCUGCCCCUCUGUGGCUGUCUCUCUCUUUACAAUGUUGUUUCUUAUUCAAUUUACAGAAUUGAAUUCACUGUUCAGUUUAUGGGUUAGAUUUUUAUUCAAAAUAAUAUUAAACCCACCUCAGAUUUUAUCCCGUAGUAUGUAAAGUUCAUGUAAAGUUUCCACCUUUACGACCGUCCGAUGUUUAAAGUUCUAAUUUUGUUCCGGGGUUUUAUCAGUGUAUUUAGAAAUUAUGUCCAUUGUUUUUAUGAAAAUGGAACUAUUUUCAUUUGUUUAUUUCUCUAUGGAUGAGAAAACCGGUCUUUAAGCUUUAUAAUCUUUAUUUGAUUAUUAGAUUUCUCUUUUGUUAUUCAGAUGAGUUCAGUUUUCCAAUUCUGUGCAAUUGUUUUGUUGCAUUUUUCAAUUUUAUCUUUUUCCAAUGCGACGUUUAUGUUUGUAUUUUCUUAAAAGUGGACAUGAAUUUUGAUUUGUUGUUGCUUUGUUGUGAUUGAGUAGCCAAUUUUAAGUCCAUAUUAAACUUUCUCAAUUAUUAGUUGAAUUAUUUGGAUUUGAAAUUUUAAGUUCUUAAAACCGCCAUUUUAACUUGUUUGUUAAUGGCUCUGUUGAGCUUCAACAUUUGUUUUCAAGAACAAAAUUGAUGGAACUAUAAACCUUCGUUUCUCACAUGCGGGCAACAUGUUAUGUUAGACAGAGUGAAAUCGACAGAAGAAACCAAAACAUUGGAAACAGAGACACAGAGAGAGAUCAGCAGAAAUGGCUUGGUGCAGAGUACGCUCAGCUUCAUCGACACUCUUCAUUAGGCUUCUCUGCCCUUUCAUUCUCAACAAUAACACUACUUAACGCUAUCAGUCCUGUGGUACUCUUGUUUCUAUACUUGUGGAAUCUCUUUUUUAAUCCUCAAAGUUUGAAUUAAAUUAUAUUGCCUCUGUAUUUCUGCAGAAACGGAAUCAGUUGGUGAUGACAUUAAUUCUCAAGUUGGAAGUUGCAUGCCACUUUCUUGUAUGCAUGUUGGGACCAUCAUCAACAACAUUGAGGUAAACUCAGCCAAGAUUUUGAAAAAGAAUCCACUUCAAGGUACUGCUUAGUUUCUGGAAAUGAGAAAUUGAUUGACACUAGACGUCAACCCACCAUUGAUACAGCGUCUAACCCCAGCCAUGAAGCUAAGAUGCUUAGGAAGGCUGGUCAGAGCCAUUGGUUGGGCCAAAGACCUGUGAUUAGAGGAGUACCCAUGAAUCCAGUUGAUCAUCCUCGUGGUCGAGGUGAGGGACAAGGCAAAAGUAGUGGUAAGCAUGGAAGGUGUUCACUUACACCUUGGGGCAAGCCUUGUAAGUGGUGUAAAACUGCAUCUCGUAAGAAGAAAAGGAAAUUUAGCCGUCUGAUAAUAUUGUCCUUCUGUGCUAUUUAGCCUUUUUAAUAUUGUUACAUUGUUUGUUAUAUCUUUGAUGUUAGUUUUGGACCAGCUUUUAACUGAUCCAUAAUGAAACUGAAGUUUAAUUUUCGAUUGAACUUUUACUGGUUUUACUCCUGUCAUUUCAAUUUAGCUUUGAUUUAAGAUGCUGAAUUCUGUGAUUGGAGUAUGUAGAUUGGAAAGAGAGAUAUUAUGGGAUAGAAUAUAGAUUUUGUGUUUUGGUUUCUCAUGUUUAGAGAUAUUCUGUUCUUUUUCAUUUAUUCAAUUUGGUUAGUGGUGAUCUCUUAAAGAGUUAAUGCAUGUGUGUUUAUGUACUUUUCUUUUGGCCUUGAUUCUAUUUCUUGGGGAGUUUAUACAGAUUCCUCUUUUAUGCUUCACAUGCCACAUGCCACAUGAAAGAUGAAAGCCUUUUGUGUGAUUAGAAUUGACUUGCAUCAUAGUAACUUUGAACCACUGUAACAUUUUUAUAAUAGCAGUCUGCGAUCUCCUUGAAGGAUUCAAAGCAUUUUUUUUGUUAGUCUUGGCUUGCAUUAAAAUCCUUUAUACCGAUUGGUUGGUCUCCUUUAAAGCAAUUCCUGUUUUAAGUAAUCAAAAUCUUGAUUCGGAAGUGUGUUUUAGCACUACUAAAGGUUCUUUUAAAUACUAAAUUGAUUGUGAGUCUUCUAUAUCAUCUGAUUGAAAUACAUGAAAGCGAUAUUGGCUACAAAAGUACACUUGGGGUUGUUUAUAAAGUCUUCAACAGGAUUUUUUUUUCCCCUUCCUCAUGGUUUAUUUUUUAGUUGUUGUUUAACAAAACACUUAAAAGGUUCUCUUUAUAGGUUUCUGAAAAUAAUUUUAACAUAACCAUUUUUCAGAAGCACUUUAGAUACCUGUGGCAUUUAGAAAAUUUUGUUCCAGCAUUCACAUAAUAUACAUAGAAAUUUGAAUUUAUUUAAUUAUGAGCAUGUGCUAGUGCCUAUUGGCAUCCACUUGUAUAUACAAAUGUAUUAUACAAUACAAUAUUAGCUUGACUGUAGCAUAGAGGAGAAUAGGGUCGGAAUUGGUCUGAAUUCUGAUCUUUGAAUAAAUAUAAUAGCUGAUUGAAGCUGCUCAUGUGACUCCAUUGUCAGCAGCUUACACAAGGUCUUUUAGCUUUUUAAAAAGUUUUGUGAUAUUUCAUAGUUCACAUGGAUUGCUACAGUAUAGAAUACCCAAUUAGGGCAUUUUUAAUUCCUAUGCAUAGGAGUCUUCCUUCAUGCGCACGCGCGUACACACAUAUAUUUCCCACUUCCGUUCACUCCAAAAGUGAAAAUUGCGGGCAAUUUUUAUCUUCAGUAAAAUUGGAGUAGAUGUUGUUCUUAUUGGCGCAAAUUUGCGUACCAUGUUUGUGGGACCCUUAACCUUGCGCCUUUGUUACAAUCAUAUGCAUUCAGGCUUUUGGUAGACCCUUGGAUAGUAUGAUCAGUGUAUUAGAAUUUAGAAUUCGUGUUUAUAAGGGUCAGUUUGGUAAUGUUAUAAUUUUUAAAAUAAUUACUGUUAGCUAUACUAUAGAAAUAAUCAGUUGUGAAUAAAAUCAGUUAAACAGUUGAUAAAUUUUGUUUUUAAGGUGUUGUGAGUUUUAAACAAUUUGUAUGUAUUUAGUAAAUCUCGCUUUUAAAGUAUUAUAAGAAUGCAAAGACUUAAAUAGAUAGAAAUCUAUAAAAUUUAUUUACAUGUGCAUUUAUACAAUAAUAUUUUAUGCAUGUAUAUAAUAAUUAAUAACAGAAAUAAAUAUUUUUAUUUUAUUAAUUAUAUAUUUUUCUUAUUAUCUCAAUAUAAUUGGUAAUAAUAAUCUUUUUAAUAGUACAUUUAUUAAUCAGUAAUCGAAAUGGGCUGGAAUCGGAAUGGGGAAUGAAAAUCAUAAUAAUUUGUUUACUUUAGCUGUAGGAAUCAAAAUCACAUGGAGCUAUAUUAUCAUUAAUAUAUUUAUUUUGUCUUGGAAUCGAAAUAGAUUGUUACAAAUUACUAAACUGAUUUUAUUAUUAUCAAUAUUAUUAUUAAACAAGGUAAAGGGAAUUUUUAAUUUUCACUAGGUGUAGAAAUGUCGAUUCACUUCUCAUUCUCAUUCUCUGUUCUCAUUCCCCCUCCUCAUAGGAUUACCAUUUCACAUUCUCAAAAAUUUAUAAUUGACUCACAUUUCAUUCUCAUUCCUCCUUAUUUUGGAAGUAAAUAAGUUAAAGAAUCAUAUUCCUUUAUUCUUGUUUUUCAUUCACAUUCCUUCUCCUUAUUUUGGAAGUAAAUAACUUAAAGAAUCAUAUUCCCUUAUUCUUGUUCUCGUUCUCGUUCUCAUUCUCAAUUAGUAAGCACACUACAAAUGCAAUGAUUUUGUUUCCUAAUUAAACAAGGAUAAUUUUUAGAUUUUUAUAAUAUAUGUUAAGAUAUAUGUAGAAUUGUAUUAAAUAUGAAACUGACUCCCAAAAUCAUAUUUUAAAAAACUAUUUUUUUCUUAUUUUUUGAAAUUUAUUGUAGGCUAGGGUGAUUUUAUCAAAGUAAUUUUUUUAAAAAUUUUCGGACCCAUUUGGGAUUGUUUUUGGAAGACUCAAAAAGGAUUUUGAAUAGCUAAAAUCUAAGUUUGGUGUUUUAUAAUUUUUUUUUAAAAAAAUUACUUCUGAUAAAAUUAUCUUAUCCACGUUAAAUUUUAAAAAGAAAGGAAAAAGUAAUUUUUUAAAAUCUGAUUUUAAGAAUCAUUUUUAUACUUAAUACAAUUUCAUAAAUAUCCUGAUAUAUAUCAUAAAAAUUCAAAAUUAUCUUUAUUAGUUAGGAAAUAAAAUCAAUAAUUUUAAAAAGAUUAUUAUUAUUUCUAAUUAUAUUGAGCUAACAAAAAGAAAUAAAAUUACUAAUAUAAAAUUUAUUUUAACUAUUAAUUAUUAUAUUUACCAAUAAAAAACAUUUUAUAUACACGUUUAUAAAUAUUUAAAUAAAAUUUAUUCAUGUCGAGUUCAACCAUUUAUAUUAUUACAGCAAUUUAACAACUGGUUGUCGUUGCUCGGGAAUUAUAGAAUUACCAUAUGUUGUAAAAAUGCACUAAGCCAUGCCAUGUGUUUGAUACAGGUUAUGCUUGUUCGAUUAAAUUGUACUCACCUAUAAAUCAAAGAUUCAGUACAUGUGCAUGUUAGUGGUCUUCAGAAUCCAGAAUAAUAAAUGCCUUGAAAUGCUUGAGUUCAAUGAUUUCGCAGAAGACCAAGUUCCUUGUUAAUGAGUCAGCAUGACUGAAUCCUUCACUAAGCCAAAUUUGUUUUCACUUUUAGUUUAGAAAUUGUCAUUAAUUAAGAAAGUGUUUGAUAAAAUGCUUUGGAAGGCACUGUUCGUUGGACGUUUGCCCAGAAUUUAUGAAAUCAUUGGUGUUUCAUCCUACUUGUAACACUCUUCUUUAUUUUCUAUUCUAACGAAGAAAUCUUUUAUUAGAAAAGUGACAAGAUUGCACCUUUCAUUUGUAUGUUAAGGAGGUGUAAAAUUUUCUCGUUAAAAUCCCAUCAUGAAAAAAACUCACGGGCAAAAACCUACUGCAAAUUAAAGAAAGAAGAGUAAAUCAUGAUAAAUACACUCUCUUUUACAAUGCAAGCGGAUGCUUCAAUGAGUGGAUCAUGCGCCAAACUUGUAUAUCGUUGUUGGUAGUGCUUUGUUGAAUCAAUAUGAUAGAUUUUCACUUUUCUUUUUUUUCUUUUCUUUUUUUUUUCCUUGUGGAUACGAAAAUGAUUUGGGUUAAACUAUACUUAAUGCCGGUUUGGUACGACUUCUCUACUAAUUAAAAGAGUUUUUUUUCUUAAAUGUUCAAAAAGAUUUUUUAUUAUAAAUUGUAAUUUGAGUGGAUUUCUUGGGAUUAAACAAGUUACAUUUUUGUCUCUAUAAAGAAGUUCAAGUUAUAGAUUUUGGCAAUAGAGAUGUAGAGGUUUUUUUUUUUUCAGAGAACUAAAUUGUGGAGACUAUCUUUAUUUGGUUAUACAACUUUUUUUUUUUUAAUUUCAUAACAUAAUUUUAAAAGACUUAUUUAAUAAAUUUGAUAUUUUUUUGUAAAAAUUAUCAUUCACGUCCAAACUACUGAAGAUUUUUUUGUUAAACGCACUACUUAAAAGUUAUAUUAAUUAUAAACUUUCUAAAAAAAAAAAACAAUUCAAAGAGUUAUAGCAAACAAAGUGCUAGUUAACUUCAGUCGAUAAUAAUCUUCUAAUCCGUCCUACAAAUGACUUUCGACAAGAGUGGUGCUACUCACAUCUCUUCAAAACCCAUUUGACACCCCGUUUUCUUUAUUUAAAAUUUUAUACAUUUGAAAAUUAUUUUUUCUUUUACUUGACACUCUUCAAAUUCUAAAACUAAGCUUCAAAGAACCUUCGUCAUUAAAUCUCAUUGCCUUCCUUUAUUCUUGUUACUUGAGAAGAAGAAUGAGAGUCUGGAAGAAUGAAAGAAAAUUCAGCGAGAUAGAAAUCUAGUAAUUUCAUACCAUGAUUCAGAAUUUUUUUUUUCUCAAAAGAAUCUACUAUUCUUCUAUAUUUUAUAUAAAAAAAAGAGGAAAAGAGGAAACUGAGAGACUCUUUGUUUAAUGCUUGAAAGUUAGAAAGAAAAGGUCAGGAAGCUGCCUGGUAAUGAGAGUGAUGCAUCAGCACUAAUUUCUAUCUCGAUAGCUACCAAUUACCACCCCUAGAAAGGCUGUUGAUCAACAAGCCAUAUCUACUGGUUUCCUUUCUUUAAAAGUUCUAAUGGUCCCCUUAAAAAUCUCUAUAUGCUCAGUCUUCUCAUGAUAUAUCUGAUUUUCGCUGAGAAUUAUAGCAAGCGCUUCAGAUAUCAUAAUACUUUGUGACUGACUACUGUGCAUGCUUAAUUAUAAGAUUAUUCCUUGUGGCCAAAUAAAAUGACCCCCUUUAGAGCCUCUGUAUUUGAAAAAGCAAGACAAUGAGCUUAAUUAUUGUCAAGGUCUCCAGUAGGAUACUCCUAAAUCCAUAUACCCACCCACCAGAACUCCAAUCUUGAAACUUAUAGAUCAAACCAUAACUUAAUGUGCCUGGCAACCAGGGAUAUGUCAGGCCUUUAAAAAACCACUACAUACAUUUGAGUCUGAAAUUGCUCCAAUUAGUAUUAUGAUUAUUAUUUUAAAAAACUCAACCUAAGCAAAGUGCCUCAGCAUACAAUAUUUAUUGACAACUAAAAAGUAAUAGUGGGUGGGGGUUGCCCUGGGUUUUGUUUAAAAAUUGAAGUAAAAAAUUUUCAAAUUUCAAAUUUCUAGUACAAAGAAAAUUGAUGACUAAAUUAAAUUCUGCAAAUUAAUUUCUAAUAUUACAUGAAAAUAUAUCAAGUUAAUUGGUAACAUUGUUAAUCACUUAAUCCUCAAUCUAAUACGUUAUGUAUUUGUUACUCUGUCUUAAAUCAAAAGUGGCGGUGAUUUAUUUUUAUUUUCACUAAUAAGAAAGGCAUGUUAGAGCUUUUAUUUUGUUGAAAAUGAACCAAAAAACUCCGAUUGGGAGAUUAUAAAUGUAUUUAACAAUAAUUUAACUUCCAUUUUGAAAGUCAUUAUAUUGUUUAUUCAGGAGAAGCGUUCUUUUAUAUUUUAUAGAUAUAAUGUUUGCUAAUCCUAAUUUAAGCUAAAGCAUAUGCAUUUCCUAAUUAAUUCUAAUUUAAGCUUAUUCAACUGCAUUCAAUUAAUGUUCGAUAAUACAAAUUCUAAAUACUAUAUACUCUAAGAAUUUUAAUCGUAAUGACAAGGUGAUCAUUUAAUUAUUACCGUUAAAUUAUAUAUGUAUGGUGGAGACGAGUCCACACGGUUUUGACGAGAAAUUAAAGACAAUAUUUAGUUAAGCUAGUAGUAUUUGUUCUGUUUAGUACGUCGUUUUACCAGCAAGCAUCCCGGCAAUGCACGCAUUAAUAAAAAAAUUUAUCUGUUUGGACUGAUUGGUAGUGAAAAAUUCCACAUACUUUAAAUUAAGAAAAUGCUAAGUAUCUUAAAGAAAACAAUUAAAAUAUUGUCACUUGAUGCUUGAAUCAUUAUUGUUAAAUAUCUCCGUUGAGUUGUAUUCCCCAGCUGUGAGUAUCAUUAUUGUCUUUGCUAUCUAAUCAAUUCAAUUUUCUUUCUGGAGACAAGAUUUUGAUUCCUUUCAUCGUUACAAAAACGGAACCAUGGUUGAUGUGGGAGAGAUCUUACUCAACGCCUUCUUUCAGGUGUUGUUCGACAGGUUGGCUUCCCGUGAUUUGCUCAGCUUUGUCCGUCAACUUGGAGGGGGGGUCGAUUCCGAGCUCAAGAAGUGGGAAAGAAAGCUGAAGAUGAUUCAGGCGGUGCUCAACGAUGCAGAGGAGAAGCAACUGACUGAUGAGGCUGUGAAGAUGUGGCUGGACGAUCUCCAAGACUUGGCUUAUGACGCUGAGGACAUUCUUGAUGAGUUUGCUACUCAAGCUUUGGAAAGCAAGUUGAUGGAGCAAAAUCAGGAUAGCUCUGGCCAGGUUCUCAGUUUCAUCCCGGCUAGUUUGAAUCCGAAUGCUAUUAUGUUCAAUUAUAGCAUGGGGUCCAAGAUUAAAGAUAUUACUAGCCGGCUGGAGCAACUCUGCCAAGAAAGAAUUGAACUUGGACUGCAGCGGAUUACUGGAGGGGCAUCAUCAACUGCUGCUGCUACACAGCAGAGGCCGCCCAGUUCGAGUGUCCCAACAGAACGUGAAGUAUUUGGAAGAGCAAAAGAUAAGGCCAAAAUUCUUGAUAUGGUAUUGGCCGAUACCCCAAGUGAUCAUGCCGACUUUGUUGUAAUACCCAUUGUUGGCAUGGGCGGGAUAGGAAAAACAACUCUCGCUCGGGAGGUUUACAAUGACAAGGCCGUUGGCGGUUCCAAGUUUGAUGUAAAAGCAUGGGUUUGCGUAUCUGACGUCUUUGAUGUUUUGGGCAUCUCAAAGGCACUUCUCGAGUCAAUCACCCGCAGGCCAUGUCUUCUAAACAGUUUAAAUGAAGUGCAGGUUGAAUUGAAAGUAGCUGUGGAUAAAAAAAGAUUCUUGCUGGUCUUAGAUGAUGUUUGGAACGAGGAGUACAGCUUGUGGGUAGACUUAAAAGCUCCGUUCCUGGUUGCUGCACCAAACAGUAAGAUGAUCGUCACCACACGCAAUUCAAAUGUUGCAUCAACAAUGGGGCCAGUUGAACAUUACAAUCUCAGGAGUCUAUCGGAUGAUGAUUGCUGGUCCAUUUUCAUAAAGCAUGCAUUUGAAUCUAGAGAUCUUAACGCACAUCAAAUUUCAGAAUCAUUCCGCAAGAAAGUUGUUGCCAAGUGUGGAGGCUUGGCCCUGGCAGCAAAAACACUCGGAGGCCUUCUGCGUACGACGAGGCAUGAUGCGUGGGAUGAUAUAUUAGAGAGCAAAAUAUGGGAUUUACCACGACAAAGUGGGGUUCUCCCAGUAUUAAGAUUGAGUUACCAUCAUCUUCCUUCUCAUUUGAAAAUGUGUUUUGCUUUCUGUGCAAUCUUUCCAAAAGAUUAUGAAUUCAAAGAGAAGGAGCUGACUUUUUUAUGGAUGGCCGGAGGAAUUAUUCGACAGUCAAGAAGCAAAGAGCGGCUAGAAGAUUUGGGCAGCAAGUGCUUCCAUGAUCUGGUGUCAAGGUCAAUUUUUCAGAAAUCAGCAAUCUCUGCUAGUUCUAAAUUUGUAAUCCAUGACCUUAUCCAUGAUCUUGCUGAAUUGGUCUCUGGAGAAACCAUAUUUAGGUUAGAGGAGGCCAAUACUCUGUCAAGAAGAUUUGAAAGGGUUCGCCAUUCCUCCUAUGCUUGUGGUGGAUAUGAUGGUAAAAAUAUGUUCGAUGUUUUCAAUGAAAUUGAACAUCUACGAACAUUCUUGCCAUUACGCUUACGCAUAAGAGGUGGCUUUAGUUCUGGUUACAUAAGUCGAACGGUCCUAUCUGACUUGCUGCCAAAGUUCAAAAGGUUGAGAAUGCUAUCUUUAGAAGGAUACUGUAUUGGCGAGUUACCAAUUCCAUUUGAAGAUUUGAGACUUUUAAGGUUUCUCAACCUUGCUGACACUGACAUAAGAAGUUUACCCGAGUCAACAUGCAAAUUGCUGAACUUGGAAAUUUUUAUAUUAAGAAAUUGUUCCCGUUUGAUAAAGCUUCCAGCCAAAAUGAGGAAUUUGAUCAAUUUACGCCAUCUGGAUAUAAGAGGUGCGAAGUUGCUGAAGGAGAUGCCAGUCGGAAUGAAAGAGCUGAAGAAGCUUCAAACAUUGUACAAUUUCAUUGUGGGCAAGGGUGAAACUGCAUCCGGUUUGGAAGAAUUAAAAAGUUUAAACUUUCUUUGUGAUGAACUUUGCAUUGCUGGAUUAGAGAAUGUGAAUAAUCCACAGAAUGCAAGAGAAGCGGCAUUAUGCGAGAAGCACAAUCUUGAAGCACUGACUCUAGAUUGGGGGUCUCAAUUUGACAAUUCUCGAGAUGGAGUAGUAGAAGAGCAUGUACUGGAAAUUCUACAGCCUCAUAAACGUAUAAAAAAGGUGGCAAUCAGGAACUAUAGAGGUGCAAGAUUUCCACAUUGGAUAGGAGAUCCUUUGUUCUCCAAAAUAGAGUUCCUUGAAUUGGAGAACUGUGACAAUUGUGUAUCUUUGCCAUCGCUUGGCCGUUUGAGUUCACUUAAACACCUUGCUGUUAAAGGGCUGAAGAAACUAAAAAGCAUAGAGUCUAAGGUUUAUGGGGAGGGUUUCUCAAUGCCUUUUCCAUCAUUGGAGAUUCUAAGUUUCGAGAAUUUGCCAGAAUGGGAGCAUUGGGACACCGAUAUCAAAGGAAAUGUACUUGUUGAAAUAUUUCCUCGUCUCCAUAAACUUUCCAUUGUGGAAUGUCCCAAACUCUCCGGAGAACUGCCUGAUCUCCUGCCCUCCUUGGAGACACUUGUUGUUAGUAAAUGUGAAAAGUUGGUAGUUCCAUUGUCUUGCUAUCCGAUGCUCUGCAGAUUAGAAGUUGAUGAGUGCAAGGAACUAGCGUGCGCGACUCCAAUUGAUUUUAAGUUGAUAAAGUCUGUGACUAUUUCAAAUUGUUCACUAGACAUGUAUGGAUGCAAGGGGAUGCUAUACAAUGGUCCAGCUGGCUCUUCACUGCCGAAAUCCAUGACUAUUACAAAUGUUUUGGCGUUUGGAAAAUUAUUGAAGCCUGAAUUUCAGAUAUUAGAAACUUUGGUAAUUGACAAUUCUGAACAGCUCAUGUCAUGGAGGCAGCGUGGGAAUUUCCGAGAAGAAUAUUUGGCCGUUCGCCGAAGGCUUAUCAAACCAUUACAAGGGCUAAAUAUGCUCGCUUCCCCAGAAGAGGUAACAAUUGAAGAAAGUUGUGUGAGUUUUGUUUUAUUUUCAGAGAUCAAUUUCUUUCCCAGAAAUCUGCGCUCUCUUCUAAUUUGCAGCAGCACAGCUUUAAAAUCCUUACCCGAUGAAAUGAUGGACAACAGUUCACAACUCAAAAGGUUGUAUAUCAGAGAUUGCGAUUCUCUAACAUUCAUCACAAGACGCAAGCUACCUUCAUCUCUAAAAAGUAUAGAGAUUCAGAAUUGUGAGAAACUGCGACAUUUGUUCGAUGAUAAAGAGGAUGCUUCUUCUUCUUCUCCUCCUUCAUCCUCGCCCUCCCCAGUGAUGCUGAAACACCUGAGUAUAAAUAAUUGCCCAGAGCUCACCAGUUUAUCAACAGGAAUCCAAUUACUUGAGGCGCUUGAACACCUCGACAUACGGGAUUGUCGAAAGCUGGAGUCAUUACCAGAUGGCCUUCACAAUCUUAACUGUUUACAGGAGAUUACUCUAAACAGUUGUCCAAGUCUUCUUAGAGGGCUUCCCAACACGAUUUCAAGGGUUGACAUUUACAGCUGUCCAAGUCUUGUUUCCUUCCCAGAAAGAGGACUUCCCAACACGAUUUCAAAGGUUGACAUUUUUAAUUGUGAGAAGCUCGAAGCCCUGCCCAAUGACAUGCACAAACUCAACUCUCUUCGAGAUUUAAGCAUAUUGGGGUGUCGAAAUCUUGUAUCCUUUCCAGAAGAAGGUUUUCCUACCAGUCUAACAUCACUUAGAAUUGGAGAUUUCAAAAUGUAUAAGACACUCAUCCAGUGGGGGUUGCACAGGCUUACCUCUCUUAGACGCCUCUAUAUCGUUGAUUGUGAUGACGAAGCAGAGUGUUUUCCAGACGAGGAGAUAGGAACGAUGCUGCCUACCUCCCUAACUCAUCUAUCCUUUCGGGGAUUCCGAAAUUUGAUAUCUCUGUCUUCGACGGGUUUUCAGAGCCUCAACUCUCUUCAAUACUUGUGGAUCAGGGAUUGCCCGAAUCUCACAUCAUUCCCAGAGGUGGGCCUUCCAUCCUCACUUUUGGCAUUAUGCAUUAUCGAUUGUCCAAAGCUUAAAAAAGCGUGCAAAAGAGAUCAAGGAAAAGAGUGGUCCAAAAUUGCUCACAUCCCUCGCAUUGACAUAGACAGGAAAUUCAUAUACGAUCCAGAAUCAGAGGAGUAGAUUCUACUAUUAAGGUCAGUUGAUUUGUAUUAUCCGCCAUAACAAGCUCCUCCUUUUUUUUUAAAUAAUAAUAAUAAUUCUUACCAAUUAAUGAUGGUAAGAUGUGUACUUAUUCUUUCUUCCGGACAACCUUGCCUUCUUUCUUCGGUAGCAUAUCUAAUGAAUAUUUCUCUGUUUAGUUAAGGAUGAAUGCUUGGAGUGGAGUAUUUGGUAACAUUUCUGCCGUAGAUGAAACCUUGAAGAAAUGCCUGCACUUCCUGAGACCAAAUACAGGUCUGAUUCACAACAACACCUGUCCCAGAAAAUAUGAUACAAGCCAAAGCCAUGUUCUGAAGCAGAAAUAACGCAUUUCAAUUUUUAUCUGGUAAAAAUACACAGCCCUCGCCUACAAAAUUCUUAUCUUGGCUUUCACGGAUAUUUUUAUCACGUAACCACGUGAGGAAGCAUGUGCUGGAGCCUGAAUUCAGUUAGUUAAAGUUUGUUAACCACGUGUCAACAAACUGUAUAAUCUGGAAAAUACGCUAGCUAUUGAAACAGGGUAUAAAGGCUGGUUUUUCAGGGACUAUCGAGAGCUGAUUCUAGAGUCUUGUAGAAAGAGGUUUGUGAGAGAGAAAGUGUCAUCUUGUUCUCUGUAAAAUCCGAUAUAGGGCUCUGUAACGAUCUCCAUUGUUGAAUCAAUAAAACUCAUCUAGAAGCUUCUCCCGUGGACGUAUUCUGAGCAUUCAAUGCACAGCUGAACCACGUAAUAUCUUGGUUUCAGUGGGUUCUUGUUUUGGUUCUUGAUAAAUUCUUGUUGUUGUAUUGAGGUGUGAUUUGAUGUGUCUAAACUUGCAUCUGUGCAACUUGAAUUGAUUUGAUGAUAAUAAUCUUGGGCAGUGAUCAGAUUCGUUUAGUUUAAAGAACAAGCUGAUUACUACCGUACCUAUGCAUGGACCUGUAACCUGUGCUGACAAAACUGAAACUAUGAGUUUGAGGUAAAAAGGUCCUGGACCCUCACAGUUUAACUUGGACUUGUAGCUUUCUGGAUAAACACAUUUUAGAAGUUUGCAAUUUGUUGUUAAUUACGGUAUGUGAUUUUCUUUUUUGUUUUCGCUUUUGUAGAAUCUACCGUAUUACAUAUUGGCAGUUGUAUCUGAGGUACCAUUUUUGCAUUUAACUUGCCUUUAUCUGUUUUGCCUGUUACUUAACAACACAUCAUUUCCCAAAGAUUUGGAGAAGCAUCUCAAGAUGCUUAACAAACUUGACAAACUUCAAGAUGCUCCCAAGCCUUGAUUCUUCACAAAGGAAGACCUGUGAGUACACUUAUGCCCGCAAUUAUUGUGAAGUGAUUGCAACUUUGAUGCAGCGAAACGGUUUGCUGGUGCAAAGCUUUAAAACUGUUAAGAAUUACCCUGCAGGCUUGUUGGAUGUUGUAUACUCCGAAAGCCACCAACACCAAGAACUAUAACAGCAAGACUAGGUUUGCAUUAAUUCAAUUAGCUGAAAUAAUGAUGCAAAUGGCACUAUCCAGCUCGACUUAGAGACUAGUCAGGUCAAUCAUCCAUUUCAUCAACAGUUAAUGUCAGGAUGGUGGCUAGCAGAGGAAACAAAGGAUAUGUUGGAAUCAAUAAGAACAGUGAGAAGCAUGAGAGGAGCUUUGAUUAUAAGUAGGCUCAAUGAACUAGUGUUGGUAAGUGGUAAUUAGAGCAAUUUGUGAGCUUAGUAGAGUUUCAAUAUUUUCUGUUUGGGAUAUAGUUGAUAAGUUGAUACUCUGAUAAAGAAGGCUGAUUAUAGUAGCUGACUAUAUUAACCGGGUUCUCUUUUUUGGUUUGCUGUUGUUUUUUCUUUCAAUAUCUUUUUCAACAUUAGGUUUAAGAACAAGCUUGGGUUUGAUUAUCAGGUAAGAACAAAUGAAUGCUUUAACCAUGUUUCUCACUUAUCACAAUGCACGGAUUGAAGGCGUCUGAGUUGAUCCUGAAACGUGCCUCAGCAAGUAUUAUGAUUAUUAUUUUAAAAAACUCAACCUAAGCAACGUGCCUCAGCAUACAAUAUUUAUUGACAACUAAAAAGUAAUAGUGGGUGGGGGUUGCCCUGGGUUUUGUUUAAAAAUUGAAGUAAAAAAUUUUCAAAUUUCAAAUUUCUAGUACAAAGAAAAUUGAUGACUAAAUUAAAUUCUGCAAAUUAAUUUCUAAUAUUACAUGAAAAUAUUAUCAAGUUAACUGGUAACAUCGUUAAUCACUUAAUUCUCAGUCUAAUACGUUAUGUAUUUGUUACUCUGUCUUAAAUCAAAAGUGGCGGUGAUUUAUUUUUAUUUUCACUAAUCAGAAAGGCAUGUUAGAGCUUUUAUUUUGUCGAAAAUGAACCAAAAAAACUCCGAUUGGGAGAUUAUAAAUGUAAUUAACAAUAAUUUAACUUCCAUUUUGAAAGUCAUUAUAUUGUUUAUUCAGGAGAAGCGUUCUUUUAUAUUUUAUAGAUAUAAUGUUUGCUAAUCCUAAUUUAAGCUAAAGCAUAUGCAUUUCCUAAUUAAUUCUAAUUUAAGCUUAUUCAACUGCAUUCAAUUAAUGUUCGAUAAUACAAAUUCUAAAUACUAUAUACUCUAAGAAUUUUAAUCGUAAUGACAAGGUGAUCAUUUAAUUAUUACCGUUAAAUUAUAUAUGUAUGGUGGAGACGAGUCCACACGGUUUUGACGAGAAAUUAAAGACAAUAUUUAGUUAAGCUAGUAGUAUUUGUUCUGUUUAGUACGUCGUUUUACCAGCAAGCAUCCCGGCAAUGCACGCAUUAAUAAAAACAUUUAUCUGUUUGGACUGACUGGUAGUGAAAAAUUCCACAUACUUUAAAUCAAGAAAAUGCUAAGCAUCUUAAAGAAAACAAUUAAAAUAUUGUCACUUGAUGCUUGAAUCAUUAUUGUUAAAUAUCUCCGUUGAGUUGUAUUCCCCAGUUGUGAGUAUCAUUAUUGUUGUUUGUGCGAUAUGUUUCGACGAAGACCAGCAGUGAUGAGCAGGCGUCUGGUAGCAGGGUUCCUCGAACAGGUAUAUCUUGCAAGAGUCUGGUAGCAGGGGGAGCAAGAGCAGGAGUAUCCUGCUCGUCCACGAGUACGUCAUCCACGAGGCCGGUCUCCUGUUGGGAGCGUAAAGCCAUUCCUGCUAUAUUCCUGCUAGCGGUUGAGUCGAGGAGACCCGGUCAACGACAGUUGACGAGACAUGCUCUCCAGUCCGAGAAUCAAGGCGCGAAGGCCACGCAACCACCCACGACUACGGAAAUGGAGCAUCCACUUUCGAGAAGUGGGAGGAUGACAAGCGCAAAGGGAGGAAAUGCAUGGGCUCAGAAGUGGCCUAUAAAAAGGUAACCAACGAAGGUAAAAGGGUUAGCAAUUUUGAGAUUAUAACAGAGACUAAGGAAAUUCUAAAGAAGAGAAAACUAUUAAAAAGCCAUAAGAUCUGUGGCAAGCGUUCCCAGAGCCUUCAUAUCUGACUUGAGCGUCGGAGGGUUUACGCCGGGAAAACAACCGGCGUGCUCUGACUUGUUUCUGUGGACGCAGGAAUACUUGGAGAAGAAAGCAUACAAGGAGAGAUCCUGGUCGAGGUGAGGUUGAUUGAGCAGAUAUCCUGGUCGUAGGAAGAGCGUAACCAGAAUCUCGCAUCAAUAUUUUGGCGCCGUCUGUGGGGAGCUGAGCAAAAAGUUUCUGUUGAUAGCAAAGAAGAGGAGUGAAGCAAGUGAAAAGCAAUGGAGACAGGAGGAAGUAGUGCACAAGGGGGUGAUAUGAGGCUUAACGAUUCCGUGACGCUGAGGGAGAUAGCCAGUGAAGCACGGGAAAAAGCCAUGUUCGACCGGAUGGAACGGAUGGAAAAGCAGAUGGAGACCUUGACAACCAUCCUACAUGAGCUGCGGAGCGAACGAAGGGUAACCCAGGAGGAAAGGGUGAGAGGUGGUGGAGUGGCACCAGGUCCCGAUAGUGCGAGGAGAAGUCAAACCACCGGGAGAUUUGGUGGUGAGAGAGGUAACAUACCUCUGCAGGGAAAUUGCAUAGAGAGGAAGAGCAGUCCCCGGCAAGACAGAUUUUUGACGAGGACGACGGGGUGGCGAAUGCAGAGGAAGCAGAGUUGAGGCAAUACUUGCAUGAUGUAGUGCAAGAGCGGGAUCAAGUCGCAGCACGUGACCCUGGUCGUGCAGAGCAGCUGGAGGAGGAAGUGUGCAGGCUAGCGCAGAUAAUUGACGACAUACAAGGAAGGAGCAGAGCUCCUGGUUGGAGGAUAAUGCUGGACGGAGAAUCACCGCUCGCAGCAGAGAUCAUGAGGGCAGUUAUUCCAAGAGAUUUCCGCCUCCCAGACCUUAGAUAUUCGGGAUGAACUGAUCCGCUGGUGCACAUAGAGCGCUUCAACGACAUAACUGGGGUACAAGGAUUAUCUCAAUCCUAAAGGUGCAGGGUGUUCCCACUAUCCCUUGAGGGACGCGCACGAGAGUGGUACAGGAAACUUCCUCGGGGGAGCAUUAAAACCUUCGAGCAGAUGUGCCAGGAAUUUGCAGAACAGUUCCGUGGGGCAAUGGCACCAGAAGAUGACAUGAUGGAGUUGAAAAACAUGAAGCAGGGGGAACAAGAAACACUUCGGGAAUUCAUCAAGAGGUUUCACCGUGCUGUCCUCGACUUGGGAGCCUUCAACCACCCUCAAACGUUAAGGGGAUUGAAAGAAGGGGUGAAGAUAGGAAGGCUGUGGUACAACUUGAGAAGCCCAGUUAUUCAGACGUAUGCGGCCGCAUACGAGCAGGCUAAGAGAGACAUUGAGAUUGAAGAGGAGAAGGCAGCACAGAUUAAGACAGACCAGUUAGAAGGGUGGGGGAGGAAAGAGAAGAAAGCAUUACCGGGGAAUGGGCCGAUCAGGAGGAGGAACCACCAGGCCUCGAGUAGUGGAGCAGAAGGUCGGGUAACUGCUUACCAGCCUCAUCAGAGGCCACUACAGUAUCAGCACAGCAGGGCGCAACCUCCUCGUUCCCCAGCUGGGGAGCCUUGGAGAAGGCAUGACUCGGCGUAUGGUGGUCUUCAUCAACACUCCCACGGUAGUAGAAGGGGCAGACCAGAAGCGCUGCCACCGCCUCCAACUCAGAACGGAGCAAAUAGAGAAAGGGCAGUGCACCUGAUCGACCAGAACCAGGACUAUGGGCGAUAUACUUCCUUGAAGAUGUCCCUGGCCGAGGUGUACGAGGCCAUAAAGGAUCGAGGGUCGUUAUACCUCCCUGCCCCAAUAACAAAGCUACCCAGCAGGAGGGAUAGGGGACGCUAUUGUAAGUUCCAUGGCACUCAUGGCCACACCACAGCAGAUUACAGGGAUCUCAAGACCCAGGUUGAAGAUUUGGUGAGAAAUCGGUAUCUGGACGAGUUUAUAGAUGGGACCUUCCCAAUGGUAGCCUCGACCAGCGAAUGGGAGCAGAGUGACAGGAACUUGAGGCGCGAGCAGCCUGCAGUAAGGGUGAUAGCUGGGGGCCCAACAUUGGCCGGAGAUUCCAACAGGUUGAGGAAGAAUUACGCUAGAUACGCCAUGACCAGCAAAGAUGUAUUCUUCACCACCCCAGCAGCCAAACGUGCAAGAGUCAGGCAAGUGCCAAUUAUGUGGACAGAUGAGGAUGAAGAAGGGAUUCUAUACCCCCACGAGGAUGCUUUGGUCAUCAAGGCCACUGUUGCCAGCAAGAAGUUUGACAGGAUACUGGUUGACACAGGGAGCUCAGUUGAUGUGUUGUUUAAGUCAACCCUGGAGGAGAUGGGAAUAGCAGACCUGAAGUUGGAUUACACCAAUACCUCCUUGAAGGGGUUUGGAGGAGGAAAGUUGGUCCCUCUGGGCGUGGUCGAGCUGCCUAUCACGAUUGGGAGCUCCCCGACAGAAGGGACAAUGAUACUGGACUUUGUGGUAGUGGAUGAGGAAGGUCCUUAUCAGAUGAUCCUAGGCCGGCCAUUUCUGACGAUGAGCAAAGCGGUGCUGUCCAGCCAUUAUCUGGCUCUCAAGUACCGGGUGAAUGGGGUAGUUGGAGUGGUACGAGGAGACCAGAGGAUCGCAAGAAGCUGCUACUCCUCGGCAGCAAAGGAAGCAAUGCAGAUAACAUCCCUUGAUACCCGAGUGGAAGCCAGGAAUGGCAGCUAGUUGGACCCGGAGUUUACAAGCUGGUUCGCACGGAUGGCCACAAGGUGAAACGCCCAUGGAGCGCGACACACCUCAGGAAAUAUUUCUAGUAAGACUUACUCAUCUUUUAAAGUUAUUUCUGUUCGUGCCCGUUGUUUUCUAUUUUUCAUUUCUUAUUUCAAAGCAAUCUCAUGUAAGCCGAAUUCAAUAAUAAAUGAAUCAAUGAGGAGUUUCAGUCAACUACACUGUUCAAGAAAUUAUCAAAGGCAUGCAAAGGCUAGUCAAGUCUCAAAGCCUGUUUAUGGCGAGACCAGAAGCCAAGCGUGCCAGGAUCUGCUCGACCACGAGAAGGCGAGCAGAGUCCCAAGCUUUCAAGAAAUUAUCAAUGGCAUGCAAAGGCUCACCAAGUCUCAAAGCCUGUUUAUGGCGAGACCAGAAGCCAAGCGUACCAGGAUCUGCUUGACCACGAGAAGGCGAGCAGAGUCCCAAGCUUUCAAGAAAUUAUCAAAGGCAUGCAAAGGCUCACCAAGUCUCAAAGCCGGUUUAUGACGAGACCAGAAGCCAAGCGUUCCAGGAUCUGCUCGACCACGAGAAGGCGAGCAGAGUCCCAAGCUUUCAAGAAAUUAUCAAAGGCAUGCAAAGGCUCACCAAGUUUCAAAGCCUGUUUAUGACGAGACCAGAAGCCAAGCGUGCCAGGAUCUGCUCGACCACGAGAAGGCGAGCAGAGUCCCAAGCUUUCAAGAAAUUAUCAAAGGCAUGCAAAGGCUCACCAAGUCUCAAAGCCUGUUUAUGGCGAGACCAGAAGCCAAACGUGCCAGGAUCUGCUUGACCACGAGAAGGCGAGCAGAGUCCCAAGCUUUCAAGAAAUUAUCUAAGGCAUGCAAAGGCUCGCCAAGUCUCAAAGCCUGUUUUAUGGCGAGAUAGAAGCCAAGCGUACCAGGAUCUGCUCGACCACGUGAAGGUGAGCAGAAUCCCCAAGCAUCGGAAUAUUUUCCAAGGCAUGCAAAGGCUCGCCAAGUCUCAAAGCCUGUUUUAUGGCGAGACAGAAGCCAAGCAUGCCAGGAUCUGCUCGACCGCGCGAAGGCGAGCAGAAUCUCAAGCAUUGAAGAAUUUUCCAAGGCAUGUGGCAAAACCAUAUGCCGAGCCAGAACCUGCUAAACUAGACGAAGACGAGCAGAUUCUCAGACGAAAAAUAACUCAUGAUUACAACACAAGAAAGUAAUCAAAAACAUUUUUAUUAAUUUGUUAAUAAUUAACAGAGGAGAUAAUCUUCACAAACAUUGUUCAUUACAAUACAAGAAAUAUAUUAAGAGGACGGUGGAUCCGUAAGCCGAGCAGCCUCAGUCGGUUGGUCCACCUCAGGUGCUGGGGGAGUAUCACCGGUCGCGUCCGGGGGGGUGCUUGCCUCACCCACAUCAACAGGAACGGCACGAGGAGGAGAGUUUUCCUCAACUACGAUUGGUUCCACCGUUUCGGCAUCUUCCUUUGCAGCCUCCUCGUCCAUAUGUUGGGCGACACCAGUUGCAAGGUCGUCCAUCUUCAGAUCAGGAUGCUGCUUCCCGAGGACGACCAUGAUGCAACGAUAGGAAUGCCGAAGCCCCUAGUCGUACUGGUUGUCGGCCUCCCUCUCCAAGUUCUCGACCUGAGCUCGGUGGGAAUCGCGGAGAGAUUCGAGCUGAGCCUCAUAUAUAGCCUUCUGCCUUUGCAGAUCCUCCUCGACCUUGGUCAGCUCCUCCUCGAGGGUAAUGGCUUUUGCUUGAGCAAGAGAUUCUUGCUCUAUCAGCUUGAGGUUCUCAACAUUCAGCUCCCCUGCUUUCUUCUCGGCAGCGUCAGCUCUGGUCGUCGCCGAUUGAAUGUCCUCCUUAAUCUUGCGGUCGUAGCGGCCAACCUUCGCCUUGUAAUAGGUGGUCAUGCAGCUGAGGUAGAAAGCGCUAUACUGCAUGGCCCCCACCAGCUCACCCAAGGUGCAGCCGUCAAAGUCCUCCAGGUCCUUCUUGCUCACGAGUUUAGAUAACUCAUUGAGGUAGGGGACCAAGUGUUCUGCUUGGCUGUCAGGUAAGCGAGAUCGAGGCCCGACAGGAGGAGAAGAGGAAGCAGGAUCCGUGGCUGCUCCACUAGUUUCCCCAACUUUGGCAGGAGCAGGAGGUAAAGUCUUCAAGGGAGAGACUUGCUGUACGAUGUUGGCCUGCUUUGCAGAAGGGGCGUCCUUGUUCUGGUCCCUCUUCGUGGCUUGAGGUUGAGAACGUUUCCUGUUCAGAGCCCCAAUCACAGCGUCCUCCAUCUUAUGGCCAGGGAGUACCAAGCGAGACUCGAGCAAGUUGUAAACAGUUAUCAAUUCUCGGCUCGGGCAAGAGUUGGCUAGUAUAGCCUCGACCCGUUUGAGCUGAUCAGGUUGGAGCGAGAAGUGAACACCCCAAGAACCUGCAACACAAACAAACAUUUGAUUAGAGACAAACCAGUAAAGUGCAAACAACAAGGGAGACAAGACAUCUAAUACGAGCAGGCAACCUGGGACCAUGAAACGGGGUGGGACGCGACAAUCCUUCCCGUCUAUUUGUGCAACUUGACCCCAAGGACCCCCAGCAAAAAAGAAUUUCCUCUUCCAAGUCCCACCACCACCAGUUGGAAGAUCAGUUAUGGGUUUCUUGCUCUUGGUACUAGAUUGGAAGUAGUACCAGCCGGCAUCUUUGGGGCUGCUCUUUAGCUGGUACAGGUGCUUCACCUCAUCAACCGUGGGCUCGCUUUGGCAACAUCUGUCCCACAAUAUGAACAGACCAGAGAGCACCCUCCACCCAUUGGGGUUCAGUUGACCAGGAGCUAGAUUGAGCCCGUGGAGUAUGCGAGCAAAAUAGGGUUGCAAGGGGCACCUUAACCCGUACUUAAAACUCUCCUGGAACAAGGUGACAUAUCCCCUAGGAGGCCUGCUAGGACUAUCUUUUUUUCCUGGGAUCCUAAGGAGUACUUCACCAGGAAUAUGAUACCUGAGCCAGAGGUCAUCCAGCUCGUUGAAUGUGGUCGUGCAGGUCAUGUAAUCAAUAGCAUAAUCCCGCAACAAGGCUCUACCUCCUACUGUACUACGCCCUUCUGGUCGCAGUGUUCCCGGUGAAGAUCCCUCACCAGAGUCACCUCCUUGAUCCUCACUUAGGGUGUCUUCCGAGCCAGAAGGUCCUUCCUCGCCACUACUUCCGCUCGUGGAGGUUGUUUGGGGGGACAUCCUCCUAGCGCUAGUCCCGACACUAGACCUAGUGGGCUCUAAGGGGAUCCCGGGGUCAAAAGCAGAAUCAGUGAGCAGACUAGGCAAGAAACCUAGUUCGUCGUCAUCAGUCUCAAUGACUUUCUCCUUACCCUUCGACAUUCCCUAAGUUCUAACCAAAACACCACCACCGACUACAACCCCAAGUAAAGCAAAGAGAAAAGAAAUUAUCUACAACUAUCCGAGACCGAGGAGAUAGAAGUAAUACCUGAAGUAAUGGUUCAGUUAGAGAAAGGCAGGGGAGGAGACUUUUAUGCCGAGACUUCUUUGCCGGAGAGACAGAGACAGAGAUGGAGUAAAUGACGAAUUUUCCCUUUGAGAGGUUUUGGGUUUUCCUAAUGGAGAAUGAACUUUUGGAUUGCCAGCAUUUAAUAGCAUCGAAUCCCAAGGGUCUCGUAACCGUCGGUUUAAAAUUCAAAUAGAUGGGUAGAUUUCUGCCACAUCACCUGGUCCACAAUUAAAUGCGACACGACUCUUGGCAGCCUUUUCCUAUCCCGCGCGAGCAAGAACUGUCGAGUUUCUACUGUUGGCUCACUACGCUACCCAACACAAGAAACUGGGGGACUGGUGUUUGUGCGAUAUGUUUCGACGAAGACUAGCAGUGAUGAGCAGGCGUCUGGUAGCAGGGUUCCUCGAACAGGUAUAUCUUGCAAGAGUCUGGUAGCCGGGGGAGCAAGAGCAGGAGUAUCCUGCUCGUCCACGAGUACGUCAUCCACGAGGCCGGUCUCCUGUUGGGAGCGUAAAGCCAUUCCUGCUAUAUUUCUGCUAGCGGUUGAGUCGAGGAGACCCGGUCAACGACAGUUGAUGAGACAUGCUCUUCAGUUCGAGAAUCAAGGCGCGAAGGCCACGCAACCACCCACGACUACGGAAAUGGAGCAUCCACUUUCGAGAAGUGGGAGGAUGACAAGCGCAAAGGGAGGAAAUGCAUGGGCUCAGAAGUGGCCUAUAAAAAGGUAACCAACGAAGGUAAAAGGGUUAGCAAUUUUGAGAUUAUAACAGAGACUAAGGAAAUUCUAAAGAAGAGAAAACUAUUAAAAAGCCAUAAGAUCUGUGGCAAGCGUUCCCAGAGCCUUCAUAUCUGACUUGAGCGUCGGAGGGUUUACGCCGGGAAAACAACCGGCGUGCUCUGACUUGUUUCUGUGGACGCAGGAAUACUUGGAGAAGAAAGCAUACGAGGAGAGAUCCUGGUCGAGGUGAGGUUGAUCGAGCAGAUAUCCUGGUCGUAGGAAGAGCGUAACCAGAAUCUCGCAUCAACAAUUGUCUUUGCUCUCUAAUCUAUUCAAUUUUCUUUCUGGAGACAAGAUUUUGAUUCCUUUCAUCGUUACAAAAACGGAACCAUGGUUGAUGUGGGAGAGAUCUUACUCAACGCCUUCUUUUAGGUGAUGUUCGACAGGUUGGCUUCCCGUGAUUUGCUCAGCUUUGUCCGUCAACUUGGAGGGGGGGUCGAUUCCGAGCUCAAGAAGUGGGAAAGAAAGCUGAAGAUGAUUCAGGCGGUGCUCAACGAUGCAGAGGAGAAGCAACUGACGGACGAGGCUGUGAAGAUGUGGCUGGACGAUCUCCAAGACUUGGCUUAUGACGCUGAGGACAUUCUUGAUGAGUUUGCUACUCAAGCUUUGGAAAGCAAGUUGAUGGCGCAAAAUCAGGAUAGCUCUGGCCAACUUCUCAGUUUCAUCCAGGCUAGUUUGAAUCCGAAUGCUAUUAUGUUCAAUUAUAGCAUGGGGUCCAAGAUUAAAGAUAUCACUAGCCGGCUGGAGCAACUCUGCCAAGAAAGAAUUGAACUUGGACUGCAACGGAUUACUGGAGGGGCAUCAUCAACUACUGCUGCUGCACACCAGAGGCUACCCGGUUCAAUUGUCCCAACAGAACGUGAAGUAUUUGGAAGAGAAGAAGAUAAGGCCAAAAUUCUUGAUAUGGUAUUGGCCGAUACCCUAAGUGAUCAUGCCAACUUUGCUGUAAUACCCGUUGUUGGCAUGGGCGGGAUAGGAAAAACAACUCUCGCUCGGGAGGUUUACAAUGACAAGGCCGUUGGCGGUUCCAAGUUUGAUGUAAAAGCAUGGGUUUGCGUAUCUGAUGUCUUUGAUGUUUUGGGCAUCUCAAAGGCACUUCUCGAGUCAAUCACCCGCAGGCCUUGUCUUCUAAACAGUUUAAAUGAAGUGCAGGUUGAAUUGAAAGUAGCUGUGGAUAAAAAAAGAUUCUUGCUGGUCUUAGAUGAUGUUUGGAACGAGGACUACAGCUUGUGGGUAGACUUAAAAGCUCCGUUCCUGGCUGCUGCACCAAACAGUAAGAUGAUCGUCACCACACGCAAUUCAAAUGUUGCAUCAACAAUGGGACCAAUUGAACAUUACAAUCUCAAGAGUUUGUCAGAUGAUGAUUGUUGGUCCAUUUUCAUAAAGCAUGCAUUUGAAUAUAGAGAUCUUAACGCACAUCAAAUUUCAGAAUCGUUCCGCGGGAAAGUUGUUGCCAAGUGUGGAGGCUUGGCCCUGGCAGCAAAAACACUCGGAGGCCUUCUGCAUACGACGAGGCAUGAUGCGUGGGAUGAUACGUUAGAGAGCAAAAUAUGGGAUUUACCUCAACAAAGUGGGGUUCUCCCCGUAUUAAGAUUGAGUUACCAUCAUCUUCCUUCUCAUUUGAAAAGAUGUUUUGCUUACUGUGCAAUCUUUCCAAAAGAUUAUGAAUUCAAUCAGAAGGAGCUGACUUUCUUAUGGAUGGCUGGAGGAAUUAUUCGACAGUCACGAAACAGUGAGCAGCUGGAAGAUUUGGGCAGCAAGUGCUUUCAAGAUCUAGUGUCAAGGUCUAUUUUUCAACAAACCAGCUCUGGUAGUUCUAAAUUUGUAAUGCCCUAUCUUAUCCAUGAUCUUGCUGAAUUGGUUUCUAGAGGGACCAUUUUCAAGUUAGAGGAGUCCACCAACUUGUCGUCGAGGAGAUUUGAAAGAGUUCGCCAUUCUUCCUAUGCCCGCGGUUGGCAUGACGGUAAAAAUAAGUUUGAGGUUUUCUAUGAAAUUGAACAUCUACUAACAUUCUUGCCAUCACGCAUAAGAGGUGGCACUAAUACGAGUUACAUAACUCGAACGGUUCUAUCUGAUUUGUUGCUGAAUUUCAAAAGUUUGAGGAUGUUAUCUUUACAAGGAUACUGUAUUGGUGAGUUACCAAUUUCAUUUGAAGAUUUGAGACUUUUAAGGUUUCUCAACCUUGCUUACACUGACAUAAGAAGUUAUCUGAGUCAACAUGCAAAUUGCUGAACUUGGAAAUUUUGAUAUUAAGAAAUUGUUCUCGUUUGAUAAAGCUUCCACCCAAAAUGAGGAAUUUGAUCAAUUUACGCCAUCUCGAUAUAAGAGGUGCGAAGUUGCUGAAGGAGAUGCCAUUCGGAAUGAAAGAGUUGAAGAAGCUUCAAACAUUGUCCAAUUUUAUUGUGGGCAAGGGUGAAACUGCAUCUUGUUUGGAAGAUUUAAAAUGUUUAAACUUUCUUUGUGAUAAACUUUGCAUUGCUGGAUUAGAGAAUGUUAAUAAUCCACAGAAUGCAAGAGAAGCCGCAUUAUGUGAGAAACACAAUCUUGAAGCAUUGACUCUGGAUUAGGGGUUUCAAUUUGACAAUUCCUGAGGAGUAGUAGAAGAGCAUGUACUGGAAAAUCUACAGCCUCAUAAAUGUAUAAAAAAGGUGGCGAUCCGGAACUAUGGUGGUGCAAGAUUUCCCCUUUGGAUAGGAGAUCCUUUGUUCUCCAGGAUAGAGCUCCUAAAAUUGGAGAACUGUGACAAUUGUGUAUCUUUGCCAUCGCUUGGCCUAUUGAGUUCACUUAGACGGCUUGCUGUUAAAGGGCUGAAUAAACUAAAAAGCAUAGGGUCUGAGGUUUAUGGGGAGGGUUUCUCAAUGCCUUUUCCAUCAUUGGAGAUUCUAAGUUUCGAGAAUUUGCCAGAAUGGGAGCAUUGGGACACCGAUGUCAAAGGAAAUGUGCUUGUUGAAAUAUUUCCUCGUCUCCAUCAACUUUCCAUUGUGGAAUGUCCCAAACUCUCGGGAGAACUGCCUGAGCUCCUGCCCUCCUUGGAGACACUUUUUGUUAGUAAAUGUGAAAAGUUGGUAGUUCCAUUGUCUUGCUAUCCGAUGCUCUGCAGAUUAGAAGUUGAUGAGUGCAAGGAACUAGCAUGCGGGACUCCAAUUGAUUUUAAGUUGAUAACGUCUGUGACUAUUUCAAAUAGUUCCUUAGACAUGAAUGGAUGCAAGGGGAUGCUAUACGAUGGUCCAGCUGGCUCUUCACUACCAAAGCCUAUGAUUACUACAAAUGUUUCGGAGUUUGGAAAAUUAUUGAAGCCUGGAUUUCAGAUAUUAGAAACUUUGGUAAUUGCCAAUUCUGAACAGCUCAAGUCAUGGAGGCAGAAUGGGGAUUUUCCGGAAAAAUACACGGCCCCUGAACAUAGGUUUAAGAAACCAGUACGAGGGCUGAAUAUGCUCGCUUCCCCUGAAGAGGUAACAAUUGAAGAAAGUUGCGUACGUCUUGUUUUGUUUCCAGAGAUCAAUUUCUUUCCCAGAAAUCUGCGCUCUCUUCUAAUUAACAACAACACUGCUUUCAAAUCCUUACCCGAGGAAAUGAUGGAAAACAAUUCACAACUCGAAAGGUUGUAUAUCAGAGAUUGCGACUCUCUAACAUUCAUCGCAAGACGGAGGCUACCAGCAUCUCUUAAAAGGCUUGAGAUAGAAAAUUGUGAGAAAUUGCAACGUCUGUUCGAUGAUGAAGAGGAUGCUUCUUCUUCUUCACCUUCACCCUCGUCUUCCCCAGUGAUGCUGCAACACCUGAGUAUAGAGAACUGCCCAGAGCUCACCAGUUUAUCAUCGGGUGUCCAAUUCCUUGAGGCGCUUGAAGACCUCGACAUACAGGGUUGUCCAAAGCUGGAGUCAUUACCGGAUGGCCUGCCCAAUCUUAAAUGUUUACAGAGCAUUUAUAUACGGGGAUGUCCAAGUCUUGUUUCCUUCCCAGAAAGAGGGCUUCCCAACACGAUUUCAAGGGUUGACAUUUGCAGUUGUGACAAGCUCAAAGCCUUGCCCAAUGAUUUGCACAAACUCAACUCUCUUCGAGAUUUAAGAAUACGGCUGUGUCGAAAUCUUGUAUCGUUUCCAGAAGAAGGUUUUCCUACCAAUCUAACAUCACUUACAAUUGGAAAUUUCAAAAUGUAUAAGACACUCGUCCAGUGGGGGUUGCACGGGCUUACCUCUCUUAAACGCCUCUCGAUCAGUGGAUGUCAUGAAGCAGAGUGUUUUCCAGACGAGGAGAUAGGAAUGACGCUGCCCACCUCUCUCACUCAACUGCUCCUUUAGGGAUUCGAAAAACUGAUAUCUCUGUCUUCGACGGGUUUUCAAAGCCUCAACUCUCUUCAAUACUUAUUGAUCUGGGGUUGCCCAAAUCUCACAUCAUUCCCAGAGGCGGGUCUUCCAUCCUCACUUUUGGAUUUAGGCAUUUACAAUUGUCCAAAGCUUAAAAGAGCGUGCAAAAGAGAUCAAGGAAAAGAGUGGCCCAAAAUUGCUCACAUCCCUCGCAUUGAGAUAGACAGAAAAUUCAUAUACGAUCCAGAAUCAGAGGAGUAGAUUCUAUUACAAAGGUCAGUUGAUUUCUAUUAUCCUCUAUAACAAGCUCCUCUUAAUUUUUUUUUUCUAAGUAAUAAUUUUGCAGUUCUGUAUAAUUAUUAAUCGUCUGCUCUUAAUUGAAAAUGUCACUCACUUGAUUCCGUUUUCACUAGUCAAAUUGUAUGUUGAGGCUAUUUGCUUUUUAAUUAUAACACUUAUCUUAAAAUUUAAUACCAAAUUUUUUUGAUUCACUUCAAUUAGCAUUUUGUUUUCCCCAAAUUAGGCAAGCCGAGAGCUUCAUUAACUAGAGUUUUUUAUUUUUCGGACCUUGCAUCUGAAAGGUUCAGUGUAUUUUUUUUUUUUUCAAAUUUAUUGUUCAGAUCUCAGACGAGUAUACGGUUUAGAUUACAAAACACCUAUGAUUAAUUUCUUUUUUUUUUUUUUAAUUUCAGGGAGAAGAAGUGGUCAGUUUCAAUCCGGAAUUGGAAUAUGGCAAUUUGGUUCAAGCACACACACCUGGUCACUUGGUCAGUGAACCUGAACUUUACGCAGUUUUUUCAACUCAGUGAUUUUUGGAACGCAUAUUGGUGUAAGGAAAUCAAUAGAAAUUUAUGCAUAGUCAAAUUCUGAUAUUUGCUAUAAUAUUAUACAUUCUAAAGUUUCUCCAGUUUGUUCUCAGAUUACCAUCAUUUUUUGCCUUCACCAAAAAAAAAUCGAGUGGCUUUCCAGUGGAUAUUUAAUCGGAGGUAUGACUGGAUUUUUUUCACUUCUGUAAAUCUUGCAUUUUAAACUGGCAAAUUUAACUUUAAUUUUAAUACGACUUGUUUGAGGGAAAUACUCCGACGAGACCAGACGUGAUGAGCAGAUGUUUGGUGGCAGAAGUCUGCGAGCAGGUGUGUCCUGUAAGAGCCAGGUAGCAGGGAAACAGGGGCAGAAAUAUCCUGCUCAUCCACGAGCAUGUCAUCCGCGAGGCCAAUUUCCUGUAAGAAACAUAAAGCCAUUCCUGCUGUAUUCUUGCUAAGGGUUGAUUCGAGGAGACCCGGUCAACGACAGUUGGCGAGGCAUGCUCUCCAGCCCGAGAAUCUAGGCACGAAGGCCACGCAACCACCCACGACUACGGAAAUGGGGAAUCCACGUUCGAGAGGUGGGAGGAUAACAGACGUAGACUGCGGAAAACUGGGAUUCAGAGGAAGCCUAUAAAAAGGUAGCCAACGAAGGUAAAAGGGUUAGCAAUUUUGAUUCUAAAAGAGAGAAAACAACCUAACAACCAUAAGAUUUUUGGCAAGCGUUCCCCGAACCUUCAUAUCUGACUUGAGCGUCGGAGGGUUUGCGCCGGGAAAACAACCGGCGUACUCUGACCUGUCUGUGUGCGCAGGAACCUCUGGAGAAGAAGCUUUACGAGGAGAGAUCCUGGUCGUGGUGAAGUUGAUCGAGCAGAGACCCUGGUCGUAGAACGAGGAGAACCAGAAUCUCGCAUCAACACGACUUUGUUGGUGCCUUGUGUUCCAGAAACUAGAAUGAUGUGUAGUUUUCAGAUUAAGGGGCUUGUAAAUUCUCUAGUAAGAAUCCAAUAAUUUGCUUUUGCACAUUCAUUUUAUUUGUGGAUCCUUGCAUCUGAAUUUGAUCAAUCCAAAAGGAAUUGCUUUUAGACAGAAGAAGAAUUGCAGUACCUAGCCUACGACAUAGUAAAUGGACCUGCAAACCUGUAACUAUUAGUUUGAGGUAAAAAAUUCAUGACCCUCACAUGUUAACUUCUUCUAGUUACUUUCAUCAAAAACACAUUUAAGAAAUUUGCAAUUUUUUGUUAGUUUUGUAUACCGAUGUUGUUUUCUGUUUUAGCAUUUGUAUAAUCUACUGUAUUAUAUUUUGGCGGUUGCAGUAUCUGAGGUAUCUUUUGCAUUUAACUUGCUUUAUUUGUUUUGCUUGUGACUUAAGAACACCAAUAUUUGCCAGAGAUUUAGAGAAGCAUAUCAAGAUGCUUGGCAAACUUGACAAACUUCAAGAUCCUUCAUUCUUCACGACCCAAAACUUGUGAGUACACUUAUGCCCGCAAUUAUUGUGAAACGCUUGCAAUUUUGAUGCAGCGAAAUGGUUUGUUGAUGCAAAGGUUUAAACUUUUAAGAUUUACACUGCAGGGUAGUUGGAUGCUGUAUAGUCGAACGGCCACCAACAUCAAGAACUAUAACUCCAAGACCGGGUUUGCAUUAAUUCAAUCAGCUGAAAUAAUGAUGCAAAUGACACUAUCAGCUGGACUUAGAGACCAGUCAGAUCAAUCAUCCUUUUAUCAACAGUUAAUGUCAUGAUGGUGUCUAUCGGAGGAAACAAAGGAUGUGUCGGAAUCAAUAUGAACAGUGAGAAGAAUGAGAGGAGCUUUGAUUAUAAGUAGGCUCAAUGAACUCAUGCUGGUAAGUGGUAAUUAAAGAAAUUUGUGCGCUUAGUAGCAUUCAAUAUUUUCUGUUUGGGAUAUAGUUGAUGAGUUGAUACUCUGAUUAAGAAGCCUGAUUAUAGUAGCUGACUUUUUUUUUGUGGUUUGCUGUUGUUUAUUCUUUCGAUUAAUUUCAACAUUAGGUUGAUCUGUUGAAGAACAAACUUGGGUUUGAUUAUGCUUUAACUACAAGGAAGAGCCAGACUUGGAUGCAGGCGUUCAGCUUUUAAUGGGUAAGAACAAAUGUAUGCUUUAACCAUGUUUCUCACUUAUUACAAUGCACACAUUGAAGGCAUCUGAGCUGAUCCUGAAAAUGUGAUGGAAAUACUUCUCUGUUUACAUAAAACAGACAAAUAGAGAUCUCUGAUCAUGCCUGAGAAUUCGUUGCAUUUAAAAUUUCUACCAUUGCCAAAAAUAGAAUAAACUACGGAUACAUUAGCUUAAGACUCAAUUUUGAGAAGGAAGUUUGCACAUGCAGCCUAAAAAAUCACGUCCGUGUUGUAUACUUGUAUGUUUCUUUGGGAAAUGAAAGAUUCUGUGUUCUUUUAUUUCAAGUUUGCUGAAAUCACAUUUGUUUUCUUAGAUGCUUUUGGGAAGGUAACAACAUCAAUUUCAUAAAUGCUGGGGUAAGAUGCAUCACGCAGUGCUACUCAACAUGAGAAUUCCCGGCCGCAUUACCUGUAUGUUGAGUGAUCGCACAGUACAACCUUUAGAAGCUUGUAAGGAGUAGACAACUAGAUGCGAAUAGUUUCAAUAUGGAUUCGCAUCAAAUGAUCUCUUGCCAGUGAUUACUAUAACCUCUAUCCCAAAAUUCUUGGAACUGGUCAUACCAAUAAUGAAGUAUUGUGUACGUUGAAGACGUAGCUCAAGGCCUUGCGAAAGCUCCGUCAGCCUUUGUAUUGGAAAACAGUUGGUUGUAGUUGCUUCUGAAUGAUAUUAUUAAUAGAUACUGUAAAAAUGAAGUGUGCCACUCAUUUUCAGAGCCCUGUUAAGAUGUGUUGGUAAUGUGUUUGAAGGUUGUUUGAUUUGUGUUGUAUUCAGCUAUAAAUCAAAGAUUCAGAACAUGGUUAUGUUACUGGUUUCCAAAUAAAAAAAUUGCCUUGUGAUGUUAGUGUUCAUUGUUUUCACAGGAGAUCAGGUUCCCUGUUGAUGAAUCAAGAAGGCAAACGCAUCCAUGCCUUAAGUUCAAAUGUGUCUCUUCUAUUUUCUAUUACUGACUCCUUUAUUUUGAUUUCUUCAUUGUAAUGGAAUUGGUUUUCAUUCCAAAUUAGUCAAAACCUCCUAGAGUCAUUAAGUUCUGUUAGCAUUUGAAGAUAGAACUAGAACUAAAUGAUUGACUGGAUUAAAUUCCGAUAAAGAAUUAAGUUAUGUAUUUAGAGAUAUUUUGUUUUUUUUUUCAUUUGUUCAAUUUGGUUAGUGGUGAUUUCUUAAAGACUCAAUCCAUGUGCGUUUAUGCAUUUUUCUUUUGCCUUAAUUUCUGUUUCUUGGGGAGUUUAUACAGAUUCUUAUUUUAUGCUUCACAUGCCACAUGAAAGAUCGAAGCAUUUUGUGUGAUUAGAACUGACUUGCAUCACAGUAACUUUAAACCACUGCCACAUUUUUAUAAUAACAGUCUGAGAUCUCCCUGAAGGAUUCAAAGCAUUUUAUUUUAUAUUAACCUCCUUUAAGUGGGUUUCGACACUACCACAAGUUCUUUAAAUACUAAAACGAUUUUGAGUCUUUUGUAUCAUCUGAUUGAAAUACCUGAAAGCACUCGUGGCUGCAAAAAUAUAUCGAUUUUGAGUAUGGCGUGCAUGUAAAUUAUAUCGAUUUUUUCUAUAUGACAAGUAAGACUCUCUUUUACAAUGGCACGGAUGCGUCAUUGAGUAAUCAUGAUUCUUGCUGGUAGUGCUUUGUUGUAUCAAUCUGCUAGCUAUUCAGCUUUCUUUCUUUCUUUCUUCUUUUUUUUUUUUUUUUUUUGUUUUCAAAUAGCUUGUGGUUGUAGAAAUAUUUCAAUUAAACUAUACUUAAGUACUUAUUUAGUAUAACUUCUUUACUAGCCAAAAUAAUUUUUUUUUGGUUUUUUAUAAUUUAAUUAUACUUUAACUAGAGUUUUUGGGAUUAAACAAGUGAUAAUUUCUCUCUAUUAAGAAAAACUCAAAAUUUUUUAAUUACUAGAAUGCGUCUAAAUUAAAUUACAAUUAUAGACACUAAAAUAUAGUAAAUUUUUUUUUUUACUCUUUAAAACUGUCUUUACAUUCGAUAUCAUAUUUUUUUCUUAAAAUCUAAAUUGAUAUUUUUAUUUUAUUUUUGAUUAAUCUUAGAACACAUAUAAAGUGAUUCAUAUUGAUUUUAUACUAACAAACUAUCAUAGCACAUUCGAAAAUAAUUAACUCGUUCUUAUUUGCAUAGUGAAAAAGGCAAAUAGCUCACCCAAAUGUUAAGGAACUGGAGAGCUGCUGCUGGAGACGAAAGGAUGUGAAAAGCAUGGUAAAGAAAAAUUGCAUAAUUCUCACUUAGAAGAGGAAGAAAAAAAAAAUACAAUUAGAAUGAGAGGUAGCCAGUAGCCAGUAGCCGCCACCACCACCAGUCAAACUAUUUCGACACACUAAUACUGUAAUACAUAUCAAAAUGCAAUAUCGGUCCUAACAAAAUGAAAAUAAAAAUUCAUUACGAAUAUGUGUUAAAGAUAUCCCAAGUAUUGAUGUGAUUGAAAUAUUUGAGAUUGAAGUAGAAAUAAGACUCAAAAUCAAUUGAGAGGAAUAAAUGAGAAACUCUAAUACUAAUAAAAUAUAUUCACAAAUCCUAAUGCUAAUUAAAAUCACGGAUUAAAAAAAAUAAUAUGAAUGAAUUACAGGCGCAACUGUUUCAUUAAAAAAUUAAUAAAAUCGUGUAUUAAUAUUUUGUACACAUACAUUUUUCCAUAUAUAACUUUUGGUAAUUUAGUUUUCCACUUAUCAUUUUUACUCCAAAAAAAUAAUUGAGAAUAUUAUUUAUGUUUUGGUGCAAAAUAUUUAAACAACAUAAAAAUUUUCAGUUUAAUAAAUCUAAACAAUUCUCAAGUUAUAAAUGAAUUUAAUGGGUUUAAUUAGUAAAAAUACUAUUAUUUUAUAAAUUGGGUUUAGUAAUGGUAUAUUGGGUAUUUAAAUGGGUUUGUUGAGUAAAUUUUAAAAUUUUAAAGUUCAAGGGUAGGUUUAUUUAGUAAAUGGGUUAAUGCAGCAAUUUUCAAACUAAAUUUUUGGAAAAAGAGGCUAUUGAGUUUUUUUUAAGAAAAAGAAUUAAAAUGUUGAGAAUACCUUUAUUUAAUUUUAUAAUCUAAUUUUAAAAAAUUUACCCAAUAAAUUUUAUAAUUUUUUAUAAAAAUUAUCAUUAACAUCCAAACAGCUGAAGAUUAAAAAAAAAAAAAGAAGGGAACUGUACUAGCAAAAGUUAGAUUAACAAUAAAUUUAGUCCAAAGAAUAAAGUUAUAGCUAAAAAGUGCUCCUAUCCUAUUUUUCUCUAUUUUAACAAUAAUCUUCCAAUCCAUUUUACAAUGGACUUAACAAAUGGGCUCAAUCUCUAAACUUCAUUUUCUUUUGCUAACCCAUGGCCAUUAGCCAGAAAGCCUAAAACAAUUUUAGGAUCACAUGUGUAAAUGGAACCCCAAGAUUGAUCAAGAAUUAACAAGACAAGAUGAAGAGAUGAUCUUGUAACUAAGAAUGAAGAAAUUGAAUCAAGACAGUACUCUAGUAAAACCCAGAAAACAGAGCUUGAAGAAUCACGCACAAAGCAGUAAAUUUGUAAAACCAGAAUUGGAGCUUCACUUCUCAAGAUAGACGAAACAGGAUACAAUCUAGCUUUGGUCAACUUCGUUUGGCCACGUCAUAAAGUCUUCCCCCACAGUCUUUCCCGCCAAAACAGAAAAGCUUUAAAAGCCAUUUACCCUCCUGAGUUACUUGCUCCUAUUACAUCAAGGCCCUGUAAGUCUAUAUUUAUUAUUACAAAAGCACCCUUAAACCGAGAUUUGAGAUAUUUUUUCAAAGAUCGAAGCGCAUGAUUUCACGGCUAUGUUGCAUAGUGAAUUUUAGUGCUUUACAGUUAAGGGAUAGUUUAAAUUCAUUACAAAGCAUUCGCAAAGAAAUUGUUUUUAAAUGAAACUCCUCGUCUUGACCAGAUUAUUUAUUAUUAUUAAAAAAAAAAUGUUCAAAACUUAGCCAAAGUGAUAAACUCGUAAUUAUUCUACAAAGGGAACAAUUUUGAACGGUGGGAAAUUCCAUAAUUAUGCUUUUCUGUGAAUUAUUUUAAAUAAAAUUAUAAAAAUUAAUAUAAAAUUAUAAUAAUGAUAGAGCCACAAACUCUUGUACAAAUUUAUUUUAUACAAACUCAUGUGGCAUGAUAAGAUUGGUUGAAUUAAAUAUUACUUGGCCCACAUGAUUUGUUUUUAUUAUUUUAUAUUUUUAUUCAACCAAUAAAUUAAUACCACGUCAGUUUGUACAAAAUAAAUUUAUACAAAAAUUUGUGACUCGAUCAUCACUCAUAAAAUUAAUACCCGGUAAAGACUGUAGAGAGACAAGUGCCCCCAACAGAAUCAAGUGAAUAUGCCCCACAAAGAUCACAUGAUCAUUUCUGUUCUUUUUCUUUUUGAUAAUUUUAUCUGUGGUUUCAACUUUUAUGCUUUAUUGUCGUAUCCCGUUGAGGGCUCCGCUGCACCCAUUACAACUUACCCCUAAAUUGCCUCUUACUAACUAAACCGUUAGAUUUUAUGGAAGCACGUUCAAUGUUGAAUUUUAAUUAUGUCAUCGAAUUUCGUUUAGCUCCUUAAACUCCAUUUUAUUUGUAAUUUCUUCAUAAAAUAUUCAAAGCUUCAUCAAGCUCCUGAUGGACCAUCAUGGCUAGGGGUGCAUUAGAGCCGAACUGAAAUAUGUUAGUUCAGUUCAGUUUGGUCAGUUUAAAUCGAAUGGUUUAGAAUAUAUAAACUGAUCAAUUUUAAUUUUGAAUUGAACCGAACCGAAAAUCAAUUGGUUCACUAUUAGUAUUUUUGUAUAAACAAGAAUGAUUAGUGAUUAUAAUUAAAUUGGACUAAAAAAAAUUCAAACUAAGGUGAAAAAUAUCAAAUCUUAGACAAUAUAAAAAAAAAUAUUAAAUUUUUUUAACCGAAACGAACCGAAUUAUUUUGACUCAGUUUGGUUCAUAAUUUUUUAAACCAAACUGAUUUAUUCCCACCCCCUAAUCGUGGCUCUCUAUCUUUAGUCAUUCACCCUUGAGUUUGAUGCCAAUUGUUGGGUUUCAAAUGAUUAUACACUCAAAUGGAACCCUCAUAACAAAAAACUAACAGAAACAAUAAGAACACGAUGUUAAAAUCUUAAAUCAAUCGCAAAAAAGCACCCAAAACAGAUCGAUUAGGAACAGUUAAGAACAAAAGAUUUGAUGGUUCAAAAUCAUAAUGUGACCUACGUACUUUCAUCCAAGAAUCAUACUAAUUGCUUUACUAGUUGUCAAACUCAAGAUCACAAGAUUGUUUAUCACUCUACAUAAAAAUUUUUUUUAGAAGAAAUACUCCCCAAUUUUUCUCUUAAUAGUUAUGAAUCAACACCCCUAGGAAGCCUGUUGAUUUACUUUUCCUUAUUUCCUAUGAUCGGUUGCUGCAACUUAAUCCUUGCCAAGCUCCAACAUAGUCCAAACACUUUUAACGGUACAGGCAUAGUGCACCUUCAGAAACUUUACAGCUCCUCUUAAAACCUCAGGCAUCGUAAGCACAUUAAGCAGCCGACAACACUCUUCUUCAUUUCUUCAUUGUCAAUUUCCUUCUUGGAACAUUGCUCCAUUGAGAGUCUGCUAGAAUUGCUCCAAUUAUUAUUAUUAUUUAAAAAAAAAAGAAAACCCUGCAAUAAGAGUAUAAGACUAAGCAACGGUCCUUUUUUUUUCCCCAUUCUUGAACCUAAAGUAUUUGAGUAUGCAAAUUAAUAAAUAAAUUCAUUUAUUUUUAUUAAAAUUUUGUAAAAUUAUAAUUUUUAAUAAAAAUAAUUAUUAAAAUUUUGUAAAAUCUAAAUUUAGAAAAAUUCAGUUGGGCACCUCUAUUUGAGAUUUAUUUUUUAUUAAAUUUAGGGAUAUUUUUAUAAUUAUAAUUUUUAAUUUUAAAAGUUUUUAUAAGAUAAAAUAGUCUUUUAAUUUAUUUAGGGGGUAAAAUUGGUGUUUUAUUAAAAUUAUUUAAUUGUGUUAAUGCAAAAGUGGCUAUUUGAUACAAAUGUGAAAAGAAAGGUGGUGCAAAAUAUAUGUUAAAAUUUUAUAUUGGUUGGAUGAACAUAAGCUAAAAUAAAGGUGGUGCAAUGAUAAUUUCCCUAUCCUAAAACUUAAUUGACUUAAUUCUUACGGUGCAAGGAAGAGGUUUCCAAGUUUAAAUCUAAAGGCUUGUAUUUAAUUUGGGGUUGGGAAAGCACUGAGAAAUAAAUGUAACUAAGGAAAAAAAAAAAGUCACGCAGUCCAAAUAAGUAGAUAUAUUUAAUAUGAGGUGGGGAUGGGUGAACUGUAAUUCAGAAAAAAAUAAAAUAAAAUUUUAUAUAAAGUUGAGGGUGUGUUUUAAUGGUUUCUUAUGCUGCGUUUAUUUUUUGGACUAGAGUGAGAAUUCUAAAAAGUGAGAAUCCUAUGAUUAGGUGUGUGGAGUGGGAGUGGGAGUAUGGUAUUUACUUAGACUAAAUAAAAGUAUGGAUUGUCAAUCAGAAUCUCAAUUAUUUGUUACUUUGUCUUGGAUUGAGAGUAAAUUAUUUUAAAUUACAAUUUUAUCCUUAUGUAAAGAAUUAUAAUUUGUAAUUAAAAAAUUAAUAAAAAUAUAUUGGAAAAUAAAAUAAAUAUUUUAUUAUAUUUAUAAAAUAAUAAUAAUUAAUAAAAUUCUUAAUUAUGUAAAUCAUAAUUUUUUAUUAAUUUAAAUUUAAAUUAUGUGAAUAAAAUUAUUAAUAAUAGCAACACAAAUGAAACAUUAUUAUUAAUAAUAUAGUAUAAAAUUAAUAUUUUUUUAGAAUAAAAUAUUUAUUAUUAUUAAAUAAAUAAAUAAUAUUUAUUAAAAUUAAUGUUUAAUAUUAUUAAUUUAAAUAUAAUAUUUAUUUAUUUUUAUUUUAUUUUAUUAAAUUUAAUAAAAUAAAUAUGUUAUAAUUAUUAUUUUUAAUAAAUAUGAUAUUAUUUAUUUUAUUAAAUAUUAUUUAUUUAUUUUAAUUAUGAGGGUAAAAAUGGAAGAGGGGGAGUGGAUUCCCACUCCCACCUCCCCCCAUGGGAGUGGGAAUCCCACUCUCCCCUUAAAAAUGGUAAGUAAAUAUUAGAAUGGGAAGAAUCUACACUCUACACUUUCUAGAAAAUAAACACUACCUUUAUUUAAAUCGAUUUGUUGGAUAUUUAGCUAAAAUGAGAGUAGCUCUCUAAUAAUUAUUGCAUUAUUACAAACAUAUCCAACGGUUAUAAUAGCGCGCUGAAUCAAUGCUUCAGAAGGAUGACAGUCUGAGUGAAAAGGAAAUAAACGCUUUCAAUUGAAUUACUACCACUACACUCCAAUACUCUAUUAUUGUUUGUGUGCUUGCUUGUGGACCUUUUUACUUCUUACUAUCAUUAUUGAAUUCCAUUUCCAAAUUUUCAGCAUACUUUUGCUUUCUUUCAGUAUCUUCAGUUUCUCUUUUGCUUGCUAUCAAUUCAGUUUUCUUCUUGUGAAGAUCGAACGGAACCAUGGUUGCUGUGGGAGAGAUCUUACUCAACGCCUUCUUUCAGGUGUUGUUUGACAGGUUGGCUUCCCGUGAUUUGCUCAGCUUUGUCCGUCAACUUGGAGGCGGGGACGAUUCCGAGCUCAAGAAGUGGGAAAGAAAGCUGAAGAUGAUUCAGGCGGUGCUCAACGAUGCAGAGGAGAAGCAACUGACCGACGAGGCCGUGAAGAUGUGGCUGGACGAUCUCCAAGACUUGGCUUAUGACGCUGAGGACAUUCUUGAGGAGUUUGCUACUCAAGCUUUGGAAAGCAAGUUGAUGGCGAAAAAUCAGGAUCGCAUUGGCCAGGUUCUUAGUUUCAUACCGGCUAGUUUGAAUCCGAAUGCUAUUAUGUCCAAUUAUAGCAUGGGAUCCAAGAUUAAAGAUAUUACUAGCCGGUUGGAGCAACUCUGCCAAGAUAGAAUUGAACUUGGGCUGCAACGGAUUGCUGGAGGGGCAUCAUCAACUACUUCUGCUGCACAUCAGAGGCGAGACAGUUCGAGUGUCCCAACAGAACGUGAAGUAUUUGGAAGAGAAGAAGAUAAGGCCAAAAUUCUUGAUAUGGUAUUGACCGAUACCCCAAGUGAUCGUGCCAACUUUGUUGUAAUACCCAUUGUUGGCAUGGGCGGGAUAGGAAAAACAACUCUUGCCCGGGAGGUCUACAAUGACAAGGCCGUUGAAGAUUCCAAGUUUGAUGUAAAAGCAUGGGUUUGUGUCUCUGAUGUCUUUGAUAUUUUGGGCAUCUCAAAGGCACUUCUCCAGUCAAUCACCUCCGCAGCUAGUGAUCUCAAGACUUUAAAUGAGGUGCAGGUUCAACUGAAAAAAGCAGUUGACGGAAAAAGAUUCUUGCUGGUCUUAGAUGAUGUUUGGAACGAGAACUACAACUUGUGGGAAGACUUAAAAGCUCCGUUCCUGGAUGCUGCACCAAACAGCAAGAUGAUCGUCACCACACGCAAUUCAAGUGUUGCAUCAACAAUGAGACCCAUUGAACAUUUCAAUCUCAAGAGUCUGUUGGAUGACGAUUGCUGGUCCAUUUUUAUAAAGCAUGCAGUUGAAGGUGGAGAUCUUAACGAGGAUCAAAUUUCAGAAUCAUUCCGCAAGAAAGUUGUUGGCAAGUGUGGAGGCUUGCCUCUGGCAGCAAAAACUCUCGGGGGCCUUCUGCGUACGACGAGGCAUGAUGGGUGGGAUGGUAUAUUGGAUAGCAAAAUAUGGGAAUUACAUCAACAUAGCAGCAUUCUCCCUGUGUUAAGAUUGAGUUACCAUCAUCUUCCGUCUCAUUUGAAAAGAUGUUUUGCUUUUUGUGCCAUCUUUCCAAAAGAUUAUGAAUUCACUGAGAAGGAGCUGACUUUCUUAUGGAUGGCUGGAGGUAUUAUUCGACAGUCAAGAAACAAUGAGCAGCUGGAAGAUUUGGGCAGCAAGUGCUUUGGUGAUCUAGUGUCAAGGUCAAUUUUUCAACAAACAGCAAUCUCUGAUAGUUCUAAAUUUGUAAUGCACGACCUUAUCCAUGAUCUUGCUGAAUUGGUCUCUGGAGGAACCAUAUUUAGGUCAGAGGAGGCCAAUACUCUAUCAAGAAGAUUUGAAAGGGUUCGCCAUUCUUCCUAUACCCGUGAUUGGUAUGAUGGUAAAAAUAAGUUCGAGGUUUUCAAUGAAAUUGAACAUCUACGAACAUUCUUGCCGUUAAGAGGUAACUAUUGUACUAGUUACAUAACUCGACCGAUUCUAUCUGAUAUGCUGCCAAAGUUCAAAAGGUUGAGAACGCUAUCUUUACAAGGAUACUGUAUUGGUGAGUUACCAAUUCCAUUUGAAGAUUUGAGACUUUUAAGGUUCCUCAACCUUGCUGACACUGACAUAAGAAGUUUACCUGACUCAACAUGCAAAUUGCUGAACUUGGAAAUUCUGAUAUUAAGAAAUUGUUCCCGUUUGAUAAAGCUUCCGCAGAAAAUGAGGAAUUUGAUCAAUUUAUGCCAUCUGGAUAUAAGAGGUGCGAAGUUGCUGAAGGAGAUGCCAGUCGGAAUGAAAGAGCUGAAGAAGCUUCAAACAUUGUCCAAUUUUAUUGUAGGCAAGGGUGAAUCCGCAUCUGGUUUGGAAGAUUUAAAAAGUUUAAACCUUCUUUGUGAUGAACUUUGCAUUGCUGGAUUAGAGAAUGUGAAUAAUCCACAGAAUGCAAGAGAAGCCGCAUUAUGUGAGAAGCACAAUCUUGAAGCAUUGACUCUAACAUGGUGGCCUCAAUUUGACAGUCCUCGAGGUGUAGUAGUGGAAGAGAAUGUACUUGACGUUUUGCAGCCUCAUAAAUGUAUAAAAAAGGUGGCAAUCAGGAACUAUGGUGGUGCAAGAUUUCCACCUUGGAUAGGAGAUACUUUAUUCUCCAAGAUAGAGCUCCUUGAAUUGAAGAACUGUGACAAUUGUGUGUCUUUGCCAUCGCUUGGCCUAUUGAGUUCACUUAAACACCUUGCUGUUAAAGGGCUGAAGAAACUAAAAAGCAUAGAGUCUGAGGUUUAUGGGGAGGGUUUGUCAAUGCCUUUUCCAUCGUUGGAGGUUCUAAGUUUUGAGAAUUUGCCUGAAUGGGAGUAUUGGGACACCAAUAUCAGAGGAAAUGUGCUCGUUGAAAUGUUUCCUCGUCUCCAUAAACUUUCCAUUGUGGAAUGUCCAAAACUCUCUGGGGAACUGCCUGAGCUCCUGCCCUCCUUGGAGACACUUGUUGUUAUUAAAUGUGAAAAUUUGGUAGUUCCAUUGUCUCGCUAUCCGAUGCUCUGCAGAUUAGAAGUUGAUGAGUGCAAGGAACUAGCGUGCGGGACUCCAAUUGAUUUCAAGUUGAUAAAGUCUGUGACUAUUUCAAAUAGUUCCUUAGACAUGGAUGGAUGCAAGGGGAUGCUAUACGAUGGUCCAGCUAGCUCUUCACUGCCAAAGCCCACGAUUACUACAAAUGUUUUGGAGUUUGGAAAAUUAUUGAAGCCUGGAUUUCAGAUAUUAGAAACGUUGGUAAUUGGCAAUUCUGAACAGCUCAAGUCAUGGAGGCAGCAUGGGGAUUUUCUAGAAGAAUAUAUGGUCGCUCGCCAAAGGUUUAAGAAACCAGUACAAGGGCUGAAUAUGCUCGCUUCCCCUGAAGAGGUAACAAUUGAAGAAAGUUGCGUACGUCUUGUUUUGUUUCCAGAGAUCAAUUUCUUUCCCAGAAAUCUGCGCUCUCUUCUAAUUAACAACAACACUGCUUUCAAAUCCUUACCCGAGGAAAUGAUGGAAAACAAUUCACAACUCGAAAGGUUGUAUAUCAGAGAUUGCGACUCUCUAACAUUCAUCGCAAGACGGAGGCUACCAGCAUCUCUUAAAAGGCUUGAGAUAGAAAAUUGUGAGAAAUUGCAACGUCUGUUCGAUGAUGAAGAGGAUGCUUCUUCUUCUUCUUCUCCUUCAUCCUCGUCUUCCCCAGUGAUGCUGCAACGCCUGAAUAUAAAGAACUGCCCAGAGCUCACCAGUUUAUCAUCGGGUGUCCAAUUCCUUGAGGCGCUUGAAGGCCUCGAGAUAUGGGAUUGUCCAAAGCUGGAGUCAAUACCGGAUGGCCUGCACAAUCUUAAAUGUUUACAGAGCAUUCAUAUAGAUGGAUGUCCAAGUCUUGUUUCCUUGCCCAAUGACAUGCACAAACUGAACUCUCUUCGAGAUUUAAACAUACGGGCGUGUCCAAUAUCGUUUCCAGAAGAAGGUUGUCCUACCAAUCUAACAUCACUUACACUUGGAUAUGUCGAAAUGUAUAAGACACUCGUCCAGUGGGGGUUGCACAGGCUUACCUCUCUUAGAAGCCUCGACAUUUUUGGAUGUGAUGAUGAAGCAGAGUGUUUUCCAGACGAGGAGAUAGGAAUGACGCUGCCCACCUCUCUCACUCAUCUGCACCUUUUUGAUUUCGAAAAAUUGAGAUCUCUGUCUUCGACGGGUUUUCAGAGCCUCACCUCUCUUCAAUCUUUGGAUAUCUGGUUUUGCCCAAAUCUCACAUCAUUCCCAAAGGUGGGCUUUCCAUCCUCACUUGUGGAAUUACGCAUUAGAGAUUGUCCAAAGCUUAAAAAAGCGUGCAAAAGAGAUCAAGGAAAAGAGUGGCCCAAAAUUGCUCACAUCCCUUGCGUUGAGAUAGACGAUAAAUUCAUAUACCAUCCAAAAUCAGAGGUGUAGAGUGUAUUAUUAAGGUCAGUUGAUUUAUGUUAUCCACCAUAACAAGCUCCUCCUUUUUUUUUAAAUAAUAAUUUUGCAGUCACUCGCGUGAUUCCGUUUUCACAAGUCAGAUUGUAUGUUGAGGCUAUUUGCCUUUUAAUCGCAGAUUAAAUUAUAACACUUAUCUUAAAAUUUAAUACCAUAGACAGAUAGACGAUUUUUUAAUCCAAAGUUUUUUUAUUCACUUCAGUUAGCAUUUUUUUUUUCCCCAAAUCAUGCAAGCCGAGAGUUUCAAUCAACAGAAUUUUAUUCACUCAUUGACUUUUCAACUGCUGUGGUUAUUUAUGGGUGAAAGAUAAAUUUCUUAGAUGGUAGAUAUAUCGACAUUUUAGAUUUCAGAUAUUUGUCACCAAUUUCAUUCCUUUUUUUAAAAUUUUUUUUAAGCAAGUUUGACUAAUUUUAACCAGAAUUGGAGUAUAAUAUUUUGGAGCAAGCAUACUUGAAAUUUCUGUCUUCAAUUUUUUUGAUGCUUUUUUAAUUUUGAUCUAGUAAAAAUACAUAGCCUUCACCGGCAGGAUUCUAGUCUUGGCUUUCACCUCUCUAACUCAUCUGUCCCUAUUGGGAUUCCAGAAAUUUAAAUUUCUGUCUUCAAUGGGUUUUCAAAGCCUCACCUCUCUUCGAUUUUUGUGGAUUGGGAAUUGCACAAAUCUCACAUCAUUUCCCGAGGUCGAGGAAAAGAGCGGCCCAAACUAUCAGCGGUGUUGAUUCUCUUAUUAAGGUCAGCUGAUUUCUAUUAUCCACUCUGACAAUCUCCUAUUAGUGUUUUUUUUUUAAAAAAUUUGCAGUUCUGUAUAAUUGAAAUGCCACUCACUUGUUUCCUUCUUCACAGGUCAGAUAGUAUGUUAAAGCUAUUAGUGCUGCCUCAUAGGUUGAUUACUCACAGAUGAAAUCAUAACUUUUAUCUUAAAAUUUAAUAGCAUACACAGAUAGACGAUUUUUAGUCCAAAGUUUUUUUUAUUCACUUCAAUCAAAAUUUUAGAUUGCAGAUUUUUGUCGAGUAUUUUCAUUCCAAUUUUUUCAUUUUUUAUUUUAAACCAGAAUUGGAGUAUAAAAUUUUGGAGCGCGCAUACUCUGAUGCAUGCAAUUAACUGUUUUUAAUCGUUGGAUUUUGAAAUUAAUGAUGGUAAGAUGUGUACUUAUUCUUUCUUCCAACAACCUUGCCUUCUUUCUUCGGUCGCAUAUCUAAUGAAUAUUUCUCUGUUUAGUUAAGGAUGAAUGCUUGGAGUGGGGUACUUGGUAACAUUUCUGCCUUAGAUGAAUCCUUGAAGAAAUGCCCGCAGUUCCUGAGACCAAAUACAGGUCUGAUUCAAAACAGCACCUUUCCCAGAAAAUAUGAUCCAAGGCAAAGUCAUGUUCUGAUAAUGUUUCCUUAAGUACUAAGUUGCAAGGAAACUUGAUUCAUUAACUACAGUUUUUUAUUUUUAGGACCUUGUAUCUGAAAGGUUCAGUGUUUUUUUUUUUCAAAUUUAUUGUUCAGAUCUCAGAGGAGUAUAUGGUUUAGAUUACAAAACACCCAUGAUUAAUUUCAUUUUUUUUUUAAUUUCAGGGAGAAGAAGUGGUCAGUUUCAAUCCGGAAUUGGAAUAUGGCAAUUUGGUUCAAGCAAACACACCUGGUCACUUGGUCAGUGGUCACUUGGUCAGCGAACCUGAACUUUACGCAGUUUUUUCAACUCAGUGAUUUUUGGAACGCAUAUUGGUGUAAGGAAAUCAAAAGAAAUUUAUGCAUUGUCAAAUUCUGAUAUUUGCUAUAUAUUAUACAUUCUAAAGUUUCUCCAGUUUGUUCUCAGAUUACCAUCAUUUUUUGCUUUCACCAACCAAACAAAAACAAAAUGAGUGGCUUUCCGGUGGAUAUUUAAUCGGAGGUAUGACUGGAUUUUUUUCACUUCUGUAAAUCUUGCAUUUUAAACUGGCAAAUUUAACUUUAAUUUUAAUAGGACUUUGUUGGUACCUUGUGUUCCAGAAACUAGAAAGAUGUGUAGUUUUCAGAUAAAGGGGCUUGUAAAUUCUCUAGUAAGAAUCCAAUAAUUUGCUUUUGCACGUUCAUUUUAUUUGUGGAUCCUUGCAUCUGAAUUUGAUCAAUCCAAAAGGAAUUGCUUUUAGACAGAAGAAGAAUAGCAGUACCUAGCCUAUGACAUAGUAUAUGGACCUGCAAACCUGAAACUAUUAGUUUGAGGUAAAAAAUUCAUGACCCUCACAUGUUAACUUCUUCUAGUUACUUUCAUGAAAAACACAUUUAAGAAAUUUGCAAUUUUUUGUUAGUUUCGUAUCCGAUGUUGUUUUCUGUUUUAGCAUUUGUAGAAUCUACUGUAUUAUAUUUUGGCAGUUGCAGUAUCUGAGGUAUGUUUUGCAUUUAACUUGCUUUGUUUGUUUUGCUUGUGACUUAAGAACACCAAUAUUUGCCAGAGAUUUAGAGAAGCAUAUCAAGAUGCUUGGCAAACUUGACAAACUUCAAGAUCCUCCAUUCUUCACAACGCAAAACUUGUGAGUACACCUAUGCCCGCAAUUAUUGUGAAAUGCUUGCAAUUUUGAUGCACUGAAAUGGUUUGUUGAUGCAAAGGUUUAAACUUUUAAGAUUCACCCUGCAGGGUAGUUGGAUGCUGUAUAAUCGAAAAGCGACCAACAUCAAGAAUUAUGACUCCAAGACCGGGUUUGCAUUAAUUCAAUCAGCUGAAAUCAUGAUGCAAAUGACACUAUCAGCUGGACUUAGAGACCAGUCAGAUCAAUCAUCCUUUUAUCAACAGUUAAUGUCAUGAUGGUGGCUAUCGGAGGAAACAAAGGAUGUGUCGGAAUCAAUAUGAACAGUGAGAAGAAUGAGAGGAGCUUUGAUUACAAGUAGGCUCAAUGAACUCAUGCUGGUAAGUGGUAAUUAAAGAAAUUUGUACGCUUAGUAGAGUUUCAAUAUUUUCUGUUUGGGAUAUAGUUGAUAAUUUGAUACUCUGAUUAAGAAGCCUGAUUAUAGUAGCUGACUUUUUUUUUGUGGUUUGCUGUUGUUUAUUCUUUCGAUUAAUUUCAACAUUAGGUUGAUCUGUUGAAGAACAAACUUGGGUUUGAUUAUGCUUUAACUACAAGGAAGAGCCAGGCUUGGAUGCAGGCGUUCAGCUUUUAAUGGGUAAGAACAUAUGUAUGCUUUAACCAUGUUUCUCACUUAUUACAAUGCAUGCAUUGAAGGCAUCUGAGCUGAUCCUGAAAAUGUGAUGGAAAUACUUCUCUGUUUACAUAAAACAGGACAAGAGAUCUCUGAUCAUGCCUGAGAAUUCGUUGCAUUUAAAAUUUCUACCAUUGCCAAAAAUAGAAUAAACUAGGGAUAGAUUAGCUUAAGACUCAAUUUUGAGAAGGAAGUUUGCACAUGCAGCCUAAAAAAUCAUGUCCGUGUUGUAUACUUGUAUGUUUCUUUGGGAAAUGAAAGAUUCUGUGUGUUCUUUUGUUUCAAGUUUGCUGAAAUCACAUUUGUUUUCUUAGAUGCUUUUGGGAAGGUAACAACAUCAAUUUCAUAAAUGCUGGGGUAAGAUGCAUCACGCAGUGCUACUCAACAUGAGAAUUCCCGGCCGCAUUACCUGUAUGUUGAGUGAUCGCACAGUACAACCUUUAGAAGCUUGUAAGGAGUAGACAACUAGAUGCGAAUAGUUUCAAUAUGGAUUCGCAUCAAAUGAUCUCUUGCCAGUGAUUACUAUAACCCCUAUCCCAAAAUUCUUGGCAUUGGUCAUACCAAUAAUGAAGUAUUGUGUACGUUGAAGACAUAGCUCAAGGCCUUGCGAAAGCUCCGUCAGCCUUUGUAUUGGAAAACAGUUGGUUGUAGUUGCUUCUGAGUGAUAUUAUUAAUAGAUACUGUAAAAAUGAACUGUGCCACUCAUUUUCAGAGCCCUGUUAAGAUGUGUUGGUAAUGUGUUUGAAGGUUGUUUGAUUUAUGUUGUAUUCAGCUACAAAUCAAAGAUUCAGAACAUGGUUAUGUUACUGGUUUCCAAAUCAAAAAAAUGCCUUGUGAUGUUAGUGUUCAUUUUUUUCACAGGAGAUCAGGUUCCCUGUUGAUGAAUCAAGAAGGCAAACGCAUCCAUGUCUUAAGUUCAAAUGUGUCUCUUCUAUUUUCUAUUACUGACUCCUUUAUUUUGAUUUCUUCAUUGUAAUGGAAUUGGUUUUUUAUUCCAAAUUAGUCAAAACCUCCUAGAGUCAUUAAGUUCUGUUAGCAUUUGAAGAUAGAACUAGAACUAAAUGAUUGACUGGAUUAAAUUCCGAUAAAGAAUUAAGUUAUAUAUUUAGAGAUAUUAUGUUUUUUUUUUUUUCAUUUGUUCAAUUUGGUUAGUGGUGAUUUCUUAAAGACUCAAUCCAUGUGCGUUUAUGCAUUUUUCUUUUGCCUUAAUUUCUGUUUCUUGGGGAGUUUAUACAGAUUCUUAUUUUAUGCUUCACAUGCCACAUGAAAGAUCGAAGCCUUUUGUGUGAUUAGAACUGACUUGCAUCACAGUAACUUUAAAUCACUGCGACAUUUUUAUAAUAACAGUCUGAGAUCUCCCUGCAGGAUUCAAAGCAUUUUAUUUUAUAUUAAACUCCUUUACGUGGGUUUGGACACUACCACAAGUUCUUUAAAUACUAAAACGAUUUUAAGUCUUUUGUAUCAUCUGAUUUAAAUACAUGAAAGCACUCGUGGCUGCAAAAAUACAGUUGGGGCUAUUUCUAAAGUCUUCAACAGCAUUUUCUUUUUAACCUUUAUCCUCAUGGUUGUUUUUGCAGUUGUUCUUUAAGAAAACAUUUAAAAGGUUCUCUUUAUGGAUUUUUGAAAAUAAUUUUAACAUGAGCAAUUUUCAGAAGCACUUUAGAUGUCUGGCAUUUAGGAAAUUUUAUUUCGGUGUCACAUAAAAUACUUAGGAAGUUAAAUUUAUUUAUUUAUGAGCAUGUGCCAGUGCCCAGUGGCAUCCUCUUCACUUGUGAUAGUCAAAUGUAUUAUACGAUACAAUAUUAGCUUGACUGUAGCACAGAGGAGAAUAGGGUUGGUGUUGGUCUGAACCAGCUUAUGUAACAGCUGCCAAAGGAUAAUUUAAUUGUACUUUGAGUAAAGCUUUUGCGAAUUAAACAAGUGAUAAUUUGUUUUUAUUAAGAAAAACUUAAGGAAUUAGGCUAUUUUAACUGACCAAAUUACACAUUAAAAAUUCAUUUACAAAAAUAGUUUUUAGUUAUUAAAAUAUUCCUAAAUUAAAUUAUAAUUAUGGACACUAAAAUAUUUUUUUUAUAUUUUACUCUUUGAAACUGUCUUUAUAUUCGAUAUUAUAUUUUUUUCUUAAACUCUAAAUUGAUUUUUUUUUUUGAUUAAUUUUAAAACACCUAUAAAGUGAUUCAUAUUGAUUUUAUACUAACAAACUAUUAUAGCACAUUCGAAAAAUAAUUAAAUCGUUCUUAUUUACAUAGUGAAAAUGCAAAUAGCUCGUUCAAAUGUUAAGGAAUUGGAGAGCUGCUGCUGGAGAUGAAAGAUGUGAAUUAAACAUCAGAAAAAAAAUUAUGUUUACUAUCUUGCCAGACCAAGCACCGAAAAGCAUCGUAAAGAAAAAUUAGAUAAUUUAGAAGAUAAAGCACGUGGAAUGGAGGCAGAAAGCAAGUAAUGAUAACUCUUUCGACAAACUAAUAUAUACCAAAAUGCAAUAUCAAAAAUGAAAAUAAAAAUUCAUUACGAAUACGUGUUAAAGAUAUCCCAAGUAUAGAUGUGACUGAAAUAUUUGAGAUUGAAGAAGAAUUAAGACUCAAAAUCAAUUGGGAGGAAUAAAUGAGAAACCUCAAUACCAAAAAAUACACGCGCAAAUCCUAAUACUAAUUGUAAUUGCAGAUAAAUAGCAUAAUACGAAUAAAUUCCAUGGGCAACUAUUUCAUUGAGAAAUUAAUUAAAUCGUGUAUUAAUAUUUUGUAUACAUAUAUUUUUCUAUAUAUGACUUUCGGUAAUUUAAUUUUCCACUUAUCAUUUUUACUCCAAAAAAAUAAUUGAGAAUAUUAUUUAUGUUUUGGUGCAAAAUAUUUGAACAAUAUACAAAUUUUCAGUUUAAUAAAUCUAAACAUCUAUUAAGUUAUAAAUGAAUUUAAUGGGUUUAAUUAAUAAAAUUACUAUUAUUAUAUAAAUUGGAUUUAGUAAUGGUACAUUGGGUGGGUUUGUUGAGUAAAUUUUAAAAUUUUGAAAUUUAAGGAUGGGUUUAUUUAGUAAAUGAGUUAAGGGAGUAGUUUGUUGGGAUUCACAUAACGCCACCAAAUUCAAAUGUAAAAUUUAUGGAAAAAGAAGCUAUUGAGUUAUUCUUUUUAAAAAAAGAAUUAAAAUGUCAAGAAUACCUUUAUUUAAUUUUAUAAUCUUAUUUUAUAGUCAUAUUUUAUUUCCACCUUAACAUAAUUUUAAAAAACCUUAACUAAUAAAUUCUAUAUUUUUUUUAUAAAAGUUAUCAUUAAUAUCCAAACGGCUAAAGAUUUUUUUUUUUAAAAAAAAAGAAACUAUGCUUACAAAAGUUGUAUACAUUAACAAUAAAUUUAGUCCAAAGAAUAAAGUUAUUCCAAACAAGCACUCCUAUUCAUCUUGCUAAUGAAUCAAGAUGACUGAAUCCAUUCUCUAAGCCAAAUCUAUUUUCACUUCUAGGUCAGAAAUUGUCAUUAAAAAAGUGUUUGAUAAAAUAUGCUCUGGGAACACUAAUUCGUCAGAUGGUUACUCCAAGUUUAUGAAAUCAAUGGGGUUUCAUCAUAUUCAUAACAUUCUUCUUUAAUGUCUAUUCUAACAAAGAAAUUACUAGAAAACUUUUACUAGAAAAACUAACCACAAUUCAUCAUUCAUUUAUAUCUUAAGUAAGCGUAAGAUUUUAUCAUUAAAAUCUCAUCAUGAAAAAACUCAUGGGAGAAAAACUAUAAAAAUUGAAGAAAAAAGAGUAUGGCGUGCAUGUAAAUUAUAUCGAUUUUAUCUAUAUGACAAAUAAGACUCUCUUUUACAAUGGCACGGAUGCUUCAUUGAGUAAUCAUGAUUCUUGCUGGUAGUGCUUUGUUGUAUCAAUCUGCUAGCUAUUCAGCUUUCUUUCUUUCUUUCUUCUUUUUAUUUUUUUUGUUUUCAAAUAGCUUGUGGUUGUAGAAAUAUUUCAAUUAAACUAUACUUAAGUACUUAUUUGGUAUAACUUCUUUACUAGCCAAAAGAUUUUUUUUUUGGUUUUUUAUAAUUUAAUUAUACUUUAACUAGAGUUUUUGGGAUUAAACAAGUGAUAAUUUCUCUCUGUUAAGAAAAACUCAAACGGUAGGGUUAUCUCAAUCCACCAAACUAUUUAUUAAAAAUCCACUUAUGAAAAUAAUUUUUAAUUAUUAGAAUGCCUCUAAAUUAAAUUACAAUUAUAGACACUAAAAUAUAGUAAAAAAAAUUUUUUUUUACUCUUUAAAACUGUCUUUACAUUCGAUAUCAUAUCUUUUUCUUAAAAUCUAAAUUGAUUUUUUUUUUAUUAAUCUCAGAACACAUAUGAAGUGAUUCAUAUUGGUUUUAUACUAACAAACUAUCAUAGCACAUUCGAAAAUAAUUAACUCGUUCUUAUUUGCAUAGUGAAAAGGCAAAUAGUUCAUCCAAAUGUUAAAGAAUUGGAGAGCUGCUGCUGGAGAUGAAAGAUGUGAAAAGCAUGGUAAAGAAAAAUUACAUAAUUCUCACUUAGAUGAGGAAGAAAAAAAAAAGAAUACAAUUAGAAUGAGAGGUAGCCAAUAGCCACUAGCCGCCGCCACCGCCACCAGUGAAACUAUUUCACAUAAUAGAAGAUAAAGCACGCGUAAUGGAGGCAAAAAGCAAUUAAUGAUAACUCUUUUCGACACACUAAUACAUAUCAAAAUGCAAUAUCGGUCCUAACAAAAUGAAAAUAAAAAUUCAUUACGAAUAUGCGUUAAACAUAUCCCAAGUAUUGAUGAUGUGAUUGAAAUAUUUGAGAUUGAAGUAUAAAUAAGACUCAAAAUUAAUUGAGAGGAAUAAAUGAGAAACUCUAAUACUAAUAAAAUACAUUCACAAAUCCUAAUGCUAAUUAAAAUCACGGAUUAAAAAAAAUAAUAUGAAUGAAUUACAGGCGCAACUGUUUCAUUAAGAAAUUAAUUAAAUCGUGUAUUAAUAUUUUGUACACAUACAUUUUUCCAUAUAUAACUUUUGGUAAUUUAGUUUUCCACUUAUCAUUUUACUCCAAAAAAAUAAUUGAGAAUAUUAUUUAUGUUUUGGUGCAAAAUAUUUAAACAACGUAUAAAUUUUCAGUUUAAUAAAUCUAAACAUUUCUCAAGUUGUAAAUGAAUUUAAUGGGUUUAGUUAGUAAAAAUGCUAUUAUUAUAUAAAUUGGGUUUAGUAAUGGUAUAUUGGGCAUUUAAAUGGGUUUGUUGAGUAAAUUUUAAAAUUUUAAAAUUUAAGGGUGGGUUUAUUUUAGUAAAUGGGUUAAGGCAGCAAUUUCCCAAACUAAAAUUUUUAGAAAAAGAGGCUAUUUAGUUUUUUUUUUUAAAAAGAAUUAAGAUGUUGAGAAUACCUUUAUUUACUUUUAUAAUCUUAUUUUAAAAAAUUUACCCAAUAAAUUUUAUAAUUUUUUACAAAAAUUAUCAUUAACAUCCAAACAGCUAAAGAUUAAAAAAAAAAAAAAAGAAGGGAACUGUACUAGCAAAAGUUAGAUUAACAAUAAAUUUAGUCCAAAGAAUAAAGUUAUAGCUAAAAAGUGCUCCUAUCCUAUUUUUCUCUAUUUUAACAAUAAUCUUCCAAUCCAUUUUACAAUGGACUUAACAAAUGGGCUCAAUCUCUAAACUUCAUUUUCUUUUGCUAACCCAUGGCCAUUAGCCAGAAAGCCUAAAACAAUUUUAGGAUCACAUGUGUAAAUGGAACUCCAAGAUUGAUCAAGAAUUAACAAGACAAGAUGAAGAGAUGAUCUUGUAACUAAGAAUGAAGAAAUUGAAUCAAGACAGUACUCUAGUAAAACCCAGAAAACAGAGCUUGAAGAAUCACGCACAAAGCAGUAAAUUUGUAAAACCAGAAUUGGAGCUUCACUUCUCAAGAUAGACGAAACAGGAUACAAUCUAGCUUUGGUCAACUUCGUUUGGCCACGUCAUAAAGUCUUCCCCCACAGUCUUUCCCGCCAAAACAGAAAAGCUUUAAAAGCCAUUUACCCUCCUGAGUUACUUGCUCCUAUUACAUCAAGGCCCUGUAAGUCUAUAUUUAUUAUUACAAAAGCACCCUUAAACCGAGAUUUGAGAUAUUUUUUCAAAGAUCGAAGCGCAUGAUUUCACGGCUAUGUUGCAUAGUGAAUUUUAGUGCUUUACAGUUAAGGGAUAGUUUAAAUUCAUUACAAAGCAUUCGCAAAGAAAUUGUUUUUAAAUGAAACUCCUCGUCUUGACCAGAUUAUUUAUUAUUAUUAAAAAAAAAUGUUCAAAACUUAGCCAAAGUGAUAAACUCGUAAUUAUUCUACAAAGGGAACAAUUUUGAACGGUGGGAAAUUCCAUAAUUAUGCUUUUCUGUGAAUUAUUUUAAAUAAAAUUAUAAAAAUUAAUAUAAAAUUAUAAUAAUGAUAGAGCCACAAAUUCUUGUACAAAUUUAUUUUAUACAAACUCAUGUGGCAUGAUAAGAUUGGUUGAAUUAAAUAUUACUUGGCCCACAUGAUUUGUUUUUAUUAUUUUAUAUUUUUAUUCAACCAAUAAAUUAAUACCACGUCAGUUUGUACAAAAUAAAUUUAUACAAAAAUUUGUGACUCGAUCAUCACUCAUAAAAUUAAUACCCGGUAAAGACUGUAGAGAGACAAGUGCCCCCAACAGAAUCAAGUGAAUAUGCCCCACAAAGAUCACAUGAUCAUUUCUGUUCUUUUUCUUUUUGAUAAUUUUAUCUGUGGUUUCAACUUUUAUGCUUUAUUGUCGUAUCCCGUUGAGGGCUCCGCUGCACCCAUUACAACUUACCCCUAAAUUGCCUCUUACUAACUAAACCGUUAGAUUUUAUGGAAGCACGUUCAAUGUUGAAUUUUAAUUAUGUCAUCGAAUUUCGUUUAGCUCCUUAAACUCCAUUUUAUUUGUAAUUUCUUCAUAAAAUAUUCAAAGCUUCAUCAAGCUCCUGAUGGACCAUCAUGGCUAGGGGUGCAUUAGAGCCGAACUGAAAUAUGUUAGUUCAGUUCAGUUUGGUCAGUUUAAAUCGAAUGGUUUAGAAUAUAUAAACUGAUCAAUUUUAAUUUUGAAUUGAACCGAACCGAAAAUCAAUUGGUUCACUAUUAGUAUUUUUGUAUAAACAAGAAUGAUUAGUGAUUAUAAUUAAAUUGGACUAAAAAAAAUUCAAACUAAGGUGAAAAAUAUCAAAUCUUAGACAAUAUAAAAAAAAAUAUUAAAUUUUUUUAACCGAAACGAACCGAAUUAUUUUGACUCAGUUUGGUUCAUAAUUUUUUAAACCAAACUGAUUUAUUCCCACCCCCUAAUCGUGGCUCUCUAUCUUUAGUCAUUCACCCUUGAGUUUGAUGCCAAUUGUUGGGUUUCAAAUGAUUAUACACUCAAAUGGAACCCUCAUAACAAAAAACUAACAGAAACAAUAAGAACACGAUGUUAAAAUCUUAAAUCAAUCGCAACGGUCCUUUUUUUUCCCCAUUCUUGAACCUAAAGUAUUUGAGUAUGCAAAUUAAUAAAUAAAUUCAUUUAUUUUUAUUAAAAUUUUGUAAAAUUAUAAUUUUUAAUAAAAAUAAUUAUUAAAAUUUUGUAAAAUCUAAAUUUAGAAAAAUUCAGUUGGGCACCUCUAUUUGAGAUUUAUUUUUUAUUAAAUUUAGGGAUAUUUUUAUAAUUAUAAUUUUUAAUUUUAAAAGUUUUUAUAAGAUAAAAUAGUCUUUUAAUUUAUUUAGGGGUAAAAUUGAUGUUUUAUUAAAAUUAUUUAAUUGUGUUAAUGCAAAAGUGACUAUUUGAUACAAAUGUGAAAAGAAAGGUGGUGCAAAAUAUAUGUUAAAAUUUUAUAUUGGUUGGAUGAACAUAAGCUAAAAUAAAGGUGGUGCAAUGAUAAUUUCCCUAUCCUAAAACUUAAUUGACUUAAUUCUUAUGGUGCAAGGAAGAGGUUUCCAAGUUUAAAUCUAAAGGCUUGUAUUUAAUUUGGGGUUGGGAAAGCACUGAGAAAUAAAUGUAACUAAGGAAAAAAAAAAAGUCAUGCAGUCCAAAUAAGUAGACAUAUUUAAUAUGAGGUGGGGAUGGGUGAACUGUAAUUCAGAAAAAAUAAAAUAAAAUUUCAUAUAAAGUUGAGGGUGUGUUUUAAUGGUUUCUUAUGCUGCGUUUACUUUUUGGACUAGAGUGAGAAUUCUGAGAAGUGGGAAUCCUGUGAUUAGGUGUGUGGAGUGGGAAUGAGAGUAGGGUAUUUACUUAGACUAAAUAAAAAUAUGGAUUGUCAAUCAGAAUCUCAAUUAUUUGUUACUUUGUCUUGGAUUGAGAGUAAAUUAUUUUAAAUUACAAUUUUAUCCUUAUGUAAAGAAUUAUAAUUUGUAAUUAAAAAAUUAAUAAAAAUAUAUUGGAAAAUAAAAUAAAUAUUUUAUUAUAUUUAUAAAAUAAUAAUAAUUAAUAAAAUUCUUAAUUAUGUAAAUCAUAAUUUUUUAUUAAUUUAAAUUUAAAUUAUGUGAAUAAAAAUUAUUAAUAAUAGCAACACAAAUGAAACAUUAUUAUUGAUAAUAUAGUAUAAAAUUAAUAUUUUUUUAGAAUAAAAUAUUUAUUAUUAUUAAAUAAAUAAAUAAUAUUUAUUAAAAUUAAUGUUUAAUAUUAUUAAUUUAAAUAUAAUAUUUAUUUAUUUUUAUUUUAUUUUAUUAAAUUUAAUAAAAUAAAUAUGUUAUAAUUAUUAUUUUUAAUAAAUAUGACAUUAUUUAUUUUAUUAAAUAUUAUUUAUUUAUUUUAAUUAUGAGGGUAAAAAUAAAAGAGGGGGAGUGGAUUCCCACUCCCACCUCCCCCCAUGGGAGUGGGAAUCCCACUCUCCCCUUAAAAAUGAUAAGUAAACACUAGAAUGGGAAGAAUCCACACUCUACACUUUCUAAAAAAUAAACACUACCUUAAUUUAAAUUGAUUUGUUGGAUAUUUAGCUAAAAUGAGAGUAGCUCUCUAAUAAUUAUUGCAUUAUUACAAACAUAUCCAACGGUUAUAUAUGCUUGCCUGUGGAAAUAAAAGUCCCAAGUUUCUUUGAAAGGUAAGCUAGUGUGAAUGUUUUCAUCCGUGCAACUUACUUGAUGAAUGAAGUUUUCAUCCCUGACCUUGAUGUUUCUGGUGGCUACAAUCAUUUCAGCUGAUCUAUUCCAUUUUGUUAAGGUGAGAAUUUAGAGUGGCUUUAACUGUUAGCAAAUAGCCUAAUGUAAGACUUGAUCAACUUCCUGCCCUGUUGUAUGCUUAUGAAUUUUGAUAGAGUUAUGAGUUUGCAGAAGCUACUGUAUUAUAUGUUGUUAGAGGCUGUAAAAAUGAGGCAGAUCAAACACACAUUUAAAUUUCAAUGACAAUUUACUAGAAGUAAAUUUCCUAUGACCCUCCAGGUGACUAAUCAAUGAGAACUUGACAAUAACAAAAGAAAGUGUAUGAGCUUUGCAGGCGGGCACGCCAAUCUUGACUGCAUGGCACCAUCCGCCAUUUGCAAGUGAAUAUCAUUAUUGUUUAAUCAACAUGGUGGAGUCCACUGGGACCACACCACAUGGUCAGUCUUAUCUCUAUUCCUCAAUUUUCAGUAUUCCAUACAUCAAAACAAUUUCAGUUUUGUUAUCAAUUAUAAUUUCAUUGUUGGAGACGAUUCUGAUUCCUUUCUUUCUGACAAAACGGAACCAUGGUUGCUGUGGGAGAGAUCUUACUCAACGCCUUCUUUCAGGUGUUGUUUGACAGGUUGGCUUCCCGUGAUUUGCUCAGCUUUGUCCGUCAACUUGGAGGCGGGGUCGAUUCCGAGCUCAAGAAGUGGGAAAGAAAGCUGAAGAUGAUUCAGGCGGUGCUCAACGAUGCAGAGGAGAAGCAACAGACUGACGAGGCUGUGAAGAUGUGGCUGGACGAUCUCCAAGACUUGGCUUAUGACACUGAGGACAUUCUUGAUGAGUUUGCUACUCAAGCCUUGGAAAGCAAGUUGAUGGCGCAAAAUCACGAUAGUUCUGGCCAGGUUCUCAGUUUCAUCCCGGCUGGUUUGAAUCCGAAUGCUAUUAUGUUCAAUUAUAGCAUGGGGUCCAAGAUUAAAGAUAUCACUAGCCGGCUGGAGCAACUCUGCCAAGAAAGAAUUGAACUUGGACUGCAACGGAUUACCGGAGAGGCAUCAUCAACUGCUGCUGCUGCUGCACACCAGAGGCCACCCAGUUCGAGUGUCCCAACAGAACGUGAAGUAUUUGGAAGAGAAGAAGAUAAGGCCAAAAUUCUUGAUAUGGUAUUGGCCGAUACCCCAAGUGAUCAUGCAAACUUUGUUGUAAUACCCAUUGUUGGCAUGGGCGGGAUAGGAAAAACAACUCUUGCCCGGGAAGUCUACAAUGACAAGGCCGUUGAAGAUUCCAAGUUUGAUGUAAAAGCAUGGGUUUGCGUAUCUGACGUCUUUGAUGUUUUGGGCAUCUCAAAGGCACUUCUCGAGUCAAUCACCCGCAGGCCUUGUCUUCUAAACAGUUUAAAUGACGUGCAGGUUGAGCUGAAAGCAGCUGUGGAUAAAAAAAGGUUCCUGCUGGUCUUAGAUGAUGUUUGGAACGAGGACUACAGCUUAUGGGUAGACUUAAAAGCUCCGUUACUGGUUGCUGCACCAAACAGCAAGAUGAUCGUCACCACACGCAAUUCAAGUGUUGCAUCAACAAUGAGACCCAUCGAUCGUCACCACACGCAAUUCAAGUAUUACGAUCUCAAGAGUCUGUUAGAUGAUGAUUGCUGGUCCAUUUUCAUAAACCAUGCAUUUGAAUCUACAGACCUUAGCGCACAUCGAAUUUCAGAAUCAUUCCGCGAGAAAGUUGUUGGCAAGUGUGGGGGCUUGCCUCUAGCAGCAAAAACACUCGGGGGCCUUCUUCGUACUAAAACGCAUGCUGAGUGGGACGGUAUAUUGGAUAGCAAAAUAUGGGAUUUACCUCGGCAAAGCAGCAUUCUCCCCGUGUUAAGAUUGAGUUACCAUCAUCUUCCUUCUCAUUUGAAAAGAUGUUUUGCUUUUUGUGCCAUCUUUCCAAAAGAUUAUGCAUUCACUGAGAGGGAGCUGACUUUCUUAUGGAUGGCUGGAGGUAUUAUUCGACAGUCAAGAAACAAUGAGCAGCUGGAAGAUUUGGGCAGCAAGUGCUUUGGUGAUCUAGUGUCGAGGUCAAUUUUUCAACAAACAGCAAUCUCUGAUAGUUCUAAAUUUGUAAUGCACGACCUUAUCCAUGAUCUUGCUCAAUUGGUCUCUGGAGAAACCAUAUUUAGGUUAGAGGAGGCCAAUACUCUGUCAAGAAGAUUUGAAAGGGUUCGCCAUUCCUCCUAUGCCCGUGAUUGGUGUGAUGGUAGAAAUAAGUUGGAGGUUUUCAAUGAAAUUGAACAUCUACGAACAUUCUUGCCAUUUUGCAUAAGAGGUGGCGUUACUUCUGGUUGGAUAACUAGCACGGUUCACUACGAUUUGUUGCCGAAGUUCAAAAGGUUGAGGAUGCUGUCUUUAGAAGGAUACCAUAUUGGUGAGUUACCAAUUCCAUUUGAAGAUUUGAGACUUUUAAGGUUCCUCAACCUUGCUGACACUGACAUAAGAAGUUUACCUGAGUCAACAUGCAAAUUGUUGAACUUGGAAAUUCUGAUAUUAAGAAAUUGUUCCCGUUUGACAAAGCUUCCCCAGAAAAUGAGGAAUUUGAUCAAUUUACGUCAUCUGGAUAUAAGAGGUGCAAAGCAGCUGAAGGAGAUGCCAUUUGGAAUGAAAGAGUUGAAGAAGCUUCAAACGUUGUCCAAUUUUAUUGUAGGCAAGGGUGAAUCUGCAUCUGGUUUGGAAGAUUUAAAAAGUUUAGACCUUCUAUGUGAUGAACUCUGCAUUGCUGGAUUAGAGAAUGUGAAUAGUCCACAGAAUGCAAGAGAAGCCACAUUAUGUGAGAAGCACAAUCUUGAAGCAUUGACCCUAGAAUGGGGGUCUCAAUCUGACAGUCCUCGGGAUGCAGUACUAGAAGAGAAGGUACUUGACACUCUACAGCCUCAUGAACGUAUAAAAGAGCUGGCAAUCAGGAACUAUGGUGGUGCAAGAUUUCCACCUUGGAUCAGAGAUCCUUCGUUUCCCGAGAUGAAGGUCCUUAAAUUGGAGAACUGUGACGAUUGUGAAUAUCUGCCAUCACUUGGCCUGUUGAGUUCACUUAAGCACCUUGCUGUUAAAGGGCUGAAGAAACUAAAAAGCAUAGGGUCUGAGGUUUAUGGGGAGGGUUUGUCAAUGCCUUUUCCAUCAUUGGAGGUUCUAAGUUUUGAGAAUUUGCCUGAAUGGGAGUAUUGGGACACCAAUAUCAGAGGAAAUGUGCUCGUUGAAAUGUUUCCUCGUCUCCAUAAACUUUCCAUUGUGGAAUGUCCCAAACUCUCUGGGGAACUGCCUGAGCUCCUGCCCUCCUUGGAGACACUUGUUGUUAGUAAAUGUGAAAAGUUGGUAGUUCCAUUGUCUCGCUAUCCGAUGCUCUGCAGAUUAGAAGUUGAUGAGUGCAAGGAACUAGCAUGCGGGACUCCAAUUGAUUUUAAGUUGAUAGAGUCUGUGACUAUUUCAAAUAGUUCCUUAGACAUGAAUGGAUGCAAGGGGAUGCUAUACGAUGGUCCAGCUGGCUCUUCACUGCCAAAGCCUAUGAUUACUACAAAUGUUUCGGAGUUUGGAAAAUUAUUGAAGCCUGGAUGUCAAAUAUUAGAAACUUUAGUAAUUGGCAAUUCUGGACGGCUCAAGUCAUGGAGGCAGCAUGGGGAUUUUCUAGAAGAAUAUAUGGUCGCUCACCAAAGGUUUAAGAAACCAGUACAAGGGCUAAAUAUGCUCGCUUCCCCUGAAGAGGUAACAAUUGAAGAAAGUUGUGUGAGUUUUGUUUUGUUUCCAGAGAUCAAUUUCUUUCCCAGAAAUCUGCGCUCUCUUCUAAUUUGCAACAGCACUGCUUUGAAAUCCUUACCCGAGGAAAUGAUGGAAAACAAUUCACAACUGGAAAGGUUGUAUAUCAGAGAUUGCGACUCUCUAACAUUCAUCGCAAGACAGAGGCUACCAGCAUCUGUUAAAAGGCUUGAGAUAGAAAAUUGUGAGAAAUUGCAACGUCUGUUCGAUGAUGAAGAGGAUGCUUCUUCUUCUUCUUCUUCUCCUUCAUCCUCGUCUUCCCCAGUGAUGCUGCAACACCUGAUAAUAGGGAAAUGCCCAAAGCUCACCAGUUUAUUAUCGGGUGUCCAAUUCCUUGAGGCGCUUGAAUUCCUCAAGAUAGAGCAUUGUCCAAAGCUGGAGUCAAUACCGGAUGGCCUGCCCAAUCUUAAAUGUUUACAGAGCAUUUAUUUACUCAAUUGUCCAAGUCUUGUUUCCUUCCCAGAAAGAGGGCUUCCCCACACCAUUUCAUUUGUUUGCAUUUGCGGAUGUGACAAGCUUGAAGCCCUGCCCAAUGACAUGCACAAACUCAACUCUCUUCGACAUUUAAGCAUACAGCUCUGUCCAAAUCUUGUAUCGUUUCCAGAAGAAGGUUUUCCUACCAAUCUAACAUCACUUACAAUUGGAGAUUUCAAAAUGUAUAAGAUACUCGUCCAGUGGGGGUUGCACAGGUUUACCUCUCUUAGACGCCUCUAUAUCGUUGAUUGUGAUGACGAAGCAGAGUAUUUUCCAGACGAGGAUAUAGGAAUGACGCUGCCCACCUCUCUCACUCAACUGGAACUUUCGGGAUUCAAAAAAUUGAUAUCUCUGUCUUCGACGGGUUUUCAGAGCCUCACCUCUCUUCAAAGAUUGCGGAUCUGGGAUUGCCCAAAUCUCACAUCAUUUCCAGAGGUGGGCCUUCCAUCCUCACUUUUGGAAUUACACAUUUACAAAUGUCCAAAGCUUAAAAAAGCGUGCAAAAGAGAUCAAGGAAAAGAGUGGCCCAAAAUUGCUGACAUCCCUUGCGUUGAGAUAGACAAUAAAUUCAUAUACGAUCCAGAAUAAGAGGAGUAGAUUCUACUAUUAAGGUCAGUUGAUUUGUAUUAUCCGCUAUAACAAGCUCCUCCUUUUUUUUUUUUAAAUAAUAAUUUUGCAGUCACUCACGUGAUUCCGUUUUCACAAGUCAGAUUGUAUGUUGAGGCUAUUUGCCUUUUAGUCGCAGAUUAAAUUAUAACACUUAUCUUAAAAUUUAAUACCAUAGACAGAUAGACGAUUUUUUAAUCCAAAGUUUUUUUUAUUCACUUCAGUUAGCAUUUUUUUUUUUCCCCAAAUCAUGCAAGCCGAGAGUUUCAAUCAAGAAUUGGAGCAUGGGAAUGGAAUUUUUGUGAAAACAUAAUGGAUGAACGAACAUUUCAUCUGUGAUCUCAAAGUCAACAGAAUUUUAUUCACUCAAUGACUUUUCAACUGCUGUGGUUAUUUAUGGGUGAAAGAAAGAUAAGGGCAAUUACAAAAAAUUUGCAAAAUUUGUCAAUUUCUUAGAUGGUAGAUAUAUCGACAUUUUAGAUUUCAGAUAUUUGUCACCAAUUUCAUUCCUUUUUUUUUAUUUUUUCAAGCAAGUUUGACUAAUUUUAACCAGAAUUGGAGUAUAAUAUUUUGGAGCAAGCAUACUUGAAAUUUCUGUCUUCAAUAUUUUGAUGCUUUUUUAAUUUUGGAUCUAGUAAAAAUACAUAGCCUUCACCGGCAGGAUUCUAGUCUUGGCUUUCACCUCUCUAACUCAUCCGGCCCCAUUGGGAUUCCAGAAAUUGAAAUUUCUGUCUUCAAGGGGUUUUCAAAGCCUCGCCUCCCUUCGAUUUUUGUGGAUCGGGAAUUGCACAAAUCUUACAUCAUUUCCCGAGGUCGAGGAAAAGAGCGGCCCAAACUUGCUCGCAUCCCUUGGGUUAUGAUAGAUGGAAAAUUCAUAUACGAUCCAGAGUCAGAGGUGUUGAUUCUCUUAUUAAGGUCAGCUGAUUUCUAUUAUCCACUCUGACAAUCUCCUAUUAGUGUUUUUCCCUUUUUUUUUUUCAAAAUUUUGCAGUUCCGUAUAAUUGAAAAUGCCACUCACUUGUUUCCUAUUAGUAUGUUGAGGCUAUUUGCUUUCUAUCGGUGUUUGUUAAGGUAAUUACUCACAGAUGAAAUUAUAACUUUUAUCUUAAAAUUUAUUGCCAUUGACAGAUGGACGAUUUUUAGUCCAAAGUUUUGUUAUUAACUUCAAUCAAAAUUUUAGAUUGCAGAUUUUUGUCAAUUAUUUCAUUUUUUAUUUUUAUUUUAAAGCAGAAUUGGAGUAUAACAUUUGGAGCGCGCAUACUCUGAUGCAUGCAAUUAACUGUUUUUAAUCGUUGGAUUUUGAAAUUAAUGAUGGUAAGAUGUGUACUUAUUUUUUCUUCCGGACAACCUUGCCUUCUUUCUUCGGUAGCAUAUCUAAUGAAUAUUUCUCUGUUUAGUUAAGGAUGAAUGCUUGGAGUGGUCUGAUUCACAACAACACCUCUUCCAGAAAAUAUGAUACAAGGCAAAGCCAUGUUCUGAAGCAGAAAUGAUACAGCAGUUGCGGUACCCGAGGUACCUUUUGCAUUUAACUUGCCUUUAUUUGUUUUGCUUGUGACUUAAGAACACAUCAUUUCCCAGAGAUUUGGAGAAGCAUCUCAAGAUGCUUAACAAACUUGACAAGCUUCAAGAUGCACUUGCUCCCAAGCAUUGAUUCUUCACAAUGGAAAACCUGUGAGUACACUUAUGCCCGCAAUUAUUGUUAAGUGUUUGCAAUUUUGAUGCAGCGAAAUGGUUUGUGGAUGCAAAGCUUUAAAACUGUUAAGAACUACCCUGCAGGCUUGUUGGAUGUUGUAUACUUCAAAAGCCACCAACACCAAGAACUACAACAGCAAGACUAGGUUUGCGUUGCUUCAAUCAGCUGAAAUAAUGAUGCAAAUGACACUAUCAAGCUGGACUUAGAGACUUGUCAGGUCAAUCAUCCAUUUCAUCAACAGUUAAUGUCAUGAUGGUGGCUAUCAGAGGAAACAAAAGAUCUGUUGGAAUCAAUUCAAACAGUGAGAAGCAUGAGAGGAGCAUUGAUUAUAAAUAGGCUCAAUGAGCUCAUGCUGGUAAGUGGUAAUUAAGAAAUUUGUGAGCUUAGUAUAGUUUCAAUUUUUUUCUGUUUGGGAUAUAGUUGAUAAGUUGAUACUCUGAUUAAGAAGCCUGAUUAUAGUAGCUGACUGUGCUAACUGCGUUCUUUUAUUUUUUAUUUUUUUGGUUUGCCGUCGUUUUUUCUUUUGAUUAUUUGUUCAACAUUAGAUUGAUCUGUUGAAGACUACGAGGAAGAUCCAGACUUGGAUGCAGGCGUGCAGCUCGUAAUAGGUGAGAACAAAUGAAUGCUUUAACCAUGUUUCUCACUUAUGACAAUGCACGGAUCAAAGGCAUCUGAGUUGAUCCUGAAAAUGUGAUGGAAAUAGGUCUCUGUUUUCAUAAAACAGAACAAAUAGAGAUCUCUGAUCACGCCUGAGAAUUCAUUGCAUUGAAAUUUCUACCAUUGGCAAACAUAGAAUAAACUGGGGAUACAUUAGCUUUAGACUCUAUUUUGAGGAGGAAGUUUGUACUUGCAGCCUAUAAAAUCAUAUCCCUGUUGUAUGUUUCUUUGGGAAAUGAAAGAUUCUGUGUGUUCUUUUAUUUCAAGUUUGCUGAAAUCACAUUUGUUUUCUAAGAUGCUUUACAGAAGGUACCAACAUCAUUUUCAAAAAUGCUGGGGUAAGAUACAUCGUGCAGUGCUCCUCAACAUGAGAAUUCCUGGCCGCAUUACCCAUAUGUGGAAUGAUCUGAGAGUACAACCGUGAGAAUGUUGUAAGGAGUACACAACCAGAUGUGAGUAGUUUGAAAAUGAAUUCGCAUGGAAUGAUUUCUUGCCAGUGCAGAAAUGGCUUGGUUCAAAAUAUGCUCAGCUUCAUUGACACUCUUCGGUAGGCCUCUCCGUCCUUCCAUUCUUAACUACAAUACUACUCUUGUCUGUCUAGUUAUGGAAUCUCUCUUUUAAUCCUCAAAGUUUGAAUUAUAUUAUAUUGCCUCUGUGUUACCGCAGAAACUGAGUCAGUUGGUGAUCCUUCAAAACAAGAAAAACCAAAAACAGAUACAGCGCGCGAUAAGAUAAUGAGACAGAUGGCUCCCGUUGCUGCAUGCCACUUGCUUGUGUGCGUAUUGGGACCAUCAUCAACAACAUUGACGUAAACCCAGCUCAAGGUGGGAAGCUAGUUCGAGCUGCAGGGACGUUAACCAAGAUUUUGAGAAAGAACCCACUUCAAGGUGUUGCUUAGUUAGGCUACGUUGUGGAAAUGAGAAAGUGAUUGACCCUAGAUGUCGCGCCACCAUUGGUACAGUGUCUAACCCCAGCCAUGGAGCUAAAAAGCUUAGUAAGGCAGGUCAGAGAAGUUGGUUGGGUCGAAGAGCUGUGGUUAGAGGAGUAGCCAUGAUUCCAGUUGAUCACCCUCAUGUUGAACAAAGCAAAAGUAGCGGUAACAAUGGAAGGUGUUCACUCACACCUUGGGGCAAGCCUUGUAAGUCUGGGAAUUAAACUGCAUCUCCUAAGAAGAAAGAGAAAUCAGCUGUCUGAUAAUAUUGUCCUUUUCUGCUAUUUGGUCUUUUUAACAUUGUUACACUGUUUUUACAUCUUUGAGGUUAGUUUUAGACCAAUUUUUAACUGAUCCAUAAUGAAACUGAAGUUUAAUUUUUGAUUAAACUUUCACUGGUUUUACUCUUCUGUCACUUCAAUUUAGCAUUGAUUUAAGAUACUGAAUUCUGUGCUUGGAGCUUGUAAAUUGGAAAGAGAUAUUUUGGGAUAGAAUGUAGAUUUUGUGUUUUGCUUUCUCAAGCUAGUUGUGACUUCUUAAAAGAGUCAAUCCAUGUCUUUAUAUAUUUUUCUUUUGUCUUGAUUCUGUUUCUUCAUACAGAUUCUUAUUUUAUGCUUCACAUACCACAUGAAAGAUGAAAGCCUUUUCUGUGAUUAGAAUUGACUUGCAUUAUAGUAACUUUAAACCACUUGGAUAUUUUUAUAAUAGCAGUCUGAGAUCUCCUUAAAGGAUUCAAAAGCAUCCACUGGCAUCCACUUUACUCGUAUCGGUCAAAAGUUUUGUGCAAUACAAUAUUAGCUUGACUGUAGCGCAGAGGAGAACAGGUUGGUGUUGGUCUGAAUUCUGAUAUUUGAAUAAAUAUAACAGCUCAUGUGACUCCACCACUUUUUACUUGUUCUGUAGUCUGUACCUACCUCCAUUGUCGGCACUGCCCAUACAAGGUCUUUUAGCUUUUUAAAAAGUUUCAUGAUAUUCCAUAGUUCACAUGGAUUUCUACAGUUUGUAGAAAACCUAAUUAGGGCACAUUUAAUUACUAUGCAGAAGAUUCUUUUAUCUUGCUCACCAAUAAUUCUUUGUACUUAUUUGAAAGAUGUGUUUCAAAAAAAUAAAAAAAAACUAUUUGAAAGAUGAGAAAUCCCUUAGCCGAACGACAAACUCAUCUAUCAGUCCUAUCAAAAAAAAAAAAACUCAUGUUUUAGUGGUUUUUUUUUUUCACUUGUAUUCAGUCGCACAAGUGAAGAUUGUGGGCAAUUUUUUCCUUGAGUAAAAUUGGAAUAGAUGUUUUUAUUGACACAAAUUUUUGAGCUAUGUUUGGGAAACCCUUAGACUUAAGACUUUGUUACGAUGAUAUGUAUCUAAGCUUUCAACAGACCGUUGAGGUCUUAUUAUCAAAAUACUAGAAAUUUACAAUUCAAUUUUGGUAAGGACCAAUUUAAUAAUGCUGUAAUUUUUAAAAUAAUUACCGUUAACUGUGUUGUAAAAAUAAUCAAUUAUGAAGAAAAUUAAUUAAACAUUUAGUAAACUUUAUUUUUACAAGUGCUUUGAAUUUUAAAAAUAGUCAUAUGUGUUCAGAAAAUCUCACUUCUAAAAUAGUAUAAGAAUGGAAAAAACUUAAAAAGACAAAUGUAUAAUAUUUAUUUACACAUGCAUUUAUAAAUAUGUGUAUAUAAUAACAUUUUAUGUGUACAUAUAAUAAUUGAUAACUAAAAUAAAUAUUUUUAUUUAUUAAUUAUUUUUUUGUCUCAAUGUAAUUGGUAAUACUUUUUUUUAAUCUUCUCAUCCUAAGUUUUUUUAUUGUUUUGUACAAAAUUCAAGGUUUGGACUUUUAUAAAAUGUCCACUCAAAAAUAAAUUGUUUUCUAACUAAGAUUUGUUGCUAAUGUAUAACUCAAAGUAAUACUAGCUAUUUGUAAUUUUAUUUCAAAAUUUUUAUUCAAAUGAUAUGGUAACUAAUGUACAUUAGUUGAUAGCAAUUUUUUUUUUUUUACAAUAUUCAAAUCAAUCAAUUGCAUCAUCUCAACAUUUUUAUGAUGUCGUGUUAUUUUAAACGAAUUUUUUAUUUUUAUAUAAAAUUUAUUAUGUUUAACAUCAUUUGCAUAACUUGACCUUUUUUUUUUCCUACAAAUAUUAAGUCAAAUUUACUCACCCUAUAUUUCUAUCUAAAAUCUACCUAAAACUCAUGCAUCACUGUAAAACAAAUCCAAAGAUUGCGGUACGUUUUUCUUGGUAACAAAUCAAUAAUUAGGUCAAGUACUACUACUAAGCGUGCUCAAUUAAUUCUAAAAUACUACGGUGAUCAAAAUCAUACUUGACGCAAGAGGAUAAGGGCUAAACCUCAAUUAGGCAUUAUUCAUCCAAAAUUCGUUGACCCGGCAUUCUUUGCAAGUUGUAGCACGGGACAGCUAAGAUUAGCAAAUGCUGUGGACCAUAUGCCCCCAUACAUUUGUGACAUGUGAAACUUGGCAUUAAAGGAAAGGCAACGUGUUAAAAUUUAAUAGCGCCCAAUUCUUCAUUGAAUGAUUAUCAGAUCCAAUGAGCAUCCUUUGAUUGGAUUAUUUUAAGUCAAUUAUUGGUGGAUUGGGGCCCACUUGACUCUACCAAAUCGGGCUCCACCAUAUCACCUAUUAACGACCACCUGUCCUUAUCAUAAAUAGCAAAUGUCACUUGUUUUAUUUUGUAUUUUACCAAAAGCAAAGUCACUAUGAACCCAAAUGAAAGUGACCCCAAUUUUGGGGGUCAUGAGCUUUGGAUUAUUAUGGACACAAGAGACAAGCGCAAAGUUUCUCAUUUAUCACCGGAUAAGAUUUAAGUUAUCAACCCAACAUUAAUAAAUUCUGCUUAAAGUAAAGUUUGAAGCUUCAUUUUGCGAAUAUUCAAUGGUUAACAUUUAAGUAAUUAACCUGAUAUUAAUCCAAUUAAACUUUUUAUGUAAUCCAAGUCAAAAAUAUGUUGAUAAACCUAAAUUAAUCUAAUUGGACAUAUUAUUUCAACUUGAAAAGGCGAAUCUAUCAUUUUUCAAUUAAUUUUGAAUCAAGCUAUGUAAAAUAUAAGCUUAUUAAAGACAUAUUUUUAUCAUGUUAAAAUAUCGAAAUACUUCUUACUCGUUUCGUAAUAACAUUAACAAACCUUUUGGUAAAUUUGACAGUCCAAUCAAUUCAGUUGGUUUUUUGUUAUUGAAACUCCAACAAAAUUCAUCACGAUUAUUAAAAACCCAUUAAAAAAAAAUGAAGGUAACUAUUUAAAAAAUUCUAAUUGAAUUAUUUAACAACUACAUUUCAACUAAAUUGUGUUGCUAAUUAACUUCCUCAACUUAAACUAUAUUUUUCUCAAUUAAUUCAUAACAAAUAAUGUUAGAUAUUUUAUUCGAAUAAUAACAUUCAACAUCCUUAUUCUUUAUGAUUAUUGCAUAAAAACAUAUUUUAUCCAUUUACAUCACAUAUGUUCCUAAAUUGUAUAAGAAAAUCACCAAAUUUACUCUUGUAAGUUACUAUAUCAAUGAACAUGAAAUUCACUAAUCAUUAAAGUCUCGGAAUGACAUCAUGAGAGGGAUUCAGUUACAUUUAUUGAUAGGAUUAGAUAUAUGUCUUCUCAAAUAUUAGUAGGAGCAAUUUAACAGAUGCAGCUACUAAAAAUAUAGAAUUACUUAUCUCGUCAAUAACUAACGAUAUUUUUUAUCUAUGCUCAAUAAAUUGUAAUAUUUGUAGAUUGUAACAAUUGUUAAAAAAAAAGAGCUCCCUGAGACUAAAUGACAAAAGGACUGUUUUGAAAUAGAUAGAUAAAAUAUGCCCUUAUUUGAGAAAAUGUAAAACACUAGGGAUCUAAAUGUUAUUAUAAUCCCAUGCACAAAAAUACCAAAAAUAACUAAUAACAACUAACCGAAAAUCCCAGGCGUCAUAUUCCUUUUUUCCGCGUUUUAAAAUGCCCUCUGAUUCAUUCACAGUCAGACGCUGUCGGCAUUUCUCUUCUCUCCCUCUCUCUCCACGUAUUAAAACAUGUAAAGUACGGAAAAAUUUAAAAAAAAUUUUAAAAUUACAUAAUUUAAAAGAUAUAAAAUUAUAAAUUUUUAAAAUUAUACGGUUUUAAAAUUUUUUUAAAUUUUUUCGUAUUUUAAAAUUUCAGACUAAAAAAUUAUUAUACGAAUACUUCGUAUAACCGCUUUGCGCUUAAAAUCUGUGCCUAACAAACUCACGAAAUCACUCCUCAUUUUCCUCUCUCCCUCUCCUCCUCUCAUUCCCUUUCAAAUCCUUCCACCACCUUCCCCGCCUCUCUCUCUUUCUCUCUCCCCUCACCGCCACAGCUCAACUUUUCCAUGUAAACCACCACGGGCGCCGUCGUUUCAACCUCCCACUCAUCCGACGUCGUUUUGUGUGAAUAAGAUAACGAUUUAAAUUAAAAUACGAAAAUGGAGAACUUAACGGCGCAGUUGAAGCGAGGGAUAUCGCGGCAGUUCUCGACGGGAUCGCUGCGGCGGAGCCUGACGAGGCAGAUGUCGAGGCAGUCGUCGUUCGAUCCGAGGAGGAAUAACAUGAGGUUUAGCUUCGGGAGGCAGUCGUCGUUGGAUCCGAUACGCAGGAGUCCGGUUCAGGACGAGUUGACGGUGCCGGAGAACCUUGACUCGACGAUGCAGCUGUUGUUUAUGGCAUGCAGAGGUGACGUCAAGGGAGUCGAGGAUUUGCUGAACGAAGGCAGUGAUGUCAACAGCAUUGAUCUUGACGGACGGUUUUGGCGAGAAAUCAAAGAAUUAAGAGACAAUAUUUAGUUAAGCUAAUAGUAUUUGUUCUGUUUAGUACGUCGUUUUACCAACAAGCAUCCCGGCAUUGCACGCAUUAAUAAAUUUUUUUUAUCUGUUUGGACUGAUGGUGGUAAAAAAUUCCACAUACUUUAUAUUAAAAAGGAAAAAGGACAAACACACCCCUAACGUCAACUUGGAGGGGGGUCGAUUCCGAGCUCAAGAAGUGGGAAAGAAGAAAGCUGAAGAUGAUUCAGGCGGUGCUCAAUGGUGGGUAUGACGGCAAAAAUAAGUUGGAGGUUUUCUAUGAAUUUGAACAUCUAAGAACAUUCUUCCCAUUACACAUAAGAGGUGGCUCCAAAACUGGUUACAUAACUCGUAUGGUUCUAACUGAUUUGUUGCCGAAGUUUAAAAGGUUGAGGGUGCUAUCUUUACAAGGAUACCAUAUUGGACCAAUUCCAUUUGAAGAUUUGAGACUUCAAAGUAUAAUUACCCAAAGUGUAUACAAUAAAAGCCAAAUUUAAGAAAUUCCUGAACCUUGCUGACACUGACAUAAGAAGUUUACCAGAGUCAACAUGCUCAAUGUUGAACUUGGAAAUUUUGAUAUUAAGAAAUUGUUUCCGUUUGAUGAUACUCCCACCCAAAAUGAGGAACUUGGUUAAUUUACACCCAGACUCUUUUCUUUUGACAUGGGGUUAACGAUCAAAGUUGGUUUCGUGCGGUAUAUAUUUACAAAUUGAUAGGUAUGCCUGGUGUUGAUGCAGGAUUCCGGUUCUUCUCGUUCUACGACCAGGAUCUCUGCUCGAUCAACUUCGUCACGACCAGGAGGUCUCCUCGCAAGACUUUUUCUCCAGAGAUUCCUGCGCACACAGACAAGUCAGAGUACGCCGGUUGUUUUCCCGGCGCAAACCCUCCGACGCUCAAGUCAGAUAUGAAGGUUCGGGGAACGCUUGCCACCGAUCUUAUGGCUUUUUCGUGGUUUUCUCUUCUUUUUAAUUCCUUUUCUAAUGAGAAAAAUGCCAACCCUUUUACCUCGUCGGCUACCUUUUUAUAGGCUUCCUCUGAAUCCCAGUUUUCCGCUCUUUUCGAGACGGUAUGGGACUCUGACUGCUGUGUUAUGGGCAAACGUGGGAUCUUGCGUGUUACGCCACCGUUCUGGGAAAAGCGCGGCAGUCGUGGUUCUGUGAGAUCUUGCGUGUUACGCCACGGUUCUGGGGAAAGCGUGGCUGUCGUGCUUAGGUUCUCGGGCUGGAGAGCAUGUCUCGUCAACUGCCGUCGACCGGGUCUCCUCGCCUCUCGACCUCUAGCCGGAAUGACCUUAUGCCUCUUACAGGAAAUUGGCCUCGCGGAUGACCUGCUCGUGGACGAGCAGGAUAUUUCUGCUCCUGUUCCCCCGCGUACCAGGCUUUUACGGGACACACCGGUUCGCAGAACUCUGCCAUCAGAUAUCUGCUCACCGUGCCUGGUCUCGUCGACGUAUUUCUCCCAAACACCGGUCCCCCAGUUUCUGGUGUUGGGUAAUGUAGUGGACCAGCAGUAGAAACUCGUUAGUACUCGCCCGCGUGGGAUUGGAAAAGGCUGCCAAGAGUCAUGUCGCAUUUAAUUGCGGACGAGGUGACGUGGCAGAAAUCCCCCCCUCCAUUUGAAUUUCAAACCGACGGUUAUGAGAUCCUCGGGAUUCAGCGCCGUUAAAUGCUGGCAACCCAAGAGUCCGUCCUCAUUAGGAAAACCAAAUCCUCUCGAACGGCAUAUUCGUCAUUCACUCCGUCUCCGUCUCUGUCUCCCCGGCAAAGAGGUUCCGGCAUAAAAGCCCUCCAUCUCUGAUUUUCACCGACUGAACCGUUACUUCAGGUAUUUCUUCUAUCUCCUUGGUCUCGGAUAGUUGUAGAUAAUUUCUCUUCUCUUCUGUUGGGUAGUAGUUGGUGGUGUUGUGGUUAGAGCUUAGGGAAUGUCGAAAGGCAAAGAGAAGGUCAUUGAGGUUGGUGACGACGAGUUGGACUUCCUGCCUAGUCUGCUCACCGAUCCUGCUUUUGACCCCGGGAUCCCCUUAGAGCCCAUUAGGUCUAGUGUCGGGACUAGUGCUAGGAGGAUGUCUCCCCAAACAACCUCUACGAGCGGAAGUAAUGGUGAGGAGAGAUCUUCUGGCUCCGAGGAUACUUUGAGUGAGAAUGGCGAAGGUGACUCUGGUGAGGUGUCUCCAUCUGGAACAUCACGACCAGAAGAACGGGGUAUAGUAGGAGGCAGAGCCUUGUCGCGCGAUUAUGCCAUUGAUUACAUGACGUGCACGACCUCGUUUGACGAGCUCAAUGACCUCCGGCUUAGGUAUAGCAUUCCUGGUGAGAUACCUCUCAAGGUCCCAGGAAAGAAGGAUGCUCCCAGCCGGCCUCCUAGGGGAUAUGUUACCCUGUAUCUGGACAGCUUUAAGUACGGGCUGAGGUGUCCCUUGCAACCUUACUUUGCCCGGAUACUUAACGGGCUAAAUCUAGCUCCUGGUCAGCUGAAUCCCAAUGGGUGGAGAGUGCUCUCUGGUCUGUUCAUAUUGUGGGACAGAUGUUGCCAAAGCGAGCCCACGGUUGAUGAGGUGAAGCACCUGUACCAGCUAAAGAGCAGCCCCAAAGAUGCCGUCUGGUACUACUUCCAAUCUAGCACCAAGAGCAGGAAACCUAUAACCGACCUCCCUACUGGUGGUGGUGGGAAUUGGAAGAGAAAAUUCUUUUUUGCUGGGGGUCCUUGGGGUCAGGUUGCACAAAUGGACGGGAAGGAUUAUCGGGUCCCACCCCGUUUCACGGUCCCAGGUUGCCUGCUCGCUUUAGAUGUCUUGUAUCCACAAUUGUUAUUGCUUUAUUGGCUUGUCUCUAACCAAGUGUCUGUUUGCGUUGUAGUUUCUUGGGGUGUUCACUUCCCGCUCCCACCUGACCAGCUCAAACGGGUCAAGGCUGUGCUCGCCAAUUCCUGCUCGAGUCGAGAACUGCUAACUACAUACAACUUGCUCGAAUCUCGCUUGAUACUUCCUGGCCAUAGGAUGGAGGACGCCGUGAUUGGGGCUCUGACCCGAAAACGUUCUCGACCUCCAACCACGAAGAGGGACCAGGGUAAGGAUGCCCCUGCUGCAAAGCGGGCCAGCAUCGUGCAGCAGGUCCCACCCUUGGAGAUUUUACCUCCUGCUCCUGAAAAAGUCGGGGAAGCUAGUGGAGCAGCCACAGAUCCUGCUUCCUCAUCUGUUCCUGUCGGGCCUCGAUCUCGCUUACCUGACAGCCGAGCAGAACACCUGGUCCCCUACCUCAAUGAGUUGUCUAAACUCGUGAGCAAGAAGGACCUGGAGGACUUCGACGGCUGCACCUUGGGUGAGCUGGUGGGGGCCAUGCAGCAUAGCGCUUUCCACCUCAGCUGCAUGACCACCUAUUACAAGGCUAAGGUUGGUCGAUACGAUCGGAAAAUGAAGGGGGAUAUUCAAUCGGCGACGACCAGAGCUGACAUUGCCGAGAAGAAAGCAGGGGAGCUGAACCUCGAGAAUCUGAAGCUGAUAGAGCAAGAAUCACUUGCUCAAGCAAAGACCAUUACCCUCGAGGAGGAGCUUACCAAGGUCAAGGAGGAUCUGCAAAGGCAGAAGGCUAUGUAUGAGGCCCAGCUCGAAUCUCUCCGGGACUCCAACCGAGCUCAGGUCGAGAACUUGGAGAGGGAGGCAGAGAAUCAGUACGACCAGGGACUUCGGCAUUCCUAUCGUUGCAUCAUGGCCGUCCUCGGGAAGCAACACCCUGAUCUGAAGAUGGAUGACCUUGCGGCUGGUGUUGCCCAACAUAUGGACGAGGAGGCGGCCAAGGAAGAUGCUGAAGGGGUAGAGCCGAUCGUGAUCGAGGAGGAAAGCUCUCCUCCUCGUGCAGUCCCUGCUGAUGUUGGCGAGGCGAGCACCCCUCCGGACGCAACUGGCGAUACCCCUCCCGCACCUGAGGAGGUCCAGUCAACCGAUGCUGCUCGGCUCACUGAUCUACCAUCUUUUUGAUAUAUUUCUUUUUGUAUUGUAAUAAACAACGUUUAUGAAAUUUAUCCCCUCUGUUAGCCAUUAACACAUUAAUAAAGAUGUUUUUUGAUUACUUUCUCGUCUUGUAAUCAUCACUUAUUUUCCGUUUGGGAAUCUGCUCGUCUCGUCUGGUCGAGCAGGUUCUGGUUUGGCAUAUGGUUUUGCAACAUGCCUUAGAAAAAUUUCUUUUUUUUUUUUUUUUUUUUUUUUUUUUUUUUUUUUUGCUUGGGGAUUCUGCUUGCCUUCGCGUGGUCGAGCAGGUCCUGGCAUGCUUGGCUUCAGUCUCGCCAUAAAAAGGCUUUGAGACUUGGUGAGGCCUUUGCAUGCCUUAGAAAACUUUUUCGAUGCUUGGGGAUUCUGCUCGACUUCGCUCGGUCGAGCAGACCCUAGCAUGCUUGGCUUCCGUCUCGCCAUAAAAAGGCUUUGAGACUUAGUGAGCCUUUGCAUGCCUUAGGUGGCUUCUUCAAAGCUUGGGAUUCUGCUGCCUUCUCGUGGCCGAGCAGAUCCGGGCAUGCUUGGCUUCUGUCUCGCCAUAAGACAGGCUUUGAGACUCGACGAGCCUUUGCAUGCCUUAGAUGGCUUCUUCGAAGCUUGGGAUUCUGCUGCCUUCUCGUGGCCGAGCAGAUCCGGGCAUGCUUGGCUUCUGUCUCGCCAUAAGACAGGCUUUGAGACUUGACGAGCCUUUGCAUGCCUUAGAAAUUUUCUUGGUUUCAAGCGAAAGGAAUUCCUCGACGUUCCAUUAAUGGCAGGAUUCGGCUUACAUGAACUUGUUUGGACAUAAAGCGUGAAAGAUAAACGAUAAUGAUCAUGAGCAAAAAUAGCUUUCAGAUGUGAACAAAUCUUACUGGAAGUAUUUUCGGAGGUGUGCUGCGUUCCAUGGGCGUUUCAGCUCGUGGCCGUCCGUGCGAACCAGCUUGUAAGCUCCGGGUCCCGCUAUCUGCUUGACUCUAUAUGGCCCUUCCCAAUUCGGUCCCAGCACUCCUUGAGUCGAAUCUUUGGUGCUCUGAUUCACUCUUCUCAGUACCCAGUCUCCGACCUUGAAUUGCCGUAUGUUCACCUUCUGGUUAUAAUACCGAGCAACCCUCUGUUGGUAAAGGGCUGAUCGCUCGGCUGCUUGCUCCCUCCUUUCCGUUAGCAGAUCAAGAUUCAAACAUAUCUGCUCGUCGUUCUCCUGCUCGUUGAAAUGACCUGUCCGGUGUGUGGUCGUUCCUAUCUCAGCCGGCACGACCGCUUCAUGUCCGAAAGCCAAAGCGAACGGUGUCUCCCCAGUUGCGGUUUUGUGGGUUGUUCUGUAUGCCCAUAGCACACCUGACAGCUCGUCAACCCACGCACCCUUUUUUGCUCCAAGCCUGGUUUUCAAAAGCCUCUUGAUGGUCUUGUUGGCUGCUUCUACUUGUCCAUUCGAUUGAGGGUGAGCAGGCGAGCAAUACUUCAGCUCUAUCCCGAGGUUCUGGCAGAAAUCCCUGAAGCUGUGAUUAUCGAACUGCCUGCCAUUAUCCGUUACCAAGGCAUAAGGGAUCCCGUAUCGACAGACCAGGUUUCUCCACACGAAGUCUGUUGUUUUCUUCUUUGUGAUCCUGCUAAGGGCUUCUACCUCUAUCCACUUCGUGAAGUAAUCUAUAGCAACUAUUGCAUGUGUUGCUGCUCCUUGUGCCUUUGGCAAUGGGCCGAUCAGAUCAAUUCCCCAUUGAGCAAAUGGCCAAGGGGAGGCCAUGGAGGUGAGCUUCUCUGGGGGUUGGUUAGAGAAAUUUGCAAAACUCUGGCAGCUUACACAACUCCUGGUCUUCUCUUGCGCAUCCUGGUGCAUUGUCGGCCAGAAAUAUCCCUGCCUAAGAACCUUGUGGGCCAGGGACCUCCCGCCAGAAUGAUUUCCGCAAAUUCCUUCAUGUACUUCUCUCAGUACGUAAUCCGCGUCGUCCUCAUCCAAACACCGAAGGAACGGUAGUGUAUAUCCUCGCCGAUACAGCGCCCCAUCAAUCAUCGUGUAUCUCGAGGCCUGGGCUCUAAUCUUGCGAGCUCGCAGCUUAUCUGGUGGUAAUACUCCGUCUCUAAGGUAUGAAACUAUCGGGUCCCUCCACGAGCAUUUUUGUUCUAUCCGCAACACCCCCGAAUUCUGAUCGAUACUUGGGCUGGACUUCACCUCCAGAGGGACCGACUUUGGCAUUUUUGGGUCGGCUACUGCUGCCAUCCUCGCCAAAAUGUCUGCUCGACUAUUCUGCUCCCUGGGGAUCUGUACCACCUCCACUGCUUCGAACUUCCCCAUCAUCUGCCUGACUAUCUUCAGGUACUGCUCCAUCUUCUCCUCUCUUGGUUGGAAUCUUUCACUGACGUGAUUCGCAACCAGCUGGGAAUCAGUUCUGAUCUUAACUCUGUCUUCUUUCACGGCCUUAGCCAAUUCCAGACCUGCUAUCAAGGCUUCAUACUCUGCCUGGUUAUUUGUGGCUGCAAAUUCCAACUUUACAGCAUAAGAGAUCUCCUCCCCCUCAAGGCCUUCCAGGACAAUCCCUGCUCCUGAACCCCGCUCCCCUGAUGACCCGUCCACAGACAUCUGCCAUACUUGAUUUUCGUCAUUGCCUAUAACUGCAUCCUGUUGAUCUGAGCAUACUUCGGGCUCUGUGAAUUCAGCUACGAAAUCGGCCAUUGCCUGGGCUUUUAUCGCUGCGCGGGGUUUAUAGUCUAUGUCGAACUCGCUCAGCUCUACAGCCCACUUGACGAGCCGACCAGAGGCAUCUGGCUUGUGCAGAGUUUGACGCAAUGGCUGGUUUGUUAUUACCGAGACCGGGAAUGCUUGAAAAUAUGGCCUCAACUUCCGAGCAGCAACCACAAGGGCAAGUGCCCAUUUCUCCAACAGUGGGUAUCUAGUCUCAGCGUCGAGUAGGGCCUUGCUGGUGUAGUAUAUCGGAUACUGAACUCCUUCUUCCUCUCUCACCAGAACAGAACUGGCGGCCCGAUCCGACACCGCCAAAUACAGAUACAACUUGUCCCCAUCCCUUGGUGUGGACAGCAGCGGAGCUUGCUGCAAGUAUUGCUUCAAGUUCUGGAAGGCUUCCUCGCACUCUGGGGUCCAUUCUGUUUUCUUUCCCCUCCUUAUCACUUGAAAGAAUGGCUGACACUUAUCUGUAGCCUUGGAGAUGAAUCUGCUCAACGCCGCCAACCUCCCUGUGAGGCUCUGCAUCUCCUUCAGGUUACGAGGAGACGUCAUUUGCACAAUCGCCUGGAUUUUCUCGGGAUUUGCUUCAAUCCCCCUAUGGCUCACCAUGAAUCCAAGGAAUUUCCCUGACUCGACCCCAAAAGCACACUUUUCCGGGUUGAGCUUCAUCUUAUACUUCCUCAAAAGCUCGAAUGUCUCCUCGAGGUGUCUGACAUGUUCCUUCGGGAUUUUGGACUUGGUGAUCAUGUCAUCCACGUACACCUCCAUGGUUUUCCCAAUCAACGGCUUAAAGACUUUGUUCACCAGCCUUUGAUAGGUGGCCCCAGCAUUUUUGAGACCGAACGGCAUUACCCUGUAACAGAACAAACCUUGGUUAGUGACGAAAGCCGUGCUCUCCUCAUCCUGCUCGUACAUGGGGAUCUGGUUGUAUCCCGAGAACGCGUCCAUGAAGCUGAGCAGACCAUGUCCAGCCGUUGAAUCUACUAGCUGAUCGAUCUUUGGUAGAGGGAAGCUGUCUUUUGGGCACGCCUUAUUGAGGUCUGUGAAAUCCACACACAUCCUCCACUUGCCGUUUGCCUUCUUUACCAACACCACAUUCGAUAUCCACUCAGGGUAACUGACUUCCCGAAUGAACCCUGCUCUCAAGAACUUCUCCACCUCGCUAUUUAUUGCCUCAUACAUCUCCUGGUUGAAGCACCUCCUCUUCUGCCUUACUGCCCGAGCACCUUUCUUUAUUGCCAGCUUAUGACAUGCUACCUCAGGGUCAAUCCCUGGCAUGUCUUCAUGUGUCCAAGCAAACACAUCAGAAUGAGCCUGUAAGCAUUUCACCAACUCCUGCUUUUGCUCUCCCUCAAGCCUCGACCCGAUUCUGAUCAUCUUUCCCGGAUUCUCUGGUCCCAGGCUUACUGUUUCCAGAUCUUCUACAGGUUCUUGUCUGCCCUUCUUGUUUUCCACUCGGGUAUCGAGGGAUGUUAUCUGCAUUGCUUCCCUUGCUGCCGAGGAGUAGCAGCUUCUUGCGAUCCUCUGGUCUCCUCGUACCACUCCUACUACCCCAUUCACCCGGUACUUCAGAGCGAGAUAGUGGUUGGACAACACCGCUUUGCUCAUCCUUAAAAAUGGCCGACCUAGGAUCAUCUGGUAAGGACCUUCCUCGUCCACUACGACAAAGUCCAGUAUCAUUGUUCUUUCUGUCAGGGAGCUCCCAAUUGUGAUAGGCAGCUCGACCACGCCCAGAGGGACCAGCUUCCCUCCUCCGAACCCCUUCAAGGAGGUAUUGGUGUAUUCCAACUUUCGGUCGGCUAUUCCCAUCUCUUCCAGGGUUGACUUAAAUAACACAUCAACUGAGCUCCCUGUAUCAAUCAGUAUCCGGUCAAACUUCUUGCUAGCGACAGUAGCCUUGAUGACUAAAGCAUCAUCGUGGGGGUAUAGAAUCCCUUCCUCAUCCUCAUCCGUCCACAUGAUUGGCACUUGCCUGACCCUUGCUCGUUUGGCUGCUGGGGUGUUGAAGAGUACCUCUUUACUGGUCAUGGCGUACCUAGCAUAAUUUUUUCUCGAUCUGUUGGAAUCUCCGGCCAAUGUUGGGCCCCCAGCUAUCACCCUUACUGCGGGCUGCUCGCGCCUCAAGUUUCUACCACUCUGCUCCCCUUCACCUGUUGUGGCCACCAUCGGGAAAGUCCCAUCCAUAAACUCGUCCAGGUACCGAUUUCUCACCAAAUCUUCGACCUGGAUCUUGAGAUCUCUACACUCUGCCGUGGUAUGGCCAUGGGUGCCAUGGAACUUACAAUAACGUCUUCUAUCCCUCCUGUUGGGUAGCUUUGUUAUUGGUGUAGGGAGGUGCAGCAGACCUCGAUCCUUUAUGGCCUCGUACACCUCAUCCAGGGACAUCUUCAAGGAAGUGUACCGCCCAUAGUCCGGGUCCUGGUCGAUCAGGUGCACUGCUCUUUCUCUGUUUGCCCCGCUUUGAGUUGGGGGCGGUGGAAGUAAUUCUGGUCUGCUCGCUCUGCUACCAUGUUGGUGAAGACCACCAGAUGCCGACUCAUGCCUUCUCCAAGGCUCCCUAGCUGGGGAACGAGGAGGUUGCGCCCCGCUGCGCUGAUACUGUGGUGGCCUCUGAUGAGGCUGGUAAGCAGUUACCCGACCUCCUGCUCUACUACCGGAGGCCUGGUGGUCUCUCCUCCUGAUCGGCCCAUUCCCCGGUAAUGCUUUCUUCUCUUUCCUCCCCAACCCUUCCAACUGGUCUGUCUUAAUCCGUGCAGCCUUCUCCUCUUCAAUCUCGAUGUCUCUCUUAGCCUGUUCGUAUGCGGCUGCAUACGUUUGAAUAGCUGGGCUUCUCAAAUUGUACCACAACCUUCCUAUCUUCACCCCUUCUUUCAAUCCCCUUAACGCCUGAGGGUGGUUGAAGGCUCCCAAGUCGAGGACAGCCCGAUGAAACCUCUUGAUGAAUUCCCGAAGGGUUUCUUGCUCCCCCUGUUUCAUGCUUUUCAGCUCCAUCAUGUCGUCUUCCGGUGCCAUUGCCCCACUAAACUGCUCCGCGAAUUCCUGGCACAUCUGCUCGAAGGUUUUAAUGCUGCCCCGAGGAAGUUUCCUGUACCAUUCUCGUGCACGUCCCUCAAGGGAUAGUGGGAACACCCUGCACCUUUGGGAUUGAGAUAAUCCUUGUACCCCAGUUAUGUCGUUGAAGCGCUCUAUAUGCACCAGCGGAUCAGUUCUUCCCGAGUAUCUGAGGUCUGGGAGGCGGAAAUCUCUCGGAAUAACUGCCCUCAUGAUUUCUGUUGCGAGCGGCGAUUCUCCGUCCAGCAUUAUCCUCCAACCAGGGGCUCUGUUCCUUCCUUGCAUGUCGUCAAUUAUCUGCGCUAGUCUGCGCACUUCCCCCUCCAGCUGCAACGCACGACCAGGGUCACGUGCUGCAACUUGAUCCCACUCUUGCUCUACAUCAUGCAAGUGUUGCCUCAACUCUGUUUCCUCUGCAUUCACCACCCCGUCGCCCUCGUCACCAGUCUGUCUUGCUGGGGACUGCUCUCUUUCUCUAUGAAAUUCUCCCUGCAGAGGUACGUUACCUCUCUCACCACCAAAUCUCCCGGGGGUUUGACUUCUCCCCGCACUAUCGGGACCUGGUGCCACUCCACCGCCUCUCACCCUUCCCUCUUGGGUUACCCUUCGCUCGCUCCGCAGCUCAUGCAGGAUGGUUGUCAAGGUCUCCAUCUGCUUUUCCAUCCGUUCCAUCUGGUCGAACAUGACUUUUUCCCGUGCUUCGCUGACUAUCUCCCUCAGCGUCACGGAAUCGUUAAGCCUCCUAUCACCCCCUUGUGCACUACUUCUUCCUGUCUCCAUUGCUUUUCACUUGCUUCACCCCUCUUCUUGCUAUCAACAGAAGCUUUUUGCUCUGGUCCCCACAGACGGCGCCAAAAUGUUGAUGCAGGAUUCCGGUUCUUCUCGUUCUACGACCAGGAUCUCUGCUCGAUCAACUUCGUCACGACCAGGAGGUCUCCUCGCAAGACUUUUUCUCUAGAGAUUCCUGCGCACACAGACAAGUCAGAGUACGCCGGUUGUUUUCCCGGCGCAAACCCUCCGACGCUCAAGUCAGAUAUGAAGGUUCGGGGAACGCUUGCCACCGAUCUUAUGGCUUUUUCGUGGUUUUCUCUUCUUUUUAAUUCCUUUUCUAAUGAGAAAAAUGCCAACCCUUUUACCUCGUCGGCUACCUUUUUAUAGGCUUCCUCUGAAUCCCAGUUUUCCGCUCUUUUCGAGACGGUAUGGGACUCUGACUGCUGCGUUAUGGGCAAACGUGGGAUCUUGCGUGUUACGCCACCGUUCUGGGAAAAGCGCGGCAGUCGUGGUUCUGUGAGAUCUUGCGUGUUACGCCACGGUUCUGGGGAAAGCGUGGCUGUCGUGCCUAGGUUCUCGGGCUGGAGAGCAUGUCUCGUCAACUGCCGUCGACCGGGUCUCCUCGCCUCUCGACCUCUAGCCGGAAUGACCUUAUGCCUCUUACAGGAAAUUGGCCUCGCGGAUGACCUGCUCGUGGACGAGCAGGAUAUUUCUGCUCCUGUUCCCCCGCGUACCAGGCUUUUACGGGACACACCGGUUCGCAGAACUCUGCCAUCAGAUAUCUGCUCACCGUGCCUGGUCUCGUCGACGUAUUUCUCCCAAACACCUGGUAUGACUGCUUAUGCUGGAUUUUAUGAGGUGUGCUCUCCUAAGCAAGGAGAGUGGGUCUUAAUAUGGGCAAGGGUGCAGUUGGUCAGCUUAUGGGGCAGUUUGCAAAGUUACUGGGCUGCUAUGUUGUCGGAAGUGCUGGAAGCAAAGACCAGGUAUACAAACAAACAAUCCGUAUCAGUUGCUUGAUUGUUCCCAUUUUGCUUUCAAAAUAUCUAACUUACAUAAGGAAAAUUUUCACCAUCUCGUCUUUUCUUUGAUUUUGAACGCUAAGAUUGAUCUACUGAAGAAUAGGUUUGGGUUCGAUGAGGCGUUCAACUAUAAAGAAGAUCCUGAUUUGAAUGCAGCCUUGAUAAGGUUAGUAUAUCAGCAAACUACAAAUUAGAAGACAUUUUUUCCUGAAAAUCAAAUAAUGUUUCUAAUUUGACAGGUGGUUUCCUGAAGGCAUUGACAUAUACUUUGAAAACGUUGGUGGGAAAAUGCUCGAUGCGGUGCUGAUCAACAUGAAAAUCGGUGGUCGAAUUGCUGUGUGUGGGAUGAUCUCGCAGUACAACCUUGACGAACCCAAAGGCGUACACAACUUGACGCGUCUUAUUUCGAAACGGGUUCGGAUGGAAGGAUUCCUCGUAUCGGAUUACAAUAAACUCUAUCCGAAAUUUCUGGAAAUGAUCAUUCCUCACAUCAAGGGGGGAAAGAUUGUAUACAUUGAAGACACGGCUGAAGGUCUUGAGAGUGCUCGGGCAGCUCUCGUCGGUCUGUUCUCUGGCCGGAAUCUCGGGAAACAGGUGGUUGCAGUUGCUUCUGAAUGAAUGAAGGAUUUGGUUGUUUACAUCAUGCUUCUACUCGUCCAUUUAUUUAAUAAAAUGGUUACGCUCAAUGAGUGUAAUUUUUAUGAUGCUAAAUUAAAUGUGGAAUGUGGCUGCUGGUUUGAUAAUGUUAAAAGUGCUAAAAAAUUUCAUGUUAGGCGCGGUGUGCGUCUGUAUAUCAUUUUUAGGUACGGGCAUUCUAUCUUUUUUUUUUAAUUAAUACAGACACAUUCUUAAACUGUAUGGUUUAAGAGAGAGUUAAAAAAAACUUUUACCACAUGGUUUAAAAGCGUAUCCGUAUGGAAAAAAAAUGAAAGUCCAUUGGAGAAGAAUUUUAUAUAUAGUCCAGGAUAUUAAAGUGCGGGAAAACUAUAGAGUUUUAAAAACUUAAAAUUUAAAACGUUUAAACUGCACGAUUUAUGUGUUUUUCGAUGUGAUCCCACAUUUUAAAAUUGUGGAUUGGAACAUUUGUCUUUGAGGGAAAAAAAACAAUAACAACAACUUCUUUUGGAGACCGUGGGGCUCAUAUGCAGAUUCAACCCCGAGCUAUACACUGGAUCUGGUGGGCUAGGUUUGAACCCAAAACAAGCUCUAUUCAUUACACGGUUCAGCGGGUUGGUCCAUUUGACGCUUCUAACUUAACAAUUUAAUCAUAAUAAAUUGAAAAAAUAAAAUAAAACCCACGUAUCUAAAUUAUUGUAUUGAGCUAUUGGUGCAGAGAAUAAGUAUAUAUGAGAACAAAAACAACACGAUGUAGUCGCUCGUUUUGUCACUUCUAAAAUCAGGAUUUAGAGCAUCACCAAAAGGCUCUUCAAAUAAGAUUUUAUUACUCAUUUGAAGAGCCACAUCAAUAUUUAAAGCUCCAAAAGACACUCUAAUUAAGAUUCUUCAAAUAAGAAUUGAUUCUCUCUCUUCAAAUUUGGAGAGUUAAUUUCUCCCUCUUCAAUUUAUAUUUUAUUACUUUUCAUUAAAAAAAGAGAGAGAAGUGCUUUAAUUGCUAUUGACUUUUCCUUUUAAAAACUAAUUAUAUGAUUAAAAUAAUAUUAACUUAUUUCUAUUUGAAGAGUCUUUUGGAAAAUAUCAUAUUUUUUCACCCUUCUAUUUGCCACAUAGGUAAGCAAAUAGAUAUUUGAAGAGUAAAAUUUAUAGAGGCUUUUGGAGAUGCUCUUAUGAUAGAGUCAUAGUGUUAACAGUACAUCGGUGUAUAAUUAUUUGUAAUGAAAUUAAUUAAUAUGGGUUUUAUGUUGUCUUUGUCAAUAAUCAAUUAAAUUUUUCGUUUUCAUUUAAAUGUUACUGAUCGAUGAAACAUUUGACUGCGUUCAAGUUAUCUUUUAAUUUUGUGAGAUCCACAUUGUUUUUAUUUCAAAAACAUAAUUUUUCAUAUUAUUAAAAAGCUGUUGCUUGGGCCUAGAGAAAUUGGAUUAAUGAAAUACCUUAAGGGUGUGUUUGACACAUUAUAUUGUAUUAUGUUGCAUUGCAUUAUUUUAUUUGGUGUUGCACUAUACUUUACUAAUUUUUUUGCAAUUAAUUUAAAUUACAUAGUUAGCAAAUAAUAUUUAUUAGUGCUUAGAAAAAUACUAAAUAUAGAAGUCUUAAAUUUUAGAAAUUUAACAAUUUUUUUACUAUAAAUGUUAAAAAAUAUAAUAAUUCUUCAUAAAGAUGGAAGCUUACAGCCUUAAGUUUUUGGAAGCAGAGCAUUUAUUUUUUAGUAUCUUCUAAAUAUAUAAUUUUUGAAAUAAAGAUAUAAGCACAUAAUUUAAUCACAUAGUCUUUAAAUAAUAUAACAACAUAAAUAAAUAGUUAAAAUGUGCAAGAUUAGUUCAAAACUCAUCUUAGGAUGAUAUAAUAAAAGUUUAUACACACCACAAGAUAAUCACAAAAUAAUAAAGUGAUAAAAUUAUUAUAACAUAUUCACUACCAAAAUAAAUUAUAUUAAAUAAUCCAAGUGAGAGUUCUGUAGUUUAUAUAAUAAUAUUAUUUAUGUUAUUAUUAUUAAUUUUAAAUUAAUAUUAUCCAAAUUUAUUCAUACUUAAAUAUGUAUUAUUAGUUAUAUUACAUUAUUUUUACAUAUUAAUUAUUGUAAUAUAAUUAAAUAAUGUAAAAUUAUAUUAUAUUUUUAUAUACUAUUUAAGUAUUUAUUAUUAAUUAUAUUCAAUUAUAAAUUUAUUAAUAAAUUAUAGUGCAAAAAAAAAUAGAAAUAAAAAUUAAUAUUGUAUAAUAAAUAACAUUCUGCUCCCAAUUUCUGGAUUUUAAAUUCCAAAAAUAGUAUUCACGUUCGCCACAUUCAAAAAUCCAACCUGGGCUUGGAGAUUCGAUUCAUCUCAUAGAUUAAUUUUAUAAACUAAUGUUUAGUGAAAAAUUAACCUUAAUGGGUCCUCCUCUCCAGGCCUAAUUCUUAAUUUUUUUUUUAAUUUGGUCCUACUUAAGUGGCUUCUAACGUUACCGUGUCUUUAUUUUGUGUACAGUUGUUUUACUAAUUUGUCAUUUAGUGCAAAUAACAGCACUCAACUUGUAAUAUCCAGUAUCCACAAAUCAGCCACUUCGGCCAAGGCCGAAGUGGUGGGCUGCUGCCCUCACAAUGCUUGUGAGGGCAGCGGUUCUAGCCCCCACAAAAGCAUUGUGGGGGUUAAAUGUUCUUUAUAUUUCCAAAAAAAUCCUUCUCUCUUGCAAAAUGUAAGUGGAGUAUGGACAUCCCUCUCCUGUGAGGGGUUAUUUGUCUGGGCAUGUACUUCAUAGAAUUCAUUGUAAUAAUGUAAGUCCCAAUCAUGUAUAUCUGAUUGUAAAUAUCAGUGUAAUAUCUCUGCUACAAUAAGCAGUUGUUGUAAAUAUCUGUCUGAUGAUUAAUCAGUAUUCAAAAAAAAAAAAGUAUCCACAAAUCAUGAACUCAUUUUUUAGUUCUUUCAUGUGUACUAACAUUCGUACAAAUAUACAAUAAGUUCAUAAUUUAGUCCAAGUUGACGAGAAAUUCUUGACCCACCCCUAAAUAUCUGUCCGCCAAUAGCGUGAAGUGGCCGGCAUAAAUUUAAAGCAGCUGGGACAUUGUAACUCAUCCAAAGAUUGUAUAACAUCUCUUUUUUGCUUUAUCGUUUUUCUCCAGUUGCAUAGUUUCUUAUCCUACCGCUUUAAAAACAAUUAUUCCUAGAAAUUUUCAUUUAUCUAAUGAAUUUUAAGAAUUUUUUCAGCAAACAAUUUUUACUUUUUUUUUUUUUUAUCAUUGAUGGGUAAAGAAAAUAUUAAUGAAAAAUGAGGAGUUAUUGGCUGGUUCAACGGAUUAAUUGCAAUGAUAAAUACAGGGAGGAUUGGAUUAUAUGGCAAAUUUUUAUAGUAAAUGUAAUAUAUAUGCUAACACUUUUUAUUUAUGGCAAAAUAUCUUCCUCUUUUGAGACUUUUCCCUCUAAGAAAAUUGGAGGAUACGACAAUAUAUAUAUAUAUAUAUAUACUAAUAUUUAUCAUUUAUAGAAAAGUAUCUAUCCCACUUAAGAUUUGCCCCACUAGAAAAGGAAAAAAAAAUCCCUCAAAAUAAAAGAGCGAAAUGGAAACAGAACAAAAUUUGAUUUUGUGGAUCUUGUAUUGUGUGAUAAGUCCGGCAUGCAAUUUUGGGCCAGCUUACCGUGCGCAUGGGAGCAUUCACAAAGUAUCUCUCGUCACUAUCGAAAACUUUUAACAGUCAAUACAAAUGCUUCCGUUUCAUCCCAUAAACAAAUAAAAUUCACAUCUGUACACAUCUACUUUGCUUUGCUAGAUAGAGUUCCUCUGCAUUUCCCAAUUGCCUAAAGAGAAGGGGAAAAGAAAAAGAGGGCCAAAAAAUGCCUGAAAUGGUAAGGAACAAGCAAGUGAUAUUGAAGGACUAUGUGUCUGGUUUCCCAAAAGAAACAGACAUGUACAUGACCGAAAGUUCCAUAGAAUUGAAGGUGCCAAAAGGUUCAAAUGGGGUUCUUUUAAAGAACUUGUACUUGUCCUGUGAUCCGUACAUGCGACCAAGAAUGACCUACAUCGAAGGAUCUUAUGUUGAAUCCUUUAAACCUGGCUUGGUUAGUGCACUCGCUCAUGGCCACGCUUUUCAUUUCCAUGGCUUCUUGCUCUUUUGUUAUAGAAAAUUUAUUUUUGGUUGCAGUUUGGUUCGACUGCUAAAAUCUCGUGCGAUAAUUGUAUAAGAUAUCUAGAGUUUGAACUUCUUUCACAUUAGGGUUCAAGGAAGUUAACUUAAAUGAUUUUCAAAAUUUUAAAUGUGUACCAAUGAAUUUAAUUUCAUAGCUUAAACUUAUUGUUUGAUCAUACUCUAACUUUGGACAGGAAAAUUAUAUUUUUCCUUUUGUUCUUUGACUUCGUGUAUGUUGUGUGAAGUACUUGUGCUUGAAAAUGAAUUGCUGACACAGAAAUUUCUAUGAAUGCAUGCAGCCCAUAAGUGGAUAUGGGGUGGCUAAAGUUUUGGAUUCAGAGAAUCCAGAGUUCAACAAAGGUGACUUGGUUUGGGGAAUGACUGGAUGGGAAGAGUAUAGUCUCAUUACGGCUCCACACUUGUUUAAAAUUCAGCACACAGAUGUGCCUCUUUCUUACUAUACUGGAAUCCUCGGUAAACUUUUUGUUUGCGCAAUUUAUGUGAGCAAAUUGUGUCUUCUUUUUCAUAUGUAAAUGUUUUUGAUAUCUUGAUGUGAAGGUAGAAAAUUGCAUGUUUUGAGUUUUUGCAUAUUUGAUGGAAACACAGAACCGUACCUGAAUAUUUCAGAACCCCCUUUUCUUUGAAGUUUGAACACUUUUCUUGAAUGUAUCAACUUUAUUUAUGGGAUAUGUUGCCAAAUUGGCAAAUCUAUUCGUUAUAAAACUUUCCUUUGACAGUUUAAUCUAAGCAGAUGUUAAUUCUGCAAAUAGAGUGUGCCUUAGUUUAGAUUGAUAGAUUUGUCUCCUUCUGUACAGUAAAAACUUUGAGCAUUUUCGCCAUAUUCUGAUCAAUACACUCCAACUAGUUAGUUCUUGAGGCGUUUCCUGGUUUCGUGGAGUGAGCCAAGAUGUAUACGUUUGCAAAUUGGCAAUGUCUUUUGCUUGAUGUGUUGUGAGUUGUGAGUGUCAAUAGGAAAGUUUCAAAGUGCGCAGUGCUCACUUGAGCACCCAUAUUACUUGGUGACCUGUUGCCUCAGCAAACAAGACCUCUGUUUUAUGAACUCCAAAAAGUUAUUCUGUUAAAAAGAUCGAGACAGAGGCCAUACUAUAUUUAUUAUUGCUAUAAAAGUGUCAAACAAUAUUCUUUAUUUAAUAUUCUAAACGAUUGAGCCAUUUAGUUAUGAUACUCUGCUGUACUGGGGCUAAUAAUCUAAGUCGGUUCAAAGUGGUAAAUUUAUAAAUUGAUAGGUAUGCCUGGUAUGACCGCUUACGUUGGAUUUUAUGAGGUCUGCUCUCCUAAGCAUGGAGAGUGCGUCUUCAUAUCAGCAGCAUCUGGUGCAGUUGGUCAGCUUGUGGGGCAGUUUGCAAAGUUAUUGGGUUGCUAUGUCGUCGGAAGUGCUGGAAGCAAAGACAAGGUAUGUAAUCUGUGUGAACUACUUGAUUGUUUCCAUGUUACUUUCAAACAUUUAAAUUAAAAAGGAAAUUUUCAUAAUCUUGCCUUUUCUAUGAUUUUCAACACCAAGGUUGAUCUACUGAAGAACAAGUUUGGGUUCGACGAGGCAUUUAACUAUAAAGAAGAAGCUGAUUUGAAUGCAGCAUUGAAAAGGUUAGCAUCAAUAAAUGCCUUAGCUUGAUGCAGCUUGAUGAAGUAUGAUACACAUUUCUGACCAAUAUACUGCGUUCCCUGAUCUCUUACUUGAAAUAUCUUGGUUUGAGAAUCUCAUGCCAAUGCCUUUAACAUUUUGGCAGGUACUUUCCUGAAGGAAUUGAUAUAUAUUUUGAAAACGUUGGUGGAAAAUUGCUUGACGCAGUGCUACCCAACAUGAAAAUCCGUGGUCGAAUUGCUGCAUGCGGUAUGAUCUCACAGUACAAUCUUGACAAGCCUGAAGGUGUGCACAACUUGAUGUAUCUUGUUUCGAAACGGCUUCGAAUGGAAGGAUUCAUUGUUCUGGAUCACUAUCACCUCUAUCCAAAGUUUCUGGAAAUGAUCAUUCCUCACAUCAAAGAAGGGAAGCUUGUAUACGUCGAAGACAUGGCUGAAGGUCUGGAGAGUGCUCCGGCAGCUCUCAUCGGUCUAUUCUCUGGCCAGAAUGUUGGGAAACAGGUGGUUGCUGUUGCUCCUGAAUGAAGAACAAGUUAGUGUUGUGUGUUCUUUUACCCUUUGACACAAAACUUCAAUGUUAAAGAGAGAAUGCUGCUCAUACUGCUUUAUAAAAUAAUCAAAUGAGUGCAAGUUUCAUGAUAUGUGCUGAAUAAAAAUAUUGGAAAUUAAGCAGCUAGCCUAGCUCCUUCUUGUAGUUGCAGUUUGAAUGAUGCUGCUGCACAACUGCUGCCGAAAAAAUCCUUAAUAGAUGAUUAGCAAGGUUUCAAAAAUAAAAAUAAAUGUUUGUGCAAUGUGCCGAAUAUGACAGCCACAAAGAAAGAGCAUACAAAUUGACUGGUUUUAUGUCUUCUCUAGGAGAAAGCUACAAUACAAGAAAUUGUAUUGAUGCCAUGGACCAAAUUUCUUAUUUAAACUUUUAAUUUUUUUUUAUUAAAAUUACUUAUGUUAUUAUGGUUUAUAUUUUUAGAAAUUCUUUAGAAAUUAAUACAGAACUAGUAGCAAGUUGAGAAAUCUAAUGAAUGGUCGAGAUAUGAUCAUGUUUAUUGAAUUAAAUUGACAAUCAUCAUUUUGAUAAAUUAUUGUUAGGAUAUUUGAUUCAUCACAGGUGUAAGUAACUAAAUGUGCUAAAAAAAAAGUUAAUGAGUUGUGAGUGUUUGAUAUUCGUUUGUUGUAAUUCUUUUAAUAAUUGUUGUGGGAAAAAAAUUAUGGUAAAAAAAUUAUAAUUAUAAAAUAAAAAUUAAUAAUAUAUUAUAAAUAAAAUUUUUAAAUAAUAAUUUUAAUAAAAUAAUAAAUAUAUUAUGAAUUUUUCAUUAUAAAUUUUUAAGUUAAAAUAAUAAAUAUUUAUUAAAUAUUUUAAUAGCACAACUUUUAAAUUAUAACAGUACAAUGUAAAUACCAGAGGUCUUAAAAAAUAAAAUUACAGUCAAGUUUUAAAACUGUUAAUAAUGCUAUUCAUAAAGGCGCUCGUCGUGUAAACAACACAUGGGACCCAACCAAUAAAUGUUUAUGAUCCUCAACUUUCCUCCUCACCGUCCCUGCAAACAAUUCUGAUUUUCUUGUCUGAGAAAAAAACUGAGAAACAAUGGCGGCCGAACAAGAAGCUGUGAGCAAUAAGCGGGUGAUUCUAAGCAACUAUGUGACAGGUUUUCCAAAAGAAUCGGACAUGAAGAUAACAUGUGGAUCAAUAAAACUGGAGGUAGCAGACGGUUUAAAAGACACGGUGCUUUUGAAGAAUCUUUAUAUUUCUUGUGAUCCUUACAUGCGAGAGCGUAUGAGCAAGCUUGAUAGACCUUCUUUUGUUGAUUCAUUCCAUCCUGGUGAGGUUAGUUCAUCACGACCCAUCUCUUGAUUUUUUUUUUUUUUCAUUUGCUUCAAGUUUUGAUGAGUUUCUGAGGUCAUUUGUACGGUUUUGGAAUGUGAACACUAUUAGUGAUUUUGGGGCUGUAACUGUCAUUAAUGAUAUGUAGUAAUUCAAUCAGAAUUUGGAUUUAGUGCUGAUAUGAUCUCUGCUCAUUUUUUAAAAUCUUGUGUCCAGAUGCAUUUUUAUAAUCUUGUACGGUUGAGAUUGUAAGUAGAUUAAUCUACGUGCAGUAUUCUUGUCUAAUGACUACUAACCACAACCUUAUGAGACGAUCGAAACCAAGCUCAGAUCAAUAAUCCAAUUGAGAGAGGGUCCUAACUCAAGCUUAUCGUGUGUAGGAAUAUUUCGGUUAAAUUGUAAUUCUUUUAAUAAUUGUUGUGAAAAAAAAAAAGUUAUGAUAAAAAAAUUAAUAAUUAUAAAAUAAAAAUUAAUAAUAUAUAAUAAAUAAGAUUUUUAAAUAAUAAUUUUAAUAAAAAAUAAUAAAUACAUUAUCAGUUUUUCAUCGUUAAUUUUUAAGUCACAACCACAAAUAUUUACUAAACACUUUAACACCAUAAUUAACACCACAACUAUUGAAUUAUAACUGUACAAUCUAGACGCCAAGAGGCCUUAGUAUGAAAAAAAAAAAUUACAGUUAAGUUAAAAUUCAUCAUACAGAUGUGCCACUUUCAUACUAUACCGGGAUCCUCGGUAAUGAUUUUUGUUACACAAUAAGAUUUGCUUAUAGUAAUAUCAAUACAUAUGCUGCUUAAAUGCUUUCUGAUUUUUUGCCGGCCAUUGUCCAUUUUGCCAGGGAGUCUAUAAUUGAAGGAAUUUACUGAAGGAAUGCUGAUUGUUGGGAAUUUGAUUAUUCUAGGUAUGCCUGGUGUAACUGCAUACGCUGGUUUAUACGAAGUUUGCUUUCCGAAGAAAGGAGAGUAUGUCUAUGUAUCUGCAGCAUCUGGAGCUGUUGGUCAGCUUGUUGGACAGUUUGCAAAAUUAGCUCGUUGCUAUGUUGUUGGAAGUGCAGGAAGCAAAGAAAAUAUAGCACCGUGCCUUCUAGCAGAAUUUUACUUGCUUUAUGUUCCAACUAAGCAUCCAUAUUUGAUCAUGAUAAUUAGCAAGGUCAAUAAUUUUUUUUUGACUAUUUUUUCAACGUAAGGUCGAUUUGUUGAAGAACAAGUUUGAACGAUGCUUUUAACUACAAGGAAGAGCCUGAUUUGGAUGCAGCACUCAAAAGGUCAGCUGCAACAAACGUUUCAACUCUAAUAUUUCAUUUUAAUAUUACAGAGCUUUGGUUGAAGUGUGUGAGUUGAUCCCAGAAACGUAACUUCAUCAGUGUCUCUGUUUUCAAAAAACAGGACAAAUAGAAAUCUGAUUUUGCUUUAAAAUUUCCCAGAUGCUUCCCUCAAGGAAUCGACAUAUAUUUCGAAAAUGUUGGGGGAAAGAUGCUGGACGCAGUGCUACUCAACAUGAGGCUCCGGGCCGCAUUGCAGUAAGCAGUAUGAUCUCACAGUAUAACCUGGAAAAACCCGAAGGCGUUCACAACUUAGAGCAACUGAUCGGGAAACGGAUUCGCCUGGAAGGAUUUCUAGCUGGUGAUUACUAUCACCUCUAUCUGAAAUUCUUGGAACUGGUCAUUCCUCCAAUCAGAGAAGGAAAGAUGCUGUAUGUGGAAGACAUGGCCGAAGGACUCGAGAAAAUUUCUCGUAACUGCUACACAUUAAACGCGUUUCACAUUUCCACUCUCUUUCUAUAAAUAAAUACGCACAUAAAAUUUCUCACCAUCCAAAAACAAAAUCUACAUAAAAAAUGGCGGGUGAAGAAGCAGUGAGCAACAAGCAGGUGAUUCUGAGCAACUACGUGACAGGGUUUCCCAAGGAAUCAGACAUGAAGAUAAUAACAGGCUCAAUAAACCUUAAGGUGCCAGAGGGUUCAAAAGACACAAUGCUUUUGAAGAAUCUUUAUCUUUCUUGUGAUCCUUACAUGAGAGGACGUAUGAGCGAGCUUGAUAAGCCUUCGUUUGUUGCCUCAUUCGAGUCUGGCGAGGUCAGUUACUUCAAUUCCCAUCUCUUGGUUUCAUAAUCUUUUAUGGUUUUAGAAGGUGUUUUAGGGAAACAUUGUGGUUUUGGUUAGUGGGCAUGAGUCUUUGAAGAGAUUAUAAUGUGUAGGACUAUGCAUGCAAUAAUAAGCAUAGGGGAUCUUGUUAGGAGAAGAUUCUCUUAGCAAAAUAAAAACUUUUAUCUUAUCAAAACAUAUGCAGGGAACUUAGUUAUGAUGUCAUGUUAGCAUUAUCUCUGAGGAUUUGAUUUCUUGAUGGGGAAAGGGGAAUUUAAGGUUACAUUAUUCAGCAAUGUUUUUUUUUUAAAAAAUUAUGUUCAAAUUAUGCAGCCUUUAAGCGGAUAUGGAGUGUCCAAAGUGUUGGAUUCCACGCCUCCAAAUUAUAAGAAAGAUGACUUGGGUGGCGUUUGUUUUUUAACUUAAUGACUUAAAGUGACUUAACUUAAUUAAUUAAGUUAAUUAGAGAUGUUUGUUUUUAUAACUUAAUGUGACUUUUUAAAUAAUUUUGACUUAAUAAAAUAAGCCAAUUUUAUUUACUUUUUACUUAAUAGAGACAUCUGAAUUAAGUCAAGUACUUUCUAAUGUCAAAAAUAUACAUGCUUUAUAAUUUAUUUUUCAUGUCUAUCCCAAAACUCACCCAUAGACAUUUACCCCACAUAAUAAUCUCAUCAUUAUUUUUUUAGCCGUCAUGAAAUCCCUCCUCACUUUGGUAUCAACUCCUCAACUAUUGAAGAUCAAAAUUACAUGCGACAACUUCGAGAUGAAUGGCAAAUCAACUGUUUCAAGCAUCUUAUUCGUUUUUUUUCUUUUUUAUAUUAUAUACGAUAAAAUUUGAAAUUUAUGGUAUUUUAUAUAUUAAAAUUCCAAAAUCAUUAUAUAUUCACUUGAAUAUAGUUUUACUUAUAAAUGUUAAAAUAUUGUGAUAUUUAAUAUAUUAUUUAUUUGACAUUCAAAUUUAAUAAGGAUACAAAUGUAAAAGUACAUAUUUUUCAGUUUUUUAAGUUGAAAAAAGCAAACAACUUAAUAAUUAUUUUUCGAGAUUCAGACGAAAAAACAAACAUAUUAUUCAGAUUCAGACAUUCAGAUCUAUUCAGAAUUUAGACUAAUUCAGGUCUAUUCAGAUUUCAGAUAAAAAAACAAACGCCACCUUGGUCCGGGGCUUAACCAGUUGGGAGGAGUUCAGUCUCAUCCAAUCACCACAACUUCUGAUUAAAAUUCUGGAUACAAGUGUGCCUCUGCCAUAAUUAAUUGACAGGUUGCUAUGUUGUUGGAAGUGCCGGAAGCAAAGAAAAGGUGAGUUUGCACCCUUAACCCUUACGCUCUAAAUAAAAACAUAACACCUUCUGAAAGAAUUGUGCAUAGAGAAUUUUGCAUGUCACAUUAUUUGUGUUCUAACUAAUCAUGGAUAUUUGAUCAUUAGUCUAACUAAAACUGACAUAUUACCACCUAGUUGACUGGUCUUUGAGAAAUGUUAGUUGAUAUAUGCUUGAAAUCAUACUUGUUUUAUUAGAUGAUUAUAUUAACCUGCUUCUUUUUCUUUGUGCUGUUUCUCGUUUGAUUACAUUUUCAACAUUAGGUCGAUCUAUUGAAGCACAAGUUUGGGUUUGAUGAUGCCUUUAACUAUAAGGAAGAGCCUGACUUGGAUGCAGCUCUUAAUAGGUUAGCACGAAUGAAUGCUUUAACCAUUUUUCUCACUUCAUUAUUACAAUGCGCUGAUUGAAGUAAUCAGUGUUGGCUCUGAAAAUGUAACGUAUACUUCUCUGUUUUCAUAAAACAGGACAAACAGUGAUCAGUGAUCUCAUUCGUUACAUUGAUAUUUUCUACCAUUGCCAUACAUAGUAUAAACUAGGAAUUCAGUUGCUUAAUAGAUAUUCAUUUCAGAGGGAAAUUUUCACUUGCAGCUAACAGAAUCAUGUUUGUGAUGUAUGUUUAUUUGGGAAAUGAAAGGAUUUGUUGCAUUAUUUUAUUCCAAGUUUGCUGAAAUCAUAUUUGUUUUCCCAGGUGCUUUCCUGAAGUUAUCGACAUCUAUUUCGAAAAUUUUGGAGGUAAGAUGCUUGAUGCAGUGCUACUCAACAUGAGAAUUUGUGGCCGCAUCGCUGUAUGCGGAAUGAUCUCACAGUACAACUUUGAGAAGCCUGAAGGUGUACACAACUUGAUGCAAGUAGUUGGAAAACGAAUUCGCAUGGAAGGAUUUCUUGCCAGUGAUUUCUACCACCAAUAUCCAAAAUUCUUGGAACUGGUUAUGCCGGCAAUCAAAGAAGGAAAGUUAGUAUAUGUCGAGGACAUAGCUGAAGGCCUCGAGAAAGCUCCAUCAGCCCUAGUUGGGAUAUUCACAGGUCAAAAUGUUAAAAAACAACUGGUUGUAGUUGCUCGGGAAUGAUAUGAUUACUAUAUGCUUUAAAAAGUGGACUUUGCCAUGCACUUUAAAAGCUUAGUGAAGAUGCCUUUGUCUUAUUUUUGAUACAUGUUAUGUUUGUUUGAUCAAGUUGUACUCAGCUAUAAAUCAAAGAUUCAGAACAUGUGUAUGAUACUGGUUUCUAAAUCAAUGAACGCGUUGAAAUGUUAGUGUUUUCACAGGAGAAUGCAAUUUAAUUCAUCAACAAUGUCCCAACAAGACCCUCAGAGCUGUAGCUUGUAAAGUUAAUUACGAUAUUUUUUUGUAAAGUAAAUUACCAUAUUUUUUUCUUUCCAAUAUAUUGCUUAUUUCAUAGAAAGUUUACAUUAAAGUCUCAUGUUUCUUUGAAAGGUAAGCAAGUGUGAACGUUUCAAUCUAGAGCUGGAAAAUGCAUUUCCGGGCAACUUACUUGAUACAUGAAGUUUUCAUCUCUGACCUUGAUGUUUCCCAUAGUUGCAUUCAUUUCAGCUGAUCUAUUUAAUUUUGUUUUCGAAGGAGUGACACAAAAUCUCCUUUGUUAAGGGGAGAAUUUAGAGUGGCUUUGACUGUUAGCAAAUAGCCUAAUGUAAGACUUAACCAACUUCCUGCCCUGUUGUAUGCUUAUGAAUUUUGAUAGAGCUAAGAGUUUGCAGAAGCUACUGUAUUAUUUGUCGUUAGAGGCUGUAAAAAUCAAACACAUUUAAAUUUCAAUGAAAAUUUACUGGAAGUAAAUUUCCUAUGAUCCCACAGGUGACUAAUUAAUGAGAACUUGACAAUGACAAAAGAAAGUCUAUGAACUUUGCAGGCUGGCAUGCCAAUAUUGACUGGGUGGCACCAUCCACCAUCUGCAAGUGAAUAUCAUUGUUGUUUAAUCAACAAGGUGGAGUCCACUGGGACCACACCACAUCGUCAGCCUUAUCUCUAUUCCUCAAUUUUCAGUAUUCCAUACAUCAAACCAAUUUCAGUUUUGUUAUCAAUUAUAAUUUUAUUGUUGGUGACGAUUCUGAUUCCUUUCUGACAAAAGGGAACCAUGGCUGCUGCUGGAGAGAUCUUACUCAACGCCUUCUUUCAGGUACUGUUCGACAGGUUGGCUUCUCGUAAUUUGCUCAGCUUUGUGCGUCAACUCCAAGGCGGGGUUGAUUCGGAGCUCAAAAAGUGGGAGAAAAAGCUGAAGAUGAUUCGGGCUGUGCUCUGCGAUGCAGAGGAGAAGCAACUGACUGACGAGGCUGUGAAGAUGUGGCUGGACGAACUCCAAGACUUGGCUUAUGACGCUGAGGACACUCUUGAUGAGUUUGCUACUCAAGCUUUGGAAAGCAAGUUGAUGGCGCAAAAUCACGAUAGUUCUGGCCAGGUUCUCAGUUUCAUCCCGGCUGGUUUGAAUCCGAAUGCUAUUAUGUUCAAUUAUAGCAUGGGGUCCAAGAUGAAAGAUAUUACUAGCCGGCUGGAGCAACUCUGCCAAGAAAGAAUUGAACUUGGACUGCAACGGAUUACCGGAGAGGCAUCAUCAACUGCUGCUGCUGCACACCAGAGGCCACCCAGUUCGAGUGUCCCAACAGAACGUGAAGUAUUUGGAAGAGAAAAAGAUAAGGCCAAAAUUCUUGAUAUGUUAUUAGCCGAUACCAUAAGUGAUCAUGCUAACUUUGUUGUAAUACCCAUUGUUGGCAUGGGUGGGAUAGGAAAAACAACUCUCGCUCGGGAGGUUUACAAUGACAAAGCCGUUGGAGGUUCCAAGUUUGAUGUAAAAGCAUGGGUUUGUGUAUCUGAUGUCUUUGAUGUUUUGGGCAUCUCAAAGGCACUUCUCGAGUCAAUCACCCGCAGGCCUUGUCUUCUAAACAGUUUAAAUGAAGUGCAGGUUGAAUUGAAAGUAGCUGUGGAUAAGAAAAGAUUCUUGCUGGUCUUAGAUGAUGUUUGGAACGAGGACUACAGCUUGUGGGUAGACUUAAAAGCUCCGUUCCUGGGUGCUGCACCAAACAGUAAGAUGAUCGUCACCACACGCAAUUCAAAUGUUGCAUCAACAAUGGGACCAAUUGAACAUUACAAUCUCAAGAGUCUGUCAGAUGAUGAUUGCUGGUCCAUUUUCAUAAAGCAUGCAUUUGAAUCUAGAGAUCUUAACGCACAUCAAAUUUCAGAAUCAUUCCGCAAGAAAGUUGUUGCCAAGUGUGGAGGCUUGGCCCUGGCAGCAAAAACACUCGGAGGCCUUCUGCGUACGACGAGGCAUGAUGCGUGGGAUGAUAUAUUAGAGAGCAAAAUAUGGGAUUUACCUCGACAAAGUGGGGUUCUCCCAGUAUUAAGAUUGAGUUACCAUCAUCUUCCUUCUCAUUUGAAAAGAUGUUUUGCUUUUUGUGCCAUCUUUCCAAAAGAUUAUGAAUUCACUGAGAAGGAGCUGACUUUCUUAUGGAUGGCUGGAGGUAUUAUUCGACAGUCAAGAAACAAUGAGCAGCUGGAAGAUUUGGGCAGCAAGUGCUUUGGUGAUCUAGUGUCGAGGUCAAUUUUUCAGCAAACAGCAAGCUCUGAUAGUUCUAAAUUUGUAAUGCAUGACCUUAUUCAUGAUCUUGCUGAAUUGGUCUCUGGAGAAACCAUAUUCAGGUUAGAGGAGGCCAAUACUCUGUCAAGAAGAUUUGAAAGGGUUCGCCAUUCUUCCUAUGCUUGUGGUGGAUGUGAUGGUAAAAAUAUGUUCGUGGUUUUCAAUGAAAUUGAACAUCUACGAACAUUCUUGCCAUUACGCUUACGCAUAAGAGGUGGCUCUAAUACUAGUUACAUAACUCGUACGGUUCUAUCUGAUUUGCUGCCGAAGUUCAAAAUGUUGAGAAUGCUAUCUUUACAAGGAUACCGUAUUGGUGAGUUACCAAUUCCAUUUGAAGAUUUGAGACUACUAAGGUUCCUCAACCUUGCUGACACUGACAUAAGAAGUUUACCUGAGUCAACAUGCAAAUUGCUGAACUUGGAAAUUUUGAUAUUAAGAAAUUGUUCCUAUUUGAUAAAGCUUCCGCAGAAAAUGAGGAAUUUGAUCAAUUUACAUCACCUCGAUAUAAGAGGUGCGAAGUUGCUGAAGGAGAUGCCAUUCGGAAUGAAAGAGUUGAAGAAGCUUCAAACAUUGUCCAAUUUCAUCGUGGGCAAGGGCGAAACUGCAUCUGGUUUGGAAGAUUUAAAAUGUUUAAACUUUCUUGGUAAUGAACUUUGCAUUGCUGGAUUAGAGAAUGUGAAUAAUCCACAGAAUGCAAGAAGAGCCGCAUUAUGCGAGAAGCUCAAUCUUGAAGCAUUGACUCUAGAAUGGGGGUCUCAAUCUGACAGUCCUCGAGAUGCAGUACCAGAAGAGAAUGUACUUGACACUCUACAGCCGCAUAAACGUAUAAAAGAGCUGGCAAUCAGACACUAUGGUGGUGCAAGAUUUCCACUUUGGAUCGGAGAUCCUUCAUUCUACGAGAUGAAGGUCCUUAAAUUGGAGAACUGUGACAAUUGUGUAUCUUUGCCGUCGCUUGGCCUGAUGAGUUCACUUAAGCACCUUGCUGUUAAAGGGCUGAAGAAACUAAAAAGCAUAGAGUCUGAGGUUUAUGGGGAGGGUUUCUCAAUGCCUUUUCCGUCACUGGAGAUUCUAAGUUUCGAGAAUUUGCCAGAAUGGGAGCAUUGGGACACCGAGAUCAAAGGAAAUGCGCCUGUUGAUUUAUUUCCUCGUCUCCAAGAACUUUCCAUUGCAGAAUGUCCCAAACUCUCUGGACAACUGCCUGAGCUCCUGCCUUCCUUGAAGACACUUGUUGUUAGUAAAUGUGAAAAGUUGGUAGUUCCAUUGUCUUGCUAUCCAAUGCUUUGCAGAUUAGAAGUUGAUGAGUGCAAAGAACUAGUCUGCCGGACUCCGAUUGAUUUUAAGUUGAUAAAGUCCAUGACUAUUUCAAAUAGUUCAUUAGACAUGAAUGGACGCAAGGGGAUGUUAUACGAUGGUCCAGCUGGCUCUUCACUGCCAAACCCCAUGACUACUACAAAUGUUUUAGAGUUUGGAAAAUUAUUGAAGCCUGGAUUUCAGAUAUUCGAAACUUUGGUAAUUGGCAAUUCUGAACAGCUCAAGUUAUGGAGGCAGCAUGGGGAUUUUCCGAAAAAAUACAUGGUCACUGACCAUGGGUUCAAGAAACCAGUACGAGGGCUGAAUAUGCUCGCUUCCCCUGAAGAGGUAACAAUUGAAGAAAGUUGCGUACGUCUUGUUUUGAUUCCAGAGAUCAAUUUCCUUCUCAGAAAUCUGCGCUCUCUUAUAAUUAACAACAGCACUGCUUUCAAAUCCUUACCCGAGGAAAUGAUGGAAAACAAUUCACAACUCGAAAGAUUGUAUAUCAGAGAUUGCGACUCUCUAAUAUUCAUCGCAAGACGGAGGCUACCAGCAUCUCUUAAAAGGUUUGAGAUAGGAAAUUGUGAGAAAUUGCAACGUCUGUUCGAUGAUGAAGAGGAUGCUUCUUCUUCUUCUUCUCCUUCAUCCUCGUCUUCCCCAGUGAUGCUGCAACACCUGAGUAUAGAGAACUGCCCAGAGCUCACCAGUUUAUCAUCGGGUGUCCAAUUCCUUGAGGCGCUUGAAGACCUCGUGAUACAGCAGUGUCGAAAGCUGGAGUCAAUACCGGAUGGCCUGCCCAAUCUUAAAUGUUUACAGAGCAUUAAUAUACGGGAAUGUCCAAGUCUUGUUUCCUUAACAGAAAGAGGGCUUCCCAACACCAUUUCAUUUGUUUACAUUUGCAGAUGUGACAAGCUCGAAGCCUUGCCCAAUGAUUUGCACAAACUCAGCUCUCUUCGAGAAUUAUUCAUACAGCUCUGUCCAAAUCUUGUAUCGUUUCCAGAAGAAGGUUUUCCUACCAAUCUAACAACACUUGUAAUUGGAGAUUUCAAAAUGUAUAAGACACUCGUCCAGUGGGGGUUGCACAGGCUUACCUCUCUUAAACGCCUCUGGAUUGCUGUACGUGAUGAUGAAGCAGAGUGUUUUCCAGACGAGGAGAUAGGAAUGACGCUGCCCACCUCUCUCACUGAUCUGCACCUUUUUGAUUUCGAAAAAUUGAUAUCUCUGUCUGCGACGGGUUUUCAGAGUCUCACCUCUCUUCAGAGUUUGUGGAUCGGGAAUUGCCCGAAUCUCACAUCAUUUCCAGAGGUGGGCCUUCCAUCCUCACUUUUGGGCUUAGACAUUAGAUAUUGUCCAAAGCUUAAAACAGCGUGCAAAAGAGAUGAAGGAAAAGAGUGGUCCAAAAUUGCUCACAUCCCUCACGUUGAGAUAGACGGUAAAUUCAUAUACGAUCCAGAAGCAGAGGAGUAGGUUCUACUAUUAAGGUCAGUUGAUUUGUAUUAUCCGCUAUAACAAGCUCCUCCUUUUUUAUUUUUUUUAAAAAUAAUAAUUUUGCAGUCACUCACGUGAUUCCGUUUUCACAAGUCAGAUUGUAUGUUGAGGCUAUUUGCCUUUUAAUCGCAGAUUAAAUUAUAACACUUAUCUUAAAAUUUAAUACCAUACACAGAUAGACGAUUUUUUAAUCCAAAGUUUUUUUUAUUCACUUCAGUUAGCAUUUUUUUUUUCCCCAAAUCAUGCAAGCCGAGAGUUUCAAUCAAGAAUUGGAGGAUGUGAAUGGGAUUUUUGUGAAAGAGUAACAUAAUGGAUGAACGAACAUUUCAUAUGUGAUCUCAAAGUCAACAGAAUUUUAUUCACUCGUUGACUUUUCAACUGCUGUGGUUAUUUAUGGGUGAAAGAUAAGGGCAAUUACAAAAAAUUUGCAAAAUUUGUCAAUUUCUUAGAUGGUAGAAAUUGGAGUAUAAUAUUUUGGAGCAAGCAUACUUGAAAUUUCUGUCUUCAAUAUUUUGAUGCUUUCUUAUCCCAUGCACAAAAGUACUAGAAAAAACUAAUAACAACUAACCGAAAAUCCCAGGCGUCAUAUUCCUUUUUACCGCGUUUUAAAAUGCACAACAAUGAUAUUCUUACAAAUUUGCAAAAUUUGUCAAUUUCUUAGAUUUCAGAUAUUUUAAUGCUUUUUUUAAUUUUUGAUCUAGUAAAAAUACAUAGCCUUCACCGGCAGGAUUCUAGUCUUGGCUUUCACCUCUCUAACUCAUCUGUUCCCAUUGGGAUUCCAGAAGCUAGAAAAAUGUGUAGUUUUCAGAUAAGGAGGCUUGUCAGUUCUCUAGUAAGAAUCCAAUGAUUUGCUUUUGAACGUCCAUCUAAUUUGUGGAUCCUUGCAUCAGAAUUUGAUCAAUCCAAAAGGAAUUGCUUUUAGACAGAAGAAGAAUAGCAGCACCUAGCCUACCCGCAAACCUGAAACUAUUAGAUUGAGGUAAAAAAAUCAUUGACCCUCACAUGUUAACUUCUUCUAGUUACUUUCGUUGGGAAAAAAAAAAACAUUUAAGGAAUUUGCAAUUUGUUGUUAGUUAUGGUAUCUGAUGUUCUUUUCUGCUUUAGCAUUUGUAGAAUCUACUGUAUUAUGUGUUGGCAGUUGCCGUAUCUGAGGUAACUUGCCUUUAUUUGUUUGCUUCUGACUUAAGGACACCAACAUUUGCCAGAGAUUUAGAGAAUCAUCUCAAAACACUUAGCAAACUUGACAAACUUCAAGAUGCACUUGCCCCCACGCCUUAUUCUCAACAACGCAAAACUUGUGAGUACACCUAUGCCUGCAAUUAUUGUGAAGUGUUCGCAAUUCUGAUGCAGAGAAAUGGUUUCUUGAUGCAAAGUAUUAAACUGUUAAGAUUUAUCCUGCAGGCUUGUUAGAUGCUGGAUACGCGAAAAGCCAACAACAUCAAGAACUGCAACUCCAAGACCAGCUUUGCGUUAAUUCAGUCAGCUGUAAUAAUGAUGCAAAUGACACUAUAUCAAGCUGGACUUAGAGACUAGUCAGAUAAAUCAUCCAUUUCAUCAACGGUUAAUGUCAUGAUGGUGGCUAUCAGAGGAAACAAAAGAUGUGUCGGAAUCUAUACAAACAUUGAGAAGCAUGAGAGGAGCUUUGAUUUUGAGUAGGGUCAAUGAACUCAUAUUGGUAAGUGGUAAUUAAAGAAACUUUGUAAGCUUAGUAGAGUUUCAGUAUUUUCUGUUUGGAGUAUAGUUGAUAAGUUGACUCUGUUUAAGAAGCCCGAUUAUAGUAGCUGACUGUAUUAACCUUUUUUUUUUUUUUUUUGGGUCUGCUGUUGUUUUUGGUUUCGAUUAUUUUUUCAACAUUGGGUUGAUCUGUUGAAGAACAAGCUUGGGUUUGAUUAUGCUUUAACUACAAGGAAGAGCCAGACUUGGAUGCAGGCGUUAAGCUUUUAAUGGGUAAGAACAAAUGAAUGCUUUAACUAUGUUUCUCACUUAUUAAAAUGCACGGAUUGAAGGCAUCUGGGUUGAUCCUGACAAUGUGAUGGAAAUACUUCUCUGUUUUCAUAUAACAGGACAAAUAGAGAUCUCUGAUCAUGCCUGAAUUUUUGUUGCAUUGAAAUUUCUACCAUUAUCAAACAUAGAAUGAACUAGGGAUACAUUAGCUUAAGACUAAAUUUUGAGAAGGAAGUUUGUACUUGCAGCCUAUAAAAUCAUGUCCAUGUUGUACGUUUCUUUGGGAAAUGAAAGAUUCUGUGUGUUCUUUUAUUUCAAGUUCACUGAAAUCACAUUUGUUUUCUCAGCUGCUUUCCAGAAGGUAACAACAUCAAUUUCAAAAAUGCUGGGGCAAGAUGUAUCAUGCAGUGCGACUCAACUUGAGAAUUCCUGGCCACAUUACCCGUAUGUCUAAUGAUCGCACAGUACAACCUUGAGAAGCUUGUAAUGAGUACACAACUGGGUGCAAGUAGUUUUGAAAUGAAUUUGCCUCAAAUGAUUUCUUGCCGGUGAUUAAUAUAACCUCUAUUCCAAAAUUCUUGGAACUGGUCAUACUAGCAAUGAAGGAUUGCAUACAUUGAAGACAUAGCUGAAGGCCUUGCGAGAGCUCUGUCAGCCCUUGUACCGGAAAACAGCUGGUCGUAGUCGCUUGUGAAUGAUAUGAUUAAUAGAUACUGCAAAAAUGAAUUGUGCCAUACAUUUUCAGCGCUCUGUGAAGAUGUCUUGGUCAUUUGUUUGAUGCUUGUUUGAUUUAUGUUGUAUUCAGCCAUAAAUCAGAGAUUCAGAACUUGGGUAUGUUUCUGGUUUCCAAAUCAAAAAAUUGCCUUGUGAUGUUAGUGUUCACUGUUUUCACAGGAGAUCAGGUUCCUUGUUAAUGAAUCAAGAAGAAGGCAAGCGCAUCCAUGUCCAAGUUCAAAUGUGUCUCCUCUAUUUUCUAUUACCCACUCAUUUAUUUUGAUUUCUUCAUUGUAAUUGAAUUAGUUUUUUAUUCCAAAUUAGUCAAAACCUCGUAGAGUCAUUAAGUUCUUUUAGCAUUUAAAGACAGAACUACGAACCAAAUGAUUUAAGUUCUUCGUUGUAAUUGAAUUUGCUUUCCCAUCUUUAAAGAUAUUAUGUUCUUUUUCACUUUUUCGAUUUGGUUAGUGGUGAUUUCUUAAAGACUCAAUCCAUUUGCGUUAAUACAUUUUUCUUUUGCCUUGAUUUCUGUUUCUUGGGGAGUUUAUACAUAUUCUUAUUUUAUGCUACACAUGCCAUAUACAGAUUCUUAUUUUAUGCUUCACAUGCCACAUGAAAGGUCAAAGCCUUGUGUGUGAUUAGAAUUUACUGGCAUCAUAGUAACUUUAAACCAUUGUGACGUUUUAGUAAUAACAGUCUGAGCUCUCCCUGAAGGAUUCAAAGCAUUUUAUUUUAUAUUAUACUCCUUUAUAUGGUUUGGCUGGUCUCUUUUAAGGCAAUUCCUGUUUAAAGUAAUCAAAAUUUUGAUUUCGAAGUGUCUUUCAACACUACCGCUAGUUCUUUAAGAAAAGUAAAUCGAUUUUGAGUCUUCUGUAUCAUCUGAUUGAAAUACAUGAAAGCACUCUUAGCUGCAAAAGUACACUUGGAGUUAUAAUAGCAUUCUGAAAUCUCCUUGAAGGAUUCAAAAGCUCUUUAUUUGCUAGUCUUUGCUUGCAAUAAACUCCUUUAAUAUACAUUGGUUGAUCUUCUUUAAAGCAAUUACCAUAAGUUCUUUAAAUAAUAAAACGAUUUUGAGUCUUCUGUAUCAUCUUGUUGAAAUACAUGAAAGCACUCUUGGCUGCAAAAAUGCACUUGGGGUUAUAUAUAAAGUCUUCAACAGAAUUUUAUUUCCCCCUUUAUCCUCAUGGUGGUUUUUUUAGUUGUUUUUUAAGAAAUCGCUUGAAGGUUCUCUUUAAAAAUAAUUUUAACAUAAGCAUUCUUUAGAAGCACUUUAGAUGUCUGGCAUUUAGAAAAUUUUGUUCCUGUGUUCACAUAAUAUAAUAUAUAUAUAGAAAGCUGACUGUAGAAUAGAGGAGAACGAGUUGGUGUUGGUCUGAACUCUGAUCUUUGAACCUCAUGUGACUCCACUACUUUUUACUUGUUCUGUACAAGGUCUUUUAGCUUUUCAAAAAGUUUUAGCUUUAUGGAUAAAAUACUGUUAAUUGUAAUCUAUAAAUAAUGAAAGGAAUUAAUAAAAUAUUAGGUAAAUUUUAUUUUCUAAAGUGUUAUGAGUUCUAAAACGGCUGUAUGUAUAUAAAUUUAUUUACACAUAUAUUUAUAAAUAUGAUUAUAUAAUAAUAUUUUAUGUGUACAUAUCAUAAUUGAUAACUAAAAUAAAUAUUUUUAUUUUAUUAAUGGUUUUUUCGUCUCAAUGUAGUUGGUAAUAAUAAUCUCUUUAGAUGUAACGAUUUUAUUUCCUAACUGAAUAAGGAAAAUUUUAGAUUUUUAUAAUAAAUGUUAAAUAUAUUUAGAAUUACAUUAAGUAUGAAAUAAUCCUCAAAAUUAGAUUUUGAAAAGUUAUUCUUUUCUUGCUUUUAAAAAUAUGUCAUAUGAUGAGAUGAUUUUACUAAAAGUGAUUUUUUUAAAAAAAAUUACUAAACAUCAAAAUUAACUCUUAACUUUUUAAAAUCAUUUCUAAUCUUCUCAUCCUAAGUUCUUUAUUGUUUUGUACAAAAUCCAAGGUUUUGACUUUUAUAAAAUGCCCACUCAAAAAUAAAUUAUUUUCUAAUUAAGAUUUGUUGUUAAUGUAUAACUCGAAGUAAUAUUAGAUAUUUGUAAUUUUAUUUCAAAAAUUUUAUUCAAAUGAUAUGGCAAGCAAUGAACAAUAGUUGAUAGCAAUUUGUUUUUUUUUUUAACAAUGUUCAAAUCAAUCAGUUGCAUUAUCUCACCAUUUUUAUGAUGUCAUGUUAUUUUAAAUGAUUUUUUUAAUUUUUAUAUAAAGCAUACGACGUGUUAACAUCAUUUGCAUAACUUGACCUUUUUUUUUUCCUACAAAUAGUAAGUCAAAUUUACUCACCCUAUUUGUACCUAAAAUCUACCUAAAACUCAUGCAUCACUGUAAAGCAAAUCCAAAGAUUGCGGUACGUUUUUCUUGGUAAGAAAUCAAUAAUUAGGUCAAGUACCGCUACUAAGCGUGCUCAAUUAAUUCUAAAAUACGGUGAUCAAACUCAUACUUCACGCAAGAGGAUAAGGGCUAAACCUCAAUUAGGCAUUAUUCAUCCAAAAUUCAUUGACUGGGCAUUCUUUGCAAGUGGUAGCAUGGGACAGCUAAGAUAAUUAGCAAAUGAUAUGGACCAUACGCACCCGUAUGUUUGUGACAUGUGAAUCUUGGCAUUAAAGGAAAGGUAAUGUGUUAAAAUUUAAUAGAGCCCAACUCUUCAUUGAAUGAUUAUCAGAUCCAACGAGCAUCCUUUGAUGGGAUUAUUUUAAGUCAAUUAUUGGUGGAUUGGGGCCCACUUGACUCUACCAAAUCGGGCUCCACCAUAUCACCUAUUAACGACCACCUGUCCUUAUCAUAAAUAGCAAAUGUCACUUGUUUUAUUUUGUAUUUUACCAAAAGCAAAGUCACUACGAGCACUAAUGAAAGUGACCCCAAUUUUGGGGGUCAUGAACUUGGGAUUAUUAUGGACACAAGAGACAAGCGCAAUGUUUCUCAUUUCUCACUAGAUAAGAUUUAAGUUAUCAACCCAAUAUUAAUAAAUUCUGCUUGAAAAGUAAAGUUUGAAGCUUCAUUUUGCGAAUAUUCAAUGGUUAACAUUUAAGGGUGCGUUUGGGAUUGAGGUUGGGCAGCUGUAGCUUAAAAGCUACAGUACUAAAGUGUUUGGUAAACACUAGCUACUGUAGCUUUUAAGCUAUGUUGAUAUAAUUUUUCACUUGUAUAAUAUAAAAUUUAUUAUAUCUUUAAUAAUUUUGAUAAAAUUAUUAUUUAAAAUUUAUAUUUACUAUAUAUUAUUAACUUUUAUUUCAUAAUUACAGCUUUUUUUUCACAGCAGCUGUAGCUUAAAAGCUACAGCACCUCAAUCCCAAACACACCCUAAGUAAUUAACCUGAUAUUAAUCCAAUUAAACUUUUUAUGUAAUCCAAGUCAAACAUAUAUUGAUAAACCUAAAUUAAUCUAAUUGGACAUAUUAUUUCAACUUGAAAAGGUGAAUCUAUCAUUUUUCAAUUAAUUUUGAAUCAAGCUAUGUAAAAUAUAAGCUUAUUAAGGACAUAUUUGAAAAAUUCAAAUUGAAUUAUUUGACAAUUACAUUUCAACUAAGUUGUACUGCUAAUUAACUUCCUCAACUUAAAAUGUAUUUUUCUCAAUUAAUUCGUAACAAAGAAUGUUAGAUGUUUUGUUCGAAUAAUAACAUUCAACAUCCUUAUUCUUUAUGAUUAUUGCAUAAAAAAUAUAUUUUAUCCAUUUACGUCACAUAUGUUCCUAAAUUGUAUAAGAAAAUCACUAAAUUUACUCUUGUAAGUUACUAUAUCAAUGAACAUGAAAUUAACUAAUCAUUAAAGUCUCGGAAUGACAUCAUGAGGGGGAUUCAGUUACAUUUAUUGAUAGGAUUAUAUAUAUACCUUCUCAAAUAUUAGUAAGAGCAAUUAAACAGAUGCAGCAAUUAAAAAUAUGGAAUUACUUAUCUCGUCAAUAACUAACGAUAUUUUUUAUCUAUGCUCGAUAGGCGUCUGAGCUAUAUUAUAAAUUGUAAUAUUUGUAGAUUGUAACAAUUAUUAAAAAAAAAAAAAAAAGCUCCCUAAGACUAAAUGACAAAAGGACUGUUUUGAAAUAGAUAGAUAAAAUAUGCCCUUAUUUGAGAAAAGGUAAAACACUAGGGAUCUAAAUGUUAUUAUAAUCCCAUGCACAAAAAUACCAGAAAAAACUAAUAACAACUAACCGAAAAUCCCAGGCGUCAUAUUCCUUUUUACCGCGUUUUAAAAUGCAACAAUGAUAUCACUACUACAAAAAUGACAUUUACUGACACUUUGUUUCUGACACUUAGUAAAAAGUGUCAGAAAUGGUGUACAUUUGGACCAUUUUCCUCCUUUAACAAGUAUGUAUCAUAAAUCAUUGAUACUAAGGUGUCAGUAGCUUAAAACUCAGUGAUUAUUGAUACUAAAGCAUCAGUGAUAAAAAAAUAAUAGUAUUAAUUUUGUUUUAAUUUGAACUCGAACUCAAGAUCUCUAAACUUAAAAUUUGUAAGUUUAGAGUGCAAACCAUUGAUGCAAGUGUUUUUAAAUUUUCAAUUUGAUUAAUUUUUUUAUUUAAUUAAAUUUUAUACAAUUACUUUGUGGACAAUAAUAAUAAUAAUAAUAGUUUUGAGAAUAAUAUUUUUUAUUUUGCCACAUGUCAGCUUGUAAUUCGUUGUUAAUAAUAAUAAUUUUACUUGACCACGUGUCGACUUAUAGUUUGUUGUUUUAUUAAAUUACAAUGCGAACAACUACACUAUAUAAUUUUUCAAAGUAUAAAAUGAAAAUAAGAAACCCUAAAUCUAACCUAAUCAAACACACCACUUCUUAAGUUGCUGCCGCCGCUCCCCUGCUCCUUGACUUUCACUGCUGCCGGCCGCUGCUCCUCGACUUUCACUGCUGUCGGCUGUCGUUCCUUGACGUCACUGCCGCCUUUGCUCUGCUGUUGCCAAGCUUCAGCCACCGACGACUAGCUAGCCACCUUUCAGUACGUCGCUGCUACCACUUUUAUGCCGUCACAUCAACUUCAGCUCAGCCAGCCACCGUUCCUUUACCGCCGAGAUCAAGAACCAUUUCUUUCUCUUCUCUCUUUUGGUACAGGUAUGAAAAUAUUGCAGAGGAGUUAAUCUGUUAAUUACCUUUCUGUACGUCGCUGCUGUCAUUCGUGUACGUCAUUGCUGCUACUCAUCUUGGUCACUGCUGCCGCUCCUCUGCCGCCACGACAAGCUUCAGCCUUUUUGACAAAACAUUUCACUUGGAAUUAUAAGCAAACCCUUUUGAGACCAUAAAAAACUAAGCCAAUUUCUUUGGUUUCAAGGCCUUGUUUUUUCACUUUGAAAUCGGAUCAUACAAUGACAAGCCAAUUGAAAACUUCUGUUCAAGAUUUCAUUGUUAAAUUCAGCUUUAUUUUUAUUAUUUGUGUUCCUUUCAUUUUCUUUCCCUUUUUUUGAUUUUUAAUUCAAUUUGGGAUUUGACAGAUAUAUUUUUUAAUUUUUAUAAAAAUUUAUCUUAUUUGCAGGAUGCUAAGGGACAGGAUGUUGAUCUUAGCAUCUACAAGGGAAAGGUUCUUUUGAUUGUCAAUCUUGCAUCACAAUGGUGUGCCUCAGCUCCUUUCAUUUUUAAUUUUUUUUCCAUAAUGAUUUAUUGAUUAUUGUUGAUGCUUCCAUUUAAUUAAUGCUAAUACGUGUUAUCUAUCUAUCGGGAGUCUAAAUUUUAUAGAAUUAUAUCAUACUCGGAAGUAUGCAUGCUCCCAAUACAAAUAAGUGUUUAUAAGAGAGGAUUUCACCCAAAAUCUUUAAUUCUUGCAAAAUGCUAGUGGCUCCGUUUGCACAAGUUUAGUUUUCAUCCAUGUUCGUUCCUUUACCAUAGCGGUUCCUUUACCACUGAGGUCAGACACCAUUUCUUUCUCUUCUCUGUUUUGGCACAGGUAUGAAAAUACUACAGAGAAGUUUCUCUAUUAAUUACCUUUUAUGAAAAUAAUAUAUAUAUAUUAUUCACAUGUUUAAUUGAGAACAUCUAAUAAUAUAGUAAUAAUAUAGUGGGCAAACUAUAGGAAGGUUGUUAGUAGACAAUUCUAAUUUUAGCUUUACUUUGCAAAUGAAAGAUUAGAAAUAUUCCGUCGAACCCAUUUUACUAUAUUGGAGGUUUGGGCUAAUCUUGUAUAGAUUUUUGCUCAGAAGAAGGAUGGUUCUCCAAGGGCGGUGGGUUGGUUUUUCUAUAGACUAUUCCCCUAUUUUCCCAUUUUGCUUUUCUUUGAGGAAACCUGGUCCAUUUUUUUUGUGUUUUCUUUCUUCAAUCAAAUAUGUAUUUCUCAAUCUCCUCUCAAAAAAUACCUAUCUCAUUUUAUUAUAUGUUUAUGAAUUACUAAUUGUAUUUUGUUAGUAUUCCAUGUUCGAAGAAGAAUAUUAGAUUGAAGAAAGAAGAAUAUUAGAUUGAAGAAAGAAGAAGUUGUUCCUUUGCUAAUCGUUUGAAACCCAGGUUUGCACUGAAUCUGAUUUUUAUCUUUAACUUUUUUACUUGACCCAUACUUGAAUCAAAUUUUUGCUCCACUUUCCUUUCUUUCGUCAAUUUAAUUAUCAAUCCACUUCAAACCUAAAAAGAUUUAGUAAUUGGGAAACCCUUUUUUUUUUAAAGAAUUGCAAAGUACUGUAAUUGGAAACUGGGUUCAUGUCUUAAAAAGUAACCUGAUUUGUAAUGUUUGGCUUAUAGUGGCCUUCUAUUUCUGUUUUUCAUCUCGGCUUGGUUAAUUUCUUUACUAGUCGUUUAAAUUUUGUUAAUUUUUAUUUUUCCUCUUUAAGCUCAUUAAAUAUCUUUUUUUUUUCAAUUUAUGGCUUUCGGUCCAACUGAUCAUCGUUGAAUGUGGGCACUAUAAAUGUUAUAGUGCUUGUUAACUUAAUGUAUUUGAUCAUAUAUUAUAGUAUUGUUUACUUUAAAUUUAGACAAUGAAAUAGAUUACAAAAAAAAUAACUUAUGCUUGUCAAGUUGUAGACACCAUCGUUCAUGUCAUCAUUACUGAAUAUUGAUGUACUUAUUAAGUGUUCUCUUUAAUACUUGAUAGAAUACUUUUGGUGAAGCAAUUUUGGUAUCAUGAUUGCAGGCUGUAAUUAACUUGGGAACGUGUAGAUUCUACAAUUUCUUUUUCUGAUUCCUUAACUUGCUUCUUUUAAUCCUACUCUUCUAUGUUGAAGUAAUUUAUGAAUAUUUUUGCUUCAAAAUAACUAAGAUAUAUUUUUCACAGUAUACUAAUUGAUUUUAUGCAUUUGUAGGUGGGAAAAAAAUGAAGCCGUGGAUGGAUAUUGAGUGACCUUGUGCUUUUUUUUUUUUUUUUUUGGGUUGGAAACUUAAUUGAGUAGUAGUUAGCACUUGUUGUUUAGAGAUUGUUGAAAAUUUAAUUUGAUACUUAUGUUAAGUCUUUUACAUAUAGUGAUGUAGUUGAAUUGUGUGAAUUUAUGUGAUGUAUUUGAGAUGUUUAUUAUAUGAAUUGUGUUGCAAGAUAUUUAAUAAUAAAUAUAUUUCGUGUUUUCUUUUGGUUGUACAACAAACACGAAAAAUAUAAUUAAAAUAAAAAUAUACUAUUAACCAAAAGCAGUAUAACAUUACUAAAUACUGACACUACAUAUUUAAAAUAACAAUAAGAAUUUUUUAUAUUAUCGAGUCAGUUUCUGAUACUAUAGUCACAUAAAUUACUGACAUGUAAAUAGUAUCAUUAAAUACCAACAUCAUCGUGUCAUUAUUUUAGUGAUACUAUAGUGAAACAAAUUACUGACACAAAAAUUACUGACACCAAAAAUUAGUGUCAGUGUGUUCUGGCUUGAGCAACACUGACACAAUUAACAAGUGUCAAUAAAAGUAAUUACUGACGCUAAAUUAGUGUCAGUAAAACUCAUUUUUCUAGUAGUGUAUUCUCACAAAAGUUGGUACAAAGGUUUGUACAACCAGGGCCUCUUUGUAAAUUAUUUCAAAGUUUUGUGUUAUUUUUUAAAUUUAUGAAUUUUGUUAAUUUUGAUUGAUUGGAGCAUUUCUCCUUCCAUCUCUUCUACAUCUAUCUUUAAAUUUCUUUAAAAUUUUGACUAUAUCUUUAUAGAGUUCUAAAUGAUUAUCUUUUUCAUAAAAAUCUAUACUUAAAUUAAUCCCUGAAUUUAUAAUCAUUUGUCUUCUUUGAGUCAUAGACCAAAUUUUUUCUUCUAACAUAUCUAUAUAUACUCCUAAGCUAUCUUUGCAGCUUAGAUACAUUCUAUCAAAGCUUUCGCAUAUAAAUUGUAAUUUGAGAUCUGCAUCUUGAAUCAACAUGUCUAUAUUAUCCAUUGUUUUACGCUCGAUUUUGAGUUCUAUUAUUAGUCUUGCACAUGUCUUGGAUUAUUUCGAGGGUAGUUAAAAUUGAUUCUAUUAAUGCUAUCCUGUUUUCUUCUUCAAAAGAAUCAAAUAUUUCUGAAUCAUUAAUUUCUUUUAUUUCUUCAUACAAGCGUUUGUUUGUCGCUAAUCUUGUUUUAAUCAAGGAAACUGUAUAAGCAGCUUGAUAUUCUUGACAAAAGUCUAAAUGAUCUAUUGCAUCUAGAAAUUUAUUAAUAGAUCUUUCCAUUUUUAAGAAAUUGAGUUACUCUUAUCACUUCCAAUCUUUUAACAUCUCAGAAAACAAACAAGGCCCAACAUGCUUCCGUUUGUAGCUAAAAUAAAAGAAGAGUUCAUAUCACUAACCAGUGUAAUAUCUCUCGGAAUUCUGAGAUAGACUCACUAAUUGCCUCUAACCAUAGAGAGGUCCAUGGUUAGCACCACUAUAGCUCCACAUAUCAUACAAAAUCACUUCAACGACUGUUCCAUAUGGCCCAAAGCAACACACAGCAGACUGGCCUAAUAGGAUAUGUUUAAGUGAUUUUCUUGCAGUUGUCUCUGGAAGAGUGCUUAGUAAUAGAAAAUCUUCUUCGUUUAGUACAAGUAUUGGCAUGUAAGGUUCUUGGUUAAUUUUUAAAAGAUGUAUAAGAUAUCUAGAAGAUGAUAAUUUCACUCAAAAGAGUUUUAUUUAUUCCAUCAUUGAAAUUGUUUACAGAGGAAGGUUACAGAGAAUACAGAGGUAAUUGAAGGUUAGACAUCUGAUAUAUUUCCUUUCUUACAUGCUUUCAUUUAUAUAUCUCUCUAGAGAUAAGAUUAUUUCUUUUACAUAACACAUGUUCGAUCCUUGUGGUGGAAUCUCAAUUUCCUUUUGAUAAGGUGACCCCUUCUUUAUCAUUGAAGCUAGUAGUUGUCUUCUUUUCAUGUUGGCAGACAUGAAAUAUCUGGUUCUGGUGAGCUUUUUCUUUUUUGGAAUCUGUCUUUUUGAAUUAUUGAUACUUUUUGGAUAGCACCUUUUAUCUUUUUCAGUGGUCCUCGUCACGUGCCAAUUAUCAGAUCUUCAUCUAUAGACAUGUCUUCCCCACUAGAAUCUCUUUUUUUGAUCCUUCGUAGUAGUAGCCACAUGAUGAUUGAUGCUUUAGCACCUUAUAUAUCUCGUGGUGUGUUAGCAAGGUGGAUUCCACGAGAUUUUCGAAUAUGCCCUUUUUCUUUUCUAAUAUGUUAUCCUCAUCUUUAUCAAAUUCACAUUUACAAUAUAAUUCUUUGAAGCUACAUGUAUAUUCUUCUAAAUAACAUAUAUUACAUAUUUCAAGCCUUGUUAGCUUCAUUAAAUUUUCUAUCUGUUUUCUUUUUAUUUCUUGUUGAAAAUCAAUUUCCUAAUCUUCUCCCAAGAAUUUUUUUCUUAUUUCAUUUUUGAAUCUAUUUAAAACCUGAUCAACACUUUCGUUUCGAUUAUUAUUUUCUCCAUACAAUAUUCUAUUUUUAUGGUUAUCAUUUAAUCCCAUAAACCAAUGAGAAACAAUUCCUAUAAACGAAAUUUUAAGGAAUUCUAUACUAUUAUCCCUAUCAAUUUUGUGAAAUGCAAAAGCCAUUUUCAUAGAUUUAACCCAAGCGGUAAUCGUUUUAUCUCUAUCUUUGAUACAGUCUAAAUCUAACCAUACACCAUCAUGGUUGAUUGGUCUUUCUCUAUAUUCUCCUGGAGUUUUAUAAUCUUUUUUAGGCUUGUUAAUCCUAAAAUAUUGACCUUGUAAUCUUUCCUGAGUUGGUAUUUCUUCCCUAACAUAGGAAGCUCCAUUACUAGUUUCUCCUUGUUAAAAACCAUUUGGCUUUGAUUCAUUCAUUUUUAGAUGUUCUAUUCUAUUUUCAAUAUCCUGCAAAUUAAUGACUAUAUCACCUUCUUCUUCGGAUUCAGAUUCUUUAUUAGAUAUCUCUUGAUUAGGUAAUUCUAUGUUUUCACUUAGCAUUCUUAGACUUAUUAAUUUUUUGUCUUUGUUUAUUUUGUUAAAUAUCGGUUUAGAUAUUGUUAUCAUUUCUUUAUCUUUAAGUUCAUUAUAGUAAAUUAUGGUAUCUUGUAAAAUUUUGUUUUGUUUAUUGAUCUUCUGUACUUCAAUCCUUUUGUAAUUUUCCAUUUAUGCUUAUAGCGAAUUUAUUACCAAGUUGUUCAACAAUUUUUUCAAAUUUUUGUAGUUGGAUUUCAAUCUUGUUUGAAUUUAUUUUCAAUUGAACUUUUGUUCAUAAUAUUAAAGAUUUCUUGUUUUAAUCUAUCUUGAUCUUCAAUAUUAAAGUCUUUUAUUAAUAGCUUAACAAAAUCAAAUUCUUCACUCAUUCGCUCUCCUAUCAUUUUGACUUGUCUUAUAUUUUCAGCAUCAAAGCUUUUAAUCUCAAGUAUCUCAUUUAUACUUUCUAUAUCAUCUAUGGUUAAAUUAGGGUUUCCUAAUUUAUUUAAUAAAUAUAAUGAAAUCCAAUUUAAUUGAUUAUUUCCCCACAUAUCGGAAUCAUUUACUAAAUCAAAUGGUUGAAAUCUUCCAUAAGUAAAUCCUCUAUGCCUAUAGCUAGAAGGUGGUAAUAUGUUGGUUUCAAUAUUUUGAGAAAUUAACAAUGGUUUUGGUAAUUUAUUCAUAGUACCAUCUGCAUAAUAUCUCAUUAUAUUCUAAUAAGUAUUUAUGACAUAUAAUAUUUCUUAUAUCCUUAGGGAUAUUGUUUUAUGUUAAUCCUUUAUGUAUAUAGCAAAGUUUAUACAUAAUUAAAUCUUUAUAUCCUAUUAGCAUGUUGCUAGAAGGAUAAUAUUUACUUCUGAUUCUUUUAUUUUUCCAAUUGUAUUCACCUCGUUGUUUAACAUUUAAAAAUCCGUUGUAAUCUAUUAUAAGAUCAUCUACAUAAUCUUCAAUAGAGUUAAUAUUCCAUUGUUUCCAUGAAAAAUUAUUUCUAUAUACUUCUCUCCUGAUCCUAAAGAGAAGAAUAGGAUCAAUAUUUAAAUUUCUAAUUUUUAUUAUGAUGAGUUCUCCAAUUUUAAAUUCAUGAACUCUAACUAAAUAAAACUGUAUUAAUUGUUUAUCAUCCAAUAUAUUAACUUCUGAAUAAUAAUAUUGUUUAUGUUUUGUUAUAUUAUCUUUAAUUGUAUUUCUAUCUAUCAUUAAAUUAUAUCUUCCAUUAUUAAUGGAAUAAAUAACUGUUUCGUCUAUUUUUAUAUUUUAAACCAAAAACUUGGCUCUAAUACCGUUUUGCAGAAAUCAACUAAACCCAAAAUCCAAAUGAAUUCAAAUAGGGAUGUAUAUGAUUAAUUGUUAAGAUUUUAUCUAAAUUUUGUAAUUAUAAUUUUUCAAAACUCACAGUUUUGUGCAAUCAUUUGUGUAAUCCGUUGUGAGAAUGUCUUUUUCCUUGCAUCUAAGGCAACAAAGUGGAAAACGCGUACCAACGACUCACAUAACAAUAUAACAUCUGUCCCGGAUGGAGCCGGUUGUUCAUGUCAGCAACCUACUUUGAAACGACACGUGGACCGCAAUUUGUUCUUGUUCUCAACGUUGCUAUGAAAGAAAGCAUUUUUUUCCCCUUUUCUUCUUCAUUUUUUAAAGAAAUAUUUUACUAUAUAUUUAAAAAAAAAAAUCGUUGCAAUCUGAAGAUAUUAAAUUGUGGAUCUUGUAUUGUGUGAUAAGUCCGGCAUGCAAUUUUGGGCCAGCAUACCGCGCGCAUGGGAGCAUUCACAAAGAAUCUCUCGUCACUAUCGAAAACUUUUAAUAGUCAAUACAAAUGCUUCCGUUUCAUCCCAUAAACAGAUAAAAUUCACAUCUGUACACAUCUACUUUUCUUUGCUAGAUAGAGUUCCUCUGCAUUUCCCAAUUGCCUAAAGAGAAGGGGAAAAGAAAAAGAGGGCCAAAAAAUGCCUGAAAUGGUAAGGAACAAGCAAGUGAUAUUGAAGGACUAUGUGUCUGGUUUCCCAAAAGAAACAGACAUGUACAUGACCGAAAGUUCCAUAGAAUUGAAGGUGCCAAAAGGUUCAAAUGGGGUUCUUUUAAAGAACUUGUUUGGGAGAAAUACGUCGACGAGACCAGGCAUGGUGAGCAUAUAUCUGAUGGCAGAGUUCUGCGAACCGGUGUGUUCCGUAAAAGCCUGGUGCACGGGGGAACAGGAGCAGAAGUAUCCUGCUCGUCCACGAGCACGUCAUCCGCGAGGCCAAUUUCCUGUAAGAGGCAUAAGGUCAUUCCGGCUAGAGGUCGAGAGGCGAGGAGACCCGGUCGACGGCAGUUGGCAAGACAUGCUCCCCAGCCCGAGAAUCUAGGCACGACAGCCACGCUUUCCCCAGAACCGUGGCGUAACACGCAAGAUCUCACAGAACCACGACAGCCACGCUUUCCCCAGAACCGUGGCGUAACACGCAAGAUCUCACAGAACCACGACAGCCACGCUUUCCCCAGAACCGUGGCGUAACACGCAAGAUCUCACAGAACCACGACAGCCACGCUUUCCCCAGAACCGUGGCGUAACACGCAAGAUCUCACAGAACCACGACAACCACGCUUUCCCCAGAACCGUGGCGUAACACGCAAGAUCUCACAGAACCACGACAGCCACGCUUUCCCCAGAACCGUGGCGUAACACGCAAGAUCCCACGUUUGCCCAUAACGCAGCAGUCAGAGUCCCAUACCGUCUCGGAAAAAGCGGAAAACUGGGAUUCAGGGGAAGCCUAUAAAAAGGUAGCCAACGAAGGUAAAAGGGUUGGCAUUUUUGAGAUUAUAAAAGAAAUGAAAAAAGAAGAGAAAACGACGAGAAAGCCAUAAGAUCUGUGGCAAGUGUCCCCCGAACCUUCAUAUCUGACUUGAGCGUCGGAGGGUUUGCGCCGGGAAAACAACCGGCGUACUCUGACUUGUCUGUGUGCGCAGGAACCUCUGGAGAAGAAGCCUCACGUGGAGACCUCCUGGUCGUGAAGAAGUUGAUCGGACAGAGAUCCUGGUCGUAGAACGAGGAGAACCAGAAUCCCGCAUCAACAUUUUGGCGCCGUCUGUGGGGAGUGGAGCAAAAAGCUUCUGUUGAUAGCAAGAAGAGGGGUGAAGCAAGUGAAAAGCAAUGGAGACAGGAGGAAGUAGUGCACAAGGGGGUGAUAGGAUUAACGAUUCCGUGACGCUGAGGGAGAUAGUCAGUGAAGCACGGGAAAAAGUCAUGUUCGACCGGAUGGAACGGAUAGAAAAGCAGAUGGAGACCUUGACAACCAUCCUGCAUGAGCUGCGGAGCGAGCGAAGUAUAAUCCAAGAGGGAAGGGUGAGAGGCGGUGGAGUGGCACCAGGUCCCGAUAGUGCGGGGAGAAGUCAAACCACCGGGAGAUUUGGUGGUGAGAGAGGUAACGUACCUCUGCGGGGAGAAUUUCAUAGAGAAAGAGAGCAGUCCCCGGCAAGACAGACUGGCGACGAGGACGACGGGGUGGUGAAUGCAGAGGAAACAGAGUUGAGGCAACACUUGCAUGAUGUAGAGCAAGAGCGGGAUUAAGUCGCAGCACGUGACCCUGGUCGUGCAGUGCAGCUGGAGGAGGAAGUGCGCAGACUAGCGCAGAUAAUCGACGACAUGCAAGGAAGGAACAGAGCCCCUGGUUGGAGGAUAAUGCUGGAUGGAGAAUCACCGCUCGCAGCAGAGAUCAUGAGGGCAGUUAUUCCGAGAGAUUUCCGCCUCCCAGACCUCAGAUACUCGGGAAGAACUGAUCCGUUGGUGCACAUAGAGCGCUUCAACGACAUAACUAGGGUACAAGGAUUAUCUCAAUCCCAAAGGUGCAGAGUGUUCCCACUAUCCCUUGAGGGACGUGCACGAGAAUGGUACAGGAAACUUCCUCGGGGCAGCAUUAAAACCUUCGAGCAGAUGUGCUAGGAAUUCGCGGAGCAGUUUAGUGGGGCAAUGGCGCCGGAAGAUGACAUGAUGGAGCUGAAAAGCAUGAAACAGGGGGAGCAAGAAACCCUUCGGGAAUUCAUCAAGAGGUUUCAUCGGGCUGUCCUCGACUUGGGAGCCUUCAACCACCCUCAGGCGUUAAGGGGAUUGAAAGAAGGGGUGAAGAUAGGAAGGCUGUGGUACAAUUUGAGAAGCCCAGCUAUUCAAACGUAUGCAGCCGCAUACGAACAGGCUAAGAGAGACAUCGAGAUUGAAGAGGAGAAGGCUGCACGGAUUAAGACAGACCAGUUAGAAGGGCUGGGGAGGAAAGAGAAGAAAGCAUUACCGGGGAAUGGGCCGAUCAGGAGGAGGGACCACCAGGCCUCCGGUAGUGGAGCAGGAGGUCGGGUAGCCGCUUACCAGCCUCAUCAAAGGCCACCACAGUAUCAGCGCAGCAGGGCGCAACCUCCUCGUUCCCCAGCUAGGGAGCCUUGGAAAAGGCAUGAGUCGGCAUCUGGUGGUCUCCAACAACACCCCCACGGUAUCAGAGCGAGCAGACCAGAAGUACUUCCACCGCCCCCAACUCAGAGCGGGGCAAACAGGGAAAGAGCAGUGCACCUGAUCGACCAGAACCCGGACUAUGGGCGGUACACUUCCUUGAAGAUGUCCCUGGAUGAGGUGUACGAGGCCAUAAAGGAUCGAGGGCUGCUACACCUCCCUACACCAAUAACAAAGCUACCUAACAGGAGGGAUAGAGGACGUUAUUGUAAGUUCCAUGGCACCCAUGGCCAUACCACAGCAGAGUGUAGAGAUCUCAAGACCCAGGUCGAAGAUUUGGUGAGAAAUCGGUACCUGGACGAGUUUAUGGAUGGGACUUUCCCGAUGGGGGCCACAACAGGUGAAGGGGAGCAGAGUGGCGGAAACGUGAGGCGCGAGCAGCCCGCAGUAAGGGUGAUAGCUGGGGGCCCGACAUUGGCCGGAGAUUCCAACAGAUCGAGAAAAAAUUAUGCUAGGUACGCCAUGACCAGUAAAGAGGUACUCCUCAACACCCCAGCAGCCAAACGAGCAAGGGUCAGGCAAGUGCCAAUCAUGUGGACGGAUGAGGAUGAGGAAGGGAUUCUAUACCCCCAUGAGGAUGCUUUAGUCAUCAAGGCUACUGUCGCUAGCAAGAAGUUUGACCGGAUACUGAUUGAUACAGGGAGCUCAGUUGAUGUGUUAUUUAAGUCAACCCUGGAAGAGAUGGGAAUAGCCGACCGGAAGUUGGAAUAUACCAAUACCUCCUUGAAGGGGUUCGGAGGAGGGAAGCUGGUCCCUCUGGGCGUGGUCGAGCUGCCUAUCACAAUUGGGAGCUCCCCGACAGAAAGAACAAUGAUACUGGACUUUGUCGUAGUGGAUGAGGAAGGUCCUUACCAGAUGAUCCUAGGUCGGCCAUUUUUAAGGAUGAGCAAAGCGGUGUUGUCCAAUCAUUAUCUGGCUCUGAAGUACCGGGUGAACGGGGUAGUAGGAGUGGUACGAGGAGACCAGAGGAUCGCAAGAAGCUGCUACUCCUCGGCAGCAAGGGAAGCAAUGCAGAUAACAUCCCUCGAUACCCGAGUGGAAAACAAGAAGGGCAGACAAGAACCUGUAGAGGAUCUGGAAACAGUAAGCCUGGGACCAGAGAACCCGGGAAAGAUGAUCAGAAUCGGGUCGAGACUUAAGGGAGAGCAAAAGCAGGAGUUGGUGAAAUGCUUACAGGCUCAUGCUGAUGUGUUUGCUUGGACACAUGAAGACAUGCCAGGGAUUGACCCUGAGGUAGCAUGUCAUAAGCUGGCAAUAAAGAAAGGUGCUCGGGCAGUAAGGCAGAAGAGGAGGUGUUUCAACCAGGAGAGGUAUGAGGCUAUAAAUGGCGAGGUGGAGAAGCUCUUGAGAGCAGGGUUCAUUCGGGAAGUCAGUUACCCUGAGUGGAUAUCGAAUGUGGUGUUGGUAAAGAAGGCAAACGGCAAGUGGAGGAUGUGUGUGGAUUUCACAGACCUCAAUAAGGCGUGCCCAAAAGACAGCUUCCCUUUACCAAAGAUCGAUCAGCUAGUAGAUUCAACGGCUGGACAUGGUCUGCUUAGCUUCAUGGACGCGUUCUCGGGAUACAACCAGAUCCCCAUGUACGAGCAGGAUGAGGAGAGCACGGCUUUCAUCACUAACCAAGGUUUGUUCUGUUACAGGGUAAUGCCAUUCGGUCUCAAAAAUGCCGGGGCCACCUAUCAAAGGCUGGUGAACAAAGUCUUUAAGCCGUUGAUUGGGAAAACCAUGGAGGUGUACGUGGAUGACAUGAUCACCAAGUCCAAAAUCCCGGAGGAACAUGUCAGACACCUCGAGGAGACAUUCGAGCUUUUGAGGAAGUAUAAGAUGAAGCUCAACCCGGAGAAGUGUGCUUUUGGGGUCGAGUCGGGGAAAUUCCUUGGAUUCAUGGUGAGCCAUAGGGGGAUUGAAGCAAAUCCCGAGAAAAUCCAGGCGAUUGUGCAAAUGACGUCUCCCCGUAACCUGAAGGAGAUGCAGAGCCUCACGGGGAGGUUGGCGGCGUUGAGCAGAUUCAUAGCCAAGGCUACAGAUAAGUGUCAGCCGUUCUUUCAAGUGAUGAGGAGGGGAAAGAAAACAGAAUGGACCUCAGAAUGCGAGGAAGCCUUCCGGAACUUGAAGCAAUACUUGCAGCAAGCUCCGCUGCUGUCCACACCGAGGGAUGGGGACAAGUUAUAUCUGUAUUUAGCGGUAUCGGCUCGGGCCGUCAGUUCUGUUCUGGUGAGAGAGGAAGAAGGAGUUCAGUAUCCGAUAUAUUACACCAGCAAGGCCCUGCUCGACGCUGAGACCAGAUACCCACCGUUGGAGAAAUGGGCACUUGCCCUUGUGGUUGCUGCUCGGAAGUUGAGGCCAUAUUUUCAAGCAUUCCCGGUCUUGGUAAUAACAAACCAGCCAUUGCGUCAAACUCUGCACAAGCCAGAUGCCUCUGGUCGGCUCGUCAAGUGGGCUGUAGAGCUGAGCGAGUUCGACAUAGACUAUAAGCCCCGCGCAGCGAUAAAAGCCCAGGCAAUGGCCGAUUUCGUAGCUGAAUUCACAGAGCCCGAAGUAUGCUUAGAUCAACAAGAGGCAGAUAUAGGCAAUGACGAAACUCAAGUAUGGCAGAUGUCUGUGGAUGGGUCAUCAGGGGAGCGGGGUUCAGGAGUAGGGAUUGUCUUGGAAGGCCCAGAGGGGGAGGAGAUCUCUUAUGCUGUAAAAUUGGAAUUUGCAGCCACGAAUAACCAGGCAGAGUAUGAAGCCUUGAUAGCAGGUCUGGAAUUGGCUAAGGCCGUGAAAGCAAACAAAGUUAAGAUCAGAACUGAUUCCCAGCUGGUAGCGAAUCAUGUCAGUGAAAGAUUCCAACCAAGAGAGGAGAAGAUGGGGCAGUACCUGAAGAUAGUCAAGCAGAUGAUGGGGAAGUUCGAAGCAGUGGAGGUGAUACAGAUCCCCAGGGAGCAGAAUAGUCGAGCAGACAUUUUGGCUAGGAUGGCAGCAGUAGCCGACCCAAAAAUGCCAAAGUCGGUCCCUCUGGAGGUGAAGUCCGGCCCAAGUAUCGAUCAGAAUUUGGGGGUGAUGCGGAUAGAACAAAAAUGCUCGUGGAGGGACCCGAUAGUUUCAUACCUUAGAGACGGGGUAUUACCACCAGAUAAGAUGCGAGCUCGCAAGCUUAGAGCCCAGGCCUCGAGAUACACGAUGAUUGAUGGGGUACUGUAUCGGCGAGGAUAUACACUACCGUUCCUUCGGUGUUUGGAUGAGGACGACGCGGAUUACGUACUAAGAGAAGUACACGAAGGAAUUUGCGGAAAUCAUUCUGGCGGGAGGUCCCUGGCCCAUAAGGUUCUAAGGCAGGGAUAUUUCUGGCCGACAAUGCACCAGGAUGCGCAAGAGAAGACCAGGAGUUGUGUAAGUUGCCAGAGUUUUGCAAAUUUCUCUAACCAACCACCAGAGAAGCUUACCUCCAUGACCUCCCCCUGGCCAUUUGCUCAAUGGGGAAUUGAUCUGAUCGGCCCAUUGCCAAAGGCACGGGGAGCAGCAACACAUGCAAUAGUUGCUAUAGAUUACUUCACGAAGUGGAUAGAGGUAGAAGCCCUUAGCAGGAUCACAGAGAAGAAAACAACAGACUUCGUGUGGAGAAACCUGGUCUGUCGAUACGGGAUCCCUUAUGCCUUGGUAACGGAUAAUGGCAGGCAGUUCGAUAACCACAGCUUCAGGGAUUUCUGCCAGAACCUCGGGAUAGAGCUGAAGUAUUGCUCGCCUGCUCACCCUCAAUUGAAUGGACAAGUAGAAGCAGCCAACAAGACCAUCAAGAGGCUUUUAAAAACCAGGCUUGGAGCAAAAAAGGGUGCGUGGGUUGACGAGCUGUCAGGUGUGCUAUGGGCAUACAGAACAACCCACAAAACCGCAACUGGGGAGACACCGUUCGCUUUGGCUUUCGGACAUGAAGCGGUCGUGCCGGCUGAGAUAGGAACGACCACACACCGGACAAAUCAUUUCAAUGAGCAGGAGAACGACGAGCAGAUAUGUUUGAAUCUUGAUCUGCUAACGGAAAGGUGGGAGCAAGCAGCCGAGCGAUCAGUCAUUUACCAACAGAGGGUUGCUCGGUAUUAUAACCAGAAGGUGAACAUACGGCAAUUCAGGGUCGGAGACUGGGUACUGAGAAGAGUGAAUCAGAGCACCAAAGAUUCGACUCAAGGAGUGCUGGGACCGAAUUGGGAAGGGCCAUAUAGAGUCAAGCAGAUAGCGGGACCCGGAGCUUACAGGCUGGUUCGCACGGACGGCCACGAGGUGAAACGCCCAUGGAACGCAGCACACCUCCGAAAAUACUUCCAGUAAGACUUGUUCACAUGUGAAAACUAUUUUUGCUCAUGUUCAUUACCGUUUAUCUUUCACGCUUAUUGUCCAAACAAUUUCAUGUAAGUCGAAUCCUGCCAUUAAUGGAACGUCGAGGAAUUUCUUUCGCUUGAAACCGAGAAAAUUUUCCAAGGCAUGCAAAGGCUCACCAAGUCUCAAAGCCUGUCUUAUGGCGAGACAGAAGCCAAGCAUGCCAGGAUCUGCUCGGCCACGAGAAGGCAAGCAGAAUCCCAAUCCUCGAAGAAUCCAAGGCAUGCAAAGGCUCACCAAGUCUCAAAGCCUGUCUUAUGGCGAGACAGAAGCCAAGCAUGCCAGGAUCUGCUCGGCCACGAGAAGGCAAGCAGAAUCCCAAUCCUCGAAGAAUCCAAGGCAUGCAAAGGCUCACCAAGUCUCAAAGCCUGUUUUAUGGCGAGACAGAAGCCAAGCAUGCCAGGAUCUGCUCGGCCACUAGAAGGCGAGCAGACUCCAAAGCAUUCGAAGAAAUGCCCAAGGCAUGCAAAGGCUCGACAAAGUCUCAAAGCCUGUUUUAUGGCGAGACAGAAGCCAAGCAUGCCAGGAUCUGCUCGGCCACUAGAAGGCGAGCAGACUCCAAAGCAUUCGAAGAAAUGCCCAAGGCAUGCAAAGGCUCGACAAAGUCUCAAAGCCUGUUUUAUGGCGAGACAGAAGCCAAGCAUGCCAGGAUCUGCUCGACUACUAGAAGGCGAGCAGACUCCAAAGCAUUCGAAGAAAUGCCCAAGGCAUGCAAAGGCUCGACAAAGUCUCAAAGCCUGUUUUAUGGCGAGACAGAAGCCAAGCAUGCCAGGAUCUGCUCGGCCACUAGAAGGCGAGCAGACUCCAAAGCAUUCGAAGAAAUGCCCAAGGCAUGCAAAGGCUCGACAAAGUCUCAAAGCCUGUUUUAUGGCGAGACAGAAGCCAAGCAUGCCAGGAUCUGCUCGGCCACUAGAAGGCGAGCAGACUCCAAAGCAUUCGAAGAAAUGCCCAAGGCAUGCAAAGGCUCGACAAAGUCUCAAAGCCUGUUUUAUGGCGAGACAGAAGCCAAGCAUGCCAGGAUCUGCUCGACUACUAGAAGACGAGCAGACUCCAAAGCAUUCGAAGAAAUGCCCAAGGCAUGCAAAGGCUCGACAAAGUCUCAAAGCCUGUUUUAUGGCGAGACAGAAGCCAAGCAUGCCAGGAUCUGCUCGACUACUAGAAGGCGAGCAGACUCCAAAGCAUUCGAAGAAAUGCCCAAGGCAUGCAAAGGCUCGACAAAGUCUCAAAGCCUGUUUUAUGGCGAGACAGAAGCCAAGCAUGCCAGGAUCUGCUCGACUACUAGAAGGCGAGCAGACUCCAAAGCAUUCGAAGUAAUGCCCAAGGCAUGCAAAGGCUCGACAAAGUCUCAAAGCCUGUUUUAUGGCGAGACAGAAGCCAAGCAUGCCAGGAUCUGCUCGACUACUAGAAGGCGAGCAGACUCCAAAGCAUUCGAAGUAAUGCCCAAGGCAUGCAAAGGCUCGACAAAGUCUCAAAGCCUGUUUUAUGGCGAGACAGAAGCCAAGCAUGCCAGGAUCUGCUCGACUACUAGAAGGCGAGCAGACUCCAAAGCAUUCGAAGUAAUGCCCAAGGCAUGCAAAGACUCACCAAGUCUCAAAGCCUGUUUUAUGGCGAGGCAGAAGCCAAACGUGCCAGGAUCUGCUCGACCACUAGAAGGCGAGCAGUCUCCAAAGCAUUCGAAGAAUCUCCAAAGGCAUGUGGCAAAACCAUGAGCCAAGCCGGAACCUGCUCGUCUAGACAGAGACAAGCAGAUUCUCAACCGAAAAUUAAUUCAUAAUUACAUCACAAGAAAGUAAUCAAAAACCAUUUUUAUUAAUUUGUUAAUAAUUAACAGAGGGGAUAAUCUUCAUGAACAUUGUUCAUUACAAUACAAGAAAUAUAUCAGGAAGAUGGUGGACCAGUAAGCCCGGCAGCAUCGGUUGGCUGGACCUCCUCAGGUGCAGGAGGGGUAUCACCAGUUGCGUCCGGGGGGUGCUCGCCUCGCCAACAUCAGCAGGGACUGCACGAGCAGGAGAGUCUUCCUCCUCAAUCACGAUCGGCUCUACCCCAUCGGCAUCUUCCUUGGCCGCCUCCUCAUCCAUAUGUUGAGCAACACCAGCUGCAAGGUCAUCCAUCUUCAGAUCAGGGUGUUGCUUCCCGAGGACGGCCAUGAUGCAACGAUAGGAAUGCCGAAGUCCCUGGUCGUACUGGUUGUCAGCCUCCCUCUCCAAGUUCUCGACCUGAGCUCGGUGGGAGUCGCGGAGAGAUUCGAGCUGAGCCUCAUACAUAGCCUUCUGCCUUUGCAGAUCCUCCUUGACCGUGGUAAGCUCCUCCUCGAGGGAAAUGGCUUUUGCUUGAGCAAGUGAUUCUUGCUCUAUUAACUUCAGAUUCUCGAGAUUCAGCUCCCCUGCUUUCUUCUCGGCAACGUCAGCUCUGGUCGUCGCCGAUUGAAUAUCCUCCUUCAUCUUCCGGUCGUAGCGGCCAACCUUAGCCUUGUAAUAGGUGGUCAUGCAGCUGAGGUGGAAAGCGCUAUGCUGCAUGGCCCCCACCAGCUCACCCAAGGUGCGGCCGUCAAAGUCCUCCAAGUCCUUCUUGCUCAUGAGUUUAGUUAACUCAUUGAGGUAGGGGACCAGGUGUUCUGCUCGGCUGUCAGGUAAGCGAGAUCGAGGCCCGACAGGAGGAAAAGAGGAAGCAGGAUCUGUAGCUGCUCCACUAGCUUCCCCGACUUUUACAGGAGCAGGAGGUAAAAUCUUCAAGGGUGGGACCUGCUGCAUGAUGUUGGCCCGCUUUGCAGCAGGGGCAUUCUUAUUCUGGUCCCUCUUCGUGGUGGGAGGUCGGGAACGUUUUCGGGUCAGAGCCCCAAUCACAGCGUCCUCCAUCCUAUGGCCAGGAAGUAUCAAGCGAGACUCGAGCAAGUUGUAUGUAGUUAGCAGUUCUCGGCUCGAGCAGGAAUUGGCUAGUACAGCCUCGACCCGUUUGAGCUGGUCAGGUUCAAGCGGGAAGUGGACACCCCAAGAAACUACAACACAAACAGACACUUGGUUAGAGACAAGCCAAUAAAGCAAGAACAAUUAUGGAUGCAAGACAUCUAGAGCGAGCAGGCAACCUGGGACCGUGAAACGGGGUGGGACGCGACAAUCCUUCCCGCCUAUUUGUGCAACUUGACCCCAAGGACCCCCAGCAAAAAAGAAUUUCCUCUUCCAAGCCCCACCACCACCGGUUGGAAGAUCGGUUAUGGAUUUCCGGCUCUUGGUGCUAGAUUGGAAGUAGUACCAGCCGGCAUCUUUGGGGCUGCUCUUUAGCUGGUACAAGUGCUUCACCUCGUCAACCGUGGGCUCGCUUUGGCAACAUCUGUCCCACAAUAUGAACAGACCAGAGAGCACUCUCCACCCAUUGGGAUUCAGCUGACCAGGAGCUAGAUUUAGCCCGUUAAGUAUCCGGGCAAAGUAGGGUUGCAAGGGACACCUCAGCCCGUACUUAAAGCUCUCUAGAAACAGGGUAACGUAUCCCCUAGGAGGCCGGCUGGGAGCAUCCUUCUUUCCUGGGACCUUGAGAGGUAUCUCACCAGGAAUGCUAUACCUAAGCUGGAGGUCAUUGAGCUCGUCAAACAAGGUCGUGCACGUCAUGUAAUCAAUGGCAUAAUCGCGCGACAAGGCUCUGCCUCCUACUGUACCCCGUUCCUCUAGUCGUGAUGUUCCAGAUGGAGACACCUCACCAGAGUCACCUUCCCCAUUCUCACUUAAGGUGUCCUCAGAGCCAGAAGGUCCCCCCUCACCAUUGCUUCCGCUCGUGGAGGUUGUUUGGGGGGACAUCCUCCUAGCACUAGUCCCGACACUAAACCUAAUGGGUUCUAAGGGGAUCCCGGGGUCAAAAGCCGGAUCAGUGAGCAGACUAGGCAGGAAACUUAGUUCGUCGUCAUCAAUCUCAACGACUUUCUCCUUACCUUUCGACAUUCCCUAAGCCCUAACCACAACACCACCAACUACUACCUAAACAGAAGAGAAGAGAAAUUAUCUACAACUAUCCGAGACCAAGGAGAUAGAAGAAAUACCUGAAGUAAUGGUUCAGUCGGUGAAAGUCAGAGAUGGAGGCCUUUUAUGCCGGAACUUCUUUGCCGGAGAAACAGAGACGGAGACGGAGUGAAUGAUGAAUAUGCCGUUCGAGAGGAUUUGGUUUUCCUAAUGAAGACGGACUCUUGGGUUGCCAGCAUUUAACGGCGCCGAAUCCCGAGGGUCUCAUAACCGUCGGUUUGAAAUUCAAAUGAAGGGGGGGAUUUCUGCCACGUCACCUCGUCCGCAAUUAAAUGCGACAUGACUCUUGGCAGCCUUUUCCAAUCCCACGCGGGCGAGUACUAACGAGUUUCUACUGCUGGUCCACUACAUUACCCAACACCAGAAACUGGGGGACCGGUGUUUGGGAGAAAUACGUCGAUGAGACCAGGCAUGGUGAGCAGAUAUCUGAUGGCAGAGUUCUGCGAACCGGUGUGUUCCGUAAAAGCCUGGUGCACGGGGGAACAUGAGCAGAAGUAUCCUGCUCGUCCACGAGCACGUCAUCCGCGAGGCAAAUUUCCUGUAAGAGGCAUAAGGUCAUUCCGGCUAGAGGUCGAGAGGCGAGGAGACCCGGUCGACGGCAGUUGGCAAGACAUGCUCCCCAGCCCGAGAAUCUAGGCACGACAGCCACGCUUUCCCCAGAACUGUGGCGUAACACGCAAGAUCUCACAGAACCACGACAGCCACGCUUUCCCCAGAACCGUGGCGUAACACGCAAGAUCUCACAGAACCACGACAGCCACGCUUUCCCCAGAACCGUGGCAUAACACGCAAGAUCUCACAGAACCACGACAGCCACGCUUUCCCCAGAACCGUGGCGUAACACGCAAGAUCUCACAGAACCACGACAGCCACGCUUUCCCCAGAACCGUGGCGUAACACGCAAGAUCCCACGUUUGCCCAUAACGCAGCAGUCAGAGUCCCAUACCGUCUCAGAAAAAGCGGAAAACUGGGAUUCAGGGGAAGCCUAUAAAAAGGUAGCCAACGAAGGUAAAAGGGUUGGCAUUUUUGAGAUUAUAAAAGAAAUGAAAAAAGAAGAGAAAACGACGAAAAAGCCAUAAGAUCUGUGGCAAGUGUCCCCCGAACCUUCAUAUCUGACUUGAGCGUCGGAGGGUUUGCGCCGGGAAAACAACCGGCGUACUCUGACUUGUCUGUGUGCGCAGGAACCUCUGGAGAAGAAGCCUCACGUGGAGACCUCCUGGUCGUGAAGAAGUUGAUCGGGCAGAGAUCCUGGUCGUAGAACGAGGAGAACCGGAAUCCCGCAUCAACAGAACUUGUACUUGUCCUGUGAUCCGUACAUGCGACCACGAAUGACCUACAUCGAAGGAUCUUACGUUGAAUCCUUUAAACCUGGCUUGGUUAGUGCACUCGCUCAUGGCCACGCUUUUCAUUUCCAUGGCUUCUUGCUCUUUUGUUAUAGAAAAUUUAUUUUUGGUUGCAGUUUGAUUCGACUGCUAAAAUCUCGUGCGAUAAUUGUAUAAGAUAUCUAGAGUUUGAACUUCUUUCACAUUAGGGUUCAAGGAAGUUAACUUAAAUGAUUUUCAAAAUUUUAAAUGUGUACCAAAGAAUUUAAUUUCAUAGCUUAAACUUAUAUUUUGAUCAUACUCUAACUUUGGACAGGAAAAAUUAUAUUUUUCCUUUAGUUCUUUGCCUUGGUGUAUGUUGUGUGAAGUACUUGUGCUUGAAAAUGAAUUGCUGACACAGAAAUUUCUAUGAAUGCAUGCAGCCCAUAAGUGGAUAUGGGGUGGGUAAAGUUUUGGAUUCAGAGAAUCCAGAGUUCAACAAAGGUGACUUGGUUUGGGGAAUGACUGGAUGGGAAGAGUAUAGUCUCAUUACGGCUCCACACUUGUUUAAAAUUCAACACACAGAUGUGCCUCUUUCUUACUAUACUGGAAUCCUCGGUAAACUUUUUGUUUGCACAAUUUAUGUGAGCAAAUUGUGUCUUCUUUUUCAUAUGUAAAUGUUUUUGAUAUCUUGAUGUGAAGGUAGAAAAUUGCAUGUUUUGAGUUUUUGCAUAUUUGAUGGAAACACAGAACUGUACCUGAAUCUUUCAGAACCCCCUUCUCUUUGAAGUUUGAACACUUUUCUUGAAUGUAUCAACUUUAUUUAUGGGAUAUGUUGCCAAAUUGGAAAAUCUAUUCGUUAUAAAACUUUCCUUUGACAGUUUAAUCUAAGCAGAUGUUAAUUCUGCAAAUAGAGUGUGCCUUAGAUUAGUUUCAUAGAUUUGUCUCCUUCUGUACAGUAAAAACUUUGAGCAUUUUCGCCAUAUUCUGAUCAAUACACUCCAACUAGUUAGUUCUUGAGGCGUUUUAUGGUUUCGUGGAGUGAGGCAAGAUGUAUACGUUUGCAAAUUGGCAAUGUCUUUCUCUUGAUGGGUUGAGAGUUGUGAGUGUCAACAGGAAACAAGACCUCUGUUUUAUGAACUCCAAAAAGUUAUUCUGUUAAAAAGAUCGAGACAGAGGCCAUACUAUAUUUAUUAUUGCUAUAAAAGUGUGAAAAAAUAUUCUUUAUUUAAUAUUCUAAACGAUUGAGCCAUUUAGUUAUGAUACUCUGCUGUAUUGGGGCUAAUAAUCUAAGUCGGUUCAAAGUGGUAAAUUUAUAAAUUGAUAGGUAUGCCUGGUAUGACCGCUUACGUUGGAUUUUAUGAGGUCUGCUCUCUUAAGCAAGGAGAGUGUGUCUUCAUAUCCGCAGCAUCUGGUGCAGUUGGACAGCUUGUGGGGCAGUUUGCAAAGUUAUUGGGUUGCUAUGUCGUCGGAAGUGCUGGAAGCAAAGACAAGGUAUGUAAAAUUAGAAUUUGAUCAACAGAUUUGGAGUGUUUGUUUACAGAGAAAAUCUAAGAGAAAAUGUAAGAAACUUUAGCUGAGAAUAUUCAUUUUGUUCAACUUAAUAACAGAAUGAGAUUACAAAGCUUAUAUACUGCUAUCAAGAAUCAUCUUAACACAUACAUCAUUUUCACGUGUAUUUAUCUUUGAAAGAAGCUAAAUAACCAGCUUAACAAACUCACAACUACUUUGCUGACUGGACUGCCACGUCACCAUAACUAACUUAACUAAUCCAAUCAGUUAAUCACAGUUAACACAUAUUCUUAUCAUCCCCCCUCAAGCUUAAGUUCGGGGAAGGACAUUAAGCUUGGUACGAAGAUAAGCAAACUGAUCAAAAGAGAGGGGCUUGGUGAGAAUGUCUGCAAGUUGUUCUGAACUGGAAACAUGACUGAUCGUGAGUUGCUUCUGGGCAAUAUGCUCUCGAAUAAAAUGAAGAUCCAACUCAAUGUGCUUUGUUCGAGAGUGAUACUUAGGAUUGCUAGCUAAUGCCUCAGCACUCUGAUUAUCACAUUAUAGAACAGGACUUUGAGUUGGCUGAAUUUGCAGUUCUUGAAGCAAAUAAGUGAGCCAAAGAAUUUCAGAGGUUGCCGAAGCAAGAGCUCUAUAUUCAGACUCUGCUGAGGAACGAGAAACAAUGGUUUGUUUCUUGGAGGACCAAGAAAUAAUAUUGUUUCCUAAGAAUACACAAUACCCUCCAGUAGACUUUCGAUCAUCAGGAUCAGCUGCCCAAUCAGCAUCAGAAAAUGCUGUUAAAGUCACAGAGCCUGAAUUGAAGAAUUGAAUCCCAAAGUGUGAAGUAGCUUGAAGAUAUCGAAGAACCCUUUUACAAGCUUGCCAGUGUGCAAUGGUUGGAUGAGCUAGGAACUGACUAAGCUUGUUAACAGGAUAAGCUAUAUCAGGUCUUGUUAGCAACACAUACUGAAGAGAGCCCACAAUACUUCUGUAUAAUGAGGGAUUAUCAAAAACUUCACCACUGUCCUUUGUAAGCUUAUCACCUGGACUCAUAGGAGUAUUAAAACCUUUGCUGUCAAGCAUAUUUACUUUUCUAAGGAUAUCACCAAUGUAUUUGGUCUGAGAUAAAUGCAGUCCCUGAACAGAGGGUGUUACUUCAGUACCAAGAAAGUAGUUAAACUCUCCUAGAUCUUUGAGUGCAAACUCUGAAUGAAGAUAUUGAAUAACAGCCUCAAUAUGUUGAGAAUUAGAACCAGUAACUAAAAUAUCAUCAACAUAUAUAAGAAUGAGCACAAUAUCAUGGUCAAUAUGCUGAAUAAACAUGGAUGUAUCAGAUUUUGAGGAUUGAAAACCUUUAUGGAGUAAGGACCCUUUCAACCUCUCAUACCAAGCUCUAGGAGCUUGCUUGAGACCAUAUAAGGCUUUGUUUAACUUGCAAACAUAUGAUGGAUUUGCAAAGUCUAUAAAACCUUGUGGCUGAUGCAUGAACACAUCCUCUUCAAGCAUACCAUUGAGAAACGCAUUAUUAACAUCCAGCUGUCUAAUCUGCCAAUGAUGCAACACUGCUAGACUGAGGACAACUCUGACUGUGCAAGGUUUCACAACUGGGCUGAAGGUCUCAAAGAAAUCCACCCCUUGAGUUUGAUGAUAACCCUUGGCAACCAACCUAGCUUUGUAUUUGGAAAUGCUGCCAUCAGGGUUAUACUUCACCCUAAAUACCCACUUAUUACCAACUAUUUUAGCAGCACUUUCAGAGGGCACUAGAGUCCAGGUUUGAUUUCUUUGCAGAGCAUCAAAUUCCUCUUUCAUAGCACAAAACCACUUGGAGUCAUGCAAGGCACUUUUGACACUAGUUGGCUCAAGAUUUUCAGUAGCUGCUAGAUAUGACUUGGGUUUGAAGAUACCAGCUUUAGCUCUAGUAAUCAUUGGGUGAGAUGGUAAUGAAGAUGAGUGAGUUGGUUCAGCUGAAGGAUGAGAAUAAGAAGGUUGUGCUGAACUGGAACUUGAUGGAGGAGACAUUGCUGAAUGAAAAUUAGGAGAUGAUGACUCUACAUUGCUACUGUCAACCUGAGCAGAAGUUUGAAGAAAAGAAAGUUGUACUGGUGAAGAAGGGACAUCAACAUUGGAGACUUGUGAGGUAGAGUGUUUUAGAAACAAUUCUGUGUUAGGAAACUCAGUUUCAUUAAAAACAACAUGUCGAGCAACAAACACUUUACCAGAUGAAUUUAAACACUUAUAACCUUUAUGAAGUGGACUGUAACCAAUGAAAAUACAUUUUUGAGUAUGAAAGUCAAGUUUAUGCUGGUUAUAAGGUCUGAGGAAUGGAAAACAGGAGCAACCAAAAACCUUUGGAAACUGAUAGUCAGGCAGAUGAUUAUGUAAUUUCUGAAAUGGGGAUAGAUUGUUUAGAACUGAUGUGGGCAUUCUGUUGAUAAGGAAAGAAGCAGUGUGGAAUGCUUCCCACCAAAAGGAGAGAGGUAACUGUGAUUGAGCUAGAAGUGUCAGACCUGUUUCAACAAUAUGCCUGUGUUUCCUCUCAACAACACCAUUUUGAUGGUGUGUAUAUGGACAACUAUACCUAAAACAUAUACCCUCUUGCUGAAGAAAGGUUUUAAAAGCUAUAAAUUCACCCCCCAUAUCUGACUGUAGUGUUUUGAUAGACAAGGAGAACUGUUUUUCAACAAGAAGUUUGAAGUGUUUGAAGGUUUCUAAGGCUUCUGACUUUGCUGUGAGAGGAAAAAUCCAAGAAUAUCGAGUGAAAUCAUCCACAAAAGAGAUAUAAUAUCUGUAUCCACUCAUUGAAUAUUCAGGAGCUGGUCCCCAUAAAUCUGUAUAUAGAAGCUCAAGUGGUGCUUUUGUUUUAAUGGUAGUGACAGAAAAAUGAAGCUGAUGCAUUUUGCCAUGUUGACAAGCAUCACAGAAGCUAAUGAAUUUAUUUGAAAAGCAAUGUGUGGGAAGACUUUUAAUAAUUGUUUGCAAAGCAUGUUUAUUGGGAUGACCAUAUCUAUUAUGUAACAACUGAACUGAUAUCUUUCCAGCUCUAGAAGAAUUUCCAGAAACAGAACAUGCAAAAGCUUCAGACAUAUUUACAUUAUCCAACUUUGACACAUGAUUAUUUGACUCUGGUAAAGAGUUUACAACUUUAUUAUCAAAACAAAAUGACAACAUGGAACUUGGUUUAAAAAGAUUUGGAUUGCAAUCUGCAGAGUAAGGAGAGAAGACAUCAAGUGACAGUAGCUUGUAAAGACCACCUUUAACAAUCCCCUGUGCCAGCAAAGUUCCCUCCUUCUUGUCCUUAAUAAAGCACAUGGUGGAACAAAAUUCAAUGAUUAUGUUAUUAUCCAAAAGAAGUUUAGAUAUACUGAUGAGGUUUUUGGUUAUUUUAGGAACACACAAAGUAUUGGUUAAGGAUAAACAUGUGCCAAAAGAAGUAGAAAGAUGAGUGCAGCCAAUAUGUGUGAUAGUAAGACCUUGUCCAUUUCCAACAAACAACAGUUGAGUACCAUUAUAAGGAUUACCUUCAACCAGGUUUUGCACAUUGUUGGUGAGAUGAUGAGUGGCUCCACUGUCCAGAUACCAUCCCUGAUCAGCAACUCCUUCUGAGGUAGCCAUAUAAGCUGUUCUUGGCCCUGGGUUCUGCAUUGGAGAAUUUGAAACAAAAUUUCUGUUAAAUCUGUUUCUACAAUCAACAGCUGAAUGGUUUGGUUUAAAACAUAUUUGGCAGGUAAUAUUUCCUCUGCCACCUCCUCUACCAAAGCCACCAGAGGACCCUGGAUUUCCACCAUUAAAACCACCAUUUCCACUAAAUCCACCAGUAUUUCCAUUAAAACCACCAGAGUUUGAACCUCUUCCUUGGUUUCCAAACCAGCCUCUCCCUGAGUUUUGAUCCAUAAAGCCACCUCUGCCAGAUCCAUAACCUCCUCUAUUGUUGAAAUUUCCAUUUCCAUUUCUAUUCACAAAAUUAACAUUCCAAUUACCCUGGUUAUUAGUAUUCCAAUUAGCAUUGCUUCCUGACUUCUUCUGAUUAUUACCAGUCUGAGCCACAUUAGCACUAAAAUUCACCUUAGUUUCCUUAGCUACACCAGAAUGAUUACUCUCAAGCCUAGCUUCAUGAGAUAGCAACAUAGAAUAAGCCUCAUUGAUGCUCAUUUUAAGAGCAUUUGCCUCAAUAUAAACUACAACAGGAUAGUAAGCCUGACCUAGCCCUGAGAUUAAAUGUGUAAUGAAGUCAAUAGAGCUAACUGAACUUCCAGCCAUUGCUAAUUCAUCAGUUACUGACCUUAGUUUACAAAAAUAUUCAGUAAUUGACAUGGAUCCUUUCUUAAGAUUGUUUAGCAGCAUCUUUAAAUGCACUUUCUUAGCUGCUGUUUCAAAUCCAAACUGUUCCUCUAAGCUUAUCCAAAGUUCUCGAGAGUUUUUAGAAUUUACCACAAUGCUUAAGAUCUCCACACUGAUUGAAGAUAGAAGCCAGCUCAAGAUCAUCUGAUCUUGCCUUUUCCAAGUAGUGUAGGCAGGAUUUUCUGAGAUGACUGCCGCAUCUGUGCUUGUUGAUUCACCAGUCAGCAGCUGGUUUGGACAGGUACGUGAUCCAUCAAGAAAACCUUCCAGAUCAUUUGCUCGAAUGGCUGAAAGGAUCUGAGAUUUCCAUAUAGUAUAAUUCGAUCUGUCAAGCUUGAUUGGUGUGGCGAAAGUAAAUGUUGAGAUUGCGGAAGAAACAUUUGUACUAAGACUUGAAGAAGCCAUGAUCAAGAAGUGAUUCAAGGCUCUGAUACCAAAUUAGAAUUUGAUCAACAGAUUUGGAGUGUUUGUUUACAGAGAAAAUCUAAGAGAAAAUGUAAGAAACUUUAGCUGAGAAUAUUCAUUUUGUUCAACUUAAUAACAGAUUGAGAUUACAAAGCUUAUAUACUGCUAUCAAGAAUCAUCUUAACACAUACAUCAUUUUCACGUGUAUUUAUCUUUGAGAGAAGCUAAAUAACCAGCUUAACAAACUCACAACUACUUUGCUGACUGGACUGCCACGUCACCAUAACUAACUUAACUAAUCCAAUCAGUUAAUCACAGUUAACACAUAUUCUUAUCAUGUAAUCUGUGUGAAGUACUUGAUUGUUUCCAUGUUACUUUCAAACAUUUAAAUUAAAAAGGAAAUUUUCAUAAUCUUGCCUUUUCUAUGAUUUUCAAAACCAAGGUUGAUCUACUGAAGAACAAGUUUGGGUUCGACGAGGCAUUUAACUAUAAAGAAGAAGCUGAUUUGAAUGCAGCAUUGAAAAGGUUAGCAUCAAUAAAUGCCUUAGCUUGAUGCAGCUUGAUGAAGUAUGAUACACAUUUCUGACCAAUAUACUGCGUUCCCUGAUCUCUUACUUGAAAUAUCUUGGUUUGAGAACCUCAUGCCAAUGCCUUUAACAUUUUGGCAGGUACUUUCCUGAAGGAAUUGAUAUAUAUUUUGAAAACGUUGGUGGAAAAACGCUUGAUGCAGUGCUACCCAACAUGAAAAUCCGUGGUCGAAUUGCUGCAUGCGGUAUGAUCUCACAGUACAAUCUUGACAAGCCUGAAGGUGUGCACAACUUGAUGUAUCUUGUUUUGAAACGGCUUCGAAUGGAAGGAUUCAUUGUUCUCGAUCACUAUCACCUUUAUCCAAAGUUUCUGGAAAUGAUCAUUCCUCACAUCAAAGAAGGGAAGCUUGUAUACGUCGAAGACAUGGCUGAAGGUCUGGAGAGUGCUCCGGCAGCUCUCAUCGGUCUAUUCUCUGGCCAGAAUGUUGGGAAACAGGUGGUUGCUGUUGCUCCUGAAUGAAGAACAAGUUAGUGUUGUAUGUUCUUUUACCCUUUGACACAAAACUUCAAUGUCAAAGAGAGAAUGCUGCUCAUACUGCUUUAUAAAAUAAUCAAAUGAGUGCAAGUUUCAUGAUAUUUGCUGAAUAAAAUAUUGGAAAUUAAGCAGCUAGCCUAGCUCCUUCUUGUAGUUGCAGUUUGAAUGAUGCUGCUGCACAACUGCUGCCGAAAAAAAUCCUUAAUAGAUGAUUAGCAAGGUUUCAAAAAUAAAAAUAAAUGUUUGUGCAAUGUGCCGAAUAUGACAGCCACAAAGAAAGAGCAUACAAAUUGAUUGGUUUUAUGUCUUCUCUAGGAGAAAGCUACAAUACAAGAAAUUGUAUUGAUGGAGCCUUGGACCAAAUUUCUUAUUUAAAUUUUUAAUUUUUUUUAUUAAAUUACUUAUGUUAUUAUGGUUUAUAUUUUUAGAAAUUCUUUAGAAAUUAAUACAGAACUAGUAGCAAGUUGAGAAAUCUACUGAAUGGUCAAGAUAUGAUAAUGUUUAUUGAAUUAAAUUAACAAUCAUCAUUUUCAUAAAUUAUUGUCAGGAUAUUUGAUUCAUGUCAGGUGUAAGUAACUAAGAGAGCGUUUGGGACAGACACCACAGUUGCUCCCGAUGCUUUAUUUUAGGGAAAUAUCCCCUGGAAUAAUGCAUAGGGCGCAGCCCCAAACGGACCCUAAAUGUGCUAAAAAAAAAUUAAUGAGUUGGGUGUGUUUGAUAUUCAUUUGUUGUAAUUCUUUUAAUAAUUAUUGUAGAAAAAAAUAUGAUAAAAAAUUUAUAAUUAUAAAUAAAAAUUAAUAAUAUAAUAAAUAAAAUUUUUAAACAAUAAUUUUAAUAAAAUAAUAAAUAUAUUAUCAAUUUUUCAUCGUUAAUAUUUAAGUCACAAUAAUAAAUAUUUAUUAAACACUUUAAUACUAUAACUAACACUACAACUUUUGAAUUAUAACAGUACAUUCUAAAGACCGUGGAACAAUAGUACAAAAGGUGCUCGUCGUGUAAACAACACAUGGGACCCAAGCAAUAAAUGUUUCUGAUCCUCAACUUUCCUCAUCACUGUCCCUGCAAACAAUUCUGAUUUUCUUGUCUGAUAAAAAAACUGAGAAACAAUGGCGGCCGAACAAGAAGCUGUGAGCAAUAAUGUAAAGCCACAAAUUUUCAUAAUAUUAAAUUAUGAAAAUUGGGCUUUCAUUGAGAAUUAUGGGUGGCCUAUAACCCUUAUUAAGAAAGGGAUACUAAUUAUAAAUACAAGUUAUUUAUGAGAUAGUUUUGAAAAAAUGUUAUUUUUCCUUAUUAAAUAAGGUUUCUUAAGACUCCCUAUAAAUUCAUACUUUUUCCCUUCCAUGACCCUAAGUCCAUGACGUUUAUUCUUCUUCUCUGCUGCUCUUUACGCUCCUACCCAAAUCAUAGGAUUCAAACCUUUGUUUAGGAGAGAAUCAAAGCGACGAGUAAGUUAUUCUCCCUAUUCUCAACAGAUUUCUAAUCACUCUAUCUAGGGUUUAUAUUGGCACGAUUCUAGAUGGUUAUAGAUCAUAAUGCAUGAUUUAGAAUGUAUUUAGGCUUUGUUUAGGGUUUUGAUUUAUUAUGAGUUUAGUUAAUCAAUCCUUGACGUAUUAAGCACAGGAUAAUUCUGGACAAUAUGAGUAUCUCGAAUUUAAACCUAUAUUUUCUGAACGAGUUUUAUUAUAAAAUUUAUAUUUCUGGAAACUAGACAUGUAGGGCUUCUUGAGUAAAUUUUAUUUCAUUAAAUUCGACUUCGUUUUCAAUUUUAUAUUUAUUUUCGAAAUAGAAACCACUGCACUGGAAAACUGCGAUUCCAGCAUUGCGAUCGGAUUCACAAGACUAUUUGUACCACCAAACGAACUCGGAAAAUUCUGAAAGUUUAUAUGUAGGUUAAUAUAUGUGUCUAGGAUUACCAGUUUUAAUUUCAUAAUUUUCUGAUUAGUAUUUUAUUUUAUAAAAAUCACAGAACCCGUUCUGUUUGGUUUAGAUUAUGUGAAAACAGUUUCGAAUUUGCUGAGAAAUAAAUAGUUUCGAAAAUGUUUUUGAUAUCGGAUCCUCUUGCAAAUUUUACAUAGGGUACUCAUGGAUGUCCAGAAUAGUCCCAUAGAAUAUUAUAUCAUUCUGAGUCUUAGAUUAAGAGUUAAAUUCUGAGAAUCAGACCUGUACGGGUAUGAAUUAGAAAAUCAGAUUCUUAGAAUAAGUUAUUAAUUGUCAUAUCUUGUAUUUGUUUAAGGUGUUGAAGGUGAUUGAGGUUCUUAGAAGCUUAAAGGUGUGUUAAUUCAAAUUCAUUUGUCGAGGUAAGUUACUUCAUUCCUACUAUAUUGGAUAUGUAUAAGUAUUUUGAUAUUAUCAUUAUAAGUAUAAAUGUUUUCAUACUAUUUAGAAGAUUAAUGGAUUUUCAUAACAAAAUUAGCUUAUGAAAAUGUUUUCAAAACCUAAUUUCUUUUUAACAAAGCAUUUUAUAAAUACUUUUUAAAUAUGUAAGUUAUUUUGUUACAUGCCUACUUUUAUGAUUUUAUUUAUAAAAUAUUUUGCAAGCCUAAAUUAUUGUUAUGGACUUUUAUGAAUCCGAUACGAAUGUUUUAUGCCUAUGCAUGAUUUCAAUUAUAUAUGAUUGUAUGGGGGCCACCUCUUGGGACUAUAUGGGGGCCACCUCUUGAAGGCCAAAGUGUCGCAAAGUGCCACAUAUAGUGCAAAGUGCCACGUAUAAGUCAUUAUGUUUUGGCUCAUUGUCCGUAGUCAUUUUGAUUCUGAUUCUGAUCAUAUAAUACGAUAUAUGUCUGUUUUGGACCAGUACUGGGUUUCUGUUCUGAGUGUGCACACGAUAUUUUGAUUCUGUUUCUGGCCGGGUCACUGGGACUAUAGGUGACACUAUGUGACAAGAGCUAACCUUUUGUUUUCUGUAUACGUAUUAUAUGAUUUACUUCAUAAGUAAAUAUGCUUUUGGAUAUUCGGAAUUAUUAAGAAUUUAUGUUAUGUUAUCGUGAUAUAUUGUUUUAUGAAAUUUAUGGAUUAUGAUAUAUGUUUUAAACAAAAGAAGGCUUGCAAUAUUUUUGUAUCGAUAGGCCCAGUAUGUUAGAAAUUGUUUUACUUACCGAGUUGACGGCUCACCCCUCGUCAUUACUUUUUGCAGAUUAAGUUUCUUUUGAGAGGUGCGCUUAGCUUUGGAGUUAGUAAUUUUCCGUUUCCAUUUGCCAUUUGAAUAAGAGGAGGAAUAAACUCGUGUUUCUAUUUAGUUAUUUCUAUUAUGAACGUGUAAUUUGGAGUUUGAGACUUUUGUUAUUAUUUUUAUGUCCUCGGGAGAGAUUAUUUAGUAUUAGACGUUAGAAUUUGUGGAUUUAUUUGAAUAAGAAUUGGAGGUAUUUCAGUUUGAAACUUAUGAGUAAAGAUUAUGAUUUGUGAGUAACCUCCUUCUUCACGUGCUCCGCACGUGUUAGAUUUGGGGUGUUACAAAUAAGCGGGUGAUUCUAAGCAACUAUGUGACAGGUUUUCCAAAAGAAUCAGACAUGAAGAUAACAAGUGGAUCAAUAAAGCUGAAGGUAGCAGACUGUUCAAAAGACACGGUGCUUUUGAAGAAUCUUUAUCUUUCUUGUGAUCCUUACAUGCGAGAGCGUAUGAGCAAGCUUGAUAGCCCUUCUUUUGUUGAUUCAUUCCAUCCUGGUGAGGUUAGUUCAUCACGGCCCAUCUCUUGAUUUUUUUUUUUCAUUUGCUUCAAGUUUUGAUGAGUUUCUGAGGUAAUUUGUACGGUUUUGGAAUUUGAACACAAUUUGUGAUUUUGGUGCUGUAACUGUCAUUAAUGAUAUGUAGUAAUUCAAUCGGAAUUUGGAUUUAGUGCUGAUAUGAUCUCUGCUCAUUUUUUUAAAUCUUGUGUCCACAUGCAUUUUUGAAAUCUGGUACGGUUGAGAUUGUAUGUAGAUUAACCUACGUACAGUAUUCUUGUCUAAUGACUACUAACCACAACCUUAUGAGACGAUCGAAACCAAGCUCGGAUCAAUAAUCCAAUCGAGAGAGGAUCAUAACUGAAGCUUAUCGUGUGUGGGAAUAUUUCGGUUAAAUUGUAAUCAUGAUCAUGAAUCAUGCAGGGAAAAGGGAAGUUGAGGUCAAUUUAUGCACUUGAUGGAAUUAAAGAACCAAUAUUUGAUUUUGGUUUACAUUAUUUCUCAGUAAUGGUGACUUUGUGAUGUUAAAUUUAUGCAGCCUAUAAACGGAUAUGGGGUGGCCAAAGUUUUGGAUUCUACACAUCCAAAUAAUGCAAAAGAUGACUUGGUUUGGGGCUUUACCGGGUGGGAGCAGUACAGUCUCGUUACAGCUCCGCAGCUUUUGAUUAAAAUUCAUCAUAAAGAUGUGCCACCUUCAUACUAUACCAGGAUCCUCGGUAAUGAUUUUUGUUACACAUUAAGCUUUGCUUAUAGUAAUAUCAAUACAUAUGCUGCUUAAAUGCUUUCUGAUUUUUUGCCGGCCAUUGUCCAUUUUGCCCGGGAGACUAUAAUUGAAGGAAUUUACUGAAGGAAUGCUGAUUGUUGGGAAUUUGAUUAUUCUAGGUAUGCCUGGUGUAACUGCAUACGCUGGUUUAUAUGAAGUUUGCUCUCCGAAGAAAGGAGAGUAUGUCUAUGUAUCUACAGCAUCUGGAGCUGUUGGUCAGCUUGUUGGACAGUUUGCAAAAUUAGCUGGUUGCUAUGUUGUUGGAAGUGCUGGAAGCAAAGAAAAGGUGCUGUUAUAUCAUUCUUAAGUAGUAAAUAUAGCACCGUGCCUUCUAGCAGAAUUUUACAUGCUUUAUGUUCCAACUAAGCAUCCAUAUUUGAUCGUGAUAAUUAGCAAGGUCAAUAAUUUUUUUUUGACUAUUUUUUCAACGUAAGGUCGAUUUGUUGAAGAACAAGUUUGGACGAUGCUUUUAACUACAAGGAAGAGCCAGACUUGGAUGCAGCGCUCAAAAGGUCAGCUGCAACAAACGUUUCAACUCUAAUAUUUCAUUUUAAUAUUACAGAGCUUUGGUUGAAGUGUGUGAGUUGAUCCCAGAAACGUAACUUCAUCAGUGUCUCUGUUUUCAAAAAACAGGACAAAUUAAAAUCUGAUUUUGCGUUAAAAUUUCCCAGAUGUUUCCCUCAAGGAAUCGACAUCUAUUUCGAAAAUGUUGGGGGAAAGAUGCUGGACGCAGUGCUACUCAACAUGAGGCUCCGGGGCCGCAUUGCGGUAAGCAGUAUGAUCUCACAGUACAACCUGGAAAAACCCGAAGGCAUACACAACUUAGAGCAACUGAUCGGGAAACGGAUUCGCCUGGAAGGAUUUCUAGCAGGUGAUUACUAUCACCUCUAUCUGAAAUUCUUGGAACUGGUCAUUCCUGCAAUCAGAGAAGGAAAGAUGGUGUAUGUGGAAGACAUAGCCGAAGGACUCGAGAAAAUUUCUCGUAACUGCUACACAUUAAACGCGUUUCACAUUUCCACUCUCUCUCUAUAAAUAAACACGCACAUAAAAUUUCUCACUAUCCAAAAACAAAAUCUACAUAAAAAAUGGCGGGUGAAGAAGGAGUGAGCAACAAGCAGGUGAUUCUGAGCAACUACGUGACAGGGUUUCCCAAAGAAUCAGACAUGAAGAUAAUAGCAGGCUCAAUAAACCUCAGGUGCCAGAGGGUUCAAAAGACACAGUGCUUUUGAAGAAUCUUUGUCUUUCCUGUGAUCCUUACAUGAGAGGACGUGUGAGCGAGCUUGAUAAGCCUUCGUUUGUUGCCUCGUUCGAGUCUGGCGAGGUCAGUUACUUCAAUUCCCAUCUCUUGGUUUCAUAAUCUUUUAUGGUUUUAGAAGGUGUUUUAGGGAAACAUUGUGGUUUUGGUUAGUGGGCAUGAGCCUUUGAAGAGAUUAUAAUGUGUAGGACUAUGUAUGCAAUAAUAAGUAUAGGGGAUCUUGUUAGGAGAAGAUUCUCUUAGCAAAAUAAAAACUUUUAUCUUAUCAAAACAUAUGCAGGGAACUUAGUUAUGAUGUCAUGUUAGCAUUGUCUCUGAGGAUUUGAUUUCUUGAUGGGGAAAGGGGAAUUUAAGGUUACAUUAUUCAGCAAUGGUUUUUUUUUUUUUUUUUUAAUUAUGUUCAAAUUAUGCAGCCUUUGAGCGGAUAUGGAGUGUCCAAAGUGUUGGAUUCCACGCAUCCAAAUUAUAAGAAAGAUGACUUGGUCUGGGGCUUAACCAGUUGGGAGGAGUUCAGUCUCAUCCAAUCACCACAACUUCUGAUUAAAAUUCUGGAUACAAGUGUGCCUCUGCCAUACUAUACUGGGAUUCUUGGUAAGUUGUUACUAAAUUUAUCAAUGUCCAGUUCGCAUGAGCUGAAAAUCAUGUUUUAUUUAAUGCAAUGAGAGAGGGAAAUAGUAUGCUGCUUGAACGUCUAGCAUUUUGAAUUUUCAAUGAUUGUACCCUACGUAUUGGCAUGUAACUGAAGGAUUUCUCUUGAGGAAUUUACUAUUUUUUCUGAUUGUCGGGUAUUUUUCUGUUGACUCUAGGUAUGCCUGGUUUGACUGCAUAUGGUGGUUUAUAUGAGCUUUGCUCUCCUAAGAAAGGAGAGUAUGUCUAUGUAUCUGCAGCAUCUGGAGCUGUUGGUCAGCUUGUUGGGCAAUUUGCGAAGCUGGUAGGUUGCGAUGUUGUUGGAAGUGCCGGAAGCAAAGAAAAGGUGAGUUUGCACCUUUAACCCUUACGCUCUAAAUAAAAACAUAACACCUUCUGAAAGAAUUUGCAUAGAGAAUUUUGCAUGUCACAGUAUUUGUGUUCUAACUAAUCAUGGAUAUUUGAUCAUUAGUCUAACUAAAACUGACUUAUUACCACCUAGUUGAUUGGUCUUUGAGAAAUGUUAGUUGAUAUAUGCUUGAAAUCAUACUUUGUUUUAUUAGAUGAUUAUAUUAACCUGCUUCUUUUUCUUUGUGCUGUUUCUCGUUUGAUUACAUUUUCAACAUUAGGUCGAUCUAUUGAAGCACAAGUUUGGGUUUGAUGAUGCUUUUAACUAUAACGAAGAGCCUGACUUGGAUGCAGCUCUUAAUAGGUUAUCACGAAUGAAUGCCUUAACCAUUUUUCUCACUUCAUUAUUACAAUGCGCUGAUUGAAGUAAUCAGUGUUGGCUCUGAAAAUGUAAUGUAUACUUCUCUGUUUUCAUAAAACAGGACAAACAGUGAUCAGUGAUCUCAUUCGUUACAUUGAUAUUUUCUACCAUUGCCAUAUGCCCAUACAUAGUAUAAACUAGGAAUUCAGUUGCUUAAUUGAUAUUCAUUUCAGAGGGAAAUUUUCACUUGCAGCUAACAGAAUCAUGUUUGUGAUGUAUGUUUAUUUGGGAAAUGAAAGGAUUUGCUGCAUUAUUUUAUUCCAAGUUUGCUGAAAUCAUAUUUGUUUUCCCAGCUGCUUUCCUGAAGGUAUCGACAUCUAUUUCGAAAAUGUUGGGGGUAAGAUGCUUGAUGCAGUGCUAUUCAACAUGAGAAUUUGUGGCCACAUCGCUGUAUGCGGAAUGAUCUCACAGUACAACAUUGAGAAGCCUGAAGGUGUACACAACUUGAUGCAAGUAGUUGGAAAACGAAUUCCCACGGAAGGAUUUCUUGCCGGUGAUUUCUACCACCAAUAUCCAAAAUUCUUGGAACUGGUUAGUGGUUAUGGCGGCAAUCAAAGAAGGAAAGUUAGUAUAUGUCGAGGACAUAGCUGAAGGCCUUGAGAAAGCUCCAUCAGCUCUAGUUGGGAUAUUCACUGAGCAGAAUGUUGGAAAACAACUGGUUGCAGUUGCUCGGGAAUGAUAUGAUUAUUAUAUGACCAUGGACUUUAAAAGCUUAGUGAAGAUGCCUCUGUCUUAUUUGUGAUCCAUGUUAUGUUUGUUUGAGAUACAUGUUAUGUUUGUUUGAUCAAGCUGUACUCAGAUAUAAAUCAAAGAUUCAGAACAUGUGUAUGAUACUGGUUUCUAAAUCAAUGAACGCUUUGAAAUGUUAGUGUUUUCACAGGAGAAUGCAAUUUAAUUCAUCAACAAUGUCCCAACAAGACCCUCAGAGCUGUAGCUUGUAAAGUUAAUUACCAUAUUUUUUUGUAAAGUUAAUUACCAUAUUUUUUUCUUUCCAAUAUAUUGCUUAUUUCAUAGAAAGUUUACAUUAAAGUCUCAUGUUUCUUUGAAAGGUAAGCAAGUGUGAACGUUUCAAUCUAGAGCUGGAAAAUGCAUUUCCGGGCAACUUACUUGAUAAAUGAAGUUUUCAUCUCUGACCAUGAUGUUUCCCACAGGUGCAUUCAUUUCAGCUGAUCUAUUUAAUUUUGUUUUCGAAGGAGUGACACAAAAUCUCCUUUGUUAAGGGGAGAAUUUAGAGCGGCUUUGACUGUUAUCAAAUAGCCUAAUGUAAGACUUAACCAACUUCCUGCCCUGUUGUAUUCUUAUGAAUUUUGAUAGAGCUAAGAGUUUGCAGAAGCUACUGUAUUAUAUGUCGUUAGAGGCUGUAAAAAUCAAACACAUUUAAAUUUCAAUGAAAAUUUACUGGAAGUAAAUUUCCUAUGAUCCUACAGGUGACUAAUUAAUGAGAACUUGACAAUGACAAAAGAAAGUGUAUGAACUUUGCAGGCUGGCAUGCCAAUAUUGACUGGGUGGCACCAUCCACCAUCUGCAAGUGAAUAUCAUUGUUGUUUAAUCAACAUGGUGGAGUCCACUGGGACCACACCACAUCAUCAGCCUUAUCUCUAUUCCUCAAUUUUCAGUAUUCCAUACAUCAAACCAAUUUCAGUUUUGUUAUCAAUUAUAACUUUAUUGUUGGUGACGAUUCUGAUUCCUUUCUGACAAAAGGGAACCAUGGCUGCUGCUGGAGAGAUCUUACUCAACGCCUUCUUUCAGGUACUGUUCGACAGGUUGGCUUCUCGUAAUUUGAUCAGCUUUGUGCGUCAACUCCAAGGCGGGGUUGAUUCGGAGCUCAAAAAGUGGGAGAAAAAGCUGAAGAUGAUUCAGGCUGUCCUCUGCGAUGCAGAGGAGAAGCAACUGACCAACGAGGCUGUGAAGAUGUGGCUGGACGAACUCCAAGACUUGGCUUAUGACGCUGAGGACAUUCUUGAUGAGUUUGCUACUCAAGCUUUGGAAAGCAAGUUGAUGGCGCAAAAUCACGAUAGUUCUGGCCAGGUUCUCAGUUUCAUCCCGGCUGGUUUGAAUCCGAAUGCUAUUAUGUUCAAUUAUAGCAUGGGGUCCAAGAUUAAAGAUAUUACUAGCCGGCUGGAUCAACUCUGCCAAGAAAGAAUUGAACUUGGACUGCAACGGAUUACCGGAGAGGCAUCAUCAACUGCUGCUGGUGCACACCAGAGGCCACCCAGUUCGAGUGUCCCAACAGAACUUGAAGUAUUUGGAAGAGAAGAAGAUAAGGCCAAAAUUCUUGAUAUGUUAUUAGCCGAUACCCUAAGUGAUCAUGCUAACUUUGUUGUAAUACCCAUUGUUGGCAUGGGUGGGAUAGGAAAAACAACUCUUGCUCGGGAGGUUUACAAUGACAAGGCCGUUGGAGAUUGCAAGUUUGAUGUAAAAGCAUGGGUUUGCGUAUCUGACGUCUUUGAUGUUUUGGGCAUCUCAAAGGCACUUCUCGAGUCAAUCACCCGCACGCCUUGUCUUCUAAACAGUUUAAAUGAAGUGCAGGUUGAAUUGAAAGUAGCUGUGGAUAAGAAAAGAUUCUUGCUGGUCUUAGAUGAUGUUUGGAACGAGGACUACAGCUUGUGGGUAGACUUAAAAGCUCCGUUCCUGGGUGCUGCACCAAACAGUAAGAUGAUCGUCACCACGCGCAAUUCAAAUGUUGCAUCAACAAUGGGACCAGUUGAACAUUACAAUCUCAAGAGUCUGUCAGAUGAUGAUUGCUGGUCCAUUUUCAUAAAGCAUGCAUUUGAAUCUAGAGAUCUUAACGAACAUCAAAUUUCAGAAUCAUUCCGCAAGAAAGUUGUUGCCAAGUGUGGAGGCUUGGCCCUGGCAGCAAAAACACUCGGAGGCCUUCUGCGUACGACGAGGCAUGAUGUGUGGGAUGAUAUAUUAGAGAGCAAAAUAUGGGAUUUACCUCGACAAAGUGGGGUUCUCCCAGUAUUAAGAUUGAGUUACCAUCAUCUUCCUUCUCAUUUGAAAAGAUGUUUCGCUUACUGUGCAAUCUUUCCAAAAGAUUAUGAAUUCAAUGAGAAGGAGGUGACUUUUUUAUGGAUGGCCGGAGGUAUUAUUCGACAGUCCAGAAGCAAAGAGAGGCUAGAAGAUUGGGGCAGCAAGUGCUUCUAUGAUCUGGUGUCAAGGUCAAUUUUUCAGCAAACAGCAAUCUCUGAUAGUUCUAAAUUUGUAAUGCAUGACCUUAUUCAUGAUCUUGCUGAAUUGGUCUCUGGAGAAACCAUAUUCAGGUUAGAGGAGGCCAAUACUCUGUCAAGAAGAUUUGAAAGGGUUCGCCAUUCUUCCUAUGCUUGUGGUGGACGUGAUGGUAAAAAUAUGUUCGAGGUUUUCAAUGAAAUUGAACAUCUACGAACAUUCUUGCCAUUACGCUUACGCAUAAGAGGUGGCUCUAAUACUAGUUUCAUAACUCGUACGGUUCUAUCUGAUUUGCUGCCGAAGUUCAAAAUGUUGAGAGUGCUAUCUUUACAAGGAUACCGUAUCGGUGAGUUACCAAUUCCAUUUGAAGAUUUGAGACUUCUAAGGUUCCUCAACCUUGCUGACACUGACAUAAGAAGUUUACCUGAGUCAACAUGCAAAUUGCUGAACUUGGAAAUUUUGAUAUUAAGAAAUUGUUCCCGUUUGAUAAAGCUUCCGCAGAAAAUGAGGAAUUUGAUCAAUUUACGUCAUCUCGAUAUAAGAGGUGCAAAGCUGCUAAAGGAGAUGCCAUUUGGAAUGAAAGAGUUGAAGAAGCUUCAAACAUUGUCCAAUUUUAUUGUAGGCAAGGGUGAAUCCGCAUCUGGUUUGGAAGAUUUAAAAAGUUUAAACCUUCUUUGUGAUGAACUCUGCAUUGCUGGAUUAGAGAAUGUAAAUAGUCCACAGAAUGCAAGAGAAGCCACAUUAUGUGAGAAGCACAAUCUUGAAGCAUUGACUCUAGAAUGGGGGUCUCAAUCUGACAGUCCUCGGGAUGCAGUACUAGAAGAGAAUGUACUUGACACUCUACAACCUCAUGAACGUAUAAAAGAGCUGGCAAUCAGGCACUAUGGUGGUGCAGGAUUUCCACUUUGGAUCGGACAUCCUUUGUUCUCCGAGAUGAAGGUCCUUAAAUUGGAGAACUGUGACAAGUGUGUAUCUCUGCCAUCGCUUGGCCUGAUGAAUUCACUUAAGCACCUUGCUGUUAAAGGGCUGAAGAAACUAAAAAGCAUAGAGUCUGCGGUCUUUCCAUCAUUGGAGACUCUAAGUUUUGAGAAUUUGCCAGAAUGGCAGCAUUGGAACACCAAUAUCAAAGGAAAUGAGCCUGUUGAAAUAUUUCCUCGUCUCCAAGAACUUUCCAUUGCAGAAUGUCCCCAACUCUCUGGAGAACUGCCUGAGCUCCUGCCUUCUUUGGAGACACUUGUUGUUAGUAAAUGUGGAAAGUUGGUAGUUCCAUUGUCAAGCUAUCCGAUGCUCUGCAGAUUAGAAGUUGAUGAGUGCAAAGAGCUAGUGUGCAGGACUCCAAUUAAUUUUGAGUUGAUAAAGUCUGUGACUAUUUCAAAUAAUUCAUUACUCAUGAAUGGAUGCAAGGAGAUGCUAUGCCAUGGUCAAGCUGGCUCUUCACUGCAGAAACCCAAGACUAUUAUGAAUGUUUUGGAGUUCGGAAAAUUAUUGAAGCCUGGAUUUCAGAUAUUAGAAACUUUGGUAAUUGGCAAUUCUGAACGGCUCAAGUCAUGGAGUACUUUUAUUGAACCAGGGCUACAUUUGCUCGCUUCCCCUGAAGAGGUAGCAAUUGAAGAAAGUUGUGUACGUCUUGUUUUGUUUCCAGAGAUCAAUUUCUUUCCCAGAAAUCUGCGCUCUCUUCGAAUUUGCAACAGCACUGCUUUCAAAUCCUUACCCGAGGAAAUGAUGGAAAACAAUUCACAACUCGAAAGGUUGUAUAUCAGAGAUUGCGACUCUCUAACAUUCAUCGCAAGACGGAGGCUACCAGCAUCUCUUAAAAGGCUUGAGAUAGAAAAUUGUGAGAAAUUGCAACGUCUGUUCGAUGAUGAAGAGGAUGCUUCUUCUUCUUCUCCUUCAUCCUUGUCUUCCCCAGUGAUGCUGCAACACCUGAGAAUAGAGAAUUGCCCAGAGCUCACCAGUUUAUCAUCGGGUGUCCAAUUCCUUGAGGCGCUUGAAUACCUCAAGAUAGAGCAUUGUCCAAAGCUGGAGUCAAUACCGGAUGGCCUGCCCAAUCUUAAAUGUUUACAGAGCAUUUAUAUACGGAAAUGUCCAAGUCUUGUUUCCUUCUUAGAAAGAGGGCUUCCCAACGCCAUUUCAAGUUUUUACAUUUGCAGAUGUGACAAGCUCGAAGCCUUGCCCAAUGAUAUGCACAAACUCAACUCUCUUCGAGAUUUAAGCAUACAUGGGUGUCCAAGUCUUGUUUCCUUCCCAGAAAGAGGGCUUCCCAACGCCAUUUCAAGGGUUUACGUUUGCAGAUGUGAGAAGCUCGAAGCCUUGCCCAAUGAUUUGCACAAACUCAACUCUCUUCGAGGUUUAAGCAUACAGAUGUGUCCAAAUCUUGUAUCGUUUCCAGAAGAAGGUUUUCCUACCAAUCUAACAUCACUUACAAUUAGAUAUUUCAAAAUGUAUAAGACACUCGUCCAGUGGGGGUUGCACAGGCUUACCUCUCUUAAACGCCUCUGGAUUGCUGUACGUGAUGAUGAAGCAGAGUGUUUUCCAGACGAGGAGAUAGGAAUGACGCUGCCCACCUCUCUCACCGCUCUGCACCUUACUGGAUUCGAAAAUUUGAUAUUUCUGUCUUCAAUGGGUUUUCAAAACCUCACCUCUCUUCAAUCUUUGAGGAUCGAGAAUUGCCCGAAUCUCACAUCAUUUCCAGAGGUGGGCCUUCCAUCCUCACUUUUGGAAUUACACAUUAGAGAUUGUCUAAAGCUUAAAAAAGCGUGCAAAAGAGAUCAAGGAAAAGAGUGGCCCAAAAUUGCUCACAUCCCUCGCGUUGAGAUAGACGAUAAAUUCAUAUACGAUCCAGAAGCAGAGUAGAUUCUAUUAUUAAGGUCAGUUGAUUUGUAUUAUCCGCUAUAACAAGCUCCUCCUUUUUUUUUCAAAUAAUAAUUUUGCAGUCACUCAUAUGAUUCCGUUUUCACAAGUCAGAUUGUAUGUUGAGGCUAUUUGCCUUUUAAUUAUAACACUUAUUGGAGUAUAAUAUUUUGGAGCAAGCAUACUUGAAAUUUCUGUCUUCAAUAUUUUGAUGCUUUUUUAAUUUUUGAUCUAGUAAAAAUACAUAGCCUUCACCGGCAGGAUUCUAGUCUUGGCUUUCACCUCUCUAACUCAUCGUCCCCACUGGGAUUCCAGAAAUUGAAAUUUCUGUCUUCAAUGGGUUUUCAAAGCCUCGCCUCUCUUCGAUUUUUAUGGAUCGCUUCGAUUUUUGCACAAAUCUCACAUCAUUUCCCGAGGUCGAGGAAAAGAGCGGCCCAAACUUGCUCGCAUCCCUUGGGUUAUGAUAGAUGGAAAAUUCAUAUACGAUCCAGAGUCAGAGGUGUUGAUUCUCUUAUUAAGGUCAACUGAUUUCUAUUAUCCACUCUGACAAUCUCCUAUUAGUGUUUUUCCUUUUCUUUUUCAAAAUUUUGCAGUUCUGUAUAAUUGAAAAUGCCACUCACUUGUUUCCUUUUUCGCAGGUCAAAUAGUGCGUUGAGGCUAUUUGCUUUCUAUCGGUGUUUGUUAAGGUAAUUAGUGCUCCAUCAUAGGUAUGACUGGAUUUUUUUCACUUCCGUAAAUAUUGCAUUUCUAUCGGUGUUUGACUGGAUUUUUUUCACUUCCGAAAAUAUUGCAUUUUAGACUGGCAAAUUUAGCAGUAAUUUUAAUACAAUUUUGUUGGUGCCUUUUGUUCCAGAAGCUAGAAAAAUGUGUAGUUUUCAGAUAAGGAGGCUUGUCAGUUCUCUAAUAAGAAUCCAAUAAUUUGCUUUUGCACGUCCAUCUAAUUUGUGGAUCCUUGCAUCAGAAUUUGAUCAAUCCAAAAGGAAUUGCUUUUAGACAGAGGAAGAAUAGCAGUACCUAGCCUAUGUCAUAGUGUAUGGAACCGCAAACCUGAAACUAUUAGAUUGAGGUAAAAAAAUCAUUGACCCCCUCACAUGUUAACUUCUUCUAGUUACUUUCGUUGGAAAAAAAAACAUUUAAGGAAUUUGCAAUUUGUUGUUGGUUAUGGUAUCUGAUGUUCUUUUCUGUUUUAGUGUUUGUAGAAUCUACUGUAUUAUGUGUUGGCAGUUGCCGUAUCUGAGGUAACUUGCCUUUAUUUGACAAAGAUUUAGAGAAGCAUCUCAAAACACUUAGUAAACUUGACAAACUUCAAGAUGCACUUGCCCCCACGCCUUAUUCUCCACAACGCAAAACUUGUGAGUACACCUAUGCCUGCAAUUAUUGUGAAGUGUUUUCAAUUUUGAUGCAGAGAAAUGGUUUCUUGAUGCAAAAUAUUAAACUGUUAAGAUUUAUCCUGCAGGCUUGUUAGAUGCUGUAUGCUCGAAAAGCCAACAACAUCCAGAACUAGAACUCCAAGACCAGCUUUGCGUUAAUUCAGUCAACUGUAAUAAUAAUGCAAAUGACACUAUAUCAAGCUGGACUUAGAGACUAGUCAGAUCAAUCAUCCAUUUCAUCAACGGUUAAUGUCAUGAUGGUGGCUAUCAGAGGAAACAAAAGAUGUGUCGGAAUCUAUACGAACAUUGAGAAGCAUGAGAGGAGCUUUGAUUUUGAGUAGGGUCAAUGAACUCAUGUUGGUAAGUGGUAAUUAAAGAAAUUUGUAAGCUUAGUAGAGUUUCAGUAUUUUCUGUUUGGAGUAUAGUUGAUAAGUUGACUCUGUUUAAUAAGCCCGAUUAUAGUAGCUGACUGUAUUAACCUUUUUUUUUUUGGUCUACUGUUGUUUUUGGUUUCGAUUAUUUUUUCAACAUUGGGUUGAUCUGUUGAAGAACAAGCUUGGGUUCGAUUCUGCUUUAACUACAAGGAAGAGCCAGACUUGGAUGCAGGCGUUAAGAUUUUAAUGGGUAAGAACAAAUGAAUGCUUUAACCAUGUUUCUCACUAAUUAAAAUGCACGGAUUGAAGGCAUCUGGGUUGAUCCUGACAAUGUGAUGGAAAUACUUCUCUAUUUUGUUCCUGUGUUCACAUAAUGUUUGUGGGAUAUGCUUCGACGAAGACCAGCAAUGAUGAGCAGACACCUGGUAAUAGGGUUCCUCGAGCAGGUAUAUCUUGUAAGAGUAUGGUAUUCAGGGGAGCAGGAGCAGGAAUAUCCUGCUCAUCCGCGAGCACGUCAUCCACGAGGCCAAUCUCCUGUUGGAAGCAUAAAGCCAUUCCUGCUACAUUCCUGCUAAGGGUUGAGUCGAGGAGACCCGGUCAACGACAGUUGGCGAGGCGUGCUCUCCAGUCCGAGAAUCAAGGCAUGAAGGCCACGCAACCACCCACGACUACGGAAAUGGGGCAUCCACUUUCGAGAGGUGGGAGGAUAACGAGCGCGAAUGGAAGAAGGCCCGAGUUCAGAGAUGGCCUAUAAAAAAGUAGCCAACAAAGGUAAAAGGGUUAGAAUUUUUGACAUUGUAACAGAAAAAAAGAAAGCUCUAAAGAACUGAGACUAAAAAAGAAAAGCCAUAAGAUUUGUGGCUAGUGUUCCCAGAACCUUCAUAUCUAACUUGAGCGUCGGAGGGUUUACGCCGGGAAAACAACCGGCGUACUCUGACCUAGUUCUGUGUACGCAGGAACUUCUGGAGAAGAAGCCUUACGAGGAGAGAUCCUAAUCGAGGUGGAGUUGAUCGAGCAAAGAUCCUGGUCGUAACAAGAGAGCAACCAGAAUCUCGCAUCAACAUUUUGGCGCCAUCUGUGGGGACUUGAUCAAAAAGCUUCUGUUGAUAGCAAGAAGAGGAGUGAAGCAAGUGGAAAAGCAAUGGAGGCAAGAAGAAAUAGUGCACAAUGGGGUGAUAUGAGGCUUAACGAUUCCGUGACGCUGAGGGAGAUAGCCAGUGAAGCACGGGAAAAAGCCAUGUUUGACCGGAUGGAACGGAUGGAAAAGCAGAUGCAGACCCUGACAACCAUCCUACAUGAGCUGCGGAGUGAACGAAGGGGAACCCAGGAGGAAAGGGUGAGAGGUGGUGGAGUGGCACCAGGUCAUGAUAGUACGAGGAGAAGUCAAACCACCGAGAGAUUUGGUGGUGAGAGAGGUAACCUAUCUCUACGGGGAGAAAUUCAUAGAGAGGAAGAGCAAUCCCCGGCAAGACAGAUUUUUGACGAGGACGACGGGGUGGCGAAUGCAGAGGAAACAGAGUUGAGGUAACACUUGCAUGAUGUAGAGCAAGAGCGGGAUCAAGUUGCAGCACGUGACCUUGGUCGUGUAGUGCAGCUGGAGGAGGAAGUGCGCAGACUAGCGCAGAUAAUUGAUGACAUGUAAGGAAGGAGCAGAGCUCCUGGUUGGAGGAUAAUGCUGGACGGAGAAUCACCGCUCGCAGCAGAGAUCAUGAGGGCAGUUAUUCCAAGAGAUUUCCGCCUCCCAGACCUUAGAUAUUCGGGACGAACUGAUCCGCUGGUGCACAUAGAGCGCUUCAACGACAUAACCGGGGUACAAGGAUUAUCUCAAUCCCAAAGGUGCAGGGUGUUCCCACUAUCCCUUGAGGGACGUGCACGCAAGUGGUACAGGAAACUUCCUCGGUGGAGCAUUAAAACCUUCGAGCAGAUGUGACAGGAAUUUGUAGAGCAGUUUCGUGGGGCAAUAGCACCAGAAGAUGACAUGAUGGAGUUGAAAAGCAUGAAGCAGGGGGAACAAGAAACCCUUCGGGAAUUCAUCAAGAGGUUUCAUCGUGCUGUCCUCGAUUUGGGAGCCUUCAACCAUUCUCAGGCAUUAAGGGGAUUGAAAGAAGGGGUGAAGAUAGGAAGGCUGUGGCACAACUUGAGAAGCCCAGUUAUUCAGAUGUAUACAGCCGCAUACGAGCAGGCUAAGAGGGACAUUGAGAUUGAAGAAGAAAAGGCAGCACGGAUUAAGACAGACCAGCUAGAAGGGUUGGGAAAGAAAGAGAAGAAAGCAUUACCAGGGAAUGGGCCGAUCAGGAGGAAGGACCACCAGGCCUCAGGUAGUGGUGCAAGAGGUCGAGUAACCGCUUACCAGCCUCAUCAGAGACCACCACAGUAUUAGCACAGCAGAGCACAACCUCCUCGUUCCCCAGUUAGAGAGCUUUGGAGAAGGCAUGACUCGACAUAUGGUGGUCUUCAUCAACACUCCCACGGUAGUAGAGGGAGCAGACCAGAAGCGCUGCCACCGCCUCUAACUCAGAAUGGAACAAAUAGAGAAAGGGUAGUGCACAUGAUCGACCAGAACCAGGACUAUGGGCAGUAUACUUCCUUGAAGAUGUCCCUGGACGAGGUGUACGAGGCCAUAAAGGACCGGGGAUUGAUGUACCUCCCUGCCCCAAUAACAAAGCUACCCAGCAGGACGGAUAGGGGACGCUAUUGUAAGUUCCAUGGCACUUAUGGCCAUACCACUGCAGAAUGCAGAGAUCUCAAGACCCAAGUUGAAGAUUUGGUGAGAAAUCGGUACCUGGAUGAGUUUAUAGAUGAGACUUUCCCGAUGGUGGCCUCGACAUGUGAAGGGGAGCAGAGUGAUAGAAACUUUAGGCGCGAGCAGCCUGCAGUAAGGGUAAUAGCUGGGGGCCCAACAUUGGCCGGAGAUUUCAACAGAUCGAGGAAGAAUUAUGCUAGAUACGCCAUAACUAGUAAAGAGUUACUCUUCAACACCCCAGCAGCCAAAUGAGUAAGAGUCAGACAAGUGCCAAUCAUGUGGACGGAUGAAGAUGAAGAAGAGAUUCUAUACCCCCACGAGGAUGCUUUAGUCAUCAAGGCUACUGUUGCAAGUAAGAAGUUUGACCGGAUACUGGUUGAUACAGGGAGCUCAGUUGAUGUGUUAUUUAAGUCAACUCUGGAGGAGAUGGGAAUAGCAGGCCGGAAGUUGGAGUACACCAAUACCUCCUUGAAAGGGUUUGGAGGAGGAAAGCUGGUCCCUCUGGGCGUGGUCGAGCUGCCUAUCACGAUUGGGAGCUCCCCGACAAAAAGGACUAUGAUACUGGACUUUGUGGUGGUGGAUGAAGAAUGUCCUUACCAGAUGAUCUUAGGUCGGCCAUUUCUGAGGAUGAGCAAAGCGGUACUGUCCAACCAUUAUCUGGCUCUCAAGUACCGAGUGAAUGUGGUAGUUGGAGUGGUACGAGGAGACCAGAGAAUAGCACGAAGCUGCUACUCCUUGGCAGCAAGGGAAGCAAUGCAAAUAACAUCCCUUGAUACCCGAGUGGAAAACAUGAAUGGCAGACAAGAACCUGUAGAGGAGCUGGAGACAGUAAGCCUGGGACCAGAGAAUCCGGGAAAAACGAUCAGAAUCGAGUCGAGACUUAAGGAAGAGCAGAAGCAGGAGUUGGUGAAAUGCUUACAGGCUCAUGCAGAUGUGUUUGCUUGGACACAUGAAGACAUGCCAGAGAUUGAUCCUGAGGUAGCAUGUCAUAAGCUGGCAAUAAAGAAAGGUGCUCGGGCAGUAAGGCAGAAAAGGAGGUGCUUCAACCAGGAGAGGUAUGAGGCUAUAAAUGGCGAGGUGGAGAAGCUCUUGAUAGCAGGGUUCAUUUGCGAAGUCGAUUAUCCUGAGUGGAUAUCGAAUGUGGUGUUGGUAAAGAAGGCAAAUGGCAAGUGGAGGAUGUGUGUAGAUUUCACAGAUCUCAAUAAGGCGUGCCCGAAAGACAGCUUUCCUUUAUCAAAGAUCGACCAGCUAGUAGAUUCAACGGCUGGACACGGCCUGCUUAGCUUCAUGGACGCGUUUUCGGGAUACAACCAAAUUCCCAUGUAUGAGCAGGAUGAGGAGAGCACGGCUUUUAUUACUAACCAGGGUUUAUUUUGUUACAGGGUAAUGCCAUUUGGUCUUAAAAAUACUGGGGCCACGUACCAGAGGCUGGUGAAUAAAGUCUUUAAGCCAUUGAUUAGGAGAACCAUGGAGGUGUACGUGGACGACAUGAUAACCAAGUUGAACAUCCCGAAGGAACAUGUCAGAUACCUCGAGGAGACAUUCGGGCUUUUGAGGAAGUAUAAGAUGAAGCUCAACCCGGAAAAGUGUGCUUUUGGGGUCGAGUCAGGGAAAUUCCUUGGAUUCAUGGUGAGCCAUAGGGGGAUCGAAGCAAAUCCCGAGAAGAUCCACGCGAUCGUGUAAAUGAGGUCACCUCGUAGCCUGAAGGAGAUGCAGAGCCUCACGGGGAGGUUGGCGGCAUUGAGCCGAUUCAUAUCCAAGGCUACUGAUAAGUGUCAGCCAUUCUUUCAAGUGAUAAGGAGGGGAAAGAAAAUAGAAUGGACCCCAGAAUGUGAAGAAGCCUUCCAGAACUUGAAGCAGUACUUGCAGCAAGCACCUCUACUGUCCACACCGAGGGAUGGGGACAAGUUAUUUUUGUAUUUGGCGGUAUUAGAUCGGGCCGCAAGUUUUGUUCUGGUGAGAGAGGAAGAAGGGGUUCAGUAUCCGAUAUACUACACCAGCAAGGCUCUGCUCGACCCUGAGACCAGAUACCCACCGUUGGAGAAAUGGGCAUUUGCCCUUGUGGUUGCUGCUCAGAAGCUGAGGCCAUACUUUCAAGCAUUCCCAGUCUCGGUAAUAACAAACCAGCCAUUGCGUCAAACUCUGCACAAGCCAGAUGCUUCUGGUCGGCUCGUCAAGUGGACUAUAGAGCUGAGCGAGUUCGACAUAGACUACAAACCCCGAGCAGCGAUAAAGGCUCAGGCGAUGGCCGAUUUCAUAGCAGAAUUCACAGAGCCCGAAAUAUGUUUGGACCAGCGAGAUGUAGCUACAGACAGCAACGAAGCCCGAGUAUGGCAGAUGUCUGUAGAUGGAUCAUCCGGGGAGUAGGGAUCAGGAGCAGGAAUUGUUUUGGAAGGCCCAGAAGGGGAGGAGAUCUCUUAUGCUGUAAAGUUAGAAUUCGCAGCCACAAAUAACCAAGCAGAGUACGAAGCCUUGAUAGCAGGUUUGGAAUUGGCUAAGGCAGUGAAAGCGGAUAGAGUGAAGAUCAGAACUGAUUCCCAGCUGGUCGCAAAUCAUGUCAGUGAAAGAUUUCAACCGAGAGAGGAGAAGAUGGAGCAGUACCUGAAGAUAGUCAGGCAUAUGAUGGGGAAAUUUGAAGCGGUUUAGGUGAUACAAAUCCCCAGGGAGCAGAAUAGUCGAGCAGAUAUUUUGACGAGGAUGGCAGCGGUAGCAGACCCAAAAAUGCCAAAGUCGAUCCCUCUGGAGGUGAAGUCCAGCCCGAGCAUCGAGCAUAAUUUGGGGGUGCUGCGGAUAGAACAAAAAUGCUCGUGGAUGGACCCGAUAAUUUCAUACCUUAGAGACGGGGUAUUACCACCAGAGAAGCUGCGAGCUCGGAAGAUUAGAGCCCAGGCCUCGAGAUACACGAUGAUUGACGGGGUAUUAUAUCGGCGAGGAUAUACGCUACCUUUCCUUCGGUGUUUGGAUGAGGACGACGCGGACUACGUACUGAGAGAAGUACAUGAAGGAAUUUGCGAAAAUCACUAUGGUGGGAGGUCCCUGGCUCACAAGGUUCUAAGGCAGGGAUAUUUCUGGCCGACAAUGCACCAGGAUGCGCAAGAGAAGACCAGGAGCUGUGUAAGCUGCCAGAGUUUUGUGAGUUUCUCUAACCAACCACCAGAGAAGCUCACCUCUAUGGCCCCCCCCUGGCCAUUUGCUCAAUGGGGAAUUGAUCUGAUCGGCCCGUUGCCAAAGGGAUGAGGAGCAGCAACACAUGCAAUAGUUGCGAUAGACUACUUCACGAAGUGGAUAGAGGUAGAAGCCCUUAGUAGGAUCACAGAGAAGAAAACAACAGACUUUGUAUGGAGAAACCUGGUCUGUCGAUACGGGAUCCCUUAUGCCUUGGUAACGGAUAAUGGCAGGCAGUUUGAUAAUCACAGCUUCAGGGAUUUCUGCCAGAACCUCGAGAUAGAGUUGAAGUAUUGCUCGCCUGCUCACCCUCAAUCUAAUGGACAAGUAGAAGCAGCCAACAAGACCAUCAAGAGGCUUUUGAAAACCAGGCUUGGAGCAAAAAAGGGUGCAUGGGUUGAUGAGCUGUCAGGUGUCCUAUGGGUAUACAAGACAACCCACAAAACAGCAACUGGGGAGACACCGUUCGCCUUGGCUUUCGAACAUGAAGCGGUCGUACCAGCCGAGAUAGGAACGACCACGCACCGGACAGAUCAUUUCAAUGAGCAGGAGAACGACGAGCAGAUGUGUUUGAAUCUAGAUCUGCUAAUGGAAAAGAGGGAGCAAGCAGCCGAGCGAUCAACCAUUUGCCAGCAGAGGGUUGCUCGGUAUUAUAACCAGAAGGUGAAUGUACGGCAGUUCAAGGUCGGAGAUUGGGUGUUAAGAAGAGUGAAUCAGAAUACGAAAGACUCGGCUCAGGGAGUACUUGGACCAAAUUGGGAGGGGCCAUAUAGGGUCAAGCAGCUAGUUGGACCCGGAGCUUACAAGCUGGUUCGCUCGGAUGGCCACGAGGUGAAACGCCCAUGGAACGCAACACACCUCAGGAAAUAUUUCCAGUAAGAAUUGUCCAUGUUUUCAAGUUAUUUCUGUUCGUGUUUGUUGUUAUUUAUUUUAUGUCAAAACAAUUUCAUGUAAGUUGAAUCCUGCAAUUAAUGAAACGUCGAGGAAUUUCAUUCACUUGAAACUGUGAAAAAUCUACUAAGGCAUGCUAAGGCUCACUGAGUCUCAAAGCCUGUUUAUGGAAAGACCAGAAGCCAAGUGUGCCAGGAUCUGCUCGACCACGCGAAGGCCAGCAGAAUCCCAAAUCAUUGAAGAAUCUACCAAGGCAUGCAAAGGCUCGUCAAGUCUCAAAGCCUGUUUAUGGCGAGACCAGAAGCCAAGUGUGCCAGGAUCUGCUCAACCACGCGAAGGCGAGCAGAAUCCCAAUCAUUGAAGAAUCUACCAAGGCAUGCAAAGGCUCGUCAAGUCUCAAAGCCUGUUUAUGGCGAGACCAGAAGCCAAGUGUGCUAGGAUCUGCUCAACCACGCGAAGGCGAGCAGAAUCCCAAUCAUUGAAGAAUCUACUAAGGCAUGCUAAGGCUCACCGAGUCUCAAAGUCUGUUUAUGGCGAGACCAGAAGCCAAGUGUGCUAGGAUCUGCUCGACCACACGAAGGCGAGCAGAAUCCUAAAUCAUUGAAGAAUCUACCAAGGCAUGCAAAGGCUCGUCAAGUCUCAAAGCCUGUUUAUGGCGAGACCAGAAGCCAAGCAUGCCGGGAUCUGCUCGGCCAAGUAAAGGCCAGCAGACUCCCCAACAUCAAAAAAUUAUCCAAGGCAUGCAAAGGCUCGUCAAGUCUCAAAGCCUGUUUAUGGCGAUACCGGAAGCCAAGCAUGCCGGGAUCUGCUCGACCAAGUGAAGGCUAGCAGACUCCCCAACACUGGGAAAAUUAUCUAAGGCAUGAGAAAGCUCGUCAACUCUCAAGGCCUCCUCUGUGACGAGGUCAGAAGCCAAAUGGAUAAAUAAAUUAAAAUUCCAAUGCGAGGAAGCAAAUAAGAACAAUUUUAUUAAGCUCUUAAAAGUCUGCAAUUCUGUUACAUACAACGCUAAAAAAGCAAUUACAACGCAAGACAAGUUCAGGAGGACGGCGGAUCAGUAAACCGAGUAGCUUCGGUUGGCUGGUCCACUUCAGGGGUCGAGGGGGUGUCACCAGUUGCGUCCGGGGGGGUACUCGCCUCACCAACGUUAGCAGGGACUGCAUGAGGAGGAGAGUUUUCCUCCUCAACCACGAUUGGCUCCACCCCUUCGGCAUCCUCCUUUGCCGCCUCCUCGUCCAUGUGUUGAACAAUACUAGCCGCAAGGUCAUCCAUCUUCAGAUCAGGAUGCUGCUUCCCGAGGACGGCCAUGAUGCAACGAUAGGAAUGCCGAAGUCCCUGGUCGUACUGGUUGUCGGCUUCCUUCUCCAAGUUCUUGACCUGAACUCGGUGGGAAUCGCGGAGAGAUUCGAGCUGAGCCUCGUACAUAAUUUUCUGCCUUUGCAGAUCCUCCUUGACCUUAGUCAGCUCUUCCUCGAGAGUAACGGCCUAUGCUUGAGCAAGAGAUUCUUGCUCUAUCAGCUUCAGAUUCUCGAGAUUCAAGUCUCCCGCUUUCUUCUCGGCAGCAUCGGCUCUGGUCGUCGCCGAUUGAAUGUCCUCCUUCAUCUUCCGGUCGUAACGGCCAACCUUGGCCUUAUAGUAAGUGGUCAUGCAGCUGAGGUGGAAAGCGCUAUACUGCAUGGCCCCCACCAGCUCACCUAGGGUGCAGCCAUCAAAGUCCUCCAGGUCCUUCUUGCUCACGAGUUUAAAUAGCUCAUUGAGAUAGGGGACCAAGUGUUCUGCUCGGUGGUCAGAUAAACGAGAUCUAGGCCCGACAGGAGGAGAAGAGAAAGCAGGAUCAGUGGCAGCUCCACUAGUCUCUCUGACUUUGGCAGGAGGAGGAGGAGGUAGAGUCUGCAAGGGAGCAACCUGUUGCACGAUGUUCACCUGCUUUGCAGUAGGAGCAUCUUUAUUCUGGUCCUGCUUGGUCGUUGGAGGUCGAGAACGUUUCCUAGUCAGAGCCCCAAUCACAGCAUCCUCCAUCUUAUGGCCGGGAGGCACCAAACAAGACUCGAGCAGGUUAUAAGUAGUUAUCAGCUCUCGGCUCGAGCAGGAAUUGGCUAGUACAGCCUCGACCCGUUUGAGCUGGUCAGGUUUGAGCGGGAAGUAAACACCCCAAGAACCUGCAACACAAAUAGACACUUGGUUAGAGACAAACCAGUAUAGCGAGAACAAUUAUGGAUACAAGACAUCUAAAGCGAGCAGGCAACCUGAGAUCACGAAACGGGGUGGGACGCAAGAAUCCUUCCCGUCAAUUUGUGCAACUUGACCCCAGGAACCCCCAGCAAAAAAGAAUUUUUUCUUCCAAUUCCCACCACCACCAGUAAGAAGAUCGGUUAUGGGUUUCCUGGUCUUGGUACUAGAUUGGAAGUAGUACCAGCCGGCAUCUUUGGGGCUGCUCUUUAGCUGGUACAGGUGCUUCACCUCAUCAACUGUGGGCUUGCUUUGGCAACAUCUGUCCCACAAUAUGAACAGACCAGAGAGUACUUUCCACCCGUUGGGGUUCAGCUGACCAGGAGCUAGAUUUAGCCCGUUAAGCAUCCGGGCAAAGUAGGGUUGCAAGGGACACCUCAGCCCAUACUUAAAGCUCUCUAGAAACAGGGUAACGUAUCCCCUAGGAGGCCGGCUAGGGGUAUCCUUCUUUCCUGGGAUCUUAAGAGGUAUUUCACCAGGAAUACUAUACUUAAGCCGGAGGUCAGUGAGCUCGUCAAACGUGGUCGUGCACGUCAUGUAAUCAAUAGCGUAAUCCCGCGAUAGGGCUCUACCUCCUACUGUACUCUGCCCUUCUGGUCGCGAUGUUCAUAAUGGGGACACCUCACCAGAAUCACCUCUUCGAUCCUCACUCAGGGUGUUUUCCGAGCCAGAAAACCCCUCCUCACCGCUAUUUCUGCUCGAGGAGGUUGUUUGGGGGGACAUCCUCCUAGCGCUAGUACCAACACUAGGUCUAAUGGGUUCUAAGGGGAUCCCGGGGUCAAAAGCAGGAUCGGUGAGCAGACUAGGCAGGAAGUCCAACUCAUUGUCAUCAACCUCAAUGACCUUCUCUUUACCUUUCGACAUUCCCUAAGCUAUAACUAGAACACCACCACCAACUACUACCCAAGCAAAGCAAAGAGAAAAGAAAUUAUCUACAGCUAUCCGAGACUGAGGAGAUAGAAGUAAUACCUGAAAUAGUGGUUCAGUCGGAGAAGGACAGGGAUGGAGGCCUUUAUGCCGGAACUUCUUUGCCAGGGAGACAGGGACAGAGACGGGGUAAAUGACGAAUUUUCCUUUGGAGAGGUUUUAGGUUUUCCUAAUGGAGAAUAAACUCUUGGGUUGCCAGCAUUUAACAGCACCAAAUCCCGAGGGUCUCGUAACCGUUGGUUUGAAAUUCAAAUAGAGAGGUAGAUUUCUGUCACAUCACCUCGUCCGCAAUUAAAUGCGACACAACUCUUGGCAGCCUUUUUCCUAUCCCGCGCAAGCAAGAGCUGUCAAGUUUCUACUAUCGGCUUACUACGUUACCCAACACCAGAAACUGGGGGAUCGGUGUUUGUGGGAUAUGCUUCGACGAAGACCAGCAAUGAUGAGCAGACAUCUGGUAAUAGGGUUCCUCGAGCAGGUAUAUCUUGUAAGAGUCUAGUAUCCGGGGGAGCAGGAGCAGGAAUAUCCUGCUCAUCCGCGAGCACGUCAUCCACGAGGCCAAUCUCCUGUUGGAAGCAUAAAGUCAUUCAUGCUACAUUCCUGCUAAGGGUUGAGUCGAGGAGACCCGGUCAACGACAGUUGGCGAGAUGUGCUCUCCAGUCCGAGAAUCAAGGCACGAAGGCCACGCAACCACCCACGACUACGGAAAUGGGGCAUCCACUUUCGAGAGGUGGGAGGAUAACAAGCGCGAAUGGAGGGAAGGCCCGAGUUUAGAGGUGGCCUAUAAAAAGGUAGCCAACGAAGGUAAAAGGGUUAGAAUUUUUGACAUUGUAACAGAAAAAAAGAAAGCUCUAAAGAACUGAGACUAAAAAAGAAAAGCCAUAAGAUUUGUGGUUAGCGUUCCCAGAACCUUCAUAUCUGACUAGAGCGUCGGAGGGUUUACGCCGGGAAAAGAACCGGCAUACUCUGACCUGCUUCUGUAUACGCAGGAACUUCUGGAGAAGAAGCCUUACAAGGAGAGAUCCUGAUCGAGGUGGAGUUGAUCGAGCAGAGAUCCUGGUCGUAACAAGAGAGCAACCAGAAUCUCACAUCAACACAUAAUAUAAUAUAUAUAUAUAUAUAUAGAAAGCUGAAUUUAUUUAUUUACGCGCAUGUGCUAGUGCCCACUGGCAUCCACUUGAUUUGUAUCGGUUAAAUGUAUCAUACAAUACAAUAUUAGCUUGACUGUAGAAAAGAGGAGAACGAGUUGGUGUUGGUCUGAACUCUUAUCUUUGAAUCUCACGUGACUCCACUACUUUUUACUUGUUCUGUAGUCCAUUGUCGGCAGCUCAUACAAGGUCUUUUAGCUUUUUAAAAAGUUUUAGCUUUUUGGAUAAAUUACUGAUAAUUGUAAUCUAUAAAUAAUGAAAGGAAUUAAUUAAAUAUUUGGUAAAUUUUAUUUUUUAAAGUGUUAUGAGUUUUAAAAACGGUUGUAUGUAUAUAAAUUUAUUUACACAUAUAUUUAUAAAUAUGACUAUAUAAUAAUAUUUUAUGUGUACAUAUAAUAAUUGAUAACUAAAAUAAAUAUUUUUAUUUUAUUAAUGGUUUUUUCGUCUCAAUGUAGUUGGUAAUAAUAAUCUCUUGAGAUGUAACGAUUUUAUUUCCUAACUGAAUAAGGAAAAUUUUAGAUUUUUAUAAUAAAUGUUAAGAUAUAUUUAGAAUUACAUUAAGUAUGAAAUAAUCCUCAAAAUUAGAUUUUGAAAAGCAAUUCUUUUCUUGCCUUUAAAAAUAUGUCAUAUGAUGAGAUGAUUUUACUAAAAGUGAUUUUUUUUUAAAAAAUUACUAAACAUCAAAAUUAACUCUUAACUUUUUAAAAUCAUUUCUAAUCUUCUCAUCCUAAGUUCUCUAUUAUUUUGUACAAAAUCCAAGGUUUUGACUUUAAUAAAAUGCCCACUCAAAAAGAAAUUAUUUUCUAAUUAAGAUUUGUUGUUAAUGUAUAACUCGAAGUAAUAUUAGAUAUUUGUAAUUUUAUUUCAAAAAAUUUAUUCAAAUGAUAUGGCAAGCAAUGAACAAUAGUUGAUAGCAAUUUUUUUUUCUUUAACAAUGUUCAAAUCAAUCAGUUGCAUUAUCUCACCAUUUUUAUGAUGCCAUGUUAUUUUAAACGAUUUUUUUUUUAUAUAAAACAUACGACGUGUUAACAUCAUUUGCAUAACUUGACCUUUUUUUUUUUCCCUACAAAUAGUAAGUCAAAUUUACUCACCCUAUUUCUACCUAAAAUCUACCUAAAACUCAUGCAUCACUGCAAAACAAAUCCAAAGAUUGCGGUGCGUUUUUCUUGGUCAGAAAUCAAUAAUUAGGUCAAGUACUACUACUAAGCGUGCACAAUUAAUUCUAAAAUACGGUGAUCAAAAUCAUACUUUACGCAAGAGGAUCAGGGCUAAACUUCAAUUAGGCAUUAUUCAUCCAAAAAUCAUUGACUCGGCAUUCUUUGCAAGUUGUAGCAUGGGACAGCUAAGAUAAUUAGCAAAUGAUAUGGACCAUAUGCACCAAUACAUUUGUGACAUGUGAAUCUUGGCAUUAAAGGAAAGGCAAUGUGUCAAAAUUUAAUAGAGCCCAACUCUUCAUUGAAUGAUUAUCAGAUCCAAUACGCAUCCUUUGAUUGGAUUAUUUUAAGUCAAUUAUUGGUGGAUUGGGGCCCACUUGACUCUACCAAAUCGGGCUCGACCAUAUCACCUAUUAACGGCCACCUGUCCUUAUCAUAAAUAGCAAAUGUCACUUGUUUUAUUUUCUAUUUUACCAAAGUAAAGUCACUACGAACGCAAAAGAAAGUGACCUCAAUUUUGGGGGUCAUGAACUUUGGAUUAUUAUGGACACAAGAGACAAGCGCAAUGUUUCUCAUUUAUCACUGGAUAAGAUUUAAGUUAUCAACCCAAUAUUAAUAAAUUCUGCUUGAAAAGUAAAGUUUGAAGCUUCAUUUUGCGAAUAUUCAAUGGUUAACAUUUAAGUAAUUAACCUGAUAUUAAUCCAAUUAAACUUUUUAUGUAAUCCAAGUCAAAAAUAUAUUGAUAAACCUAAACUAAUCUAAUUGGACAUAUUAUUUCAACUUGAAAAGGUGAAUUUAUCAUUUUUCAAUUAAUUUUGAAUCAAGCUAUGUAAAAUAUAAGCUUAUUAAAGACAUAUUUGAAAAUUUCAAAUUGAAUUAUUUGACAAUUACAUUUCAACUAAGUUGUACUGCUAAUUAACUUCCUCAACUUAAAAUGUAUUUUUCUCAAUUAAUUCGUAACAAAGAAUGUUAGAUGUUUUGUUCGAAUGAUAACAUUCAACAUCCUUAUUCUUUAUGAUUAUUGCAUAAAAACAUAUUUUAUCCAUUUACGUCACAUAUGUUCCUAAAUUGUAUAAGAAAAUCACCAAAUUUACUCUUGUAAGUUACUAUAUCAAUGAACAUGAAACUAACUAAUCAUUAAAGUCUCGGAAUGACAUCAUGAGGGGGAUUCCGUUACAUUUAUUGAUAGGAUUAGAUAUAUGUCUUCCCAAAUAUUAGUAGGAGUAAUUAAACAGAUGCAGCUAUUAAAAAUAUGGAAUUACUUAUCUCGUCAAUAACUAACGAUAUUUUUUAUCUAUGCUCGAUAGGCGUCUGAGCUAUAUUAUAAAUUGUAAUAUUUGUAGAUUGUAACAAUUAUAAAAAAAAAAAAAAAAAGCUCCCUAAGACUAAACGACAACAGGACUGUUUUGAAAUAGAUAGAUAAAGUAUGCCCUUAUUUGAGAAAAGGUAAAACACUAGGGAUCUAAAUGUUAUUAUAAUCCCAUGCACAAAAAUGCUAGAAAAAACUAAUAACAACUAACCGAAAAUCCCAGGCGUCAUAUUCCUUUUUACCGCGUUUUAAAAUGCACAACAAUGAUAUUCUCACAAAAGUGGGUACAAAGGUUUGUACAACCAGGGUCUCUUUGUAAAUUAUUUCAAAGUUUUGUGUUAUUUUUUAAAUUUAUGAUUUUUAUUAAUUUUGAUUCAUUGGAGCAUUUCUCCUUCCAUCUCUUCUACAUCUAUUUUUAAAGUUUUUUAAAAUUUUGACUAUAUCUUUAUAGAGUUCUAAAUGAUUAUCUUUUUUCAUAAAAAUCUAUACUUAAAUUAAUCCUUGAAUUUAUAAUCAUUUAUCUUCUUUGAGUCAUAGACCAAAUUUUUUCUUCUAACAUAUCUAUGUAUACUCCUAAGCUAUCUUCAUGGCUUAGAUACAUUCUAUCAAAGCUUUCACAUAUAAAUUGUGAUUUGAGAUCUGCAUCUUGAAUCAACAUCUCUAUAUUAUCCAUUGUUUUACGCUCGAGGGUAGUUAAAAUUGAUUCUAUUAAUGCUAUCGUGUUUCUCCUUCAAAAGAAUCAAAUAUUUCUGGAUUAUUAAUUUCUUUUAUUUCUUCAUACAAGCAUUCGUUUGCCGUUAAUCUUGUUUUAAUCAAGGAAGCUGUAUAAGCAACUUGAUAUUCUUGACAAAAGUCUAAAUGAUCUAUUGCAUCUAGAAAUUUAUUAAUAGAUCUUUCCAUUUUUAAGAAAUUGAGUUACUCUUAUCACUUCCAAUCUUUUAACAUCUCAGAAAACAAACAAGGCCCAGCAUGCUUCCGUUUGUAGCUCAAAUAAAAGAAGAGUUCAGAUCACUAACCAAUGUACUAUCUCUCGGAAGUCUGAGAUAGACUCACUAAUUGCCUCUAACCAUAGAGAGGUCCAUGGUCAGCACCACCAUAGCUCCACACAUCAUACAAGAUCACUUCAACGACUGUUCCACAUGGCCUAAUGCAACACACAGCAGACUGGCCUAAUAGGAUAUGUCUAAGUGAUUUUCUUGCAGUUGUCUCUGGAAGAGUGCUUAGUAAUAGAAAAUCUUCUUCGUUUAGUACAAGUAUUGGUAUGUAAGGUUCUUGAUUAAUUUUCAAAAGAUGUAUAAGUGUUAGAGUGCAAUUUAUGCACUAGUUUUGCAUUAUUUACUUCCCUUAAUAUCAAUGUUUUGCACUUAAUAAUAGUGAUUUACUUGUGUUUUACUUUUGUAGGUCCAAUUCUAUUGAUUGAUGAUAAAAUUGAGCUAUAAGAUGAUGUUUAAGGAUGAUUGUUCUCUUGGAGAAAUUAUGAGCGUCAGAAGAACUUUGUUGAUAAGGCGUGGGCGCGUGCUGUCAAUUGCGGACCUGCAGUUUUUAGUUUAACGUGUUUUGUAUUUUUGGUUAUUUUUGUAAUUACGAAUUUAAUAUUUCAGAUAUUAAGAUUUUAUUUUAAAUAGAAUUCUAAAAGAGAAGAGAGAGAGAGUAUUUAAGGGAGGAAUCUAUUGUGAAAAAGGGGGAUUUUGGAUUGGAGAAAGAAAGAAACCCUAGAUCUAAUUUUUCUCUUCUCUCUAUGAAGAACUAAACUUAUUUUUCUAGUUGAAGGUUAACGAAGCUUUGAUUCAUCACUACUGUGAGAUCUUUCUUAUGCUUUAAUUGUUUUAUUACUUUUUGGAUAUUUGUUUAUUCUCUGAAUUUUUUUCAUGAUUAUGUUUGUUAAUUAGGUAAUUGGCCACUAUUUAAUUAUCAACUUAAUCUAUUGUCAAUUAAAGGAUUCAUCGUAUGAAGAAUUUAAUAUUUGUGACAAAUAACAUAGCAGAGAGUUGUGUUGUGAGAAUAAACAAUCUAAUUUAAAUGAAUCAUCAUAUGUGUUGAUUAGGAUUUGGGUCUCUCUGGUUUUUCAGGCUGUCAAUGAAUUAAAUCCUAUGAUCGUAUCUAGGGUUGUCCAUUGAUUAGGGAAAUAACCAACGGUCGUACCUUGGUUAUCGACUAGUAAAGGAGAGAUUGGCUAUUAGAGGGUCUCAAUAGCUAUAACCGGUCUAUUCAUAAGUAAUAAUAAUCUAUAUUUGAAUCAAUGAUCAGUAGUAGAAUCAAGCUGAGUUAAUUCCUUCAACCAGAGCUUUCUCCAAUUUGAAUUACAACUUUAAUUUGCAUUCUUGUUAUUUUGAUUUGAUUUUUAUUAUUGUCAACAAUUCCCCCAUUUUACGUUUUACGUUUCAAAAGGAUUUAAAUAAUUACCGAUCUCUGUGGACACGACCCUGCUCAAUCACUAUACACAAUUUAUUUAGAGUAGGAAUUUAUUUUUGUUCGCUUCGACACCACUGCUGCCUCGCCAACUAUUCCUUCUACAUCCGCACCACCUUUGAGCAUUCAGUUAGAGAAAAUAGAGCACAAGCUGAACAAGAUGGAGCAGAAUUUGGCCGCAUACUUCGAGAGUGUGGGUUUUACCCCACCAUUUCCGCCAAGCCCAUAGACGUUAUGUGGAUCAAAGCUCACAAUUCAGGGAAGUUUCUUUUUGCCCUUAAUCUUUUAUCCUUACGCUUUAAUUUUUAUGUGAGCUUUAAUUAUCUUACAUUGGGGACAAUGUAAGUUCUUGGUGUGGGGGAGGGAUUUUUGCAUUAUUGAUGUCUGGAAGUAUUAUUUUCACUCUACUCAUCUAUUUUCAUUCUACUCGUCCUUAAAUGAUUUUGGAGUUAGUAUGCUUCAUAUAUUAUUAUUUUUCUUUUCUUUUCUUUCUCACUACUUUUUUCCCAUCUAUCUCAAAUUAUUUACAUCUAUUUUUAUUCUAUCAUACUCUUUCAUCACUCACAUUUUAUCUUUCACUUUUCAUAUUACUACAUACAUCUUUCUCACUUCUUAUCAUUUUUACCUUUCCUUCACUCAUACCUUCUUCUCAUUCUACACCACUAUUGAUGGUUGAUUCAUUUGAAGAGUGUACAUGAUUUGAUGGCAAAUUUACCAACUUUGUGAGGAUUUGAGCCUAUGAGCAACCACUUUGCUCUAAUUAUUUUUAUUAUGUGAAUAUCAAUCUUAGUUUGUUUAUUCUAGAACUUGCUUUGUUAUGCAUGUUGAAGCCACAUUACGGGAUUUUUUGCAUUAAAAUGAUAAGGGCAAACCAUUUACCAUUUUUCUAUUCUCGCAUUUUCUUUUUUUUUUCUCUACCCGAAGACCUUGAUUUACUAUCUUUGUUUGAGCCUUAACCAUUACCCAUCUAAUUCUCUCCGUCUACUUAACCAUUUUUCUUCUUUUUUAGCCUCAAUUUAAGGAGAUUUUUGGACUCAUUGUGUGGAUAUAUUUUGUAUAUAUUUUGUUGCUUUUUCUACCUUGUAUUAAAGUUUCUCAAUUAGAUCAACAAGCAUUAUGCUUGAAUUAAAUUGUGCAAGGUUCAUUUCUUUUGUUUGAUUCAAAAAAAAAAAAGAAAGAAAAAGAAAAGGAAAAAGAAAAAAAAAGAAAAAAAAAGAAAAAUCGAAAAAAAAAGAAAAAGAAGAAAAAAAAAUGUUUACAUUCUUGGUGACUUGAGUAGAAAUAAGCGUUUCGAUAUCAUAAAGUUCGUUCAAUGAGUUCAUUCUUCUCAUUUUGAUCUCUUUUUCUUUCAUAAACCUUUCUUUUUCAUUUAACCCAUUUAACCCCGUUACAACCUUUUAAGACCCUUAGAUUUUUGUAUUUAAUUCAUGUUUUGUGGAUUGAAAUGUGAUAUAUAAGCAAGCUUAUGGUAAUAGCAUUCUUUGAUUUGAUUUGAGUGAAUAAAUGACACCCUAAACACUUUGAGUGCAUGGAGUGAAGUCAAUGAGAGGGCUAUUAAAUCUUGUUGCACUUGAAUUUUGAAUGGAUCUUCUUGGUGGUUGAAUGUUCUUAUUCUAUCUUAUGAGAUUCUAUGCUUUAAAAUCCUUGUCUCUCGAAUGUUGAUCGACUUAAUUUCUUGAGGUAUACUUGCUUAAAAUUGUUUUUGGAUGAGUUGAGAUGAGAAUUGAGUGGAGAUUUGGGAUUAGUCUUGAGUUAUAUGCUUGAGGACAAGCAUCAUCUUGGUGUGGGGGAAUUUGUUAGAGUGCAAUUUAAGCACUAGUUUUGCAUUGUUUACUUCCCUUAAUAUCGAUGUUUUGCACUUAAUAAUAGUGAUUUACUUGUGUUUUACUUUUGUAGGUGCAAUUCUAUUGAUUGGUGAUAAAUUAAGCUACAAGAUGAUAUUUAAUGAUGAUUGUUCUCUUGGAGAAAUUAUGAGCGUCAGAAGAACUUUGUUGAUAAGGUGUGGGCGCGUGCUGUCAACUACGGACCUGCAGUUUUUAGUUUAACGUGUUUUGUAUUUUUGGUUAUUUUUGUAAUUACGAAUUUAAUAUUUCAGAUAUUAGUAUUUUAUUUUAAAUAGAACUCUAAAAGAGAAGAGAGAGAGAGUAUUUAAGGGAGGAAUCUAUUGUGAAAAAGGGGGAUUUUAGAUUGGAGAAAAAGAAAGAAACCCUAGAUCUAAAUUUUUCUCUUCUCUCUAUGAAGAACUAAACCUAUUUUUCUGGUUGAAGGUUAAUGAAGCUUUGAUUCAUCACUACUGUGAGAUCUUUCUUGUGCUUUAAUUGUUUUAUUACUUUUUGGGUAUUUGUUUAUUCUCUGAAUUAUUUUCAUGAUUAUGUUUGUUAAUGAGGUAAUUGGCCACUAUUUAAUUAUCAACUUAAUCUAUUGUCAAUUAAGGGAUUCAUCGUAUGAAGAUUUUAAUGUUUGUGACAAAUAACAUAGCAGUGAGUUGUGUUAUGAGAAUAAAUAAUCUAAUUUAAAUGAAUCAUCAUAUGUGUUGAUUAGGAUUUGGGUCUCUCUGGUUUUUCAUGUAUAAGAUAUCUAGAAGAUGAUAAUUUCACUCAAAAGAGUUUUAUUUAUUUCAUUAUUGAAAUUGUUUACAGAGGAAGGUUACAGAGAAUACAGAGGUAAUUGAAGGUUAGACAUAUGAUAUCUUUCCUUUCUUACAUGCUUUCAUUUAUAUAUCUCUCUAGAGAUAAGAUUAUCUCUUUUACAUAACACAUGUUCGAUCCUUGUGGUGGAAUCUCGAUUUCCUUUUGAUAAGGUGACCCCUUCUUCAUCAUUGAAGCCAGUAGUUGUCUUCUUUUCAUGUUGCCAGACAACCUUUAUCUUGUUCUGGUGAGCUUUUUCUUUUUUGGAAUCUCUCUUUUUGAAUUAUUGAUACUUUUUGGAUAACACCUUUUAUCUUUUUCAGUAGUCCCCGUCACAUGCCAAUUAUCAUAUCUUCAUCUAUAGACAUGUCUUCCCCACUAGAAUCUCCUUUUUUUUUUAAUCCUUCGUAGUAGUAGCCACAUGAUGACUGAUGCUUUAGCACCUUAUAUAUCUCGUGGUGUGUCAGCAAGGUGGAUUCCACGAGAUUUUCGAAUAUGCCCUUUUUCUUUUUUAAUAUGGUAUGUCUGGCUAAAAUAUUUUCUUUUCUACUCAUAGAAAAGAUUAUAUGCUCUUUUGUGGCUUCAUGGAGCCAUAUUUUCUCCUUGUUUAUCCUCUCAAGAGAUUCAUAGAGGACUUUCAUUUCUAUGGCCCUUUUGUUGGUGAGAGCUUUUGGCUCGAAUAAUUCAGGAUCAUAAUCAUUGUAGACUUGAUGUAAAUCAAUGGUUGGACUAACUUUUCUACUGCUAAUUCCAACUUGAAUCAAGUGCUGUGCUGGAUACCACUUGUUACCAUAGUAUUCAGGGCAAGCAGUGAGGAUCUUGACAAAAAUCACUUCUUUUGUUUUAGACAUGAUUUUGAGAUCAUUAAUAGCCUCUGCAACUUUUGUGGGAAGCUCUUUUAUUUCUCUGCAAUCAUCACUUACAUAAACAAGGUUAAGAAAACCAUAUUCAAACAUGUCUUUUAUUAGUUUUAGAUUAGCUCCUGGCACAACGUUUAUCAUUGGAUAUAACCCUAAAUGAUCUAGUAUAAUAGUCUGGCUAGGACGAAUCCCAUAGGCUAUUUUACCAAUUCUUUUAUAAUCAUAAGCGUAGUCGCUUCCUAUUGGUAUUUUAACCAUAGGGACAGAUUGUCUGCUUUUAUCAUAUUGGGGUCUUAGGCUUACUGAAGAUCCCUGAGAUUCUUUUUUCUUUGUACAUUGAUCUUUAAGAUCAUUGAUUGUGAGAUAUCUCUCUGAAUGUGUGACCAUUGAUCUUUAAAAUACCAAUAGGAAGAGUAGUCGCUUCCUAUUGGUAUUUUAACCAUAGGGACAGACUGUCCGCUUUUAUCAUAUUGGGGUCUUAGGCUUACUGAAGAUCCCUGAGAUUCGUCUUUCUUUGUACAUUGAUCUUUAAGAUCAUUGAUUGUGAGAUAUCUCUCUGGAUGUGUGACCUUUAAGCUCUGCGAAGAACUCGAGGCAUUUUGACCCUCAAUUUGAUCUUUAAAAUGGACAUUUUUUUAGCAUAUUGCUAAUAUAUUGUUAUGAAGUUUGGAGUUCUGGAUGAUCUUGCAAACUUUUGUUUGGGCAAAGUUUGCUCAAUUCUUCAUGGGCAUCAUCUAUCAUGGCAAGCCCAUCAUAAAUCAUACUAUUGCCUUUGAGAAGUUAUUCUUGACCUUCAGAGCACAUUAUUAUGCCCUUAAUUAUUUUGGAAAUGCUCUGCUCCAUUGUAUUCUUGGCAAAGAUUAGAUCCUUUAAUAUAUUCAAUUUCAAAAUCAUAUUCAGCAAAAAACUGCUGCCAUCUAAUUAAUGUUUUCUAUUGAGGAAGAUUAGGCAAUUUAUUGAAUAUAAAUCCUUUGACUUGAGUGUUAUCGGAUCUUACCUUAAAUUUCUUUGGUAACAAAAAGAAAGUAAAUUUAGCUAUUCCUUUUUUAAUAGCUAAUAAUUCAUUUUCAUUACUAUGAUAAUUCUUUUCUAUGGGUUUGAAGGUCCCGCUAGAAUAUCUACAAAUUUUUUCUUGAUAUGUUUUUAAGACUGCUCGCCAGUGAUUAUCUGAAGCAGUAGUUUCAAGAAUUAAAUUAUCACUAGAGGUAGGGAAUCCUAACCUUAAGUAAAAAGCCAAAAAAAUUGACUUAUUUUAUUAAGUCAAUUUUUGAAAAUAUAAAUAAUGCAAAAUAUAAGAAUAUCAUCUACAUGAUCUAUCUUAUUAUUUGAAAAUAUAAGAAUAUCAUCUACAUAAAUAAUGCAAAAUUCAUGAAAUUUUUUUAAGAUGCUAAAUAUCUUUUUAUUUAUUAUAGAAGUAAUUAAUGUAUCUUUAUGAGGUAAAAAGUAUCCAUCGAAUUUGGUAUAUUUAUUUAAUUCUUUGUAGUUAAUGACCAUAUGAGCUUUUCCUCGUUUAAUUUCAGCAUGAUUUCUAACUGAUUAGUAUUAAAAAUUGUUUAAUUAUCAAGCGAUAAUAUGUUAUUUUAUGCUUAUGUUAUAAUUUAUAUUUGUGUUUAUGUAAUAUAUUAUGAAUUAUGAAUUAUGUUUUAAAUAUAUUUAAUUUUGUGUAUUUUUAUGUGUUUAUUAGGAAAAUUAUUAAUUUCACGUACUUUGAGGCUCCAAACAGAUAAACGGAGGUCAAAUUUGGAUUCCGGAGGUCCGAAAACCUUAAGAUCAGUCAAGAUCGGCUUAAAAUUGGGCUUGUGUAAAAAAAGUUGACUUUUCCUGUUGACCGAGCACUGAUUGGAUGAUGAAAUGAGCUUACAAUAGAUAUGAGUGCAUGGGAUAACUGGCAAUCUUGACUAAAUCUCAACCGUUCAUGAUUCAAUGGCCAUGAUUGUGCCACGUGGCAAUGGUUGGUGAAGCAAGUUGGAGGAUCCGAAUCUUUGUAUUCGGGUCGACCCGAUCCACCCAUUAACCCGCCAAAUCUCAACCGUUCUUUGGGCAAAUCGGACGAGUCAAAUGAUGCCAUGUGUGAUGUUGACUUUUGAAGUUUGACCAGCCAUUGGAUCUUGAUCUAAGGGUUGUGAGGAGCACAUGCAUGAAGCCUAUGAUGGACCGCAAAGCACUGGAUUAUGAAUUUAUUUUUCUAUAAAUAGGGCCUCAUUUUUAUGUUUUAAUCAUCUCUCUACAACUCUCUUCUUCUCAAAUUCUCUCCAUCUCCUUGUAAUCUUGAUUUCCAUAUGUGUUUUUAAUAUUUUGUAUAAUUAUUUUCAUUAAUAAAAUUAGUUUUAUUUCCAAUUUUAGUUGUUUUUAUUUCUUUUAAUUAUAAGUAAUUCAAUUUUACUACUUCUUUUUAUUUUAAUUAUGCUUAACUAAAUAAUAUUAGUUAGGGGAAGGUGAAACUCUUAAGAAAUAAAUAUGAUUUAAUCAAAUUCUAUGUUUAAUUUUAUAAAUUAAAUUAUUUUCUAUUUAAUUUUAUACAUGUUUUAUAUUUUGAAAAUUUAAUUUAUUGUAGACAAACAAAUGAAUUUGGCACAAUAAAUUCUUAAGAUCUUAAUAUAAGGCAUGGUGAAAUGGUAUUUUGACUUAUUGUAGACAAAUUAAAUUUUGGCACAAUAAAUACUUAAUCCAUCAUAAAAUUAAAGGGAAAAUAAUAAUAAUUUGUAUAAUUAAUCUUUUGAGUAAUAAAUCUAAAACAAAUUGGCAAAAAGAAUUUAUUAAGUUUUAUUUAUUUCUAAGAGUGGAUCCAUAACCCUAACUAGUUCAAUUCCAUAGUUUCAUUUAAAUUAAGUUGUUUAUAUUCAAGUUUUAAUUUCAAUUUUUAGAUAAAAUAAAAUAAACUAAUUAAAUCUUUUCUCUGUGGAUCGACCUCGGACUCACCGAGUUAUAAUACAACAAGACACUCUUAUACUUGGGAGUUAAAAUUUACUUUUAAGUUGUGUCAAGUUUUUGGCGCCGUUGCCGGGGAAAAGUUUUUUAUUUGGUUUGUUUUUCCGUUUUUUAUUUUUCUCUUAUAUGUAAAACUUCGUUUGCCCCCUUUUCCUUUUCUUAAAUUCUCCUUAGUCCCCAUGUCUUUCAUAUUUCUCGUUUCACCCCAACAAUUUCCUUUUCUAGCCCAAUCUUCUGGUAAUUACGUUCGGACCCCAACAUCUUUCAACUGUUUCACUUUCAUCCCAAAUUACUAAUUCUAAACUUCUAAAAAUUACAUUUUGACCAUAAAAUUAAAAAUAAUUUGCAAUAGAAUCCCUAGACGAAAUUCCUCAACAUAAUCAAGACUUGGACAUAUUUGGACAUACUUUGGACAUAUUUGGACAUAUUUGGACUUAUUUUGGACCAAACUAACUUUAACUACUAACUCUAAUUACUAACUCUUAACUUACUAACUGCUAACUGCUAACUGCUAACUUUUAUUUAAUUUCAGUUAUUUAAUUUUCUGCAUUUAUUUUAUUUCGUAUUUAUUUAUUUGUUUUUGCUUUAUUGGUGGGUUUAACCACCAAACUAACUACUAACUCUUAACUUUUAUUUUCAGUUAUUUAAUUUUCAGUAUUUAUUUAAUUUUGUAUUUUUUAUUUUUUUUAAUUGGUGGGUUCAACCACCAUUUUUUUUUAUUUUGCAUUUAUUUAUUUAUUUAUUUUUUACUUUGUUGGUGGGUUCAACCAUCAAAAUUGUUAUUUAAUUUUCUUUUGUAUACUUAUAUUAUUUAUUUAUUUAUUUUUUUAUUUUAUUUUGUUAUCAAUUUGUGUAAAUAUUAUCUUUAUAACAUAACCAUUGCAUGAGACGUUGGUCUCGAUCUUCAAGUGGCAGGUUAAUUCGUAGAUCUCAAUCUCCACCACCAAUCAUGGAUGAGAAUGAAGGCGAAAACGUUUUGGGCGAACUUAAUCCUCAAAUUGAUCAGGGAGACAACCAAUCUCAACAUGGGCAUGAUCAGAAUCAACCAAGGACUCUGAGAGACUACAUGAAUCCAACCAGAACCGGAGCACCGUCGUGUAUAGUAUUUCCUCCAGAAGCAUCUCGAUUCAACUUUAAACCAGGUAUUAUCCAACUUUUACCAACAUUUCAUGGUUUAGAAUCUGAGAAUCCGUACUUGCAUCUAAGAGAUUUUGAGGAAGUUUGUAAUACAUACACGGACCAAAAUUGUAGCAUGAACAUAAUUAGAUUAAAGCUUUUUCCUUUUUCAUUAAAAGAUAAAGCUAAAACUUGGCUACAAAACCUUAGAUCUGGAUCAGUAAGAACUUGGAAUAACAUGCAAGAACAGUUUUUUGAAAAAAUUCUUUCCACCUCAUAGAACAAAUUCUUUUAAAAGGCAAAUCACUUCUUUCACUCAAAAAAAUGGAGAAACAUUAUACCAAUGUUGGGAUAGGUUUACAGAGUUGCUUAACAUAUGCCCACAUCAUGGUUUUGAAACUUGGCGAUUGGUCACUUAUUUCUACGAGGGCUUAAUACCCCAAAGUAGACAGGUUGUUGAAAUGAUGUGUAAUGGUGAAUUUAGGGAUAAAAAUCCUGAAGAUGCACUAGAUUACCUUGACCAAUUAGCUGAAAAUGCACAACAUUGGGAUACUGUUGGAACUUUUGAAUUGACAAAUAAGCAACAAUCAUCUCCAUCUAGUGGAGGAAUCCAUAACCUUAGGGAAGAUCAUGAUUUACAAGCAAAAUUUGCAUCCCUAGUUAGGAAAGUUGAAGCUUUGGAGCAUAAAAAGAGUGAUCAAGUAAAAUCUGUUCAAGAAAUUGCAUGUAACAUAUGUAAUUCGAAUGAUCAUUUCACUCAAGAGUGUCCCACUUUGCCUGCACUUAAAGAAUGUCUAAAUGAUCAAGCUAAUGUCAUUAACACUUUCAAUAAACCAAACCCAUAUUCACAGACUUAUAAUCCUGGUUGGAGAAAUCAUCCGAAUUUCAGUUGGAGGAAUAAUAAUAAUGCACAAUCUUCACAAGCACCACCUCCACAAAAUUUUCAAAAUCCUCAGCCUUAUGCACCAUAUGUUCCACCACCCUGGAAAAAUCUGGAAGACACAAUGCAUUCAUUCAUCAGAAAGCAAGAUGUUAUUAACAAUCAAAAUGCACAAAAUUUUUCUGAUUUGAAAGAUACUCUUGCUAAAAUUGCUUCUGCACUCACCAUUCAAGAAAAAGGAAAAUUUCCAGCCCAACCACAACCAAAUCCUAAAAUUCAACAAAAUCCACCCACAGACCAAGUCAAGUCAGUUAUAACUCUUCGUAGUGGUAAGGUUGUUGAUAGACCUAUGCCUGAACCUUAUGAAAAUGAUGAAAAUUCAAAGGGUAAGGAAGGACUAAAUGAACUUACACCUAGUGAAGAAAUAACUAGUGUUCCACCUGAACCACCAUUUCCGCAUGCAUUGAAUAAACCAAAGAAAUCAAACCACUCUUCUGAAAUUUAUGAAAUCUUUAAGCAAGUGAAAGUUAACAUUCCUCUAUUAGAUGCAAUCAAGCAGGUUCCUUUAUAUGCCAAAUUUUUAAAGGACUUGUGCACUGUUAAGAGGAAAUUGAAGGUAAGAAAGAGUGCUUUCAUGGCCGAACAGGUAAGUACAAUUCUGUCUACUAAUAAUAAGUUGAAAUAUAAAGAUCCUGGUUGUCCUACCAUUUCUUGUAUUAUUGGUAACCACAGAAUUGAGCAUGCUUUACUAGAUCUUGGUGCUAGUGUUAAUUUGCUUCCAUAUUCAGUUUAUCUUCAACUUAAUCUUGGUGAGUUAAAAUCAACUUCAACUACACUUUUGCUUGUCGAUAGAUCAGUUAAAGUACCAAAAGGAAUAGUGGAAGAUGUUUUAGUACAAGUUGAUAAAUUUAUUUAUCCUGUGGAUUUUAUUGUCUUGGAAACUGAACCUGUUGUGAAUAAUUACAAACCAAUUCCUGUAAUUUUAGGUCGACCAUUUUUAGCAACUGCUAAUGCUUUGAUUAAUUGUAGGAAUGGUUUAAUGAAUUUAUCCUUUGGGAAUAUGACUUUGGAAUUGAAUGUUUUCAACAUGUGCAGGCAACCUAAUGAAGAAAAUGAGAAUGAAGAUGAUACUGAUGAACAAAAGGAAUUGUUUGAAUCUUGUAUCGAGGAAAAUAUUCAAAAAGGGGAUUUUUCUGAACUUUCAAAUGUUUGUUUAGUUAAUUCAAUUGAGUCAAAUAAGCAACUUGAACUUGAUAUUUCUAAUAUAAAUUCGUUGCUUGAUUCUGUGCAGACUUCACAAAAUUAUGAUGACGAGCCAAAAUUUGAGGAGCUUGGAAGUAUUGAAAAGACAGAACAACAAGAAGCACCUAAAAUGGAAUUGAAACCUUUGCCUGAAGGAUUGAAAUAUGCUUUUCUUGGAGAAGAACAAACUUAUCCUGUUGUGAUUUCUUCUACUUUAACAAGCGACCAAGAAGGUAAGUUACUUACUGUUCUUAAAAAGCAUAAAAAUGCAAUAGGAUGGACUUUAAAUGACAUUAAAGGCAUUAAUCCCUUAAUCUGCACACAUAGAAUUAAUUUGGAAGAAAAUGCUAAAAUAUGUCAACAACCUCAAAGAAGAUUAAACCCACACAUGAAAGAGGUAGUCAAAACAGAAGUCCUUAAAUUACUUGAUGUGGGAAUUAUCUACCCUGUUUCUGAUAGUAAGUGGGUAAGUCCUACACAAGUAGUGCCUAAAAAAUCUGAAAUCACUGUUGUUAAAAAUGAAAAAGGUGAAUUAAUUCCAACACGAAUUACAUCUAGUUGACGCAUGUGCAUUGAUUAUAGAAAAUUAAAUGAAGCCACUAGAAAAGAUCAUUUUCCAUUACCAUUCCUUGACCAAAUCUUAGAAAGAGUAGCAGGACAUCCCUACUACUGUUUUUUAGAUGGAUAUUCAGGUUAUUAUCAAAUUCCUAUAGCACUUGAGGACCAAGAAAAGACCACAUUCACAUGUCCUUUUGGAACAUUUGCAUUUAAAAGAAUGCCAUUCGGGCUUUGUAAUGCUCCUGCAACAUUUCAAAGAUGUAUGUUAAGCAUUUUUUGUGAUAUGGUUGAACAUUGUUUAGAGGUCUUUAUGGAUGAUUUGACUGUGUUUGGGAAUUCUUUUGAUGAUUGCCUUGAUAAUUUGGAGAAAGUUUUAAAAAGAUGUGUUGAAAAAGAACUCGUGUUGAAUUGGGAAAAAUGUCACUACAUGGUUACUUCUGGAAUUGUUUUGGGUCAUGUUGUUUCUAUUAAAGGAAUUGAAGUUGACAAAGCAAAAAUCGAAGUCAUAUCUAAAUUGCCACAACCAAAAACAGUUAGAGAUGUGCGAUCCUUUUUAGGACAUGCAGGAUUUUAUAGGAGGUUUAUAAAAAACUUUAGUGCCAUAUCUAAACCACUUUGUAACCUCUUAUUAAAAGAUGCACCGUUUGAAUGGAAUGAUGAUUGCCAAAAAUCUUUUGAAAAAAUAAUUUGUCUUUUAACAUCUGCACCUAUUAUGCAAUCUCCUGAUUGGUCUUUGCCAUUUGAAUUAAUGUGUGAUGCAAGUGAUUUUGCUGUUGGUGCUGUUUUAGGACAAAGAAGGGAUGGUAAGCCUUUUGUGAUUUAUUAUGCGAGUAAGACUUUAGAUAGUGCUCAAAUGAAUUAUUCUACAACUGAAAAAGAAUUACUUGCUGUGGUAUUUGCAUUAAACAAAUUCCGUUCAUAUUUGCUUGGCUCCAAAUCUGUUGUGUUUACUGACCACGCUGCUGUGAGAUAUUUGAUGAGUAAACAGGAUGCCAAACCGAGGAUAAUUCGUUGGAUUUUGUUACUACAAGAAUUUGACCUUACCAUCAAAGAUAAAAAGGGUGCUGAAAAUGUUGUUGCGGAUCAUCUAUCAAGACUCACAUCCGAAUUCUGCAAUGAUAUAACACCCAUAAAUGAUUCUUUCCCUGAUGAAUUUUUAUUUUCUGUUACUUCAAUGCCAUGGUAUGCUAACAUUGUUAAUUUCCUUGUUACAGGUAAAAUGCCUUUGCAAUGGAAUGCUCAAGAGAAGAAGAAAUUUUUUGUUGAAGUAAAGAAAUUUUAUUGGGAUGACCCUUAUUUGUUCAAAUAUUGCCCAGAUCAAAUUUUUCGGCGAUGUAUUCCUCAUAAUGAGGUAAGUAGUGUCAUUAAUUUUUGUCAUUCUGAAGCAUGUGGUGGUCAUUUUUCUUCAAGAAAAACUAUUGCUAAAAUUUUACAGUGUGGAUUUUAUUGGCCUACCAUGUUUAAAGACACAUAUGAAUUCUGCAAAAGUUGUGAAAAAUGUCAAAAAUUGGGAUCAAUUACAAAAAGAAACAUGAUGCCCUUAAAUCCCAUACUUGAAAUUGAAAUAUUUGACUGUUGGGGAAUUGAUUUCAUGGGUCCAUUUCCAUCAUCUUUUGGAUUUGUGUAUAUAUUAGUUGCAGUUGAUUAUGUCUCAAAAUGGAUUGAAGCAAUUUCUUGUCGAAAUAAUGACAGUAAAACUGUGAUUAAAUUUUUAAGAGAAAACAUUUUAAGUCGAUUUGGAAUCCCUCGAGCCAUUAUCAGUGAUGGAGGUAAGCAUUUUUGUAAUAAGUCAUUUGAGUCUUUAAUGAAGAAAUAUGGAAUUACACAUAAAAUUGCUACCCCUUAUCAUCCUCAAACAAAUGGUCAAGUUGAAUUAGCAAAUAGGGAGAUAAAACAAAUUUUGGAAAAAACGGUUAACCCAAACCGAAAAGAUUGGUCUCUUAGACUUAAUGAUGCACUUUGGGCUUACCGCACUGCAUUUAAAACAUCAUUAGGAAUGUCACCCUAUCGGUUAAUUUAUGGUAAACCUUGUCAUUUACCUGUUGAACUUGAACAUAAAUCACUUUGGGCUAUUAAAGCUUUUAAUUCAAAUUUGGAUGAUGCUGGUAAUGUGCGAAAAUUGCAAUUGAAUGAACUUGAGGAAUUAAGGAAUGAUGCAUAUGAAAAUUCAAGAAUUAUUAAGGCAAGAACAAAAGAAGAUUAAACCCACACAUGAAAGAGGUAGUCAAAACAGAAGUCCUUAAAUUACUUGAUGUGGGAAUUAUCUACCCUAUUUCUGAUAGUAAGUGGGUAAGUCCUACACAAGUAGUGCCUAAAAAAUCUGAAAUCACUGUUGUUAAAAAUGAAAAAGGUGAAUUAAUUCCAACACGAAUUACAUCUAGUUGACGCAUGUGCAUUGAUUAUAGAAAAUUAAAUGAAGCCACUAGAAAAGAUCAUUUUCCAUUACCAUUCCUUGACCAAAUCUUAGAAAGAGUAGCAGGACAUCCCUACUACUGUUUUUUAGAUGGAUAUUCAGGUUAUUAUCAAAUUCCUAUAGCACUUGAGGACCAAGAAAAGACCACAUUCACAUGUCCUUUUGGAACAUUUGCAUUUAAAAGAAUGCCAUUCGGGCUUUGUAAUGCUCCUGCAACAUUUCAAAGAUGUAUGUUAAGCAUUUUUUGUGAUAUGGUUGAACAUUGUUUAGAGGUCUUUAUGGAUGAUUUGACUGUGUUUGGGAAUUCUUUUGAUGAUUGCCUUGAUAAUUUGGAGAAAGUUUUAAAAAGAUGUGUUGAAAAAGAACUCGUGUUGAAUUGGGAAAAAUGUCACUACAUGGUUACUUCUGGAAUUGUUUUGGGUCAUGUUGUUUCUAUUAAAGGAAUUGAAGUUGACAAAGCAAAAAUCGAAGUCAUAUCUAAAUUGCCACAACCAAAAACGGUUAGAGAUGUGCGAUCCUUUUUAGGACAUGCAGGAUUUUAUAGGAGGUUUAUAAAAAACUUUAGUGCCAUAUCUAAACCACUUUGUAACCUCUUAUUAAAAGAUGCACCGUUUGAAUGGAAUGAUGAUUGCCAAAAAUCUUUUGAAAAAAUAAUUUGUCUUUUAACAUCUGCACCUAUUAUGCAAUCUCCUGAUUGGUCUUUGCCAUUUGAAUUAAUGUGUGAUGCAAGUGAUUUUGCUGUUGGUGCUGUUUUAGGACAAAGAAGGGAUGGUAAGCCUUUUGUGAUUUAUUAUGCGAGUAAGACUUUAGAUAGUGCUCAAAUGAAUUAUUCUACAACUGAAAAAGAAUUACUUGCUGUGGUAUUUGCAUUAAACAAAUUCCGUUCAUAUUUGCUUGGCUCCAAAUCUGUUGUGUUUACUGACCACGCUGCUGUGAGAUAUUUGAUGAGUAAACAGGAUGCCAAACCGAGGAUAAUUCGUUGGAUUUUGUUACUACAAGAAUUUGACCUUACCAUCAAAGAUAAAAAGGGUGCUGAAAAUGUUGUUGCGGAUCAUCUAUCAAGACUCACAUCCGAAUUCUGCAAUGAUAUAACACCCAUAAAUGAUUCUUUCCCUGAUGAAUUUUUAUUUUCUGUUACUUCAAUGCCAUGGUAUGCUAACAUUGUUAAUUUCCUUGUUACAGGUAAAAUGCCUUUGCAAUGGAAUGCUCAAGAGAAGAAGAAAUUUUUUGUUGAAGUAAAGAAAUUUUAUUGGGAUGACCCUUAUUUGUUCAAAUAUUGCCCAGAUCAAAUUUUUCGGCGAUGUAUUCCUCAUAAUGAGGUAAGUAGUGUCAUUAAUUUUUGUCAUUCUGAAGCAUGUGGUGGUCAUUUUUCUUCAAGAAAAACUAUUGCUAAAAUUUUACAGUGUGGAUUUUAUUGGCCUACCAUGUUUAAAGACACAUAUGAAUUCUGCAAAAGUUGUGAAAAAUGUCAAAAAUUGGGAUCAAUUACAAAAAGAAACAUGAUGCCCUUAAAUCCCAUACUUGAAAUUGAAAUAUUUGACUGUUGGGGAAUUGAUUUCAUGGGUCCAUUUCCAUCAUCUUUUGGAUUUGUGUAUAUAUUAGUUGCAGUUGAUUAUGUCUCAAAAUGGAUUGAAGCAAUUUCUUGUCGAAAUAAUGACAGUAAAACUGUGAUUAAAUUUUUAAGAGAAAACAUUUUAAGUCGAUUUGGAAUCCCUCGAGCCAUUAUCAGUGAUGGAGGUAAGCAUUUUUGUAAUAAGUCAUUUGAGUCUUUAAUGAAGAAAUAUGGAAUUACACAUAAAAUUGCUACCCCUUAUCAUCCUCAAACAAAUGGUCAAGUUGAAUUAGCAAAUAGGGAGAUAAAACAAAUUUUGGAAAAAACGGUUAACCCAAACCGAAAAGAUUGGUCUCUUAGACUUAAUGAUGCACUUUGGGCUUACCGCACUGCAUUUAAAACAUCAUUAGGAAUGUCACCCUAUCGGUUAAUUUAUGGUAAACCUUGUCAUUUACCUGUUGAACUUGAACAUAAAUCACUUUGGGCUAUUAAAGCUUUUAAUUCAAAUUUGGAUGAUGCUGGUAAUGUGCGAAAAUUGCAAUUGAAUGAACUUGAGGAAUUAAGGAAUGAUGCAUAUGAAAAUUCAAGAAUUAUUAAGGCAAGAACAAAAGCAUUUCAUGAUAAAAGAAUUUUUCGAAAAACAUUUGAGAUUGGUCAAAAAGUGUUGCUUUAUAAUUCUCGUCUUCAUUUAUUUCCAGGAAAGUUAAAGUCAAAAUAGAGUGGCCCAUUUGUUGUAAAAAAUGUAUAUUCAUAUGGGGCCAUAGAAAUUGAGAAUCCAAAUAACGGUGUCACAUUUAAAGUUAAUGGUCAAAGAUUAAAACCAUAUCUGGAACAUCACCCACGUGACGAGGACACCGAAAUUAAUUUGGAUGACCCACCAGUUCUUGAUUAAGUCUUUAAUGAUUUUUUUUUUUUUUACUAUUAUUUUACCGUUUCAUUGUUUGAUUUUUUUUCUUUAGAUUGAUGCACUGUACAUAGUUUUUUUUUAACAUUGUUUUUCUUGUGUAAGCGUGUUUGUUUGACAGUUGUACAUUCUCUCAUCAAUUUUCAUUUUACAUCAUGAGCACCUCAAUGAGAAAAUACCUAUUCGCACAUCUUAAAAGAUUUCGGCGUAUAAAAUUUCACUUAAGAGGCCUAAUACAAAGCUGUAAAUCACAUCCACUUUGGGAUCUGCAACCACCAGAAUUCGUGUCCUAUGUUGAGGAUCUAGAAGGACAACUCAGAACAGUAGAGAGUGGCAUAUAUGAAUUUCAAAUAGAGCUUGAGGUUAACUCAAUGAGAGGACGAAUGUAAGUUCAUUUUCCUUUUAUAUUGUGUGCUUUUUUUUUGCUCGCUUUCACGCUUGAUUUGAUUUUGCAGAUUUGAUUUUGGUGUGUUUUGAUUUAUUUUCCCGUAUAAAUGGCGGAUAACGGUACUCCGUGACUUCUUAAGUCGGUAUCUUCAGUUUCCCACAAUAACUGAAACCCCAAAAUCAAACAUGGAAGAAAUACAACAUAAACUCCAUAAGCAUUUUCCCUCUCUCCCUCAGAAUGCCCUCAGGAAAAUUUACAAAGCUCGUUGUGAACGACUGCGUUUGUUAAUGAUCAAUGGCAUUCUUUCUGACAUUCGUUGGUUAAUUGAAGCAAAGGUCUGAUUAGCAGGUGAGUUUUCUAGUCAAUUUGUUUCUUACAUGCCUGGUUUUGGUAAAAGUACGUUUGCUAAGAAAAGGAGAGCUAAACGACUUGGCUCAAAAUGUCAUAACUGUGUAAGACUUGGUUGCAAACGACCGGAUUGUAAAUCUUUAGGAAUGGUUUCUGAUACUCGUGAAGAUAAAAUUAAAUUCGUUAAAGAUGGCAUGAGUAAAGAAUCGUUGGAUGAUAUCUUACGAUCUCUUGAGACGCAUCGAAGCGGAAUUGUGCAAUGUGAGAUUUACAAUUUGUGGAUACUAUUCCAAAAACAAAGUGCACAGUUAAGUCUUGGGAAUCUGACUCAAAAAGACCCUGUUUGCCAGUUUAUAAGAAAACUGGAUGGGAAGCCGAUCCUCGACCCAUAGAGGGCGUUCAAGCCGUUACUGGACGUAAAACCAGAGGAAGAUGUGAGCCACAAUCACAACUACUAGUAAAUAUCCUUUCACUUCACUGUUAUUUUACUUUACUGUUAUUUUAUCAUUUGAAUUAUUGCAUUUAGCGAUGUGAUUUUGUAUUUAUUUGGUUUCUUUUACUGUUUGCUUUUUCUAAUCAUUACUUUUUUUUUUACUAUUUGUUUUUGAAUUAUUGAGCCACGAGCUUUCCUCGUCAUUUGACAAAUAUGCCAACCCAUUUACAGCUGUUUCUCUUUAUUUAUGUCACCAAGAUCUUUAAAUAUGAGCUCGUUUUUCAAACACUCACAACUUGUUUUUGAAAAAUUAGUCCAAUGGCAGCAUCUUCAAGUAAACAAUUCAAAAAUAUUUGUGUGCUUUCUGGGUUUCACUAUGGAAAGUACAAAGAGUUCGUUCAGGUAGCUGUAGAUCUUGGUCGUGUCAUAGCAGAGAGGAAACUGCAUCUUGUAUAUGGAGGAGGUGAACGAGGGUUAUCAAGACUUGUCUCAGAAGCUGUUUUUACCAGAGGAAGCCAAGUACUCGGCAUUAUCCCAAAACCCAUGAAACCGCUAGUGUGCAUGUCUGGCCCACCAAUUGGAGAAGAAUUAGUGGUAUCAAGUAUGCAAGAGAGAAUAUCUGAAAUGAUGAAUCAUGCUGAUGCUUUUAUUUUCUUGCCAGGAGAUCUUGCAACUUUUGAGGCACUAAUUACAUUUGCAUCUUGGGCCCACUUGAACAUUCAUCAAAAGCCCAUCGGUUUGUUAAAUGUUAAUAAUUUUUAUGACGGCUUGCUAACUUUUAUUAAUCAUGCAAUAAAGAAUCAUUUUGUUCCACAUUCUGUAAAAAAACUCUUUAUCUCUGCUUCUACUGCUAAUGAGUUACUUGAUCUUUUACAAGCUUAUACACCAGAGCCAGAUCCACAGACUGUUGCACUGAAUUGGUCGACUAAUGAUGGUAACGGUAACAGUAGCAGUAAUAAGAAGUGCGAUUUAGAUUUAACUCUCCGUUUGUAAAUAUUUGCUGUUGUAGUGUUCAUGUGAUGUCUUCUACACUCUUUCUAUUUCCUUUUAAAACAUUGAGGACAAUGUCUUUUUCAGGUUGGGGGGAGGGAAUAGUUGAUAAUUGUGGAAUGUCUUAGUCCUGGUUAUGUGUUUACAAAAAAAAAAAAAAAAAAAACAAUAACAAAAUUUUUUUUUUCUGUAAAGACUAACUUAGGACAAAUUUGAGUCGAAGAUGGCAGGAUAUAGAGAAUGUAGUCUCUCUAGAAACGCAUCUUCUUAAUCUUAAGGGUGUUGUUAAAAAAAAAAAAAAAUUGACUUUUUCUUCAUCUUUGUUAUCUACUUUUAAGCUUCUGCAUCAAGUUAAGGUGAGAUCUCCUAUUCUUCUUCUUUUAUUAUUCUCUUUUAUUUUUAUUUAUUAUUAUUAUUAUUUUUUUGCAUAUCUGUAAAAUUAUAAAAUGUUAGGAUAAUGUUUAGAUUAGGUUGUGGGGUGGGGAUAAUUGACGUAUGUUUUAAAUAUGUAUGUUGUUUUUUUCUCUUUUCUCUUUUCUUUUCUUUUCUUUGCCAAAAAAAAAAAAAAAUUGUUUUUUGUCUAGGAUGGCCGUGUAAAGAGUCACGACUUUUGAGACGCAUCCUAAUAGUCUUGUUGUAUUAUAUUUUGAUUUUGAGAUUCAUGGUAAGUUGUUUUUGUUCCCUUUUCUUUGAAUUACUCAAAUUUGUGAACUCUCCACUUGGUUAUUAAGUUAUUUAAUUGUUUACUCAUUUAACAGGUAUUAUUGAAUCAUUCUUCACACACACAUUAUGACACAUACUAGUGGGUUGUAAGUUAAAAUUUUACAGCAUUUAGUUCUUUUGAUUUAUUAGGAAAAGUAUCUAAGGUAGUAGAAAGUGUAUAGUUCCAAAAAAAAAAAAAAAAGUAGAAAAAAAAUUGUUUUUAAUUUUUCUAUAUCUAGAACCCGAGUAAUUAAGUCCGUAGGGGUGUUUCAACACCUAGUGCCCUAAGGUCAACUGGUCUGGGAGUCACUGGCCUAAAGCUCACUACAUGGGUAAUAGAUAUAUUGUUUGUUUAUUAGAAACCCGAGUAAUUAAGUCCGUAGGGGUGCUUUAACACCUAGUGCCCUAAGGGCAACUGGUCUGGGAGUCACUGACCCAAAGCUCGCUACACGGGUUAGAAAUGUAAUAUAUAAAAAAAAAAUGUGUGAAUAAUCUAUUGCCUAAAGAUAUAAUUUCUAAUGAAUUUUAGAACGAAAAUGUUGUUUUUCUUUUAAUGAAGCCCCAUAAGUAUUGUGUUAAUUACUUGAGCACAAAAGAAGGUUUGAUGAUAUUCUGGAUAAUGAGUGAACAUCAAUGUGGUAAAGGAAUUUGGGAGAGUUCAUUUAUUUGGUAAUUUAGAGGAUAGAUGAACAACUAUUAACUUGCAUGUGAAUUUUAUAAAUCUUAAUAUAACGCUUUAAUUGCUAGAGGGCUAGCAAUAAGCUGGUUGGGGGGUGUGAUUAGUAUUAAAAAUUGUUUAAUUAUCAAGCGAUAAUAUGUUAUUUUAUGCUUAUGUUAUAAUUUAUAUUUGUGUUUAUGUAAUAUAUUAUGAAUUAUUAAUUAUGUUUUAAAUAUAUUUAAUUUUGUGUAUUUUUAUGUGUUUAUUAGGAAAAUUAUUAAUUUCACGUACUUCGAGGCUCCAAACAGAUAAACGGAGGUCAAAUUUGGAUUCCGGAGGUCCGAAAACCUUAAGAUCAGUCAAGAUCGGCUUAAAAUUGGGCUUGUGUAAAAAAAGUUGACUUUUCCUGUUGACCGAGCACUGAUUGGAUGAUGAAAUGAGCUUACAAUAGAUAUGAGUGCAUGGGAUAACUGGCAAUCUUGACUAAAUCUCAACCGUUCAUGAUUCAAUGGCCAUGAUUGUGCCACGUGGCAAUGGUUGGUGAAGCAAGUUGGAGGAUCCGAAUCUUUGUAUUCGGGUCGACCCGAUCCACCCAUUAACCCGCCAAAUCUCAACCGUUCUUUGGGCAAAUCGGACGAGUCAAAUGAUGCCAUGUGUGAUGUUGACUUUUGAAGUUUGACCAGCCAUUGGAUCUUGAUCUAAGGGUUGUGAGGAGCACAUGCAUGAAGCCUAUGAUGGACCGCAAAGCACUGGAUUAUGAAUUUAUUUUUCUAUAAAUAGGGCCUCAUUUUUAUGUUUUAAUCAUCUCUCUACAACUCUCUUCUUCUCAAAUUCUCUCCAUCUCCUUGUAAUCUUGAUUUCCAGGUGUGUUUUUAAUAUUUUGUAUAAUUAUUUUCAUUAAUAAAAUUAGUUUUAUUUCCAAUUUUAGUUGUUUUUAUUUCUUUUAAUUAUAAGUAAUUCAAUUUUACUACUUCUUUUUAUUUUAAUUAUGCUUAACUAAAUAAUAUUAGUUAGGGGAAGGUGAAACUCUUAAGAAAUAAAUAUGAUUUAAUCAAAUUCUAUGUUUAAUUUUAUAAAUUAAUUUAUUUUCUAUUUAAUUUUAUACAUGUUUUAUAUUUUGAAAAUUUGAUUUAUUGUAGACAAACAAAUGAAUUUGGCACAAUAAAUUCUUAAGAUCUUAAUAUAAGGCAUGGUGAAAUGGUAUUUUGACUUAUUGUAGACAAAUUAAAUUUUGGCACAAUAAAUACUUAAUCCAUCAUAAAAUUAAAGGGAAAAUAAUAAUAAUUUGUAUAAUUAAUCUUUUGAGUAAUAAAUCUAAAACAAAUUGGCAAAAAGAAUUUAUUAAGUUUUAUUUAUUUCUAAGAGUGGAUCCAUAACCCUAACUAGUUCAAUUCCAUAGUUUCAUUUAAAUUAAGUUGUUUAUAUUCAAGUUUUAAUUUCAAUUUUUAGAUAAAAUAAAAUAAACUAAUUAAAUCUUUUCUCUGUGGAUCGACCUCGGACUCACCGAGUUAUAAUACAACAAGACACUCUUAUACUUGGGAGUUAAAAUUUACUUUUAAGUUGUGUCACUAACUAUAAAGGCUGGGUUACUUUGAGGACUUUUAGAUUCUCCAAAAUUUUUAUCAAGUUUUUCUAUUUUUUUUUUCAUAAUCUGAUAUAAUUUGAUUGAUUUUUAUAUUGUAUUCACCACGCUGGCUGCUUCGAAAAUGUAAUUUUCGAGUUGUUUACCUAAUAAGAUUAUAAAUUCUUGGUGUGGUGAUGGAAUGAUUACAUGGUGUUGUAAGAGUAAUUCUUUCGUUAGUCAUUAUAUAAAUGAACUGACAAAGGAAAUUGACUUCUAAAAGUAUAUAUGCUCCUAUAUGAUUAUAAGACCAUAAUAUAUGGAUACUUAAAAUGUAAUCUUCGAUUUGGAUUAAAGUUUUUAUCCUACAUGUUCCUAAAAUGAUUUGUUCACCAUUUAUUCCUUGUCCUGUUAAGGGUUUAUAAUCUUUCGAAUAUGAUUUUGGAUAAAUCCUUAAAUUAGGUAAGCUAACUCCUGAACCAGUGUCUAUUAAAGCAUGAAACCAUUCUGGCUUAUGCUUAUAAUAUGGUUUAAUCACUUUUAUAUAAACUAUAAAAAGAUUAGACAUAUCUUGAUAUGGUUUGCUUAAUUCCUUCAACUGUUAAGCUUAUUUUUCUAUCUCCUAUAGAAUAAGGAGUAAAAUUCUCAAGAAAGUUCAUCCCUAAUAAUAAAGGACUUAUUUAUGUUUCAUAAUCUGGUUCUAUGAAAAAAGAAAAGAUGAAUUCUAUCCCUUUUAUUCUUAAUAGUAUUUCACUAUAUUGACUUAAUGUCUUUCUUUCUCCAUUAAAUCCUACAUAAGUAUGAGGCUCAAUUAAAAUUUUUCUUUCUAAAUAUUUAAUAAUUUUAGAAUCUACAUAAGAUUUUGCAGCUCCUGUAUCAAGGAUAGCAAAAGUCUCGUGCCAUGAUUUUCCAUUAUUAUAUUCAAUCUUAAUUUUUAGAUUUUGAUUAUCCAGUAUUGCUAAAUUUACUGGACUAUUUGUCCUUUCUCGAAAAUGAGCUCUUAUCAUGACUUGAAUUCCUCCGAUAUGAACAUAUCCAAUUUUAAGUCUAUCACUAGAUUUUAUCUCAUUUAUCUUAUCUUUUAUAUCAGUUUUUAAUAAUAAUGGUAUAUUUGUAUUUCCUCUAGCAUACCUAAUUUCAAUAGGUUCUUCUCUUACAGUAGCACUAAGAUACAUUAUAUUUUUUCUUUUAAUCAUGUUAGCAAUGCCUUGUGCUAACUUAUUAACCGAAGUCAUAGAUGAUUCCAAUCCUUUUUUAUUAUUCUUGAGAUAUUGCUUUUUAUCAAAGAUUAAUUCUCUAUUAAAAGAACCUUGUUCUUCUAACUCUUCAUCUUGAUAUAAAUCUUUAUUUUCUAAUUCUUCUAUACUCAUUCUGAAUCAGAUUCUAAAUCAGAACUUCUCAAAGUUUCAUUAGAAAGAUAAUAUAUGCUAUCAUUUUCACUAAUAUCUUUGCUAUCGGUGAUUAAUUCUAAAUCAUUGAAAUCUUCAAAUAUUUUUAUAUUUGCUUUCUUCGUUUUAGGACAUUCAUUUGCAUAAUGUUCUUCUUCAUUACAUAACUAGCACUUGCAUUUUUUAGGUGCAUUGGUUUUGGAUCUUCUUUUAAAUUUAUUUUUCUUGUAGAAUUUCUUUUUAUAUUUAUUUUUCUUGUAAUAUUUCCUGUUGGCUUUAAAGAAUUUCUUCUUUUUGAAUUUUUUUUCUUGUGUUUAUAGAUUUUAUCUGAACAUCCAAAUCUUGGCGGAUCUUCUAAUUUAGAACAACAUAAUUCUCGAUUUUGCCUUUUCAUAAGUCUUCUAUCUCUUAUUUCAGAACACUAUUCAUUUAUUCUAUUUUGAGCAAAUCUAAUCCUAUUUCGUAAUGUAUAAGUUUCUGUAGUAUCUUUGUAUUCUUUGUUAUAUUCCAACAUAAUCCUUCUACCCCAUGGGUCUGGUAUCUUUACAAAAUAUAGAUCAUGGUAAUAGCAUAUGUUAUCCUCAUCUUUAUCAAAUUCACAUUUAUAAUAUAAUUCUUCGAAGCUACAUGUAUAUUCUUCUAAAUAACAUAUAUUACAUAUUUCAAGCCUUGUUAGCUUCAUUAAAUUUUCUAUCUGUUUUCUUUUUAUUUCUUGUUGAAAAUCAGUUUCCCAAUCUUCUCCCAAGAAUUUUUUUCUUAUUUCAUUUUCGAAUCUAUUUAAAACCUGAUCAACACUUUCGUUUCGAUUAUUAUUUUCUCCAUACAAUAUUCUAUUUUUAUGAUUAUCAUUUAAUCCCAUAAACCAAUGAGAAACAAUUCCUAUAAACGAAAUUUUAAGGAAUUCUAUACUAUUAUCCCUAUCAAUUUUGUGAAAUGCAAAAGCCAUUUUCAUAGAUUUAACCCAAGCGGUAAUCGUUUUAUCUCUAUCUUUGAUACAGUCUAAACCUAACCAUACACCAUCAUGGUUGAUUGGUCUUUCUCUAUAUUCUCCUGGAGUUUUAUGAUCUUUUUUAGGUUUGUUAAUCCUAAAAUAUUGACCUUGUGCUCUUUCCUGAGUUGGUAUUUCUUCCCUAACAUAGGAAGCUCUAUUACUAGUUUCUCCUUGUUAAAAACCGUUUAACUUUGGUUCAUUCAUUUUUAGAUGUUCUAUUCUAUUUUCAAUAUCCUGCAAAUUAAUGACUAUAUCAUCUUCUUCUUCGGAUUCAGAUUCUUUAUCAGAUAUCUCUUGAUUAGGUAAUUCUAUGUUUUCACUUAGCAUUCUUAGACUUAUUAAUUUUUUGUCUUUGUUUAUUUUGUUAAAUAUCGGUUUAGAUGUUGUUAUCAUUUCUUUAUCUUUAAGUUCAUUAUAGUAAAUUAUGGUAUCUUGUAAAAUUUUAUUUUGUUUAUUGAUCUUCUGUACUUCAAUCCUUUUGUAAUUUUCCAUUUAUGCUUAUAGCGAAUUUAUUACCAAUUUUUUCAUCGAUUUUUUCAAUUUUUUGUAGUUGAUUUCAAUCUUGUUGAAUUUAUUUUCAAUUGAACUUUUGUUCACAAUAUUAAAGAUUUCUUGUUUUAAUCUAUCUUGAUCUUCAAUAUUAAAGUCUUUUAUUAAUAGCUUAACAAAAUCAAAUUCUUCACUCAUUCGCUAUCCUAUCAUUUUGACUUGUCUUAUAUUUUCGGCAUCAAAGCUUUUAAUCUCAAGUAUCUUAUUUACACUUUCUAUAUCAUCUAUGGUUAAAUUAGGGUUUCCUAAUUUAUUUAAUAAAUAUAAUGAGAUCCAAUUUAAUUGAUUAUUUCCCCACAUAUCAGAAUCAUUUACUAAAUCAAAUGGUUGAAAUCUUCCAUAAGUAAAUCCUCUAUGCCUAUAGCUAGAAGGUGGUAAUAUGUUGGUUUCAAUAUUUCUAUAUACUUCUCUCCUGAUCCUAAAGAGAAGAAUAGGAUCAAUAUUUAAAUUUCUAAUUUUUAUUAUGAUGAGUUCUCCAAUUUUAAAUUCAUGAACUCUAACUAAAUAAAAUUGUAUUAAUUGUUUAUCAUCCAAUAUAUUAACUUCUGAAUAAUAAUAUUGUUUAUGUUUUGUUAUAUUAUCUUUAACUCCACACUUGUUUAAAAUUCAACACACAGAUGUGCCUCUUUCUUACUAUACUGGAAUCCUCGGUAAACUUUUUGUUUGCGCAAUUUAUGUGAGCAAAUUGUGUCUUCUUUUUCAUAUGUAAAUGUUUUUGAUAUCUUGAUGUGAAGGUAGAAAAUUGCAUGUUUUGAGUUUUUGCAUAUUUGAUGGAAACACAGAACUGUACCUGAAUCUUUCAGAACCCCCUUUUCUUUGAAGUUUGAACACUUUUCUUGAAUGUAUCAACUUUAUUUAUGGGAUAUGUUGCCAAAUUGGCAAAUCUAUUCGUUAUAAAACUUUCCUUUGACAGUUUAAUCUAAGCAGAUGUUAAUUAUGCAAAUAGAGUGUGCCUAAGAUUAGUUUCAUAGAUUUGUCUCCUUCUGUACAGUAAAAACUUUGAGCAUUUUCGCCAUAUUCUGAUCAAUACACUCCAACUAGUUAGUUCUUGAGGCGUUUUAUGGUUUCGUGGAGUGAGGCAAGAUGUAUACGUUUGCAAAUUGGCAAUGUCUUUUGCUUGAUGGGUUGAGAGUUGUGAGUGUCAACAGGAAACAAGACCUCUGUUUUAUGAACUCCAAAAAGUUAUUCUGUUAAAAAGAUCGAGACAGAGGCCAUACUAUAUUUAUUAUUGCUAUAAAAGUGUGAAAAAAUAUUCUUUGUUUAAUAUUCUAAACGAUUGAGCCAUUUAGUUAUGAUACUCUGCUGUAUUGGGGCUAAUAAUCUAAGUCGGUUCAAAGUGGUAAAUUUAUAAAUUGAUAGGUAUGCCUGGUAUGACCGCUUACGUUGGAUUUUAUGAGGUCUGCUCUCCUAAGCAAGGAGAGUGUGUCUUCAUAUCCGCAGCAUCUGGUGCAGUUGGACAGCUUGUGGGGCAGUUUGCAAAGUUAUUGGAUUGCUAUGUCGUCGGAAGUGCUGGAAGCAAAGACAAGGUAUGUAAUCUGUGUGAAGUACUUGAUUGUUUCCAUGUUACUUUCAAACAUUUAAAUUAAAAAGGAAAUUUUCAUAAUCUUGCCUUUUCUAUGAUUUUCAAAACCAAGGUUGAUCUACUGAAGAACAAGUUUGGGUUCGACGAGGCAUUUAACUAUAAAGAAGAAGCUGAUUUGAAUGCAGCAUUGAAAAGGUUAGCAUCAAUAAAUGCCUUAGCUUGAUGCAGCUUGAUGAAGUAUGAUACACAUUUCUGACCAAUAUACUGCGUUCCCUGAUCUCUUACUUGAAAUAUCUUGGUUUGAGAAUCUCAUGCCAAUGCCUUUAACAUUUUGGCAGGUACUUUCCUGAAGGAAUUGAUAUAUAUUUUGAAAACGUUGGUGGAAAAUUGCUUGACGCAGUGCUACCCAACAUGAAAAUCCGUGGUCGAAUUGAUGCAUGCGGUAUGAUCUCACAGUACAAUCUUGACAAGCCUGAAGGUGUGCACAACUUGAUGUAUCUUGUUUCGAAACGGCUUCGAAUGGAAGGAUUCAUUGUUCUCGAUCACUAUCACCUCUAUCCAAAGUUUCUGGAAAUGAUCAUUCCUCACAUCAAAGAAGGGAAGCUUGUAUACGUCGAAGACAUGGCUGAAGGUCUUGAGAGUGCUCCGGCAGCUCUCAUCGGUCUAUUCUCUGGCCAGAAUAUUGGGAAACAAGUGGUUGCUGUUGCUCCUUAAUGAAGAACAAGUUAGUGUUGUCUGUCCUUUUACCCUUUGACACAAAACUUCAAUGUUAAAGAGAGAAUGCUGUUCAUAUAUACUGCUUUAUAAAAUAAUCAAGUGAGUGCAAGUUUCAUGAUAUUUGCUGAAUAAAAUAUUGGAAAUUAAGCAGCUAGCCUAGCUCCUUCUUGUAGUUGCAGUUUGAAUGAUGCUGCUGCACAACUGCUGCCGAAAAAAUCCUUAAUAGAUGAUUAGCAAGGUUUCAAAAAUAAAAAUAAAUGUUUGUGCAAUGUGUCGAAUAUGACAGCCACAAAGAAAGAGCACACAAAUUGAUUGGUUUUAUGUCUUCUCUAGGAGAAAGCUACAAUACAAGAAAUUGUACUGAUGGAGCCAUGGACCAAAUUUCUUAUUUAAACUUUUAAUUUUUUUAUUAAAUUACUUAUGUUAUUAUGGUUUAUAAUUUUAGAAAUUCUUUAGAAAUUAAUACAGAACUAGUAGCAAGUUGAGAAAUCUAUUGAAUGGUCAAGAUAUGAUCAUGUUUAUUGAAUUAAAUUGACAAUCAUCAUUUUGAUAAAUUAUUGUCAGGAUGUUUGAUUCAUGACACGUGUAAGCAACUAAAUGUGCUAAAAAAAAGUUAAUGAGUUGGGCGUGUUUGAGUUAAUGAGUUGGGCUUGUUUGAUAUUCAUUUGUUGUAAUUCUUUUAAUAAUUAUUGGGGAAAAAAAGUUAUAAUAAAAAAAAUUAUAAUUAUAAAAUAAAAAUUAAUAAUAUAUAAUAAAUAAGAUUUUAAAUAAUAAUUUUAAUAAAAUAAUAAAUAUAUUAUAAAUUUUUUAUGAUUAAUUUUUAAAUUACAACAAUAAAUAUUUAACAAACACCUUAAUACCACAACUAACACCACAACUUUUGAAUUAUGAUAGUACAAUCUAAAUGCCACAGGCCUUAAAAAAUAAAAUUACAGUCAAGUUUUAAAACUGUUAAUGAUAUUCACAAAGACUCUGGAACAAUAUUACAGAAGGUGCUCGUCGUGUAAGCAACACAUGGGACCCAACCAAUAAAUGUUUCUGAUCCUCAACUUUCCUCAUCACUGUCCCUGGAAACAAUUCUGAUUUUCUUGUCUGAUUAAACAACUGAGAAACAAUGGCGGCCGACCAAGAAGCUGGGAGCAAUAAGCGGGUGAUUCUAAGCAACUAUGUGACAGGUUUUCCAAAAGAAUCAGACAUGAAGAUAACAAGUUGAUCAAUAAAGCUGAAGGUAGCAGAGGGUGUUUGGGAGAAAUACGUCGACGAGACCAGGCAUGGUGAGCAGAUAUCUGAUGGCAGAGUUCUGCGAACCGGUGUGUUCCGUAAAAGCCUGGUGCGCGGGGGAACAGGAGCAGAAGUAUCCUGCUCGUCCACGAGCACGUCAUCCGCGAGGCCAAUUUCCUGUAAGAGGCAUAAGGUCAUUCCGGCUAGAGGUCGAGAGGCGAGGAGACCCGGUCGACGGCAGUUGGCAAGACAUGCUCCCCAGCCCGAGAAUCUAGGCACGACAGCCACGCUUUCCCCAGAACCGUGGCGUAACACGCAAGAUCUCACAGAACCACGACAGCCACGCUUUCCCCAGAACCGUGGCGUAACACGCAAGAUCUCACAGAACCACGACAGCCACGCUUUCCCCAGAACCGUGGCGUAACACGCAAGAUCCCACGUUUGCCCAUAACGCAGCAGUCAGAGUCCCAUACCGUCUCGAAAAAAGCGGAAAACUGGGAUUCAGGGGAAGCCUAUAAAAAGGUAGCCAACGAAGGUAAAAGGGUUAGCAUUUUUGAGAUUAGAAAAGAAAUGAAAAAAGAAGAGAAAACCACGAAAAAGCCAUAAGAUAUGUGGCAAGCGUUCCCCGAACCUUCAUAUCUGACUUGAGCGUCGGAGGGUUUGCGCCGGGAAAACAACCGGCGUACUCUGACUUGUCUGUGUGCGCAGGAACCUCUGGAGAAGAAGCCUCACGUGGAGACCUCCUGGUCGUGAAGAAGUUGAUCGGGCAGAGAUCCUGGUCGUAGAACGAGGAGAACCGGAAUCCCGCAUCAACAUUUUGGCGCCGUCUGUGGGGACCGGAGCAAAAAGCUUCUGUUGAUAGCAAGAAGAGGGGUGAAGCAAGUGAAAAACAAUGGAGACAGGAGGAAGUAGUGCACAAGGGGGUGAUAGGAAGCUUAACGAUUCCGUGACGCUGAGGGAGAUAGUCAGUGAAGCACGGGAAAAAGUCAUGUUCGACCGGAUGGAACGGAUGGAAAAGCAGAUGGAGACCUUGACAACCAUCCUGCAUGAGCUGCGGAGCGAGCGAAGUAUAAUCCAAGAGGGAAGGGUGAGAGGCGGUGGAGUGGCACCAGGUCCCGAUAGUGCGGGGAGAAGUCAAACCACCGGGAGAUUUGGUGGUGAGAGAGGUAACGUACCUCUGCGGGGAGAAUUUCAUAGAGAAAGAGAGCAGUCCCCGGCAAGACAGACUGGCGACGAGGACGACGGGGUGGUGAAUGCAGAGGAAACAGAGUUGAGGCAACACUUGCAUGAUGUAGAGCAAGAGCGGGAUCAAGUUGCAGCACGUGACCCUGGUUGUGCAGUGCAGCUGGAGGAGGAAGUGCGCAGACUAGCACAGAUAAUCGACGACAUGCAAGGAAGGAACAGAGCCCCUGGUUGGAGGAUAAUGCUGGACGGAGAAUCACCGCUCGCAGCAGAGAUCAUGAGGGCAGUUAUUCCGAGAGAUUUCCGCCUCCCAGACCUCAGAUACUCGGGAAGAACUGAUCCGUUGGUGCACAUAGAGCGCUUCAACGACAUAACUGGGGUACAAGGAUUAUCUCAAUCCCAAAGGUGCAGAGUGUUCCCACUAUCCCUUGAGGGACGUGCACGAGAAUGGUACAGGAAACUUCCUCGGGGCAGCAUUAAAACCUUCGAGCAGAUGUGCCAGGAAUUCGCGGAGCAGUUUAGUGGGGCAAUGGCGCCGGAAGAUGACAUGAUGGAGCUGAAAAGCAUGAAACAGGGGGAGCAAGAAACCCUUCGGGAAUUCAUCAAGAGGUUUCAUCGGGCUGUCCUUGACUUGGGAGCCUUCAACCACCCUCAGGCGUUAAGGGGAUUGAAAGAAGGGGUGAAGAUAGGAAGGCUGUGGUACAAUUUGAGAAGCCCAGCUAUUCAAACGUAUGCAGCCGCAUACGAACAGGCUAAGAGAGACAUCGAGAUUGAAGAGGAGAAGGCUGCACGGAUUAAGACAGACCAGUUAGAAGGGUUGGGGAGGAAAGAGAAGAAAGCAUUACCGGGGAAUGGGCCGAUCAGGAGGAGGGACCACCAGGCCUCCGGUAGUGGAGCAGGAGGUCGGGUAGCCGCUUACCAGCCUCAUCAAAGGCCACCACAGUAUCAGCGCAGCAGGGCGCAACCUCCUCGUUCCCCAGCUAGGGAGCCUUGGAGAAGGCAUGAGUCGGCAUCUGGUGGUCUCCAACAACACCCCCACGGUAUCAGAGCGAGCAGACCAGAAGUACUUCCACCGCCCCCAACUCAGAGCGGGGCAAACAGAGAAAGAGCAGUGCACCUGAUCGACCAGAACCCGGACUAUGGGCGGUACACUUCCUUGAAGAUGUCCCUGGAUGAGGUGUACGAGGCCAUAAAGGAUCGAGGGCUGCUGCACCUCCCUACACCAAUAACAAAGCUACCCAACAGGAGGGAUAGAGGACGUUAUUGUAAGUUCCAUGGCACCCAUGGCCAUACCACAGCAGAGUGUAGAGAUCUCAAGACCCAAGUCGAAGAUUUGGUGAGAAAUCGGUACCUGGACGAGUUUAUGGAUGGGACUUUCCCGAUGGGGGCCACAACAGGUGAAGGGGAGCAGAGUGGCGGAAACGUUAGGCGCGAGCAGCCCGCAGUAAGGGUGAUAGCUGGGGGCCCGACAUUGGCCGGAGAUUCCAACAGAUCGAGAAAAAAUUAUGCUAGGUACGCCAUGACCAGUAAAGAGGUACUCCUCAACACCCCAGCAGCCAAACGAGCAAGGGUCAGGCAAGUGCCAAUCAUGUGGACGGAUGAGGAUGAGGAAGGGAUUCUAUACCCCCACGAGGAUGCUUUAGUCAUCAAGGCUACUGUCGCUAGCAAGAAGUUUGACCGGAUACUGAUUGAUACAGGGAGCUCAGUUGAUGUGUUAUUUAAGUCAACCCUGGAAGAGAUGGGAAUAGCCGACCGGAAGUUGGAAUACACCAAUACCUCCUUGAAGGGGUUCGGAGGAGGGAAGCUGGUCCCUCUGGGCGUGGUCGAGCUGCCUAUCACAAUUGGGAGCUCUCCGACAGAAAGAACAAUGAUACUGGACUUUGUCGUAGUGGAUGAGGAAGGUCCUUACCAGAUGAUCCUAGGUCGGCCAUUUUUAAGGAUGAGCAAAGCGGUGUUGUCCAACCAUUAUCUGGCUCUGAAGUACCGGGUGAACGGGGUAGUAGGAGUGGUACGAGGAGACCAGAGGAUCGCAAGAAGCUGCUACUCCUCGGCAGCAAGGGAAGCAAUGCAGAUAACAUCCCUCGAUACCCGAGUGGAAAACAAGAAGGGCAGACAAGAACCUGUAGAGGAUCUGGAAACAGUAAGCCUGGGACCAGAGAACCCGGGAAAGACGAUCAGAAUCGGGUCGAGACUUAAGGGAGAGCAAAAGCAGGAGUUGGUGAAAUGCUUACAGGCUCAUGCUGAUGUGUUUGCUUGGACACAUGAAGACAUGCCAGGAAUUGACCCUGAGGUAGCAUGUCAUAAGCUGGCAAUAAAGAAAAGUGCUCGGGCAGUAAGGCAGAAGAGGAGGUGCUUCAACCAGGAGAGGUAUGAGGCUAUAAAUGGCGAGGUGGAGAAGCUCUUGAGAGCAGGGUUCAUUCGGGAAGUCAGUUACCCUGAGUGGAUAUCGAAUGUGGUGUUGGUAAAGAAGGCAAACGGCAAGUGGAGGAUGUGUGUGGAUUUCACAGACCUCAAUAAGGCGUGCCCAAAAGACAGCUUCCCUUUACCAAAGAUCGAUCAGCUAGUAGAUUCAACGGCUGGACAUGGUCUGCUUAGCUUCAUGGACGCGUUCUCGGGAUACAACCAGAUCCCCAUGUACGAGCAGGAUGAGGAGAGCACGGCUUUCAUCACUAACCAAGGUUUGUUCUGUUACAGGGUAAUGCCAUUCGGUCUCAAAAAUGCCGGGGCCACCUAUCAAAGGCUGGUGAACAAAGUCUUUAAGCCGUUGAUUGGGAAAACCAUGGAGGUGUACGUGGAUGACAUGAUCACCAAGUCCAAAAUCCCGGAGGAACAUGUCAGACACCUCGAGGAGACAUUCGAGCUUUUGAGGAAGUAUAAGAUGAAGCUCAACCCGGAGAAGUGUGCUUUUGGGGUCGAGUCAGGGAAAUUCCUUGGAUUCAUGGUGAGCCAUAGGGGGAUUGAAGCACAUCCCGAGAAAAUCCAGGCGAUUGUGCAAAUGACGUCUCCCCAUAACCUGAAGGAGAUGCAAAGCCUCACGGGGAGGUUGGCGGCGUUGAGCAGAUUCAUAUCCAAGGCUACAGAUAAGUGUAAGCCAUUCUUUCAAGUGAUGAGGAGGGGAAAGAAAACAGAAUGGACCUCAGAAUGCGAGGAAGCCUUCCGGAACUUGAAGCAAUACUUGCAGCAAGCUCCGCUGCUGUCCACACCGAGGGAUGGGGACAAGUUAUAUCUGUAUUUGGCGGUAUCGGAUCGGGCCGUCAGUUCUGUUCUGGUGAGAGAGGAAGAAGGAGUUCAGUAUCCGAUAUAUUACACCAGCAAGGCCCUGCUCGACGCUGAGACCAGAUACCCACCGUUGGAGAAAUGGGCACUUGCCCUUGUGGUUGCUGCUCGGAAGUUGAGGCCAUAUUUUCAAGCAUUCCCGGUCUUGGUAAUAACAAACCAGCCAUUGCGUCAAACUCUGCACAAGCCAGAUGCCUCUGGUCGGCUCGUCAAGUGGGCUGUAGAGCUGAGCGAGUUCGACAUAGACUAUAAACCCCGCGCAGCGAUAAAAGCCCAGGCAAUGGCCGAUUUCGUAGCUGAAUUCACAGAGCCCGAAGUAUGCUUAGAUCAACAAGAUGCAGAUAUAGGCAAUGACGAAACUCAAGUAUGGCAGAUGUCUGUGGAUGGGUCAUCAGGGGAGCGGGGUUCAGGAGCAGGGAUUGUCUUGGAAGGCCCAGAGGGGGAGGAGAUCUCUUAUACUGUAAAAUUGGAAUUUGCAGCCACGAAUAACCAGGCAGAGUAUGAAGCCUUGAUAGCAGGUCUGGAAUUGGCUAAGGCCGUGAAAGCAGACAGAGUUAAGAUCAGAACUGAUUCCCAGCUGGUUGCGAAUCAUGUCAGUGAAAGAUUCCAACCAAGAGAGGAGAAGAUGGGGCAGUACCUGAAGAUAGUCAGGCAGAUGAUGGGGAAGUUCGAAGCAGUGGAGGUGAUACAAAUCCCCAGGGAGCAGAAUAGUCGAGCAGACAUUUUGGCUAGGAUGGCAGCAGUAGCCGACCCAAAAAUGCCAAAGUCGGUCCCUCUGGAGGUGAAGUCCAGCCCAAGUAUCGAUCAGAAUUUGGGGGUGUUGCAGAUAGAACAAAAAUGCUCGUGGAGGGACCCGAUAAUUUCAUACCUUAGAGACGGGGUAUUACCACCAGAUAAGAUGCGAGCUCGCAAGCUUAGAGCCCAGGCCUCGAGAUACACGAUGAUUGAUGGGGUACUGUAUCGGCGAGGAUAUACACUACCGUUCCUUCAGUGUUUGGAUGAGGACGACGCGGAUUACGUACUGAGAGAAGUACACGAAGGAAUUUGCGGAAAUCAUUCUGGCGGGAGGUCCCUGGCCCAUAAGGUUCUAAGGCAGGGAUAUUUCUGGCCGACAAUGCACCAGGAUGCGCAAGAGAAGACCAGGAGUUGUGUAAGCUGCCAGAGUUUUGUAAAUUUCUCUAACCAACCACCAGAGAAGCUCACCUCCAUGACCUCCCCCUGGCCAUUUGCUCAAUGGGGAAUUGAUCUGAUCGGCCCAUUGCCAAAGGCACGGGGAGCAGCAACAUAUGCAAUAGUUGCUAUAGAUUACUUCACGAAGUGGAUAGAGGUAAAAGCCCUUAGCAGGAUCACAGAGAAGAAAACAACAGACUUCGUAUGGAGAAACCUGGUCUGUCGAUACGGGAUCCCUUAUGCCUUGGUAACGGAUAAUGGCAGGCAGUUCGAUAAUCACAGCUUCAGGGAUUUCUGCCAGAACCUCGGGAUAGAGCUGAAGUAUUGCUCGCCUGCUCACCCUCAAUCGAAUGGACAAGUAGAAGCAGCCAACAAGACCAUCAAGAGGCUUUUGAAAACCAGGCUUGGAGCAAAAAAGGGUGCGUGGGUUGACGAGCUGGCAGGUGUGCUAUGGGCAUCCAGAACAACAAAACCGCAACUGGGGAGACACCGUUCGCUUUGGCUUUCGGACAUGAAGCGGUCGUGCCGGCUGAGAUAGGAACGACCACACACCGGACAAAUCAUUUCAAUGAGCAGGAGAACGACGAGCAGAUAUGUUUGAAUCUUGAUCUGCUAACGGAAAGGAGGGAGCAAGCAGCCGAGCGAUCAGUCAUUUACCAAUAGAGGGUUGCUCGGUAUUAUAACCAGAAGGUGAACAUACGGCAAUUCAGGGUCGGAGACUGGGUACUGAGAAGAGUGAAUCAGAGCACCAAAGAUUCGACUCAAGGAGUGCUGGGACCGAAUUGGGAAGGGCCAUAUAGAGUCAAGCAGAUAGCGGGACCCGGAGCUUACAGGCUGGUUCGCACGGACGGCCACGAGGUGAAACGCCCAUGGAACGCAGCACACCUCCGAAAAUACUUCCAGUAAGACUUGUUCACAUGUGAAAACUAUUUUUGCUCAUGUUCAUUACCGUUUAUCUUUCACGCUUAUUGUCCAAACAAUUUCAUGUAAGUCGAAUCCUGCCAUUAAUGGAACGUCGAGGAAUUUCUUUCACUUGAAACCGAGAAAAUUUCCCAAGGCAUGCAAAGGCUCACCAAGUCUCAAAGCCUGUCUUAUGGUGAGACAGAAGCCAAGCAUGCCAGGAUCUGCUCGGCCACGAGAAGGCAAGCAGAAUCCCAAUCCUCGAAGAAUCCAAGGCACGCAAAGGCUCACUAAGUCUCAAAGCCUGUCUUAUGGCGAGACAGAAGCCAAGCAUGCCAGGAUCUGCUCGGCCACGAGAAGGCAAGCAGAAUCCCAAUCCUCGAAGAAUCCAAGGCAUGCAAAGGCUCACCAAGUCUCAAAGCCUGUCUUAUGGCGAGACAGAAGCCAAGCAUGCCAGGAUCUGCUCGGCCACGAGAAGGCAAGCAGAAUCCCAAUCCUCGAAGAAUCCAAGGCACGCAAAGGCUCACCAAGUCUCAAAGCCUGUCUUAUGGCGAGACAGAAGCCAAGCAUGCCAGGAUCUGCUCGGCCACGAGAAGGCAAGCAGAAUCCCAAUCCUCGAAGAAUCCAAGGCAUGCAAAGGCUCACCAAGUCUCAAAGCCUGUCUUAUGGCGAGGCAGAAGCCAAGCAUGCCAGGAUCUGCUCGGCCACGAGAAGGCAAGCAGAAUCCCAAUCCUCGAAGAAUCCAAGGCAUGCAAAGGCUCGACAAAGUCUCAAAGCCUGUUUUAUGGCGAGACAGAAGCCAAGCAUGCCAGGAUCUGCUCGACCACUAGAAGGCGAGCAGACUCCAAAGCAUUCGAAGAAAUGCCCAAGGCAUGCAAAGGCUCGACAAAGUCUCAAAGCCUGUUUUAUGGCAAGGCAGAAGCCAAGCAUACCAGGAUCUGCUCGACCACGAGAAGGCGAGCAGACUCCAAAGCAUUCGAAGAAAUGCCCAAGGCAUGCAAAGGCUCGACAAAGUUUCAAAGCCUGUUUUAUGGCGAGACAGAAGCCAAGCAUGCCAGGAUCUGCUCGACCACGAGAAGGCGAGCAGACUCCAAAGCAUUCGAAGAAAUGCCCAAGGCAUGCAAAGGCUCGACAAAGUCUCAAAGCCUGUUUUAUGGCGAGACAGAAGCCAAGCAUGCCAGGAUCUGCUCGACCACUAGAAGGCGAGCAGACUCCAAAGCAUUCGAAGAAAUGCCCAAGGCAUGCAAAGGCUCGACAAAGUCUCAAAGCCUAUUUUAUGGCGAGGCAGAAGCCAAGCAUGCCAGGAUCUGCUCGACCACUAGAAGGCGAGCAGACUCCAAAGCAUUCGAAGAAAUGCCCAAGGCAUGCAAAGGCUCGACAAAGUCUCAAAGCCUGUUUUAUGGCGAGACAGAAGCCAAGCAUGCCAGGAUCUGCUCGACCACUAGAAGGCGAGCAGACUCCAAAGCAUUCGAAGAAAUGCCCAAGGCAUGCAAAGGCUCGACAAAGUCUCAAAGCCUGUUUUAUGGCGAGGCAGAAGCCAAGCAUGCCAGGAUCUGCUCGACCACUAGAAGGCGAGCAGACUCCAAAGCAUUCGAAGAAAUGCCUAAGGCAUGCAAAGACUCACCAAGUCUCAAAGCCUGUUUUAUGGCGAGACAGAAGCCAAGCGUGCUAGGAUCUGCUCGACCGCGCGAAGGUGAGUCGAAUCCCAGGCAUUGAAGAAUCUCCAAAGGCAUGUGGCAAAACCAUGAGCCAAGCCGGAACCUGCUCGUCUAGACAGAGACAAGCAGAUUCUCAACCGAAAAUUAAUUCAUAAUUACAACACAAGAAAGUAAUCAAAAACCAUUUUUAUUAAUUUGUUAAUAAUUAACAGAGGGGAUAAUCUUUAUGAACAUUGUUCAUUACAAUACAAGAAAUAUAUCAGGAAGAUGGUGGACCAGUAAGCCCGGCAGCAUCGGUUGGCUGGACCUCCUCAGGUGCAGGAGGGGUAUCACCAGUUGCGUCCGGGGGGGUGCUCGCCUCGCCAACAUCAGCAGGGACUGCAUGAGCAGGAGAGUCUUCCUCCUCAAUCACGAUCGGCUCUACCCCAUCGGCAUCUUCCUUGGCCGCCUCCUCGUCCAUAUGUUGAGCAACACCAGCUGCAAGGUCAUCCAUCUUCAGAUCAGGGUGUUGCUUCCCGAGGACGGCCAUGAUGCAACGAUAGGAAUGCCGAAGUCCCUGGUCGUACUGGUUGUCAGCCUCCCUCUCUAAGUUCUCGACCUGAGCUCGGUGGGAGUCGCGGAGAGAUUCGAGCUGAGCCUCAUACAUAGCCUUCUGCCUUUGCAGAUCCUCCUUGACCGUGGUAAGCUCCUCCUCGAGGGAAAUGGCUUUUGCUUGAGCAAGUGAUUCUUGCUCUAUUAGCUUCAGAUUCUCGAGAUUCAGGUCCUUCUUGCUCACGAGUUUAGUUAACUCAUUGAGGUAGGGGACCAGGUGUUCUGCUCGGCUGUCAGGUAAGCGAGAUCGAGGCCCGACAGGAGGAAAAGAGGAAGCAGGAUCUGUGGCUGCUCCACUAGCUUCCCCGACUUUUACAGGAGCAGGAGGUAAAAUCUUCAAGGGUGGGACCUGCUGCAUGAUGUUGGCCCGCUUUGCAGCAGGGGCAUCCUUACUCUGGUCCCUCUUCGUGGUUGGAGGUCGGGAACGUUUUCGGGUCAGAGCCCCAAUCACAGCGUCCUCCAUCCUAUGGCCAGGAAGUAUCAAGCGAGACUCGAGCAAGUUGUAUGUAGUUAGCAGUUCUCGGCUCGAGCAGGAAUUGGCUAGUACAGCCUCGACCCGUUUGAGCUGGUCAGGUUCAAGCGGGAAGUGGACACCCCAAGAAACUACAACACAAACAGACACUUGGUUAGAGACAAGCCAAUAAAGCAAGAACAAUUAUGGAUGCAAGACAUCUAGAGUGAGCAGGCAACCUGGGACCGUGAAACGGGGUGGGACGUGACAAUCCUUCCCGCCUAUUUGUGCAACUUGACCCCAAGGACCCCCAGCAAAAAAGAAUUUCCUCUUCCAAGCCCCACCACCACCGGUUGGAAGAUCGGUUAUGGGUUUCCGGCUCUUGGUGCUAGAUUGGAAGUAGUACCAGCCGGCAUCUUUGGGGCUGCUCUUUAGCUGGUACAAGUGCUUCACCUCAUCAACCGUGGGCUCGCUUUGGCAACAUUUGUCCCACAAUAUGAACAGACCAGAGAGCACUCUCCACCCAUUGGGAUUCAGCUGACCAGGAGCUAGAUUUAGCCCGUUAAGUAUCUGGGCAAAGUAGGGUUGCAAGGGACACCUCAGCCCGUACUUAAAGCUCUCUAGAAACAGGGUAACGUAUCCCCUAGGAGGCCGGCUGGGAGCAUCCUUCUUUCCUGGGACCUUGAGAGGUAUCUCACCAGGAAUGCUAUACCUAAGCCGGAGGUCAUUGAGCUCGUCAAACAAGGUCGUGCACGUCAUGUAAUCAAUGGCAUAAUCGCGCGACAAGGCUCUGCCUCCUACUGUACCCCGUUCCUCUGGUCGUGAUGUUCCAGAUGGAGACACCUCACCAGAGUCACCUUCCCCAUUCUCACUUAAGGUGUCCUCAGAGCCAGAAGGUCUCUCUUCACCAUUGCUUCCACUCGUGGAGGUUGUUUGGGGGGACAUCCUCCUAGCACUAGUCCCGACACUAAACCUAAUGGGUUCUAAGGGGAUCCCGGGGUCAAAAGCAGAAUCAGUGAGCAGACCAGGCAGGAAACUUAGUUCGUCGUCAUCAAUCUCAACGACUUUCUCCUUACCUUUCGACAUUCCCUAAGCCCUAACCACAACACCACCAACUACUACCCAAACAGAAGAGAAGAGAAAUUAUCUACAACUAUCCGAGACCAAGGAGAUAGAAGAAAUACCUGAAGUAAUGGUUCAGUCGGUGAAAGUCAGAGAUGGAGGCCUUUUAUGCCGGAACUUCUUUGCCGGAGAAACAGAGACGGAGACGGAGUGAAUGAUGAAUAUGCCGUUCGAGAGGAUUUGGUUUUCCUAAUGAGGACGGACUCUUGGGUUGCCAGCAUUUAACGGCGCCGAAUCCCGAGGGUCUCAUAACCGUCGGUUUGAAAUUCAAAUGGAGGGGGGGAUUUCUGCCACGUCACCUCGUCCGCAAUUAAAUGCGACAUGACUCUUGGCAGCCUUUUCCAAUCCCACGCGGGCGAGUACUAACGAGUUUCUACUGCUGGUCCACUACAUUACCCAACACCAGAAACUGGGGGACCGGUGUUUGGGAGAAAUACGUCGACGAGACCAGGCAUGGUGAGCAGAUAUCUGAUGGCAGAGUUCUGCGAACCGGUGUGUUCCGUAAAAGCCUGGUGCGCGGGGGAACAGGAGCAGAAGUAUCCUGCUCGUCCACGAGCACGUCAUCCGCGAGGCCAAUUUCCUGUAAGAGGCAUAAGGUCAUUCCGGCUAGAGGUCGAGAGGCGAGGAGACCCGGUCGACGGCAGUUGGCAAGACAUGCUCCCCAGCCCGAGAAUCUAGGCACGACAGCCACGCUUUCCCCAGAACCGUGGCGUAACACGCAAGAUCUCACAGAACCACGACAGCCACGCUUUCCCCAGAACCGUGGCGUAACACGCAAGAUCUCACAGAACCACGACAGCCACGCUUUCCCCAGAACCGUGGCGUAACACGCAAGAUUCCACAUUUGCCCAUAACGCAGCAGUCAGAGUCCCAUACCGUCUCGAAAAAAGUGGAAAACUGGGAUUCAGGGGAAGCCUAUAAAAAGGUAGCCAACGAAGGUAAAAGGGUUAGCAUUUUUGAGAUUAGAAAAGAAAUGAAAAAAGAAGAGAAAACCACGAAAAAGCCAUAAGAUCUGUGGCAAGCGUUCCCCGAACCUUCAUAUCUGACUUGAGCGUCGGAGGGUUUGCGCCGGGAAAACAACCGGCGUACUCUGACUUGUCUGUGUGCGCAGGAACCUCUGGAGAAGAAGCCUCACUUGGAGACCUCCUGGUCGUGAAGAAGUUGAUCGGGCAGAGAUCCUGGUCGUAGAACGAGGAGAACCGGAAUCCCGCAUCAACAGAGGGUUCAAAAGACACGGUGCUUUUGAAGAAUCUUUAUCUUUAUUGUGAUCCUUACAUGCGAGAGCGUAUGAGCAAGCUUGAUAGACCUUCUUUUGUUGAUUCAUUCCAUUCUGGUGAGGUUAGUUCAUCACGACCUCAACUUAGAUUUUGGGAUGGUUUACGAUUCACUCUCAGUUUAUGCAGAAAAACAAUCUAGUUUUAAUUUGGCAGGGUUUUUCCUUCUCUCUCCUUUUCUUCCUUUUCUUCAUUGGUUUCUUCCUCUUUUAUAGCCGCUAUCCCACGUUUUCGUUCAUCCUUCAUCCCCAUUUUUCGGGUAGUGGCAGCCCCUCAUGGGACUCCAACUGCUACAUUAUGGGUAAAUGUGGGACACCGUAUCUCCCUCAAUGGUUUUAGAAAAAGCGCAACUGUCGUGAUUUCGUGAGAUUGUGUUCCCGUUCUUUGGGGAAUGGAUAUCUGCUCGGUAUAUGUCUCUGGUCGGCCUAUAUUUAUAGAAGGCUCAUUAUCAGUAUUCUACUUAUACCAUUCAGCUGAGGUGAUCUACCUCGAAAUGAGAAUGAUAACAUGACUGACCUGAUGCUCUUAUUUACUUAACAGUAAAUUUUCUAUGACCCUACAGGUGACUAAUUAAUGAGAACUUGACAAUGACAAAAGAAAGUGUAUGAGCUUUGCAGGCUGGCAUGCCAAUAUUGACUGUGUGGCACCAUCCACCAUCUGCAAUUGAAUAUCAUUAUUGUUUAAUCAAUGUGGUGGAGUCCACUGGAACCACACCACAUGGUCAGUCUUAUCUCUAUUCCUCAAUUUUCAGUAUUCCAUACAUCAAACCAAUUUCAUGUUUGUUAGCAAUUAUAAUUUCAUUGUUGGUGACGAUUCUGAUUCCUUUUGUUGAGAAUCAAAUAAAACGGCAUUGAAUGAAGCUUUCAAAGACAGAAUCUGCACUUGUCAAAGGGGUAAUCUGCACUUGUCAAAGACAAGAUCCGCGCCGAACGGAUUGACACAUUUCCUUCCGUAUUCACAUAUGUAAUCUUUGAAAAAAUGUAGCCUCUGCAUCUAUAAAUAACUCUCAAUGUAUAAUGCUUUAUUUAAGAAAUGAAAACACGUUUCUUCAUGGUAUCAGAGCCAUGAAUACGCUCAAGUUUCUUCAAGUUCCGCUGCUCUGUUUGUAACAAAAAUAGAGGAAACCAAAUUCCUCCCACAACCAUUUUUCCCACCAUUUUCUUUCUUAAACCCAUUCCUACCAUUACAGAUAUCCAUGCCGAUCAAGAAACAAGCCACCCAUACGUAAAAAACUUGAGUUUACAAAUUUAUCAACAAUCCCAUCAAUUUUCUGAGAGUGUGUUCCUAAAAAACCAAGAACACCAUCAAAUUUCUCAGUUUUCAGUGAGGAAACUGUAAAAAUUUCGCAUUUAAACACAUUCCCACGCGCUCCCACGCGCCACCCGAAGCCACGGCCAGUCAACCACGCGCCUCUGUCAUCAUUCACGCGCUCUCACGCGCUCCAGAGGUUGAAGAAGACGCCAGCCGACAUGUCGUUCUUAUCUCAGAAGUUCAGCAGUCACAAAACGACGUGUCGUUUUUUGUUAUAUUAAAAUCGACAUGUCGUUUUGUAAAUUAGAGAUAAAACGACGUGAUGCUUAGUCUCCAGAAGUGCAGCAGGAUUAAAACGACAUGUCGUUUAUAUUCCACCAUAAUCGACAUGUCGGUUUGGCAAGCAGUGGCCAAACGACCUGGCGUUUUGUUACCUAAAAAGGUUAUUUUUUUUCUUCUUCCAAUCUAGAUGGAAAAAAAAAAAACAAACAAAAAAAAGAAAAAAAAGAAAAAAAAGAAAAAAAAGAGAAAAAAAAAAAAACAAAAAAAAAUGGAGAAAACUCCAACUGAAUCUAGUCCUGUUGUCAUUCAAUCUGUUCAAUCUGAUGGAGUAUUUAAUGCUGGAAUUAUCCUCACUGAGACAAACUACGAUGUUUGGUCUCAAAUAAUGGAGAUGCAUCUUGUAGAAAGAGAAAAACUCUCAUAUAUUCGUAGCAGCACAAAGCCAUUUGAGGAAUCUUCAAAGGAAUAUGAGAAAUGGUAUAGUGAGAACCAAAAAGUAAAAAGAUGGUUACUCAUAUCCAUGUCUCCGGAGAUCAUGAAGCGAUAUUUACGAAUUCCUACAGCCUACGAAAUCUGGGAUGCAUUAUCAAAAGCCUUCUAUGAUGGAAGCGAUGAAUUACAAGUUUUCACUCUAAACCAGAAGGCAUUCUCUACCAAGCAAAAUGGACAACCACUCUCUAAAUUCUAUGGAGAAUUGGUCGAAAUAUUUCGAGAACUUGAUCACCGAGAUAAAGUGGUCAUGAAGGAUCCAGAAGAUAUUGUAAUAUACAGAAGGUCUGUUGAAAGAUUGAGAGUGCACAUUUUUCUUGCUGGGCUAGAUGAAGAAUUUGACCAAGUUCGUGGAGAAAUUCUACGAAAAGACAUUAUCCCAGACUUAGAAGAAUGUUAUUCUUUGAUCCGAAGAGAAGAUAUACGGCAAAGCAAACUAAACAAGAAGGUCGACUCAGAAACGUUUGCAAUGAUAGCACGACAGCAGCCUCAAAGGAAGUUUGUUGACAAGUCAUCACUCCAUUGCACUCAUUGUAGAAAGAAGGGUCAUACGAAAGAACAAUGUUUUGAAAUCAUUGGAUAUCCUGACUGGUGGGAUACUCGAAAGAAGAACACCAAGCAUGGAUCAAAAACUGCAGUAGCUGAAUCCACAUCCACUACAGAUCUUAGAAAAGAAUCUUCAGUGCAAAUCGCAACCUCUGUCAGUCCAGGUAAGGCCCUUAAAACUCUUACACCUGUUAUUAAUAGUACAUGGAUAAUUGAUUCUGGGGCAACUGAUCAUAUGACUUUUGAUUCUCGACAAGUUUCUCAAUUGAAACCAUCUUCACAAAAAUAUAUUUCCACUGCAAAUGGAACCACAACCUCAGUUAUUGGGGAAUGAUCUUUACGACUCACAAAUGAAUUAAAUUUAGACGCUGUGUUAAUUGUUCCAUCUUUAGAUUAUAAUCUUUUAUCUGUGUCUCAAUUAACCACUUACUUAUCAUGUGUUGUAAUUUUUUGGCCUGAUCAUUGUGUGUUUAAGGACAUCCAAACGAAGCAAACGAUUGGUUAUGGUAUUAGACGAGGCAGCUUGUACUACUUGGAGAUGUCAUCAACAAACACUGGAAAGCUAAGCCCCGCACUAGUUGCAGAUAGUUCCAUAAAAAAAGGGAAAUCAGAAAUUUGGUUAUGGCAUAGACGUUUAGGGCAUGUGUCAUUUAGUUACUUAAAAAAAUUAUUUCCUAGUUUGUUUCUGAAAUUUGAUGUUUGUAACUUUAAAUGUGAUGUUUGUGAACUUUCAAAAAGCCAUCGAACUACUUUUCCAUUGUCCUUAAAUAAAAAUCCAGUUCCUUUUAUGGUAGUACAUUCUGAUGUAUGGGGGCCAUCUAAAGUUUCUACAAUUGGAGGUGCUCGUUGGUUUGUUACAUUUAUUGAUGAUUGUAGCAGAAUGACAUGGAUUUUUCUGAUGAAAUCGAAAGACGAAGUAAACUCUUUAUUUCAAAGAUUUCAUAAGAUGGUGACAACUCAAUUUCAGACACAAAUUCGAGUUCUACAUACUGAUAAUGGAGGUGAGUAUAUGAGCACAGCAAUUCAACAGUUUCUGAAAUCACAAGGAUCUGUCCAUCAAACCACUUGUGUGGGGACACCCCAACAAAAUGGCGUUGCUGAACGAAAGAACAGACAUUUACUAGAAGUUGUUCGAGCAUCACUAAUCCAAGCCCACAUGCCAUUAUCUUAUUGGGGAGAAGCAUUGACAUCCGCAGCAUACUUGAUCAAUCGAACACCUUCAAGCUCCCUUGGAUUCCAGACUCCUUUCCAAGUUCUGAAUGAUGCAAUUAUGUCACCAAAUGUGCCGAAUCUGCCCCCACAUGUGUUUGGCUGUGUUGCCUUCGUUCAUUUGCCGCAACAAGACAAAUUAUCUCCUCGAGCACUACGUUGUGUGUUUGUAGGGUAUGCCUUACAUCAAAAGGGAUACCGAUGCUAUCAUCCACCAUCAAGAAAAAUAUACAUCACCAUGGAUGUCGUUUUUCAUGAAGAUAUCAUGUACUACUUGUCAGAGUCUGAAUUUCAGGGGGAGUAUAAUGAAGAGGAAAUUCAUACUCUUACAUAUCUUCCACCUGAAGAAAGUCAAUCUUCCAUUGAGAUAGUAAACCUUCAAGAUACUGGAAAAGCAAAUGGUGAUGAUUCGCAAGCUGAGAUAUGUGAAAACACAUUUGGGGAGCACAAUACUCAGACACAACUGCAAUCGAGAAUGAGUCACAUGAAGAAAUACCUAACCAAUCGUCUGCAGAGGAUGUUCCUACCACAAGUCCAAUCAGAAGAAUUCUUCCCCAGCGUCAAAAUAGAGGUAUCCCUAAACCCACAUAUGAGCCUGACUUCUCUAGUAGAGUCAAAUACCCUAUGAGUCAUUUUGUGUCUAACCAUCGCUUGUCAGAAUCAAAUCAGUCAUUUGUGAAUCAAUUAUCUGCUGUAUCUAUUCCUAACAGUGUGCAGGAAGCUUUAAAAGAUCCAAAGUGGAAAGCGGCUAUGAAUGAUGAAAUGAGAUCUCUUCAGAAAAAUCAAACAUGGGAACUAGUUGAUCUUCCACCAGGAAAGAAACCAAUGGGUUGUCGAUGGAUCUACACUAUAAAAUACAAAGCAGAUGGCUCUAUUGAACGAUACAAAGCAAGACUCGUAGCUAAGGGUUACACCCAAACCUACGGGAUUGAUUAUACUGAUACGUUUGCACCGGUAGCAAAAAUUAAUACUAUUCGUAUCUUAUUAUCAUUAGCAGUCAACUUGGAUUGGCCAGUGCAACAGUUCGAUGUAAAGAAUGCUUUCCUCCAUGGAGACCUGUCUGAAGAAAUUUAUAUGGAUCUGCCACCAGGAUGCAGUGGACCAGAACGACUCAAUCAGAAAGUAUGCAAAUUGAAGAAAUCAUUGUAUGGGUUGAAGCAAUCCCCAAGAGCAUGGUUCGGGAAAUUCACGAAGGCUAUGGUUCGUUUUGGGUAUAACCAAAGCAAUUCAGAUCAUACCUUAUUCAUUAAAAAACGACAAGGUAAAAUCACUGCCCUUAUUGUCUAUGUGGAUGAUAUGGUAGUUACAGGCAACGACGAGGAAGAAACAAAGGCUCUUCAGAAGUACUUGUCAAGAGAGUUUGAGAUGAAGGAUUUAGGUGCCUUAAAAUACUUUCUUGGAAUUGAGGUUUCUCGAUCUAAGGGAGGAAUCUUUCUGUCUCAAAGGAAAUAUGCCUUAGAUCUAUUGCACGAAACGGGAAUGACAGCUUGUCAGCCUAUUGACACCCCAAUAGAAGAAGGACUGAAGUUUUGUAUUACUUCAGACCAAGUUCCAGUAGACAAAGGAAGAUAUCAAAGGCUGAUUGGAAGAUUGAUGUACUUGUCCCACACAAGGCCAGAUCUUGCUUAUGCAUUGAGUGUUGUAAGCCAGUUUAUGCAUAAUCUCGGAGAACAACACAUGAAAGCAGUAAUGCGGAUCCUGAGGUACCUGAAGACAAAUCUAGGAAAAGGAAUCUUAUUUUCCAAAAAUGAAGAUUACAGCAACAUAGAAGUUUAUACUGAUGCAGAUUGGGCCGGGUCAGUUAGUGAUAGACGCUCUACUUCAGGAUACUUUACCUUUGUGGGAGGAAACCUUGUCACAUGGAGAAGCAAGAAACAACAUGUCGUUGCCCGUUCGAGCGCUGAAGCAGAAUAUCGAGGCAUGGCCCUUGGGAUAUGUGAAGGGCUAUGGAUAAGUUUUAUCUUAAACGAUUUGGGCUAUCCAUCACAACAACCAAUACAACUAUACUGUGACAACAAAGCUGCACGAGAUAUUGCUCAUAACCCAGUUCAACACGAUCGAACAAAACAUGUGGAGGUAGAUAGAUUUUUCAUCAAGGAGAAAUUAGAUGAAAAAAUCUUAGAAUUGCCGAAAAUUCGAUCAGAAGAUCAACUUGCAGAUAUUUUAACGAAGGCCAUUUCAAGCAGGGCAUUUACAAAAUUCCUAGACAAGUUGGGUAUGCAAGACAUCUAUGCACCAGCUUGAGGGGGAGUGUUGAGAAUCAAAUAAAACGGCAUUGAAUGAAGCUUUCAAAGACAGAAUCUGCACUUGUCAAAGGGGUAAUCUGCACUUGUCAAAGACAAGAUCCGCGCCGAACGGAUUGACACAUUUCCUUCCGUAUUCACAUAUGUAAUCUUUGAAAAAAUGUAGCUUCUGCAUCUAUAAAUAACUCUCAAUGUAUAAUGCUUUAUUUAAGAAAUGAAAACACGUUUCUUCACCUUUCUUUCUCACAAAACGGAACCAUGGUUGCUAUUGGAGAGAUCUUACUCAACGCCUUCUUUCAGGUGUUGUUUGAUAGGUUGGCUUCUUGUAAUUUUCUCAGCUUUGUGCGUCAACUCCAAGGCGGGGUUGAUUUGGAACUCAAAAAGUGGGAGAAAAAGCUGAAGAUGAUUCAGGCUGUGCUCUACGAUGCAGAGGAGAAGCAACUGAUCGACGAGGCUGUGAAGACGUGGCUGGACGAACUCCAAGACUUGGCUUAUGACGCUGAGGACAUUCUUGAUGAGUUUGCUACUCAAGCUUUGGAAAGCGAGUUGAUGGAGCAAAAUCAGGAUAGCUCUGGCCAGCUUCUUAGUUUCAUCCCAGCUAGUUUGAGUCCGAAUGCUAUUAUGUUCAAUUAUAGCAUGGGGUCCAAGAUUAAAGAUAUUACUAGCCGGUUGGAGCACCUCGGCCAAGAAAGAAUUGAACUUGGUCUGCAACGGAUUACUGGAGGGGCAUCAUCAUCUACUGCUGCCGCACACCAGAGGCCACCCAGUUCGAGUGUCCCAACAGAACGUGAAGUAUUUGGAAGAGAAGAAGAUAAGGCCAAAAUUCUUGAUAUGGUUUUGGCCGAUACCCCAAGUGAUCAUGCCAAAUUUGUUGUAAUACCCAUUGUUGGCAUGGGCGGAAUAGGAAAAACAACUCUUGCUCGGGAGGUCUACAAUGACAAGGCGUUGAAGAUUCCAAGUUUGAUGUAAAAGCAUGGGUUUGUGUCUCUGAUGUCUUUGAUGUUUUGGUCAUCUCAAAGGCACUUCUGGAGUCAAUCACCCGCAGGCCUUGUGUUCUAAGCAAUUUAAAUGAAGUGCAGGUUGAGCUGAAAAUAGUUGUGGAUAAAAAAAGAUUUCUACUGGUCUUAGAUGAUGUUUGGAACGAGGACUACAGCUUGUGGGUAGACUUAAAAGCUCCUUUCAUGGCUGCUGCACCAAACGGUAAAAUGAUCAUCACCACACGCAAUUCAAAUGUUGCAUCAAUAAUGGGACCAAUUGAACAUUACAAUCUCAAGAGUCUGUUAGAUGAUGAUUGCUGGUCCAUUUUCAUACAACAUGCACUUGAAUCUAGAGAUCUUAACGCAAAUCAAAUUUCAGAAUCAUUCCGCAAGAAAGUUGUUGGCAAGUGUGGGGGCUUGCCCCUGGCAGCAAAAACACUAGGGGGCCUUCUGCGUACUACGAGGCAUGAUGCAUGGGACGAUAUAUUAGAUAGCAAAAUAUGGGAUUUACCUCAACAAAGUGGCGUUCUCCCUGUGUUAAGAUUGAGUUACCACCAUCUUCCGUCUCAUUUGAAAAGAUGUUUCGCUUAUUGUGCAAUCUUUCCAAAAGAUUAUGAAUUCAAUGAGAAGGAGCUGACUUUCUUAUGGAUGGCUGGAGGAAUUAUUCGACAGUCAAGAAAGAAUGAGCAGCUGGAAGAUUUGGGCGGCAAGUGCUUUCAUGAUCUAGUGUCAAGGUCAAUUUUUCCACAAACCAGCUCGGGUAGUUCUAAAUUUGUAAUGCAUGACCUUAUCCAUGAUCUUGCUGAACUGGUUUCUAGAGAAACCAUUUUCAGAUUAGAGGAGGCCAACUUGUCAUCAAGAAGAUUUGAAAGGAUCCGCCAUGCUUCCUAUACCCGUGGUUGGUAUGAUGGUAAAAAUAAGUUCAAGGUUUUCAAUGAAAUUGAACAUCUACGAACAUUCCUACCAUUACACGAAAGACGAGGAUAUUACAUACCUCGAACGGUUCUAUCUGAUUUGCUGCCAAAGUUCAGAAGGUUGAGAACGCUAUCUUUACAAGGAUACUGUAUUGGUGAGUUACCAAUGUCAUUUGAAGAUCUGAGACUUUUAAGGCUCCUCAACCUUGCUGACACUGACAUAAGAAGUUUACCUGAGUCAACAUGCACAUUGUUGAACUUGGAAAUUUUGAUAUUAAGAAAUUGUUCCCGUUUGAUAAAGCUUCCGCCCAAAAUGAGGAAUUUGAUCAAUUUACGCCAUCUCGAUAUAAGAGGUGCGAAGUUGCUGAAGGAGAUGCCGUUCGGAAUGAAGGAGUUGAAGAAUCUUUUACAAGUUUGGAAGAUUUAAAAUGUUUAAACUUUCUUUGUGAUGAACUCUGCAUGAGUGGAUUAGAGAAUGUGAAUAAUCCACAGAAUGCAAGAGAAGCCACAGUAUGCGAGAAGCACAAUCUUGAAGCAUUGACUCUAGAUUGGGGGUCUCAAUUUGACAAUUCUCGAGAUGGAGUAGUAGAAGAGCAUGUACUGGAAAUUCUACAGCCCCAUAAAUGUAUAAAAAAGGUGGCAAUCAGGAACUAUGGUGGUGCAAGAUUUCCGCAUUGGAUCGGAGAUCCUUCGUUCUCCAAGAUGAAGGUCCUUAAAUUGGAGAACUGUCACAAUUGUGUAUCGUUGCCGUCGCUUGGCCUGUUGAGUUCACUUAAGCACCUUGCUGUUAAAGGGCUGAAGAAACUAAAAAGCAUAGAGUCUGAGGUUUAUGGGGAGGGUUUCUCAAUGCCUUUUCCAUCACUGGAGAUUCUAAGUUGCGAGAAUUUGCCAGAAUGGGAGCAUUGGGAUACCGAGAUCAAAGGAAAUGUGCCUGUUGAUAUAUUUCCUCGUCUCCAAGAACUUUCCAUUGCAGAAUGUCCCAAACUCUCUGGACAACUGCCUGAGCUCCUGCCUUCCUUGGAGACACUUGUUGUUAGUAAAUGUAAAAAGUUGGUAGUUCCAUUGUCUUGCUAUCCGAUGCUCUGCAGAUUAGAAGUUGAUGAGUGCAAAGAACUAGUCUGCCGGACUCCGAUUGAUGUUAAGUUGAUAAAGUCCAUGACUAUUUCAAAUAGUUCAUUAGACCUGAAUGGAUGUAAGGGGAUGCUAUACGAUGGUCCAGCUGGCUCUUCACUGCCAAAGCCCAUGACUACUACAAAUGUUUUGGAGUUUGGAAAAUUAUUGAAGCCUGGAUUUCAGAUAUUCGAAACUUUGGUAAUUGGCAAUUCUGAACAGCUCAAGUCAUGGAGGCAGCAUGGGGAUUUUCCUAAAAAAUACAUGGUCACUGACCAUAGGUUUAAGAAACCAGUACCAGGGCUGAAUAUGCUCGCUUCCCCUGAAGAGGUAAAAAUUGAAGAAAGCUGCGUAAGUCUUGUUUUGUUUCCAGAGAUCAAUUUUUUUCCCAGAAAUCUACGCUCUCUUCUAAUUAAAAACAGCACAACUUUAAAAUCCUUACCCGAGGAAAUGAUGGCAACAAUUCACAACUCGAAAGGUUGUAUAUCAGAGAUCGCGACUGUCUAACAUUCAUCGCAAGACGGAGGCUACCGGCAUCUCUUAAAAGGCUUGAGAUAGAAAAUUGUGAGAAAUUGCAACGUCUGUUCGAUGAUGAAGAGGAUGCUUCUUCUUCUUCUCCUGCAUCCUCGUCGUCCCCAGUGAUGCUGCAACACCUGAGUAUAGAGAACUGCCCAGAGCUCACCAGUUUAUCAUCGGGUGUCCAAUUCCUUGAGGCGCUUGAAUUCCUCGAGAUACGGGAUUGCCCAAAGCUGGAGUCAAUACCGGAUGGCCUGCCCAAUCUUAAAUGUUUACAGAGCAUUUAUAUAUGGAAAUGUCCAAGUCUUGUUCCUUCCCAGAAAGAGGGCUUCCCAACACGAUUUCAAGGGUUGGCAUUGGCGAAUGUGACAAGCUCGAAGCCUUGCCCAAUGAUUUGCACAAAAUCAACUCUCUUCGAUAUUUAAGCAUACAGCUGUGUCGAAAUCUUGUAUCGUUUCCAGAAGAAGGUUUUCCUACCAGUCUAACAUCACUUAGAAUUGGAGAUUUCAAAAUGUAUAAGACCCUCGUCCAGUGGGGGUUGCACAGGCUUACCUCUCUUAGACGCCUCUAUAUCGUUGAUUGUGAUGACGAAGCAGAGUGUUUUCCAGACGAGGAGAUAGGAAUGACGCUGCCCACCUCUCUCACUGAUCUGUACUUAUCGGGAUUCCAAAAAUUGAUAUCCCUGUCUUCGACGGGUUUUCAGAGCCUCAACUCUCUUCAAUAUUUGUUGAUCGCGGGUUGCCCAAAUCUCACAUCAUUUCCAGAGGUGGGCCUUCCAUCCUCACUUUUGGGAUUAUUCAUUUUCAAAUGUCCAAAGCUUAAAAGAGCGUGCAAAAGAGAUCAAGGAAAAGAGUGGCCCAAAAUUGCUCACAUCCCUUGCGUUGAGAUAGACGAAAAAUUCAUAUACGAUCCCGAAUCAGAGGAGUAGAUUUCUGUUAUCCAUUAAAAACGAUCUCCUAUUAGUUUUAUUUUUUAAAUAAUAAUUUUGCAGUUCUGUUUUCUGUAUAAUUAUAAAUCCUCUGCCGUUAAUUAUUGACAAUGUCACUCACGUGAUUCCGUCUUCACUAAUCAGACUGUAUGUUGAGGCUAUUUGCUUUUUAAUCAAAGAUUAAAUUAUAACAUUUAUCUUAAAAUUGAAUAUCAUAGACAGAUAGACGAUUUUUAAAUCCAAAGUUUUUUGAUCCACUUCAAUUAGCAUUUAUUUUUUCCCCCAAAACAGGCAAGCCGAGAGUUUCAAUCAAGAAUUGGAGGAUGUGAAUGGGAUUUUUGUGAAAACAUAAUGGAUGAACGAACAUUUCAUCUGUGAUCUCAAAGUCAACAGAAUUUUAUUUACUCAUUGACUUUUCAACUCCUGUGGUUAUUUAUGGGUGAAAGAUAAGGGCAAUUACAAGAAAUUUGCAAACUUUGUCAACUUCUUUUAAUUGUACCAAUUUGUCGUUUAUGUUUUAGUUUUAUUUUUUCAGUUUUGUUUAUUGCUUAGAUGGUAGAUAUAUCGACAUUUUAGAUUUCAGAUAUUUGUCACCAGUUUCAUUCCCUUUUUUUUCGUUUUUUUAAGCUAGUUUGACUAAUUUUAACCAGAAUUAGAGCAGAAUAUUUUGGAGCGAGCAUACUUGAAAUGAUGCUUUUUAAUUUUGAUCUAGUAAAAAUACAUAGCCCUCACCGGCAGAAUUCUAGUCCCUACCGGGAUUCAAGAAAUUGAAAUUUCUGUCUUCAACGGGUUUUCGAAGCCUGACCUCUCUUCGAUUUUUGUGGAUCGGGAAUUAUAAAUUUACAGUUGUCAGAAGCUUGAAAAAGUGCGCAAAAGAGAUCGAGGAAAAGAAUAUUUCUCUGUUUAGUGAAGGAUGAAUGCUUGGAGUGGAGUAUUUGGUAACAUUUCUGUUUAGUUAAGGAUUUUGAAAUUAAUGAUGGUAAGAUGUGUACUUAUUCUUUCUUCCAGACAACCUUGCCUUCUUUCUUCGGUAGCAUAUCUAAUGAAUAUUUCUCUGUUUAGUUAAGGAUGAAUGCUUGCAGUGGAGUAUUUGGUAACAUUUCUGCCGUAGAUGAAUCCUUGAAGAAAUGCCUGCACUUCCUGAGACCAAAUACAGGUCUGAUUCAAAACAACACCUGUCCCAGAAAAUAUGAUACAAGGCAAAGCCAUGUUCUGAUAAUGUUUCCUUAAGUACAAAGUUGCAAGGAAACUUGAUUCAUUAACUACAAAUUUUUAUUUUUAGGACCUUGCAUCUGAAAGGUUCAGUGUAAUUUUUUUUUUUCAAUUUAUUGCUCAGAUCUCAGACGAGUAUAUGGUUUAGAUUACAAAACACUUACGAUUAAUUUCAUUUUUUUUUAUUUCAGGGAGAAGAAGUGGUCAGUUUCAAUCCAGAAUUGGAAUAUGGCAAUUUGGUGCAAGCACAAAUACCUGGUCACUUCGUCAGUGAACCUGAACUUUACUGAACUUUACACAGUUUUUUCAACUCAGUGAUUUUUGGAACGCAUAUUGGUGUAAGGAAAUCAAACGAAAUUUAUGCAUAGUCAAAUUCUGAUAUUUGCUAUAUUUUAUACAUUCUAAAGUUUCUCCAGUUUGUUCUCAGAUUACCAUCACUUUUUGCCUUCACCAAAAAAAAAUAUAUAUAUAUUUGAGUGGCUUUCCGGUGGAUAUUUAAUCGGAGGCAUGACUGGAUUUUUUUUCACUUCUGUAGAUCUUGCAUUUUAAACUGGCAAAUUUAACUUUAAUUUCAAUACGACUUUGUUGGUGCCUUCUGUUCCAGGAGCUAGAAAGAUGUGUAGUUUUCAGAUAAAGGGGCUUGUGAAUUCUCUAGUAAGAAUCCAAUAAUUUGCUUUUGCACGUUCAUUUUAUUUGUAGAUCCUUGCAUCUGAAUUUGAUCAAUCCAAAAGGAACUGCUUUUAGAGGGAAGAAGAAUAGCAGUACCUAUUCGAUGACAUAGUGUAUGGACCCUCACAUGUUAACUUUCAUGAAAAACACAUUUAAGAAAUUUGCAACUUUUUGGUUAGUUAUGUAUCCAAUGUUGUUUUCUGUUUUAGCAUUUGUAGAAUCUACUGUAUUAUAUUUUGGCAGCUACAGUAUCUGAGGUAUCUUUUGCAUUUAACUUGCUUUAUAUGUUUUGUCUGUGACUUAAGAACACCAAUAUUUGCCAGAGAUUUAGAGAAGCAUAUCAAGAUGCUUGGCUAACUUGACAAACUUCAAGAUCCUUCAUUCUUCACAAUGCAAAACUUGUGAGUACACUUAUGCCCGCAAUUAUUGUGAAAUGCUUGCAAUUUUGAUGCAGCGAAAUGGUUUGUUGAUGCAAAGGUUUGAACUUUUAAGGUUUACCCUGCAGGGUAGUUGGAUGCUGUAUACUCGAAAAGCCACCAACAUCAAGAACUAUACCUCCAAGACUGGGUUUGCAUUAAUUCAAUCAGCUGAAAUAAUGAUGCAAAGGACACUAUCAGCUGGACUUAGAGACCAGUCAGAUCAAUUAUCCAUUUUAUCAACAGUUAAUGUCAUCAUGGUGGCUAUUAGAGGAAACAGAGGAUGUGUCGGAAUCAAUAUGAACAGUGAGAAGAAUGAGAGGAGCUUUGAUUAUAAAUUGGCUCAAUGAACUCAUGCUGGUAAGUGGUAAUUAAAGAAAUUUGUGCGCUUAGCAGAGUUUCAAUAUUUUCUGUUUGGGAUAUAGUUGAUAAGUUGAUACUCUGAUUAAUAAGCCUGAUUAUAGUAGCUGACUGUAUUAACCAGGUUCUUUUCUUUCUUUUUUUUUUGGUGGUUUGCUGUUGUUUUGAUUAUGCUGUAACUACAAGGAAGAGCCGGACUUGGAUGCAGGCGUUCAGCUUUUAAUGGUUAAGAACAAAUGUAUGCUUUAACCAUGUUUCUCACUUAUUACAAUGUACGCAUUGAAGGCAUCUGAGCUGAUCCUGAAAAUGUCAUGGAAAUACUUCUCUGUUUACAUAAAACAGGACAAAUAGAGAUCUCUGAUCAUGCCUGAGAAUUCGUUGCAUUGAAAUUUCUACCAUUGCCAAAAAUAGAAUAAACUAGGGAUACAUUAGCGUAAGACUCAAUUUUGAGAAGGAAGUUUGUACUUGCAGCCUAAAAAAUCAUGUCUUUGUUGUAUACUUGUAUGUUUCUUUGGGAAAUGAAAGAUUCUGUGUUCUUUUAUUUCAAGUUUGCUGAAAUCACAUUUGUUUUCUUAGAUGCUUUCCAGAAGGUAACAGCAUCAAUUUCAAAAAUGCUGGGGUAAUAUGCAUCACGCAGUGCUACUCAACAUGAGAAAUCCUGGCUGCAUUAACUGUAUGUUGAGUGAUCGCACAGUACAACCUUGAGAAGCUUGUAAGGAGUAGACAACUAGAUGCGAGUAGUUUCAAUAUGGAUUCGCAUCAAAUGAUUUCUUGCCACUGAUUACCAUAACUUCUAUCCCAAAAUUCUGGGAACUGGUCAUACCAGCUAUGAAGUAUUGUAUACGUUGAAGAGCUCAAGGCCUUGCAAAAGCUCCGUCAGCCUUUGUAUUGGCAAACAGAUGGUUGUAGUUGCUUCUGAAUGAUAUGAUUAAUAGAUUCUGUAAAAAUGAAUUGUGCUAUACGCUUUCAGAGUUCUGUUAAGAUGUCUUGGUAGUUUUUGAUGCUUGUUUGAUUUAUAUUGCAUUCAGCUAUAAAUCAAAGGUUCAGAACACGAGUAUGUUGCUGAUUUCCAAAUAGAAAAAUUGCCUUGUGAUGUUAGUGUCCAUUGUUUUCACAGGAGAUCAGGUUCCUUGUUAUUGAAUCAAGAAGGCAAACGCAUCCAUGUCUGAGUUCAAUUGUGUCCCUUCUAUUUUCUAUUACUGACUCAUUUAUUUUGAUUUCUUCAUUGUGAUUGAAUUGGUUUUUUAUUCCAAAUUAGUCAAAACCUCAUAGAGUUAUUAAGUUCCGUUAGCAUUCAGAACUACGUACCAAAUGAUUAACAGGAUUAAAUUACAAUAAAGAAUUAAGUUCUUUAUUGUAAUUGAAUUUGCUUUCUCAUGUUUAGAGAUAUUAUGUUCUGGUUAGGGGUGAUUUCUUGAAGAGUCAAUCCAUUUGUGUUUAUACAUUUUUCUAUUGCCUUGAUUUCUGUUUUCUGGGGAGUUUAUACAGAUUCUUAUUUUAUGCUUCACAUGCCACAUGAAAGAUCAAAGCCUUCUGUCUGAACAUAAUAUACGUAGAAAGUUAAAUUUAUUUAUUUAUAAGCAUGUCCCAGUGCCCAGUGGCAUCCUCUUAACUUGUGAUAGUCAAAUGUAUUAUACGAUACAAUAUCAGCUUGACUUUAGCAUAGAGGAGAAUAGGGUUGGUGUUGGACUGAAUUCUGAUCCUUGAAUAAAUAUAACAGCUGCCUGAACCAGCUUAUUUGACUCCACAACUUUAUACUUGUUUUAUAGUCUAUGCCUACCUCCAUCGUCGGCAGCUUACAGUCUCUUUUAGCAUUUUAAAAAGUUUCAUGAUAUUCCAUAGUUCGCAUGGACUGCUACAAUUUAGAGAAACAUAAUUACGGCAUAUUUAAUUACCACGCGAGGAGUCUUCUUUUUUGCGCACCAAUAAUUCUUUGUACUUAAUUAGAAGAUGAGAAAUCCUUUAGCCGAACCACGAACUCACCUAUUAGUGGGGUUUUUUCCGCUUGCAUUCAGUCGCUCAAGUGAAAAUUGCGUGCAAUUUUUUCCUCAACUAAAAUUGGAAUAGAUAUUUUGUUAUUGCUGGCACAAAUUUUCCUUUAAGUCAAAUUGGAAUAGAUGUUUGUGAGAUGCCUAGACCUGAGAUUUUGUUAUGAUUAUAUGCAUUAAAGCUUUCGGUAGACCCUUGAAAUCUUAUGAUCAAUGUAUUAGAAAUUUAGAAUUGGGGUUUAUAAGAGCUAGUUUGACCAUGUUAUAACUUUUAAAAUUAUUGUUGCUAAUUGUGUUAUAGAAAUAAUUAAUCAGUUGUAAAAAUAAUUAGUUAAACAUUUGGUAAAUUUUAUUUUUAAAAGUGUUAGGAGUUUUAAAAGCAGACGUACGUACUUAGUAAAUCUCACUUUUAAAAUAUUAUAAGAAUGCAAAAGGUUUAAAUAUAUAUAAAUCUAUACAAUUUAUUUACACAUGCAUUUAUAGAUACAUGUAUAUAUAAUAAUUGAUAACUAAAAUAAAGAUUUUUAUUUUAUUAAUUUUUUUUGUUAUCUAAAAAAAGGUAAUAAUAAUAUCUUUAAUGACGUAUUUAUUAAUCAGUAAUCGGAAUGGACUGGAAUCAAAAUGGAGGAAUGGAAAUCGGAAUAAAUUGUUUACUUUAACUAUCAAUAUUGGAAUCGCAAUGAACUGUAUUAUCACUUAUAUAUUUAUUUUAUCUGAGAAUCAGAAUGGAUUGAUUUAAAUUACUAGACAGACCUUAUUAUUAUUAUUAUUAUUAUUAUUAUUAUUAUCAUCAUUAUUAAAUAAGGUAAAAAGGAAUUUUCAAUUUUUACUGAAGUAAAAAUAUCAAUUCACUUCUCAUUUUCAGCCCUAGGGAAUGAGACUCCCAUUCCACAUUCUAGAAUUUAUAGAGUCCACUCAAAUUUUCAUUCCCAUUCCCCCUCCUUGUUUUGCAAGUAAACAAGUUAAUAAUCCUAUUCUCUCAUUUCUACUCCCAUUCUCAUUCUCAAGUACUAACACAUCAAGGUAUUCGGUUCGGUUUUUGCCCAAUAGAACUGAAAUUAUUCGGUUUGGUUUGAUUUGGUUUAAUAUAAAAAGCCAAAGGGUUUAUAUUUUUAUGAACCAAAUGGUUUGUAUUUGAUUCAAUUCUAAAACUGAACCGAAAGCACAAACCAAUCGGUUCACGUAAUUUUAAUUAUUUUUAGAAAAAGAAAAACCAAAACUAAAUCGUAGAAUGUGAAUCCCUAAAAUCUAAAUCCCUAAUUCUCCUAACUAACUAAAACUAAUCACAGAACAACACAACCACAACAACCUAGCAAGCGCAGCGGUAGCCCCUCGAACCACGCUCACUCUCAAGUAUAGCAUGACAAUAGGGCUCUCUCAUGCAAUGAUAGGUAAUUUCUUAGUUUAGAAGGGAAAGUAAGAGAAACAGAGGAAGAAUAUAAGUUGAUUAAAAGGGAAAAGUCAAUUCUUAUUCCAAAAACUUGCUUAGUGCAAGUUCAAUAGGGUCUCUUAAAUAGACCUAUACAUAUAAUAAAAACUAGAAAAGACGAAAAUCACUUGAAAAUAAAAAGCAUGAUCACUUAAAUGGUAAACAUACAUAACCGCCAUGAGCUACAUGCAACCUAAGUCAAAUAAUCAACUGAAGAAACUUGAUCCCCAUGCAUAUUGAGCACAUACCAUUCCCCACCCUUUAGAAACACCUUGUUGGUGCGGUUAAAGUGAGGGUGAGCCUUUGAGAAUCACCAACAGUUCCAACGAGUGUCCUCAAUUGCUGCUCCUAUCCCUAUAACCAGUAUUGAGUUGUACGAAUGGCACAUGAUCUUCAAUCAUGAAUAGUUGCAGCUUUUAACAACAGUGUGAUACAAACUAAUAAAAAUAAUAAAAAUUAUUUAUUUUAUUUUAUUGUAUUAGUUAAUUUUGAACUAGUCAAAACUAGUUGCCCUUAUUUUGUGGAACUACAUGUAAUUAGUGGAGCAUUAUGUGAGAACAUGCUUAGUGUUACUAAUUUUUAGGUUGUAAUCCUAAAUAAACUUUUAUUAUAUAAAGCUUAAUGUUACUCAAUAAAAAGGAUCAUGAGUUUAUUAUUUUGGCAACAUAAAAGUUGUAAUUGGGAGUUUAUUGGUUUCUCGAAUAACCAAUACUUAUUUGGAGGUUUGGAUUUCCUUGAAUUAACUCCAUUUGUCAUCUAAUUUUUCUAUUUCAUUUGAUUUCUCCUUAUAAACUUUAGUGUUCGUAUCACAGUGGCCAAGAAUAAGUUUCUCGUCACAAUAAUAACACAACCCUUUUCCACGAUGAGCAUGUGCUUCUUAGUUAGAUAGUUGCUGGAUAUGAGGGGAAGCGAUGUCAUCGGCUAUUUAAUCAACCUUAGGAGGUGGACCUAAGACUCUAACAAAGCUAUUUGGGGUUGGUUGCUAUAUCACCAAAAUAGAGGGUGGUAGAGAAAAGUGACUAGUGCAUUGAGAAAGUGAAUUUCGCUCCUCAAUCAGUCUUGUCACACCAAUGGUGUUAGCCAAGGUAAAGGGCUAUUUAAUCUUGACAUCUAGUUGUAUCUCAUCCUGAAGACCUACAAUAAAACAACCAAUUAAAAAACAUUCGAGUAAGCCAUCAACCUAAUAUAAAAGCUUUUCAAAAGUUUAUUGAUAUUAAGCUAAUAAUGGAAGUCUAUUUCAGGUGCAUCAAAGCCUUAGAUGGGUCCUCAUAAUCCAUUAGUUCGAAUCGUAGAAGGACUGUUGUUGAUGCUGAAAUCUGCUCGCCCUCUACCCAACCAAAUCAUUCCACCAACAUUUGUGUAUGCAAUGGAGAGAAUACUGCCCUUUUGCCUCCUUCAGCAACUGCGGAUGCUCCAGGGGUUGGAAUCACCUUUUUCCCUUCUUUCUAAUCCUGCACUCACAGAGAUAGAUCAGAGACGCCGGUGGUUUUACCAGCAUAAACCCUCCAAUACUUAAGUUAGCACAAGGUGUUUUACGGGAAAACUAUGUAACUUGGAUUGUUUGGUUUCUCGUAAUGCUUUCUAAAACUUGUAAAGAAUAUAAUCUGGUUUCAAUUUGGCAGAGUUUUCCUUUUUCUCUCAAUUUUUCCAUCCCUUUUUUCAUUGGUUUCCCGGCUUCUUGUAACCGUUGUCCCACGUUCCUAUCUACUCCUCAUGCCCCCCCUUUUAUCGGGUGAUGGCAGGCCUUCAUGGCCUCCAACCACUGGAUUGUGGGUAAACAUGGGAUGACAUGUCCCUCUUGACGGUUUGGGGCAUAGCGAAACUACCGCAUUUUCGUGAGAUCGUGUGCCCCUUGUUUGGGUGAUGGGUAUCUGGUUGGUAUAUGUCUCUAGUCGGUACAUUCCUCUGGUCGGUGCUCGUCUCUAGUAGGCCCACUUUUGUAUGAGGCGUUUUACCAGGGCUCUUUUUGUGCCGCUCAGUUGAGGUGAUUCACCUCGGGGUGGGAAAUGAGGGCAUGGCUGAGCUGGUGCUCUUUAUUACUUAAUACCAGUCCCCUAGUUUCUGGUCUUGCGAGUGAAAUGAGUUGAGAUUAGAAACUAAGAAUCGGAUUUUAUCGACCCCGGGAAAUUCCUAUCUGGUCUUCGUGUUAUUGUGAUGGACCUGAGGUUCUGCCUUUUGUUUAGGGAGAUUUUUUAUCUAAGUAUGGGCCUUUGUGAGCAUGUCCAAUAUAUAGCUGGGCUAACAUCUCGUCAGGCCUUUUAUAACGGUCAGUGACGUGUCGUUUCUCGUCCUUUCAUAUUUGAAAUUUGAAACGACGGCUUAUCUGCCCUCGAUAUACGGCGAGUGAGCUAGCACCCGUAUAACUUAAACGCUUCCAUUUCCCUAUUUCAUUUCAAAUCCCUAAAUUGAAGCUGUCAUUGCGUUUCACUAUCCGCCAUUUCACUGUAAACUAAGUCCCUCUUUGGACUUCAAUCACACUUUUUGCGUCCGAAACCUCUAUUUGCUGGGUCCUCUCUCCGUCACAGCAGCACUACCAGUGCCAGUUUAUUCUAGGUAUCACUUUUAACUUCUUCGCUGGUUGUUGUUGAUUGGGUUCUGUGUUGCCCCUUUUUGUACCCAUACACUCGGAUUUACUGUGUUUUCCUUUUUGAGUUUUUGAUAUGUCAAACCGAAAGGGGAAACUAAUUGUAGAUGAGAGUGAUGAAGAGGUGGGGGACUCAUACCCCAACCUGUUUGGGCCUAAUGACCCCUUAUCAUCUUCUCGUAGUAUAAGUCUUUCCCAUCAUAGGGAUACCCUAGAGUAUCCUCAUCGCGUGACCACUUUGCCUUCCCCUGAAUUAGAACCCGUGGGAAACCGUGGUGGUUCAGCUUCUUGCUCUGGUGAAAAUCACAGUUCUGAGGGCUGGGGGGGUCCCUGGAAAGUGGGUGAAGGUAAGGAGAGUAGCUCCGAGCCGAGCAGACCCUCUAAGAAGAGAAACUUUGGUCAUAUGAUGGCGGGAGAUGCUUAUCCCAUUGACUAUAUCACCUGUGUUACCACCCACACUGACCUACUCAAGUUUAGAAACCUCUACCAUAUCCCUGAGGUGGUUCUUCUUUUAAUCCCUGGGAAAGGUGACUUCCCCAGUCGGCCUCCAAGGGGAUAUGUCACGAUGGGCACGAUUACCCCUUCAACCUUACUUUGCUUGGAUACUGGGUGGUAUGCAUCUGGCUCCAGGUCAGCUUCACCCGAAUGGGUGGAGGGUUCUCUCAGCCAUGUAUGUGCUAUGGAAAAAGUGUGGACUUGAGGAGCCUUCUCUUGAGGAAGUGAAGCAUUUAUACCAGCUGAUGAGCUUUCCAAGGGAAGCAGGUUGGUACUACUUCAUGUCAAGCUCUGCAAAGAGGAAGCCUGUCACCGACUUUCCUUCUUCCUGUAAAAAUUAGAAGAACAAAUUCUUCUUUGCUGGAGGAAAUUGGUGUCCAACAAUUCAUUCGCUUAGUGGUGAUAUUCACCUCCCAACACAUUUUGUCACCCCAGGUCGUUAAUUUUUCUGCAUACUUCACUUCUCUAAUCGUUACUUAUCGAGUUCCUUAACCUUGUUUGUUCUUUCAGAAUUGUGGGGUUUGAUCAAGAAACUUGACGAUAGACCACUGCUCCAGGUGGAAAUGGCUCUGGUGAACGCGUCUACCUGUCACGAUCUCAUAUCGUUAAUAAAUCUUGUCGGGUUGCACUUAGUGGACGUAGCUAUUGGGAUGGACAACAAGAUCCUCAGCGCUAUGUCUAAGAAACACACUUUGGGUUCAGGUAGCUCCAGCAACCUCCCUCCUCCUUUGAAGAAAGUCAAUGUUGGUUCCUCCAAGGCUUCUGCUCCUGCUCUGCCCCCUCCUUCACCUCGGAAGAAUGGUAGGGAGAAAGUUAGUGACAAGAGCCCCGAGGUCAGCAUUCAAUUUGGAGACCGAUCCUCUCCUCUACCGCCUCGGGACCAGGGUGACUAUCUGACCCUGUACCAGAGAGAUUACAACAAGUCGAUGGGACCAAAAAUGGUCAAGGACAUUGAAAGCAUGAACCUCAGCGAGCUAGGUGGUUCAGUUCAAAUGGUCUCCUUUAAGCUGGCUACUCUGGUUUCUUGCUACAAGAAUAGGUCUACGCGCCAAGAGAGGAGGCUUCAAGCUGAUAACGAGGACUUGAAGAAAAAGGCUAAUUCUGUUGAUCGCUCGAAGGAGAAGCAGAUUGAGCUACACAAGCAGAUCAUGGACCUGGAGGAGAAAGUGGCUAUUGCUGAGUCUAACUCCUCCAAGCUUGAGGGUGAGUUGGGUGAUCUAAAGUCCGAUCUCCAGGUUGCUCACAGUGAACGAGAUACUUUGAGGACGACCCUUGAGGAACAUAUUAGGUCCUUAGAUGAGCAGGUAGCCGAGCUGAAAGGCAAAUCUGUUGAGGUGGACAAUUGACUGGAUGCAGAAUAUAACUCUGGGCUCGCCUUUUGCUACAAGUGCAUCAUGUUUGUGCUUAAGGGAGAAUAUCCUGAGCUUGACAUGAGCAAGCUGGAGGCUGGAGUGCAGAAAUACAUGGCCGAGCCCGAUCAAGGGGAUAAGGAGCAGGGAGAGCAGGAUCAGGUGGAGGCUCCUUCAGAUGGGGUGCAGGAGAGGGAAACAGAGGAUUAUGCUCUUGAAACAGGUCAGGGGUCACUGCCUGCUCCCCCAGAAGUUGCUGGUCCACCUUUUAUCGAGGCUGCUGAACCUCAUAAUCCUUAGGCUUAUAUAUAUAUAUAUAUAUAUAAAUAUUAUUUUGUAUAAAUUCUAAACUCCCAUCUGUCUACAAAUGUUUGGAUGUUUAUAAACUUUGGAUGCUUUUUGUUUGCUUUCUUGCCAUGGUUUUGGUUGUGAAUCGUUUCUACAAGUUACCUUAACAAUUUUGAGUGACUUUGGCUGCUGGUCCUUUUGUCGUCCGAGCAGGAACUGACACUUGUUUGCCUUAGCGAAAUUUGUAAAACUUACAUUUCAGUUUUUCAAACGACUGAGCAGGAACUGGCGUUGGUUUGCCUUAACGAAAUUUUGUAAAAUUGCCUGCUGGUGCUUUAGGCGACCAAGCAGGAAUAGGCACUUGCUUGCCUUCAUAAAAUUUAUAGAUUUGCCUGCUGGUCCUUUAGGCGAUCGAGCAGGAAUAGACACUUGCUUGCCUUAAUAAAAUUUGUAGAUUUGCCUGCUGGUCCUUUAGGCGUCCGAGUAGGAAUAAACACUCGCUUGCCUUAAUAAAAUUUGUAGAUUUGCCUGCUGGUCCUUUAGGCAACCGAGCAGGAAUAUGCACUUGCUUGCCUAAAUAAAAUUUGUAGAUUUGCCUGCUGGUCCUUUAGGCGAUCGAGCAGGAAUAGGCACUUGCUUGCCUUACUAAAAUUUUUAGAACGAGGGAAUUUAUGCUGAAUUCAUCUUUAUUGAACUUUGCAUGGAUUACAAGAGGCGAGAUAUAGUCACGUGUAACAAUUCAUCAUGCUUUUAACAUAAAUAACUUAUUGAAAUAAAACUUGGUAAGGCAGUUUGCUUACUGGAAGUAUUUCUUCAAGUGCUUAGCGUUCCAUGAUCUUUUCACGUCUCGUCUAUCUGGGUAAAUCAGCUUGUACGCUCUUGGGCCAGUUAUUCAUACCACUCUGUAUGGGCCCUCCCAUUUCGGGCUAAGAACACCAUGAAUAGGAUCUCUUGUGCAUUGGUUCACUUUUCUAAAUACCCAAUCUCCUGCUCGGAACUGUCUCAUGCGAACAUUUUUGUUGUAGUAACGCAUGAUCCUUUGCUGGCAUUUGGCUGUUCUCUGCGAUGCCCCUUCUCUUUUUUCCUCCAGCAGGUUCAGGCUCAAGCAGAUCUGCUCGUCAUUUUGUUCUUUGUUGAAAUACUCUGUCCGAUAUGCCCCCACCCCAAUUUUUGCUGGGAUUACUGCCUCAUGACCGAAAGCUAAAGCAAACGGGGUUUCUCCCGUGGCCAUUUUGUGGGUUAUCCGGUAGGCCCAUAACACUCCUAGUAACUCGUCGACCUAAGCUCCUUUUUUUUCUCAUAGCCUGGUUUUCAAGAGUUUCUUUAUUACUUUGUUGGCUGCUUCCACCUGCCCAUUUGCCUUGGGGUGUGCUAGGGUACAAAACUUCAGGUCCACCCCUAAAUUUUGGCUAAAUUCUCUGAAGUUGUGAUUGUCAAACUGUCUCCUAUUGUCUGUAAUGACAGCAAUGAGGAUCUCCUAUCUGCAGAUGAUAUUCUUCCAAACAAAAUCCGUUAUCUUUCUCUCUGUGAUUUGACUGAGGACCCUUACUUCUACUCAUUUGGUGAAGUAGUCUAUAGCCACAAUUGCAUGUAUUACUUCUCCUCGGCCCUUGGGUAAUGGGCCAAUCAGGUCAAUUCCCCACUGAGCAAAAGGCCAUGGGGAUGACAUAGUGGUUAACCUUUCUGGGGGCUGAGCAGGGACUUCCGAGAAGCUCUGGCUGACUUUAUAGUUUUUUGCCAUCCCCGUCGCAUCCUGAUGCAUGGUCGGCCAGAAGUACCCUUGCCGAAGCACCUUGAAAGUCAAAGUUCUCGCCCCCGAGUGGUUGCUGCAUAUUCCUUCAUGAAUUUCCCUCAACACAUAAUUUGCUUCCUCGUCAUCCAAGCAUCUCAAAAGGGGCAAGGUGAAUCAUCGGCGGUAGAGUACCCCAUCGAGUAGCGUAUACCUUGCUGCCUGACAUUUCAACUUUCUUGCUUGCUUCCUGUCCUCUGGUAAGAUGCCCUCACGAAUGUAUAAUAGAAUGGGGUCCAUCCAGGAUUUUUCGAUGCUCACCUGCAUUACUUCUGCUUCCUCCCCUAUGCUUGACGAGGUUCUCACUUUUAGUGGAAUUGACUUGGGUAAUUUUGGAUCUGCAAUUGCGGCCAUUCUGACCAAUAUAUCUGCUCGGUAAUUCUCAUUCAGAUAUAUCUGCUUUAUUUCUAUCUCUUGGAAGAGCUCAACCAUCUGUUUUGCCUUCUUCAAAUAAAGCCCCAUCUUCUCUUCCCUCGCUUGGAAUUGAUCACUGAGCUGAUUACAGACUAAUUGGGAAUUUGCUCAGAUUUCUAUCCUUUUUGUUCGUAGUGCGUGUGCAAACCCCAGCCCAGUGAUGAAAGCUUCAUAUUCAGCUCGGUUAUUCGUAAGCUGAAAUUUAAAUUUCACUGCAUAAGAUACAUCGGCCCCUUCUAGGCUUCGUAUUACAAUUCCUGCUCCAGAUCCCUGUUUACUACGUGACCCAUCAAUUAUUACUAGCCACACCCCCUUUGAUUUCUCCUGCUUCACUGGUUGCUCCUCCCAAAUUUCCUCCCCUAAUUUAACACGGUCAACCAUAAAAUCGGUCAAGGCUUGGGCUUUGAUUGCUUCUCGGGGUUUGUAGGAUAGGUCGAAUUCGCUCAACUCCACGGACCAUUUACUAACCGACCAGAUGCAUCUAGUUUUAGAGCAUUUACCGAAGAGGCUGGUCAGUCAUCACAACUAUCGGGUGGGCCUGAAAGUAAGGUCUGAACUUGCGUGCUACUGUUAUUAAAGCUAGUGCCCAUUUCUCCAUUAGUGGAUAUCUGGUUUCUGCAUCUACCAGGGCCUUGCUAGUGUAGUACACAGGGUGCUGCUUUCCUUCCUCUUCUCUGACUAAUACCGAGCUGGUAGCCCAUUUAAAGACUGCCAAGUACAAAUACAGCUGGUCACCUUCUCCAGGAGUUGAUAGUACAAGGCGCGGGCUAAAUAUUCCUUCAGCUGCCCGAAUGCCUCCUCACAUUCUAACGUCCACUCCAUUUUCCUUCAAUUCUUUAUGAUUUGGAAGAAAUGGUGACAUUUAUCUGUGGCUCGCGAGAUGAAACGGUUCAAUGCUGCUAACUUCCCUGUAAGACUCCGUACCUCUUUAACUGUCCGGGGGGACUUCAUUUUUGUUACUGCCCGUACUUUUUCCGGGUUGGCCUCAAUCCCUCGAUGGCUCACCAUGAACCCCAAAAAUUUACCCGCGCUAACUCCAAAUGCACACUUUUCCGGAUUCAGCUUCAUCUGAUACUUCCUUAGCAGUUCAAAAGUCUCUUCCAAAUGCUUCACAUGAUCCUUCGGUUCCUUGGACUUUGUGAUCAUAUCAUCCACGUAUACCUCCAUAGUGUGACCGAUCAGUGGCUUGAAAAUCUUAUUCACCAACCUUUGAUACGUAGCCCCUGUGUUUUUCAGGCCAAAAGGCAUCACCUUGUAGCAAAAUAAACCCAUGUUAGUUAUAAAGGUGGUACUCUCCUCAUCUUGCUUGUUCAUGGGUAUCUGGUUGUAUCCCGAAAAGGCAUCCAUGAAGCUAAGCAGACUAUGACCUGCCGUUGAGUCCACCAACUGAUCUAUUUUAGGUACGGGAAAGCUGUCAUUUGGGCAUGCCAUAUUAAGGUCUGUGAAAUCCACAUACAUUAUCUAUUUCCCAUUGGCCUUCUUUACCAGCACUACAUUAGAAAUCCACUCCGCAUAUUUAGCCUCCCUUAUAAAUCCUGCUUUCAACAGCUUCUCCACCUCGGCAUUUAUGGCCUCGUACCUUUCCUAGUUAAAGCACCUCCUUUUCUGCAUCACCGGCCUUGCCCCUUUCUUGAUUGCCAACUUGUGGCAAGCUACCCCGCGAUCAAUUCCUGGCAUGUCCUCAUGAGACCAGGCAAAUAUAUCUGCGUGGGACUAUAGGCACUUCACCAGCUCAUCUUUUAUUGCUUCACCUAAUCCUGACCCGAUCUUAAUCACUCUGCUCGGGUUAUUCUUGCUCACAAAAAUCUCCUCCAGUUUCUCGACAGGCUCUUGACGACCCUUCUUAGAAUCUCUUCGGUUAUCCAGAGAGGUAACAUGUAGCGUCUCCUUGGCCGCUGUUGCGUAACAGCUCCUUGCUAUUCUCUGGUCACCUUUUACUACGCCCACAACUCCGUUUACUCUGUAUUUCAAUGCUAGAUAAUGCAUGGAUAUAAUGUAUUAGCUUGCUCUCAUAAAAGGUCGCCCUAGUAUCAUCUGGUAGGGGUUUUUCUCUUCCACCACUACGAAGUCCAGCAUAAUUUUCUUUUUAGAUGACUUCGCUCCUACGGUAAUCGGCAGCUCUAUGAUCCCCAUAGAGGUCAACUGUCUUCCUCCAAAUCCCUUUAAGGAUGUGUUCGUUCGCUCCAAUUUCAAAUCUGCAAUCCCCAUAUCAUCUAGGGCCGACUUAAAUAAUAUGUCGACCGAGCUGCCUAUAUCCACCAAUAUUUGUCGGAAUUCCUUACCCGCCACUAUUACUUUAACUACCAGUGCAUCCUCAUGAGGGUAUAAAAUGCCCUCUUCAUUAUCAUCUGUCCACAUAAUGGGAACUUGUCUUACUUUCACCCUCUUGGUCGUUGGUAAGUUGAAAAGUACCUCUUUGCUGGUCAAAGCGUAUCUCUCAUAAUUCUUUCGUGCUCUGUUUGAGUCUCCAGCCAAUGUUGGCCCUCCUGUUAUCACCUGAAUAUUUAGCUGUUCCCGCUCUAGGCUCCUUUCAACUCCAUCACCCAGCGUAUAUUGUGAUUCAAUGACGGGGGAUACUCCAUCUACAUACUCAUCCAAAUACUGGUUCCUCACCAAAUCUUCCACUUGAGUCUUCAAGUCAUGAUAUUGGCUGAUAGUGUGACUAUGAGUGUCGUGAAAUUUGCAGAAUCUGUUCUUAUCAUGUCUAUGAGCGGGUUUUGUUAUAGGGGCAGGAGGGUACAGCAGGCAUCGUCCCUCGAUUCUCUCAUACAACUCCUCCAUAGAGACUUUCAGUGGGGGUGUACUGUUUGUACGCCAAGCUUUGGUCAAUCAGUUGGACCGUUCAGCUAUCGUGGGUAUCGUUCCGAGCUGGUAUUGUAGGUAGCUGGUUUGGUUGACCAGCCCUGGAGUUAACUAUAUGCAGUACCCUGGGAGCGCUGUGAUAAGGGUGGGCGACUAACUGCCUGAAUUCUCGUUGCCACUCGGGGAAUGAGGGGCGCGGAGGCUGAGCUCAGUUGUGUUGGAGCUGUUGCGGUCUCUGAGCCAUGGGAUAAGGGCGAGACCAAGCUGAUAUUCCACACAUCACUAGCGAUUCUCCAGCUCGCCUUCCUGAUCCGCUCCCGCUCAGGGUUCUUCAAUCUCCAUGUCUCUCUUUGCCUGCUCAUACCCCGUUGAAUAAUUCUGAACGAUGGGACUUCACAAGUUGUACCAUAAUCGGCCUAUUCUUACACCCUCUUUUAAUCCCCUUAACGCCUGCAGGUGAUUGAAAGCUCCCAGAUCAAGCACGGCCCAAUGGUAUCUUUUCACAAAAUCCUGAAGGGAUUCGUGUUCCUCCUGCUUCAUCCCCAUCAAAUCCAUCAUAUCGUCAUCUGGGCCUACUGAUUAUCGGAACAGUGUUGUGCAAAUUUUAAUGAACUCGCAAGCACACGAAUCUAUUGUAGUAUAGAUCAUUGGUAACGAGUGUCGAUCUCAUGAGGAGGUGGAUUUUAAUUGUGUAUAGAAUUGAUUUUGUAAAUGGGUGGUUGGAUUUGUGGUGGAAGUGAUUCAGAUUAUCCUAAAAUUGGAAUUAAAAUGGUGAAAAUAAUUUGAAGAGAAUUCUAUUGAAAUGACGUACUUGGGUAUCUGGAUCCGUAUCAACAUGCAUCAUGGGCUAAAUAUUCCUUAUUAAUACCAAUUAAAUCAUGAGGGGGGAAUCCACACCUCAUGAACCACGCUCUAAUCAAUAUGGUGUUAAGGGCUUAUCGUGCCAAAUAAUAAUAACCUGUACUAGAGAGCCGGUGUAACCAAGGCGGUAUCUAGACAAUACUAGUAUUAUUUGUCAACGAGAAGUCAAAACAUCCAAAAAAACUAGAGGGGAAGAGAAAAUAAAUUUACCAAAUAAAGCCCAUGACACAUGUUGAGACUUCACCUUCAACCCAAGCUUGAAAGAAAAUUAGCUACUCAUAAUUGAACUAGGGGCAAAAUGGGAAUUUAUUAAAAUACGUAGAAAAUACAAGAUGGAGAGAGAAUUACAGAAAAUGGAGUCCAAAAAUGGAUUUAGGGAUAUCAAAUUAGGGGGAGAGGCCCCCUUUUUAUAGAUACAUUGAGUAAAUCGUGGUCAUCGGAUAAAAAAUAGUUUGGACGCUCAGGAUUGCGCCACGUCAUCAGUCAACAGUCCGCGUGAACAGUACACGAUUUGACCACGCGGAUGAACAGUAACACAGUUUGACCCGGGUGAACAGUGACGCAGUUUGGUUGAAAAUGAUCCUGUGUGUUGCAUGUACCGUACAUGAGAUUUUUGAUCCACUGAUAUGCUGCCACGUCAUCGAUCAACAGUGCAUAAGAAUUUUAGUCCAACAGGAUCGUGACACCUCAUCAGUCAAUGCCACAUCAUCGGUCAAUGCCACGUCAUCGAUCCGUCUAUGUGAACAGUGCCGUGAACAGUAACGUAGACAGUACCCGUACAUGUGAAUAGUACCGUAUAUGUGAAUAGUAUUAUUUUUCUUUUUAUGCUCCUCCUAAGAUUUUUGACCGUCCUAAGUUCAAAAAUGAUGUCCGUUUUGCCAUCUGAUCUCUCGUUUAUUGUGAAAUGACUGUGAUACCCCUAAAAUACAUAAAAUACUUGAUUAAAAUAAAACACACGUAAUUAAAUUACAAGUAAGGGUUGUUAGUAAGACAUUUUCUAACACUCAACAAACAGCUCGGCCAACUCUUGGUAUAUCUGCUCGUAUCCCCUUAUACUUCCUCGUGGUAGCUUACGAUACCAUUCUCUGGCUCGUCCUUCUAGUGUCAAUGGGAACACCCUGCACCUCUGAGCUGCUGUUAGCCCCUGUAUGCCCGUCAUGUCAUUGAAGCACUCAAUGUGCACUAGCGGGUCGCUUCUCCCGGAGUACUUGAGGUUGGGAAAGCAGAAAUCUCUUGGGAUAAUAGUGCUUAUGAUCUCGGCUGAUAGCGGAGAUUCUUCAUCCAGCAUUAUCCUCCAGCUUGGAGGCUUUCUCUUGCCCUAUAUCUCAUCCAUCACCUGCGCUAGCCUGCGCACCUCACCUUCCAAUUCCAAAGCACGGUCAAGGUCGCGCGCAGCUACUUGAUCUCGCUCCUGCUCGGCAUUAUGCAGUCGCUGUCUGAGCUCGCCUUCGUCAACAUUUACUCCUCGGUCAUUGAUUUCUAGAACUCGCCCAAGGCGAGAUUGAUCUCUCCUUUCAUCCACACGCUCCCCGGGGAUCCGACCAGCACUUCUAUGGGGAUGUAUCCCAUAGGGUUGUUCUACUAGCGGAGGGAUCUCCUCGAUUCUACGCCUUCGUAGGUUGGGUUCCGCCAUAGUUUCAUCCCUUACCACAGUGGUCUCGCCUUCCCUUCUCCGCUCAUCCCUAAAGUCAUAUAAUAUAGCUGUGAGCGUCUCCAUUUGGUUUGCCAUCUGUUCCAUUCGGUCUUGCAUCAUCCUCUCUCUAGCUUCAUUCGCGAUCUCUCGGAGAGUGAUCGAUUCACCAGUUUCAUUGUCGCCCCCUAAGGCGUCCUUCCUUGUCAUAUCCAUAACUAAUCGUUCACUGCGUCUCUGGUGAUUACUAACUUGAUGGUAGCUUUUUAUCCAGCUCCCUACAGACGGCACCAAAAUGUUGAUGCUGAAACAUGCUUGCCCUCUGCCCGGCCAGAUCGUUCCACUAACGUUUGUGUAUUCAAUGGAGAGGAUACUGCCCUUUUGCCUCCUUCAGCAACUACGGAUGCUCCAGGGGUUGGAAUUACCUUUUUCCCUUCUUUCUAAUCCUGCACUCACAGAGAUAGAUAAGAGACGCCGGUGGUUUUAUCGGCGUAAACCCUCCGAUGCUUAAGUUAGCACAAGAUGUUUUACGAGAAAAUUAUGUAACUUGGAUUGUUUGGUUUCUUGUAAUGCUUUCUAAAACUUGUAAAGAAUAUAAUCUGGUUUUAAUUUGGCAGAGUUUUCCUUUUUCUCUCAAUUUUCCAUCCCCUUUUUCAUCGGUUUUCCAGCUUCUUAUAGCUGUUGUCCCACGUUCCUGUCUACUCCUCAUGCCCCCCCUUUUAUUGGGUGAUGGCAGGCCUUCAUGGGCCUCCAACCACUGAAUUGUGGGUAAACGUGGGAUGACAUGUCCCUCUCGAUGGUUUAGGGCAUAGCGAAACUGCCGCAUUUUCGUGAGAUCGUGUCCUCCUUCUUUGGGUGAUGGGUAUCUGGUCGGUAUAUGUCUCUAGUUGAUACAUUCCUCUGGUCAAUGCUCGUCUCUAGUAGGCCCACGUUUGUAUGAGGCAUUUUACCAGGGCUCUUCUCGUGCCGCUGAGGUGAUUCGCCUCGGGGUGGGAAAUAGGGGCAUGGCCGAGCUGGUGCUCUUUAUUACUUAACAACUGUCUUUGAAAAUUUUGGCUAAGUUAGUAGGCCACAAAAUUUUAUUAACCAUCUAUGCAAUUAUAGAGCAAUCCCCUCCAAAUAGAAUGAUGCCAAUUGUAUUUAUUGUUCUAGGACUACAUUCUCAAAUCCGAAGAAUUAUUCCACCUUAUGAAUCCAACCAGUCGGAUCAUCUCCGUUGAAAUUUGGAAAGUUUAGUUUGAGAUAGUGGUGAUGGUUGGGAAAGUUUGAGGAGAAAGGUUUUAUGGCUUGGUUAGAGGAUGUUGUAGCCUGUAGGUGCAAAGGGGUUAAUUUCAGAGGCAAUUAUGUGUGAGGUUUGUGAUGCACGAAGAGAUUGAAGAUUUCUUGAACCUCAUUACGAAACUCAGCAUUUGAUUGACUUCGGGUAGCCGUAUUUCGAGCAACCUUUGUUUGAUACCAGAUGAUAGGUAAUUUCUUAGUUUAGAAAGGAAAGUAUGAAAAGUAGAGGAAGAAUAUAAGUUGUUUAGAAGGAAAAAGAUAAUUUUUAUUCCAAAAGCAUGCCCACUAUAAAUCCAAUAAUUUCUCUUAAAUAAACCUAUACAUAUACCAAAAACUAAAAAACUAGAAAAGAGGAAAAUCACUUGAAAAUAAGAACAUGAUCAAUUAAAACGGUAACAUGCACAACCGCCACGAAUCAAAACCAAUCGAUUUUAAAUAGUAUGAAUUGAAAUCAAAUUAAACCAAACCAAACUAAAUCGGACCGAACCGAAAUAUUAGGUUCGGUUCUAAAUUUUGGUUUGAUUUUGGUUCAGUUCUAAAUUUUCGGUUCGAUUCUAACUUGUUGUUUUAACACCACGAUUUAUGUUCGUUGGAAGUAUCUUCCUCGUCGUCCAAAAUUCAUCCCACUUGCAGCUCAUUCUCUCAUGCAAUCCCUCAUCUUCUGUAGUGAUUUGAUUGCUCUGAUAACUAUAAGCAAUAAACCACUGCCCAAGAAAUUUUGCCAAGAACAAUUCAAGAUGAAAAUAAGCCAAUGAUUGAUUUAAAGUUCUAAUGAUGAAACGAAACCUUAGCUCUAGGUUAAUGGAGAUUUAACAAAAGAUUGAAACAAAUCAAGAAGCAAACACACUCAAUGCAAAGACAGGAUUUUAAUGUGGUUCAAUUAUGCACAAAGUUCAUAAUCUACAUCCGCGGGAGAAGCCACAAAAAUCUCUUUAUUGAUGAUUCAAGAUGAAUUUUAUUGAGAAAAUACAGAGAUCGUUACAAGGAACAAGAUUACUCUUUCUCACUUUCUAGAAACUCUCUGAAAAGCUCAAUCACACACACGUAAUCUGCUUCAACAACCAGCCUCUUUAUACUCUCUUAUGAAAACCCAGAUUGCACAGCCCUUUGACACGUGUGUAACAGCUUCUAACGACUUGAUUCCUCCCUCACAUGCUAGCUCACGUGUUUUACUUAAGUUUCCUAAAAACGACACAAAGCAAUGUCGUUCUGCCUUAUGCUGAAGAGCCCGUGACUGCACGUGAGUUGUAAGUAAUUCCAACUGAUCAAAACGCAAUCGUUUUGGGACUCUGAGUUUUGAAUUCAUAACACUCCGGUCCACAUCUUCCUCACCCACUAAUAUAAACAAAGCACAAAACAAUUCCAAUCUCAGAAUUAAGAUCAUGCUCAGACAAAUCCUUAAGCCCAUCAGCGAUCUAUCGUCUACUGCGAGCUAAUCGAGAGUGCCAUCUAAUACGAGGUGGCUGAGAGACCGUGAGAGUGAGAUGUUGACCAGAGAUAGACAUAGUGAGAGUGAGCGUGGUUGCGUGAGUGUGGAAGAAAGGGGAUGCUGCUAUGCUGCGUGUUGUGCUUGAGAGUGAGCAUAGUUGCAUGAGAGAGAGAGGGGCUACUGCUAUGCUGUACUUGAGAGUGAGGGUGGUUGCAUGAUAUCUGCUCAAUAUGUAUGGGAUGAAGUUUCUGAUGGGUAAAAAUCAUGUUUUUAAAUUUUUAUAAAACCUUUUUAAGAUCGCUUUCAUAUAAUAUAUAAGAAUUUGUAAUCUAGAAAUCAUACCUUGAAAAUCCGAUUUAGCUUUUUCCGCUGGAAUGAUUUAGGCUCCCAGAUCACGAUCCAUCACCACCACUCCUGUUAGAUUACGAUCCGUCACCACCACGCUUGUUAGAACACGAACUGGCACCAAUGAUCUUCCAGGUUAUGACUCAAGUUUGAUCUGCACUUGACGUGUGGGCGCCUUUAUCACUACCAAAGCAACUAGCACAAGAAAACUUUUCUCUCAACAAUAGAGAGAAAAAUCUUUUUCUCUGAUCUGUAUAAAGUGCCUGCUCCCUUUUUCUUUAGAGAAAAUAAGCAUUUUAUAUCUCCCUUUAGUGAAAACCCUAAGCUCCAAAAAAUCAAAAAACAAAACUCACGUUACUUGCUUUUUCUAUAGGGGACACACCUUGUAAAAUAACAUAAUAGCCCUUACACACAAGCGAAUUAAAUGGAGCCUCCCACUAAAAGAUAUAUUUAGGCUUUUGACCCAAAUAGCUUAUCUUACUUAUUAGUCCAGUAGUGGUGCAUUCAAUUAAAUGAGCUAACCCGGGGAUCAUUUGGGAACAUACAAUAGUGGCUAUAACAAUUAGACCUGUAAUUAAACUAGCCUAAUUAUUUAAUUCCAAAUCUACUCCACUAAAAGAUUGGAAUUGACCUCCAUAAUUGUAUGCUCGAAUAAUAAUUUGUCCCAAGUCUAAUUGAUUUCUUUACUGCACAAUCCUUUGUAUCACAUCGUUAAUUCAAUUGAUAUCUCAACUGUCCAAUCAAUUUAAUAACAUCUUGUUCCUUGAUACUUAUUGGUUUUCUCUAAUGAUCAUUUUCAACAUACUAAAUAUGUUGACACACUCUGGCCAAAGAAUUCUAUGAUCAAGUGCCGAAAACCCAUCAAGAGAUGUAUUGUACAAAUUCUAUAUUGUUAAUCCAUAACUCCAAUACUCAUAAUUGCUCCCACCAAGAUACCGGGUAAUCUUGACCACAAGAAUGUGUCGUGCCCAUUGGUAACUCAAAUGGAAUAACAAUUACAAUCAUGAAAUCAUAAUUAACUCAAGAUUAAGAUUACAGUAAAAUCAAUAGAUUUAAUAAGUCUGACAGUCAUUUCAAUGUUAAUUAAAUCUCAUAUGUGAUCCUGUUCAAUGUAGUCGUACUACAUUAAUAAAUUCAUACAUGAUUAAGACAAAUCAUUCAAUGAAUUCAUUACAGUCUAUACUUAAAUAAAGUGCCCAACUUUAUUUAUCAACUGCGAACUAAAUUUAUUUAAUCAUAAGAUAACUUAUAUUUAUGUCUUCUGUGAAUCCACAUGGUGAUCACAUAAAUACAUAUAAUAUGAUUAAAUGGACUUUGAUCAAAAUAUUAAUGCAAUUAAGAUAUUUGAAUAAAAUACCUCAUUAAUUUUAUUAGUCAGAAAAAAUGUUUAUUAUAAUUAAAUAAACACAUAUACUUUUAAAGAGUAUAUUUUCCCAACAGUUUCUUCAGUUGGUUAUUUCACUUAGUCAAAAUAAAUUAUAGUAGUGGUUGCAUACCUGACUUUGGAGGUAAGGCUGGAGGCAAACUUCUACAUUAAUUUAUAACUUGUUUCACAACAUAUUACGGUUAUAAAUGAGACUUAAUCCAAAGACGGAAAGAGAGAAAUUUGCUACACUCUUUAGUAUCCAUUAUUGAGAAAAACACCAAAAUUAACUUUUACUUCUUUAAAAUCAUUUUUGAAACCUCCCAAAAGAUAUCUCAAAUGGGUUCUCAAUUUUUUAAAACAUUACUUUUGGCUAAACACCCCAUCCUCCAGUAGAUUUUGAAAAUGUCAAAAUGUAUAAGACACUCAUCCAGUGGGGGUUUCACAGGCUUACCUCUCUUAGAAGUCUUUGCAUUCUUGGAUGUCAUGAAGCAGAGUGUUUUCCAGACGAGAAGAUAGGAAUGACGCUGCCCAAUUCUUUAACUUGUCUGUCCUUUCGAGGAUUCAAAAACACAUUUAAGAAAUUGGCAAUUUGUUGUUAGUCACAGUAUCUGAUGUUCUUUUCUUUUAUAGUUUGCAGAAUCAACUGUAUUAUAUGUUGUCAUUUGCAGUAUCUGAGGUGCCUUUUGCAUUUUACUUGACCUUUAUUUGUUUUGCUAGUGACUGAAGAAUACCAACAUUGGUUAGAGAUUUGGAGAAGCAUCUGAAGAGGCUUGACAAAGUUGGAGAUGCACUUGCUCCCAAGCCUUCAAUCAUCACAAUGCAAAUCCGAUGAGUACUUAUGCCGGCAAUUAUGUAAAAUAUUUGAAAUUUUGAUUCAGGGAAAUGGUUUGUUGAUGCAAAGCUUUAAACUGUUAAGACUUACCUAGCAGGCCUGUUGGAUGUUGUAUCAACUCCAAAAUCCAACAAGAACUACGGCACCAAGACCCAUUUUUUACUGAUUCAAUCAGCUGAAAUGAUGAGGCAAAUCCCACGUGUUCGAAUCAGUCAUCCAUUUCAUGAACUGUUAUUUUCAUGAUGCUGGCUAUUGGAGUUGAAGAGGAAACAAGGAUGUGUUGGAAUCAAUGAGAACAGUGGGAAGCAUGACUCGAGCUCUGAUUAUAAAUAGACAUUUUAAAAACAUGUGCUGGUAAGUGGUGAUUAAAGAAAUUUGUGAGCUUAUUCAAGUUUCAGUAUUUGCUGUUUGGAUAAAGCUGAUACCAAGUUUGGCAAAAUCUGUGCUUUCUUUGUUCAAUCUGUGUUAUGGUUAAAGUAGAUGCUCUGAUUAAUAAGCCAGCCUACGAUAGCUGGCUCUAAUAAUCGGCUUCCUUUUUCUUGUUUGCUGUUGUAUAUUCUUUCAAUUUUUUUUCCGCAUUAGGACGAUCAGUUGAAGAACAAGUUUAUGUUUGACGAUGCAUUUAAGGAAGAGCCAGACUUGGAUGCAGAUCUGAAAAGGUUAGCAUGAACGAAAACCUUCAGAACUGACUGAAGGUUUCUGAGUUGAUCCUAAAAAUGUAGCAGUUGUCUGUUUCAUAAAGCAGAACAAAAACAGAAUAAGAGAUCACUAAUCAUGCUUGAGAAUUCAUUUAAAUAAAAUUUCAAAAAUUGCCAAACACAGCAUAAACUAGGAUGCACUUGCUUAAGAUUCAUUUUCAGAAGGAAGUUUGUACUUGCAGCUCAUAAAAUCAUGUUUAUGUUGUAUGUUUAUUCAGCAAAUGAAAGAUUCCAAGUUUGCUGAAACCAUAUUAUUUUUUUACCAGGCGCCUUCCUGAAGGUAUCGACGUCAAUUUCAAAAAUGUUGGGGAUAAGUUGCUUGAUGCAGUGCUACACAAAUAUGAAGGAUUUCUUGUCGGUGAUUACUACCACCUCGAUAAAAAAAUUCAUGGAACUGGUCAUGCCGGCAAUAAAAGAAGGAAAGGUGGUAUACGUCGAAGACAUAGAUGAAGGCCUCGAGUCCAUCAGCCCUCGUUGGGCUAUUCACUUGUCGGAAUGUCAGGAAACAACUUGUUGAAGUUGCGUGGGAAUUUUAAAACUACCAUAUGUUGUAGAAAUGCACUGAGCCAUGUGCUUUCAGAGCUUUGUGAAGAUGUCUUGGCCAUGUGUUUGAUACAGGUUAUGCUUGUUCCAUUAAAUUGUAUGCACUUAUAAAUCAAAGAUUCAGAACAUGUGUAUGUUACUGGUUUCCAGAAUCCAGAUCAAUAAAUGCCUCCAUGUAGAAGUUCAAAUUUUAAAUUUUUUGAAGUAGAGGUGUAGAGUUUCUUUUUUCAAAAAAGAAAAAGUAAAUUCUGAAGACUUUCUUUAUUUAAUUUUACAAUCUUAUUUUAUUUCUUUUACGAUAUAUUUUUAAAAUACUUAUUUAGUAAAUUAUUAACAUCUAUACCACUAAAAGAUUUUUUUUGUUAAACGCUCUACUUACAAAGUUAUAUUAAUUAUAGAUUUACUCAAAGAAGCCCUAUUUAAAAAGUUACAGCAAAAAAAGUCAUAGUUACCUUUAGUAAAUAAUAAUCUUCUAAUCUGUCUUACAACGGACUUUUGACAAAAGUGUGCUACUCCCACCUCCUCAAAGUCCACCCGACACCCCGUCUUCUCUAUUUAAAAUUUUAUAUAGUUGAAAAUUAUAUUUUCUUUUACUUGACGCCCCUCCAAAUUCUAAAACUUAGCUUCGAUGAACCUUCUUCGUUAAAUCUCGUUGCUUUCCUUUUUUCUUGUUACUUGAGAAGAAGAACCAGAGUCUAGAAGAAUGAAAGAAAAUUCAGCGUGAUAGAAAUUUAGAAAUUUCAUCCGAUCUUUUUUUCUUAAAUUUUUUGGUAUUUUGAUUCGUUCAAUGGAUUCUUGAUCAUUCUUCAUUCUUUCUAGUUUCUACCAUGAUUCGGAAAUUUUUCUUAAAAAAACUACUACUCUUGUGUAUUUAAAAAAAAAGGAAAGAAAGAAAAAAGGCAUUAAUAAAGAAUUGCGCACGUAACAUUAUUAGUACCCUGUUGAUUGGUCGUUUGGUCUUCAAGAAAUGCUAGUUAAUAUGUGCUUGAAAUUAUAUUCUGCUUUUUUUUUCCCUAUGUAUUGUUUCCCGUUUGAUUACAUUUCAAACAUUUUUAACACGAAUGAAUGUUUUAACCAUUUUUGUCACUUCAUUAUUACAAUAAGCUGAUUGAAGUUAUCUGCGUUGGCCCUGAAAAUGUAAUGGACACUACUCCGUUUACAUAAAACAGGACAAAACAUCGAUAUUUCUACCAUUGCCAUACAUAGUAUAGCCUAGGAAUACAUUUCCAUAAUUAAUAUUUAUUUCAGAAGGAACUUUUCACUUGCAGCUAACAGAAUCAUGUUAAAUUUAUGAUGUAUGUUUAUUUGGGAGAUGAAAGAUUCGCUGCAUUAUUUUAUUCCAAGUUUGCUGAAAUCAUAUUUGUUUUCCCGGCUGCUUUCCUGAAUGUAUCGACAUCUAUUUCGAAAAUGUCGGGGGUAAGAUGCUUGGUGCAGUGCUACUCAACAUGAGAAUUCAUCUUCUAACUCGUUACCUGAUAUUAUUGUCUUCUUGAAAAUUUAAUUAAGCUUAGAAGUCCCUUAACCACAAAAUCAAUGGAGUUUAACUCUAUCGAUAGACAACUUUUAAGUAAUAAACCAACACAUGAGUUCAUCUCUAUUGAUACUCAAGUUCUAAGUCCCUUAUUCAAUACUAAAAUCCAUGAGAAUUAAACUAACCGUAGUUUAACAUGUGAUUAACAAAUGGUAAAAGGUUCAAAAAAUACAUCAAUUAUAAAAGAAAUAAAAUCAGCAAAGAGACCACAUCAGAAAUUUCUUAGAUGUCCGAAACUAUUAAAAGAAUUCACAUACCAAAUCAAAAAAAGUAGAAAAUGCUUAAGCUCCUUAAGGUAAUUUGAAGUAUGAAAGUGAAUGGCAUAUAAUCCAAUAUAAAAAAAAAAUGGUUUUAGUGCCGUAUAAAGAGAAGUUAAUGGUGGUUACAGAAGUGGGGAAAGUUGAGUACAAAUCAGAUAAUGGGAGGUUCCUAAACUUCCUUAAAUCAAUUUUAAUUUCAAAAAUAAAAUAAUAAAAAAUAAAAAAUAGCAUAAAAGAAAUAAGAUAAAAAUUACUUUUCUAAAAUUGCAUGCAAGUAUACAAAAAUAACAUAUGUUGAUAUUACAUCGAGAAAGGUCCAUCAGCCCUAGUUGGGCUAUUCACUGCAUAGAAUGUCGGAGAACAACUUGUUGUGGUAGCUGUUGGGAAAAUAUGCUCUUUAAAAGCAUGUGUGUUUAUUUAAAUGUAAUAAACAUUUUUUCUGAUUAAUAAAAAUAAUGAGGUAUUUUGUGCAAAUAUCUUAAUUGCAUUAAUAUUUUUAUUAAAGUCCAUUUAAUCAUAUUAUAUGUAUUUAUGUGAUCACCAUGUGGAUUCACAGAAGACAUAAAAUACAAGUUAUCUUAUGAUUAAAUAAAUUUAGUUCGCAGUUGAUAAAUAAAGUUGUGCACUUUAUUUAGGUAUAGAUUGUAAUAAAUUCAUUGAAUGAUUUGUCUUAAUCAUGUAUGAAUUUAUUGAUGUAGUACGACUACAUUGAACAGGAUCACAUAUGAGAUUUAAUUAACCUUGAAAUGACUGUCAGACUUAUUAAAUCUCAUUGGCAUUGAUUUUACUGUAAUCUUAAUCUUGAGUUAGUUAUGAUUUCAUGAUUGUAAUUGUUAUUCCAUUUGAGUUACCAAUGGGCAUGACACAUACAUGUAGUCUAGAUUACUCGGUAUCUUGGUGGGAGCAUUUAUGAGUAUUGGAGUUAUAGAUUAACAAUAUAGAAUUUGUACAACACAUCUCUUGAUGGGUUUUCGGCACUUGAUCAUAGAAUUCUCUAGCCAGAGUGUGUCAACAUAUUUAGUAUGUUGAAAAUGAUCAUUAGAGAAAACCAGUAAAGAUCAAGGAAUAAGAUGUUAUUAAAUUGAUUGGACAGUUGAGAUAUCAAUUUAAUUAACGAUGUGGUACAAAGGAUUGUGCAGUAAAGAAAUCAAUGUGGCUUGGGACGAAUUAUUAUUCGAGCAUACAAUUAUGGAAGUCAGUUCCAAUCUUUUAGUGGAGUAGAUUUGGAAUUAAAUAAUUGGGCUAGUUUAAUUAUAGGCCUAAUUAUUGUAGCCACUAUUGUAUGUUCCCAAAUGAUCCCCGGGUUAGCUCAUUUAAUUGACUGCACCACUACUGGACUAAUAAGCAAGAUAACUAGCUAUUUGGGUCAAAAGCCUAAAUAUAUCAUUUAGUGGGAGGCUCCAUUUAAUUAGUUUAUGUGUAAGGGGUCUUAUGUUAUUUUACAUGGUGGGUCCCCUAUAAAAUAAAAAGUAACGUGAGUUUUAUUUGUGAGCCUAGGGUUUUCACUAAAGGGAGAUAUAUAAGGCUUAUUUUCUCUAAAGAAAAAGGUGAAGCCACUUUAUACAGAUCAGAGAAUAAGAUUUUUCUCUCUAUUGUUGAGAGAAAAAUUUUCUCGUGCUAGUUGCUUUGGUAGUGAUAAAGGCGCCCACACGUCAAGUGCAGAUCGUACUUGAGUCAUAACCUGGAAGAUCAUUGGUGACAGUUCGUGAUCUAACAAGCGUGGUGGUGACGGAUCGUGAUCUAACAGGAGUGGUGGUGGCGGAUCAUGAUCUAGGAGCUUAAAUCACUUCAGCGGAAAAAGCUAACUCGGAUUUUCAAGGUACGAUUUCUAGAAUACAAAUUCUUAUAUAUUAUAUGAGAGCGAUCUUCAAAAGGUUUUAUAAAAAAUUUAAAAACCUAAUUUUUCCCCAACAAUUGGUAUCAGAGCCAUCUCAUAUUAAUAUAUAAGAAUUUCGUAUGAAAUUAAUCUUGAUAUUUAUGUAUUAGAGUGGCACAAUUUAUUCAGAUAUAUAUUAUUUGUUUAAUAUAUGAAUAAAGCAUGUUUAUGGUUUGUCUUAAUUCAUGGUUAGAUUUUCUGUUGUAUUUUUCGUUUGGAUCUUUAACAAGAGGGGUGGUUUUUAUCACAAUGUUUCCCUCUUGAUUUAUUUUACUGUUAUAGAAUUUUUGUAAGCCAAAAAUUGGCCUAGGAAAUUUGUAAAUAAAUCACGGAUGACAAAUCAAAGCGACGGAGGCCGGAAAUUUCGACAUCGACCGCUGACCAGCGCACUCGCUACAACCAACGAGCGGCACACGCUGCAAGCGCAUGCUGGCAGUGCGCGCAGCAAGCAGCGCGCGCGGCCAGCCUGGCCAGCGGCGCGCGUUCCAGCAAGCAGCGCGCGCAGGGAUGGUUUGUUUCCGGCAUAUCGGCAACGGCAAACUCGACGUUGAUAGCGGCUGUCCGAUGAGAUUGGCCUGAACAGUGGCCGUUUGUGGAGAUGGCGACUGGGGAAGAAGAAAGAAAGAAAAAUAUGGAUUUAGGGUUUCAUGGCUUUUAUCAUGGAGAUCCCUAUGGUUCCAUAAUUUUUCACUUGGGCAAUUAAGUUUUAAUUUUUUGCAUUUAAGUCUAAAAAUAGUUUUCGGCUUAAAGAAUCCUAGUUUUAGGUCCAAUUGAAAUUUGGGCUUAAUGGAUUAAAAAUGCAUAGAUAAAAUUAAAUACAUUAAAAUUUAUUUUUGGUCCAAAAGUUUUAUUUUAAUAAAAAAAAUUAUUUAUUUAUUUAUUUCCUUUAAAAAUUAAAAUUGGACCAAUUAGAAAUUAUUUAUUUAUCUCUCAUUUGUACUUGGGAGACAGUCUAUUGUAAGUAGUGUGUAUUUUUGCAUGUCUAGGAAAGUUCUGUCAACAAAGGCGAUAAGUGUAUAAGGAUUCUGGUUUUUAAUUGGGACCAAGUUCCCAUCUAGUUUCCUGGAAACUUUCUUGGUGCAUUUAUUCACGCGAAAUUAACAUCAUAGAGACUGUUUUUCAAGUGAAAAUAGUUCGUUGAGAAAAUGGUAGAAGGUGAAACUUUCAAAAUUGGGGAGAGAUCUACCGAGACUAUUUCAGGAGACACUUCAGGUGGGAGGCGAGAUUUGUCAAAUCGCUAUUCAGCACCUGUAUAGAAGGCCAGAAGAUCGAUGUUGAAAAGUUUGAUGGGAAAAUCAACUUCGGCAUGUGGAGGCGCGAAGUUAUGGAUGCCCUUAUUCAAAUCGAUCUCGAUGUUGUUCUGAAAAAUAAAAGACACUUGUAUGAUGAAGAAAUUUGGGAUCGUAUGAAUGAAAAAGCAUGUGGUCAGAUCAGAUCUUGUUUGACCAAGGAGGUGAAAUACUUGGUGAAAGAUGAGGAGUGUGCGGUGACUUUGUGGCGUACAUUGGAGGAGAAGUACCUGGUGAAAAGUCCUGAAAAUCGCCUUCAUGCAAUGAGCCAAGUAUAUGGCUUUCGAAUAAAGUCUGGGGUGUCAAUGCACGAUCAUGUUUUAAGAUUUGAAAAGUUACUUGCUGAUUUGAAGAAUCUUGAUGAAGAUAUUAAGGAUGAAGUCAAGGCUAUGAUUCUGUUACACUCACUACCAGAGGAAUAUAGCCAUUUUGUGACUACUUUAAUAUAUGGGAAGAGUGUGAUCAUCUUUAAAGAUGUUUGCACAACAUUGACUAGCUUAGAGAUUCGAAAUAAUGAUAAAAAUUCUAAACGAGCAUCGUCUGAAGCUUUGGUGAGUAGAGAUUGGGCGAUGGAGAAACAAAAGAAGCGUGGUGGAAAGAAUUCUCGAUCCAAAUUGAAAAGCAGAAAUAUAGCUCGAGAUGAGUGUGCCUUUUGUCAUGAAAAGGGCCAUUGGAGGAAAGAUUGUCCAAAGGCUCAAAAGAGAGAUGGGAAGAAACCAGCAGCAGCAAACAUGGCACGGAAAGAUGAGGGCUCUGAUUAUUCACUAAGUAUUACUCUUGCAGCAUACGUGGCUAGUUCGAGUGAGUGGAUACUUGAUACUGGAGUGGUUUACGGAUUUUUAUCAUUUGUGUCCUAUUAAGGAAUGAUUUACGGAUUUUCGUAAUCUGGAAUCCGGUGCAGUUGUGAUGGGGAAUGAUCAACCUUGUCGCACAAUGGGGAUAGGAACAAUUCGGCUCAAAAUGUUUGAUGAAAUGAUCAGAGAACUCAAAGAGGUUAGAUUUGUUCUAGCUUUAAAGAAAAAUCUAAUUUCUGUGGAUUUCUGUGGGUGCUUUGGAAGCUAAAGGCUACAAGGUUACCAUUGAAGAUGGUAUAAUGAAGUUUACACAUGGGGCUAUGGUGAUUCUGCAAGGGGUUCGGUGUCACAAUCUGUACUAUUUGAAGGGAGGUACAACUGAUGAAGCAAAUGUUGUUAAGGCGCACAGUGACACCACCAAGCUAUGGCAUGUACGAUUGGGACAUGCUGGAGAGAAGUCUUUGCAAACUCUGAUGAGGCAUGGACUCUUAAAAGGUACCAAAACCUGUAAAUUAAAUUUCUGUGAGCAUUGUGUAGUAGGCAAGAAAACAAGGGUCAAGUUUGGUAUAGUUAAUCACGAUACUCGUGAGAUUCUUGAAUAUGUUCAUAGUGAUGUAUGGGGACCAACCAAGACUGCAUCAAUUGGUGGAAGCCAUUACUUUGUUACAUCUAUUGAUGAUUUCUCUAGACGUGUGUGGGUGUACACCAUGCGAGCAAAGGAUGAGGUUCUAGAGAUUUUCGUGAAAUGGAAGAAAUUGGUGGAGACUCAAACUGGCAGAAAGAUCAAAGUAUUACGAUCUGAUAAUGGGGGUGAAUAUACUUCUGAUCCAUUCUUACAAGUAUGCCAGAACGAGGGUAUUAAAAGACAUUUCACGGUGAGACAUACUCCGCAACAGAACGGUGUGGUUGAGCGUAUGAAUCGUACUUUACUGGAGAAGAUACGGUGUAUGUUAUCUAAUGCUGGUUUAGAUAAAAAGUUUUGGGCUGAAGCUGUGAGCUACGCAAGUCACUUGGUAAACCGGUUGCCUUCUGCUGCAAUUGGAGGUAAAACUCCUAUGGAAAUGUGGUCUGGAAAGCAUGCACAAGACUAUGAUUCCCUUCGUGUAUUCGGGUGUUCAGCUAAUCAUCAUGUCAAAGAUGGUAAACUGGAUCCUCGUGCUAGAAAAGCUAUCUUUGUGGGAUUCAAAGGUGGAGUAAAGGGCUUUAAGCUUUGGGAUCUCGAAGACAAAAAGUUUGUGUGUAGCAGAGAUGUCACAUUUGAUGAAGCUUCAAUGAUGAAAGCGUCAAGUUCUCAGCAGGUGGAGAACAAGACCAAAAAGGUAUUGCAGCGGGUGGAGUUUGAUGCAACUCCAUAUGUACCAGUUAGUUCUACAUCAAAUAAGAGUUCAACUAUGGAGGUGACACCUAGAGUUGAAGAAGAGGUCAUUUUUUCUGAUGUCUCACAAAAUGAAGAAACAAUUGAUGAUGUAGAUAAUGAUGAUUUUAUAGCAACAAGGAGGCCAAGAAGAGAGAUAAAGAAACAGGGAUGGCUUACUAAAGAUAUGGUGGUAGCAUAUGCACUUCCAGUUAUUGAUGAUGACAUCCCCAACACUUUUUGUGAAGCAUUACGCAGCAGUGAAAGUGAUCAGUAGAAGUUAGCCAUGGAGGAAGAGAUGAAAUCUCUCCAUCAAAACCAGACUUGGGAACUUGUAAAGUUACUAAAUGGGAAAAGGGCUAUUGGUAAUAAAUGGGUCUACACCACAAAGCAAGGAUCUCCGAAUCAAACAACUCCUCGAUACAAGGCAAGGCUCGUGGCAAAAGGUUUUGCUCAAAAGGAAGGUAUUGACUACAAUGAAGUUUUCUCCCCAGUUGUAAAACAUACUUUCAUUCGUAUCCUACUUGCCGUCGUUGCAGAAUAUGAGUUAGAGUUGGCUCAAUUGGAUGUUACGACGGCGUUCUUACAUGGAGAUUUGGAAGAGGAAAUCUAUAUGAUUCAGCCUUGUGGUUUCAAAGUUGCUGCAAAGGAGAAUCAUGUGUGUAGGUUGAUUAAAUCUUUGUACGGACUGAAGCAAUUGCCAAGGCAGUGGUACAAAAGAUUUGAUCAAUUUAUACAAGGGCAGAAAUUCACCAGAAGUGAACACGAUCAUUGUGAUUACUUUAGAAGACUACCAGAUGGAGCUUUCAUCUAUUUGUUACUCUAUGUCGAUGAUAUGCUUAUAGCUUCGAAGAAUAGAGAUGAGAUCGAAAGAUUAAAGAAGCAGCUGGCUUCUGAGUUCGAGAUGAAAGACUUGGGUGAUGCACAGAGAAUACUUGGGAUGGAGAUUCGUAGAGACAAGAAGAAUGGGAGCGUAUGAUUGACUCAAAAGUCUUAUUUGAAGAAAGUGCUAGAAAGAUUCAGUAUGGAUGACAAAACUAAACCGGUAUGUACACCUCUAGCUCCUCAUUUCAAAUUAAGCUCUUCUUCAUGUCCUAGAUCUCAAGAAGAGCGCGAUUACAUGGCUCGUGUUCCAUAUGCUAGUGCUGUGGGUAGUCUUAUGUAUGCUAUUGUAUUCACAAGGCCCGAUAUAUCUCAAGCAGUGAGCAUGGUUAGUAGAUACAUGCACAAUCCGGGUAAAAAUCAAUGGCUUGCGGUAAAGUGGAUUCUCCGAUAUUUGUAUGGGACAGUUGAUGUUGGGUUAUUAUUCAAGAAAGAUUGUGGUCAACAAUGUGUUGGGUAUUGUGAUUCUGAUUUCGCUGGAGACCUUAACAAGAGAAGAUCAACAACGGGCUACGUAUUCACAUUGGGUGGAGGUCCGGUUAGCUGGAGAUCGAUUCUACAAUCGACAAUUGCUCUAUCCACUAUGGAAGCAGAGUAUAUGGCAGCAAUUGAAGCUGUAAAAGAAGCUAUCUGGUUGAAAGGCUUGUUAGGUGAUUUGGGAGUAAUCCAGGAGAACAUUACGAUCUUCUGUGAUAAUCAAAGUGCGAUAUUCCUUGCAAAGAAUCAAACAUAUCACGCUCAGAUGAAGCACAUAGAUGUGAAAUAUCAUUAUGUGAGGGAGAUUAUCGAGAGCGGUGUUGUGUUGUUGAGAAAGAUCGAUACCAAAGAUAAUCCAUCAUAUAUGUUAAUGAAGGUAGUUUCUGGAGUUAAGUUUCAACAUUGCUUGAAACUAAUUCAAAUCCUUCGAUUGUGUUAAGAUAUGUCCUUCGGAAAUUUUGAACUACGGUUGGCUUGAUCCCAAAUUUUGGGUACGUUUGGCAGUCACAGAGAUACAGCCACUUUGCGGAUGAUGAUUGGUUGGGAGUCGGCUCAGAUUUGAACAAACCUUCGCCGAGGUGGAGAAUUGUUGAAAAGUCAAAGAAUUGCUUGCCAAUUUCAAAAGCAAAGUUGGUGGGUUUGCCAAAUUCAAAAAAACAAAGUUGGCCGGCUUGCUAAUUUCAAAAGGCAAAGUUAGGUGUUGAAAAACUUGUACAUGCAAUAUAAGAUCCAGCUCAACGUUUUGACCAAAUGAACCCAACUUGGAGCAGAAUGCACUCUAUAAAUAGAGAAGCAUUUUGCAAUUGUCAAUCAUCCCAACAAUUUGUUAAGCUUAUAAAUUUCUAAGCUUUUGAGAGUUCUAAGAGUGUGAAUAAUUGGAGAGUGUGUGUGAGAGUACUUGGUAUAUUUGGGUUCUGGGAAAGUGAGAUUUCUUUACUCAAAUAAUUAUUAAUAAUAUAAUUAUUUUUCUCUUGCUUCCGUGGACAUAGGCAUAUUGUCGAACCACGUAAAUUUUGUGUCCUUUAUUUUUCAGUAAUUAUUUGGUGUGUUUGAUUCCGCAUUCCGCGCACAACACCUACAGGUGACUAAUUAAUGGGAAAUUGACAAUGACAAAAGCAAUUUAUGAGUUUUGUAGGCUGGCAUGCCUAUGUUAUAGCAUUGUUCGAUGAACUGCCACACCACAUGUUUUUGACGAGAAAUAAAAACAUCAAGAUAUUGCCCGCUUGCCGUAUUCCACAUCGUGAAUUGUAUCUCUGUUCCUCAAUUUUCAGUGUUCCAUACAUAAAACCAUUUUCAGUUUCUCUUGUUAUCAAUUCAAUUUUCUUGUUCGUGACGAUCUUGAUUCCUUUCUUUCUGGUAAAACGGAGCCAUGUUUGCUGUUGGAGAGGUCUUCCUCAACGCUUUCUUUCAGGUGUUGUUUGACAGGUUGGCUUCUCGUAAUUUGCUCAGCUUUGUGCGUCAACUCCAAGGCGGGGUUGAUUCGGAGCUCAAAAAGUGGGAGAAAAAGCUGAAGAUGAUUCAGGUUGUGCUUAGCGAUGCAGAGGAGAAGCAACUGACUGACGAGGCUGUGAAGAUGUGGCUGGACGAACUCCAAGACUUGGCUUAUGACGCUGAGGACAUUCUUGAUGAGUUUGGUACUCAAGCUUUGGAAAGGAAGUUGAUGGCGAAAAAUCAGGAUAGCACUGGCCAGAUUCUUAGUUUCAUACCGGCUAGUUUGAAUCCGAAUGCUAUUAUGUCCAAUUAUAGCAUGGGAUCCAAGAUUAAAGAUAUUACUAGCCGGUUGGAGCAACUCUGCCAAUAUAGAAUUGAACUUGGGCUGCAACGGAUUGCUGGAGGGGCAUCAUCACCUACUGCUGCUGCACACCAGAGGCCACCCAGUUCAAGUAUCACAACAGAGCGUGAAGUAUUCGGAAGAGAAGAAGAUAAGGCCAAAAUUCUUGAUAUGGUAUUGACCGAUAUUAGAAUUCGUAAUAAGAUGUUUGGAAACAAAGAAAAACAGAGAAAAUGAAAAAGGAAACUUCACGAUUUAUUAACCAGAAUAUUCAAUGCUUAUUAAGCUUACUUAGCUAAGCUUAUAUACAAUUAUUCUAACUAAUUAAACAACUGCAAAACAACUAAUAACAACUUCAGAUUUAGUUUAGCCAUUGAGCUCUUGCCACAUGUCAUUCAGUUACAUUCAAUCUUGUCCAGCUCAGCAGCUCUGUCCAGCUCAGCAGCAACUAUAUCUUCAACAUCCCCCCUCAAGCUCAACCGAGGAAGUAAGGUUGAGCUUGUCACGUAAGUAGAGAAAAGGGUGAUAAGAAAGAGCUUUGGUGAGAAUAUCAGCAGUUUGUUCUGAGCUAGAAAUAUAUUGAACCUUAAGACAUUGAGCAGCAACUUUCUCUCGAACAAAAUGAACAUCUAAUUCAAUGUGUUUUGUUCUGGAAUGAAACUUAGGAUUAGAGGCUAAAGCAGCUGCACUUUGAUUAUCACACCAUAUGAUUGGAAUGGAGGGAAGAGUAAGACCAAUCUCAGCAAGAAGAGAACGAAUCCACAAGACUUCAGCUGCUGCCAUUGCUAGUGCUCGAUAUUCAGACUCAGCACUAGAUCGAGAGACCACUGCCUGUUUCUUAGAGCACCAAGACACUAGAUUUGGACCCAUAUAGACACAAUAACCAGCCACUGACCUCCUAUCAUCUCUGUCUCCAGCCCAAUCAGCAUCACUGAAACAAUCAAUCUGUAUGCUGCCAUGAUUGUAGAACUGUAAACCAAGAUUAACAGUACCCUUCAGAUAUCGUAAAACCCUUUUACAAGCCUGCCAAUGAUUGACAGUUGGAGAAGAUAGAAACUGACUGAGCUUGUUGACAGAGAAAGCAAUCUCUGGUCUGGUCAAUGUUGCAUACUGAAGAGCACCUAUGGUGCUUCUGUAUAGAGUAACAUCAGAAAAGGGUUCACUAUCAGCUUUAGUAAAAGCCACUCCAGAAAGCAUAGGAGUAGAACAAGGAGUACUAUCCUGCAUGUGCACCUUGGCAAGCAAAUCAGUGAUAUACUUGGAUUGAGAAAGAUGAAUACCAGAUUUAUUGUAAAUGACCUGAACUCCCAGAAAAUAAUUCAAUGCACCAAGAUCUUUAAGUGCAAAAACAGACUGGAAGUUGGUGAUGGUCUGCUGAACAAGCUGAGGAUUGGAGCCUGUAAUAAUAAUAUCAUCUACAUACACCAAGACAAGUAGCAGAUGACCUUGUGUGCUCUUAAAGAAGAGUGAAGUGUCUGAAAUAGAAUUUGUAAAGCCCCACUGAGUUGUAAGAACUAGUUUGAGUCUGUCAAACCAUGCCCUUGGAGCCUGUUUAAGGCCAUAAAGAGCUUUGUGCAGCUUACAGACAUAAUCAGGCCUGGAACUAUCUAUAAACCCCUCAGGCUGUUGCAUAUAAACUUCUUCAGUGAGGUAGCCAUUAAGGAAGGCAUUAUUAAUGUCUAUUUGCCUCAGUACCCAAUGAUUCAUGACAGCCAUACUCAAGAUAAUUCUGAUGGUUGAAGACUUAAUGACAGGACUGAAUGUUUCAUGAAAAUCCAGCCCUUGAGUUUGGUGAAAUCCCUUAGCAACAAGUCUAGCUUUGUAUCUAGAGACACUGCCAUCAGGAUUAUAUUUAAUCCGAAAUACCCACUUAUUCCCAAUUACUUUAAUGGGAUGUGUAGGUUUGACAAGAGUCCAGGUAUGAUUAUUGACUAAGGCUUGAUAUUCAUCUGUCAUUGCUUUAUGCCAAGCUGAAUCUUGAAGGGCUUUUAAGGUAGUAGCAGGUUCUGUAGGUUUGGUAGGAUUGGCUGUAAUAUAGGCUUUAGGUUUGAAGAUACCAGCCUUUGAUCGAGUGAGCAUUGGAUGACCAGUAGAUGACUGCAAUGGUGGAGUUAAAUGAUGAACAGGUGAGGUAGAUGGUUCUGAGUGUGAUUGUAUAGAAGAUUGAGAAGGAGAGUCUGGAGAGGAUUGAGAGAACCUGAGAUCAGCUGCUGUAGAGGAUGAAGACUUGGUUAUAUCAAGUUGAAUCAAAGGACAAACAGAAGAUGAACAAUGUGAAGAAGACUGAGAUGAAUGAUCUGAAGAAGAGCAAGAGUGACUGACAGAGGAAAAAUCAACUCCUGACUGAAAAGGAAAACAUGACUCAUCAAAUGUAACAUGGUUACUGACAUAGAUUCUACCAGAGGAAUGAAGACACAAGUAGCCUUUGUGAAGGGAGCUGUAACCAAGAAAAAUACAUCUAGCAGUUCGAAACUCUAACUUAUGAUGAUUAUAAGGCCUCAGAUAUGGGAAACAAGCACAUCCAAAAACUCUCAUAACAGAAUAAUCUGGUCUUUUGUUGAAUAAUUUUUCAAAAGGUGAUUUGUUAUCCAGAAUGGGUGUAGGGAGCCUAUUUAUGAGAAAUGUGGCAGUAUGGAAAGCAUUCCACCAAAAUUUCAGUGGUAAAUGUGCUUGAGCAAGAAGGGUAAGGCCUGUUUCCACUAUAUGUCUAUGUUUGCGUUCAAUCUUUCCAUUUUGAUGGUGAAUAUAAGGACAAGGAUGUCUAAAUUGGAUUCCCUGCUCAGCAAGAUAAGGAAGAAAUGGCCUAAAUUCACCUCCCCAAUCUGUUUGAAGACACUUGAUUUUCCUAUUUAGGCAUUUUUCUAUCAUAUGCUGGAAUUCAAUAAAGGUUUGUAAGGCUUGAGAUUUGGUAACAAGAGGGAAUAUCCAGGUGAACCUAGUGAAAUCAUCUAAGAUGGAAAGAUAGUAGUGAUAGCCUUGAGAGGACAGCAAAGGAGCUGGACCCCAUAGAUCAGCAUGCAACAGCUCCAGUGGUUGAAUGGUAGUGGUGUCUAUAGAAGGAAAAUGCUGCAUGUGACACUUUCCAAAUUGGCAAGCAUUACAAAAAAUUGGUUUCAGGGCUCUAUUGAUAUCGAGAGAAGGAUGCAAAUGCUUCACAAUUUGUUUAAGAGCAUGCACAGUUGGAUGACCCAUUCUUUUAUGUAAAACAUUGUAAUCAACUGAUUUUGAAUGAGUAACAGACAAGGCCAUUGAGGCAUCAUUAUUGAAUUGAGAAAUAUUUACAUCUGUCAAAAUUUCUCCAGAAUGUAUAGAGUUUGAAACAUUGGAAUGACUAAUCAUUGACACUGGAGAGGAACAGACAUUUGACACAGAACUGGAAUUUGAGAUGACACAGAAAACAUUAGACGGAACUCUAUUUGAAACUGCAGCAUGAGACACUACAACAGGACCUUCAACUUGAUAUAAUCCUCCUCUAGCAAUCCCCUUGAGCAAGAUGAUCCCUGAUUUCUUGUCCUUGACAAAACAGGAGGUUUUAUGGAAUUCAACAACAACAUCAUUGUCAGCAAGUAAUUUAGAUACACUUAAAAGGUUUUUGGUUAUAGUUGGGACAUGCAAAAUAUUAUUAAGAUAGAUAGAUGUUGCAGCAAGUGUAUUCAAUCGUGUGCACCCAACAUGUUUAAUAUGUAAUCCCAUGCCAUUUCCUACAUGUAGCUUAUCAAAACCAUGAUAAACUGAGUAAGAAGAAAAGAUACCUGCUUCCUUAGUCACAUGAUUGGUUGCCCCGGAGUCAAUAUACCAAGCAGGAUCAGCUACAACUCCAUAAUCAGCAACUGGACCAGUGGGAGCAAAUUGUGCAGUGGGAAUAGCAGAAGGAGCAACUCCAUAGUUAGCAAAUGGAGUAGCAAUUGCACCAUUGUAUUGACCUUGUAAUCCUUGAAACACAAGAAACCCUUGAGGAUACAUAACAUUUGCAUUCUGAUAUGCAACAUUCCCUUGAAACAUGGGUGCAUUAUAUCUAGGAGCACCAGUUGCAGUUCCAUAAAAAUUUCCAUAACCUCUUCCAAACAUGUUCUGAGGCUGACCAGGAAAGCCUCUAAAAUUGAAUCCACCUCUAGGCCUAAAGCCACCUCUUCCUUGUCUAGGAAUAAAGUUCUGAUUAAAUCUGUUCCUGCAUUUGUAUGCUCCAUGACCAGGUAUGAAGCAUAUUUGACAAAUUACUUCCUUAUCAACAUUAUAUCCUCCUUUGCCAUUAUCAAAAUUUCCACCAUUAAAACCUCUCUGAUUAGCAUUAUUGAACUUAUUGUAAUUCUGUCCUUUCUGAGCAAAAUUAGCUGACAUAUCAUGCAACAAUUCAUUUUGCACCUUUCCCUUACUCAUCUCAACCCUAGUUUCAUGACUAAGCAUUAAGGAAUACACUUCUUCAAUAGUGAGAUUAUCUUUUUCCAGCCUAGCAAGUAUAGUUGUCACUAAUGACUCAUAGUUGUCAUCUAAACCAGUGAGCAAAUGCAUUAUAAAAUCUGUUGAAGCAAGAGGAUUACCACCAAUAGCUAAGCUAUCUGCAAUUUUUUUCAUCUUAUUGAAGUAAUCACUUACUGACAUAGCUCCUUUCUUUGUGGUUUGAAUCUGCAUUUUCAGAGGCAUGUAUCUAGCCUUUGACUGUGACAUGAACAUCUCGGCAAGUUUCUCCCAGAUCUCAAGUGAAGUAUCACAAUCCACAACCAUGAUAAGUACAUUGUCUACCAUAGAUGACAGCAUCCAGCUCUGUAGAAGCUUGUCAGCUUUCUUCCAGUCAAUAUAGUCAGAAUUUUCACGUCUGCUUGAGCUAGGAGCUUCUGAUCUACUGGCAGCAUUCUCAUAUGAGGAAAGAAAACGAUCUGGACAAGGAGAUUCUCCAUUGAUAAAACCUUCAAGUCCAUUGGCAAUAAUCGAAGCUUGAAUUUGAGCUCUCCACACCAGAUAAUUUGUUCGAUCAAGUUUUGUUGGUUGAAUAAAAGAAAAAGAAAGUGAAGACGAUCCUGAAUUGCUUUGAUUCGUCAUGUUUCGUGGCUCUGAUACCAUAUUAGAAUUCGUAAUAAGAUGUUUGGAAACAAAGAAAAACAGAGAAAAUGAAAAAGGAAACUUCACGAUUUAUUAACCAGAAUAUUCAAUGCUUAUUAAGCUUACUUAGCUAAGCUUAUAUACAAUUAUUCUAACUAAUUAAACAACUGCAAAACAACUAAUAACAACUUCAGAUUUAGUUUAGCCAUUGAGCUCUUGCCACAUGUCAUUCAGUUACAUUCAAUCUUGUCCAGCUCAGCAGCUCUGUCCAGCUCAGCAGCAACUAUAUCUUCAACAACCGAUACCCCCAGUGAUCAUGCCAACUUUGUUGUAAUACCCAUUGUUGGCAUGGGCGGGAUAGGAAAAACAACUCUUGCUCGGGAGGUCUACAAUGACAAGGCCGUUGAAGAUUCAAAGUUUGAUGUAAAAGCAUGGGUUUGUGUCUCUGAUGUCUUUGAUAUUUUGGGCAUCUCAAAGGCACUUCUCGAAUCAAUCACCCGCAGGCCUUGUCUUCUGAACAGUUUAAAUGAAGUGCAGGUUGAGUUGAAAGUAGCUGUGGAUAAAAAAAGAUUCUUGCUGGUCUUAGAUGAUGUUUGGAACGAGGACUACAGCUUGUGGGUAGACUUAAAAGCUCCAUUCUUGGCAGCUGCACCAAACAGUAAGAUGAUCGUCACCACAUGCAAUUCAAAUGUUGCAUCAAUAAUGGGACCAAUUGAACAUUAUAAUCUCAAGAGACUGUUAGAUGAUGAUUGCUGGUCCAUUUUCAUACAGCAUGCACUUGAAUCUAGAGAUCUUAACGCACAUCAAAUUUCAGAAUCGUUCCACAAGAAAGUUGUUGGCAAGUGUGGAGGCUUGCCCCUGGCAGCAAAAACAUUAGCGGGCCUUCUACGUACUACGAGGCAUGAUGCCUGGGACGAUAUCUUGGAUAGCAAACUAUGGGAUUUACCACGACAAAAUGACGUUCUCCCUGUGUUAAGAUUGAGUUACCAUCAUCUUCCGUCUCAUUUGAAAAGAUGUUUUGCUCAUUGUGCCAUCUUUCCGAAAGAUUAUGAAUUCAAUGAGAAGGAGCUGACUUUCUUAUGGAUGGCUGGAGGUAUUAUUCGACAGUCAAGAAAGAAUGAGCAGCUGGAAGAAUUGAGCAGCAAGUGCUUUCAAGAUCUAGUGUCGAGGUCUAUUUUUCAACAAACCAGCUCUGGUAGUGCUAAAUUUGUAAUGCACGACCUUAUCCAUGAUCUUGCUGAAUUGGUUUCUAGAGAAACCAUUUUCAGGUUAGAGGAGUCCACCAACUUGUCAUCAAGAAGAUUUGAAAGGGUUCGCCAUUCUUCGUAUGCCCGUGGUAGGCUUGAUGGUAAAUCUAAGUUCGAGGUUUUCAAUGAAAUUGAACAUCUACGAACAUUCUUGCCAUUAUGCAUAAGAGGUGGCGUUACUUCUGGUUAUAUAACUAGCAUGGUUCUCUAAGAUUUGUUGCCGAAGUUCAAAAGGUUGAGGAUGCUGUCUUUAGACGGAUACCGUAUUAGUGAGUUACCAAUUCCAUUUGAAGAUCUGAGACUUUUAAGGUUCCUAAACCUUGCUGAUACUGACUUAAGAAGUUUACUUGAGUCAACAUGCGCAUUGCUGAACUUGGAAAUUUUGACAUUAAGAAAUUGUUCCCGUUUGAUAAAGCUACCGCCCAAAAUGAUGAACUUGAUCAAUAUUCGUCAUCUCGAUAUAAGAGGUGCAAAUUUGUUGAAGGAGAUGCCAUUCGGAAUGAAAGAGUUGAAGAAUCUUCAAACAUUGUCCAACUUUAUUGUGGGCAAGGGUGAAACUGCAUCUGGUUUGGAAGAUUUAGGAAGUUUAAACUUUCUUUGUGAUGAACUUUGCAUUGCUGGAUUAGAGAAUGUGAAUAAUCCACAGAAUGCAAGAGAAGCCGCAUUAUGUGAGAAGCUCAAUCUUCAUGCAUUGACUCUAGAUUGGGGGUCUCAAUUUGACAAUUCUCGAGAUGUAGCAGUAGAAGAGCACGUGCUUGACAUUCUACAGCCUCAUAAAUGUAUAAAAAAGGUGGCAAUCAGGAACUAUGGUGGUGCAAGAUUUCCACUUUGGAUAGGAGAUCCGUGGUUCUCCAAGAUAUAAUUCCUUGAAUUGGAGAACUGUAACAAUUGUGUAUCUUUGCCAUCGCUUGGUCUAUUGAGUUCACUUAAGCACCUUGCUGUCAAAGGGCUGAAGAAGCUAAAAAGCAUAGAGUCUGAAGUUUAUGGGGAGGGUUUCUCAAUGCCUUUUCCAUCAUUGAAGAUUCUACGUUUUGAGAAUUUGCCAGAGUGGUGGCAUUGGGACACCGAUAUCAAAGGAAAUGUGCACGUUGAUAUAUUUCCUUGUCUCCAAGAACUUUCCGUUGUGAAAUGUCCCAAACUCUCUGAAAAACUGCCUGAGCUUCUGCCCUCCUUGGAGAUACUUGUUGUUAGUAAAUGUGAAAAGUUGGUAGUUUCAUUGUCAAGCUAUCCAAGGCUCUGCAGAUUAGAGGUUGAUGAGUGCAAAGAACUAGUGUGCAGGAUCCCAAUUGAUUCUAAGUUGAUAAAGUUCAUGACUAUUUCAAAUAGUUCAUUAGACAUGAUUGGAUGCAAGGGGAUGCUAUACGAUAGUCAAGCUGGCUCUUCACUGCCAAAACCCAUGACCACUACAAAUGUUUUGGAGUUUGGAAAAUUACUGGAGCCUGGAUUUCAGAUAUUAGAAACUUUGGUAAUUGGCAAUUCUGAACAGCUCAAGCCAUGGAGGCAGGGAAGGGGACUUUCAAGUUUUAAUAGACCAGAACACCGGCUAAAAAUACUUGCUCACCCUGAUGAGGUAACAAUUGAGGAAAGUUGCGUAAGUCUUGUUUUGUUUCCAGAGAUCAAUUUCUUUCCCAGAAAUCUGCACUGUCUUCGAAUUUACAACAGCACUGCUUUCAAAUCCUUACCGGAGGAAAUGAUGGACAACAGUUCACAACUCGAAAGCUUGUAUAUCAAAGAUUGCCAUUCUCUACCAUUCAUCACAAGACGCAAGCUACCUUCAUCUCUAAAAAGGAUAGAGAUUGAGAAUUGUGAGAAAUUGCAACGUUUGUUCGAUGAUAAAGACGAUGCUUCUUCUUCUUCUCCUUCAUCCUCGUCUUCCCAAGUGAUGCUUCAACAUCUAAGUAUAAAGAAUUGCCAAGCGCUCUCCAGUUUGUCAUCGGGAAUUCAAUUACUUGAGUCGCUCGAAGAACUUGUGAUAACAAAUUGUCGAAAGCUGGAGUCAAUACCCGAUGGCCUGCACAAUCUUAACUGUUUACAGAAGAUUACUCUAGUGAGUUGUCCAAGUCUUGUUUCCUUCCCAGAAAGAGGGCUUCCCAACGCCAUUUCAUGGGUUGACAUUAGUUAUUGUGACAAGCUUGAAGCCCUGCCCAAUGACAUGCACAAACUCAACUCUCUCCAAACUUUAAGCAUAAUUCAAUGUCCAAAGCUUGAGUCGUUUCCAGAAGAAGGCUUUCCCACCAAUCUUAGAACGCUUAAAAUUGGAAAUUUCAAAAUGUACAAGACCCUCGUCCAGUGGGGGUUGCACAGGCUUUCCUCUCUCAGAAGCCUCUACAUUUAUGGAUGUCAUGAAGCAGAGUGUUUUCCAGACGAGAAGGUAGGAAUGACGCUGCCCACAUCUCUAACUCAUCUGUCCUUAUUGGGAUUCCAGAAAAUGAUACUUCUGUCUUCAGUGGGUUUCCAAAGACUCACGUCUCUUCAAUGUUUGAAGAUAUGGAAUUGCCCAAAUCUCACGUCAUUUCCAGAGGUAGGCCUUCCAUCCUCACUUUUGGAUUUAUACAUUAACAAUUGUCCUAGGCUUAAAAAGGCGUGCAAAAGGGACCAAGGAAAAGAGUGGCCCAAAAUUGCUCACAUCCCUUGCGUUGUGAUAGAUGGAAAAUUCAUAUACGAUCCAGAAUUGGAGGUGUAGAUUCUAUUAUUAAAGUCGGUUUAUUUAUAUUAUCCACUAUAACAAUCUCCUAUUAGUUUUUUUUUUUUUUUUUUAAUGAAAAAAAUUGCAGUUCUGUAUAAUUUAAAAUAUAUAUAUUAAUCCUCUGCCCUUAAUUGAAAAUACCACUCACUUGUUUCUGUUUUCACAAGUCAGAUUGUACGUUGAGGCUAUUUGCUUUUUAUCGGUGUUUGUUAAGGUAAUUAGUGUCUCAUAGGCUGAUUAUAGGCAGAUGAAAUUAUAACUUUUAACUUAAAAUUUAAUACCAUAGACAGAUAGAUGAUUUUUAAUCCAAAGGUUUUUAGAUGUGAUCAAAUUGUCACAUGCAUAACAUAUUAGGCAUGCAUGAUGUAUCACAAGGUUGAUACAUCUUAUAUGCCACGUGAUGAAAUUAAGGAUGUUUCUCUUACAAGGGACACAUCCUUACAUGUUCAAAUUUGAACAUGUAACUUCCAAGUGGUUAAUGGAAGUUACUUGUUCAAAAUUCGAACAUAUAACUGUCAUAUUGUUGCCUAUAUAGAGGCAUGAACGCAUCACAAAUUCAUACAUUCCAAGACAUACUUAAAGUCUUAUCAUAUUAUGAUCUUGCAGUUUUGCAUGUAGCCACCAGCCUAAGGGCAGUGUAAAACGAUCCCAAAAACCAUCAAUAAUAACAAUGGAUAUAGUUCCUAAAUAAACUGAUGAAAUUUAAGGAUGAUUGGAUGAAACAGCUAUGAUAAAAUGAACUAUCUCGAACCGAGCGAAUGGCACUGACUCAUGAAUAAGUGUGGAUUCCAAAUAUCUUCAUAUCUUCAUAGAUAUUCAUUUCCGUGUUAAUUCGAGGACUUCUAGAAAUUUAGUUAGUUAUUCUAUGAAAUAGAUAUACUAAUAAUAAUAAAACAAAAACGACGGGUGUUACACAAAUUCACAAGUAAAACUGUACUACUUGGAAACUGUGAACAGUAUAGAUUGAAGAUCAUACGAUUGCUAUUUUCAUUGAGUUUCAUGCAUAAAACUUUAUCGAUUAUUAAAUUAGACAUCUUUAUCUUUCUAUCCAUAUGUUUAUUGUUCAAAAACUUAUUGUAUAUUAAUUGUUUUGAUUUUUAAAAAUUGAAACACUGGUGCUGGAAAAUUCUGAUUUUCAGUAGCGAUUCUCAAUUCUAUAAUUUAUUUCAUAACUCCAAAUACUUCUGAAAAUUCUGGGAAUUUUUAUUACUGUACACUUAUAUGUCUAGUUUCUGUCUUUUUAAUUUCGUAAUUUUUGGCUUUAUAUAAAAAUCAUAGAGUUAGACUGCGCAAUCCCAGAAACUGUUUUCCAGAAUUGCGAGGGCUGAUAUUUAGGGCAGUUUGGGAUAGUUUUUCAUCAGUAAAUGUCUUAUAAAUCUUUAAUUCUGACUCCUAUUGUUUCCUCUAAUUGUCAAAACUAGAAUCACUAUUUUUGGACAUGUGUAACUAAAGUUAUAAAUUUUUCAAGCAACAGUCCUCUGUUUAUAUCGUUAUUGGACAGUUUGGAUAAUUUUGUGGAAAAAUAAGUUUUCAGGGGAUGUUUUUAAACUCUAAUUGAUUAUGUAAAAAUUUAAAUUGAAUGCCAAUAUGUUGACAAUAGUGUUUUGUGAUAUUUGUGAUAUUUCCGACGUACUUAUAGCUUGUUAGAAAUCAGCUCCUAUAUAAUGGUCUAGUAUAGUUUAGUGAAUUGAUGUGCUUAAGUAAGAGUGCAUGGUUUAAGGAUUUUUGGAUUUUCCUAUCUAGGUCAGAAUUGAAUAAGAUAUUGAUAGUACUUUUUUCUUAACAAUCAUAGGCCAAAAGUGAGCUCGUUUGAUUUGGGUUAUUGUUGAUUGCUUUGUAUCAUGGUAAGUAAAUUCAUGCAUAAUAUUUAUUAAAGUAUACACGUAAAUAUUUAUUAAUAGAAUAAUGUUGUCCAAAUGGAUUGGCAAGUUAUGGUUUUGAAGUUAUUUUAAAAUGUUUUCUUAAAUUUGUUUUAAAAAUAACUUCAAAAUACCUGCUUCUCUAUAAAAUGUUUUCCUUAAAAAUAUUUGUAAAGCUUUGCCAAUUCAAUGUCUUGUAAGCGUUUUAUCGAAAUAUUAUGGAAUGAUUGAUAUUGGAAAUCUGAAAACUGUUUUUAAGGUUUUGGCUCAUUGUCCGUAGUUAUCGUUACUAAUAUUACUAAAUAGCUAGUUGUAUUGUGCGCACCUAUUGACGAUUAUUGCAGGGUAAAGUACCCUGGUAGAACUAUAAGUUGGGUCACCGAGAUUAUAGGUGACAUAUUGAACUAUUGACCAGGUCACCGGGGGUAUAAGUGACACUAUGUGAUAUGAGUAAAUUGAAUGAAAGAAAAGUUUUAUUGAUAAAAGAUUUCUUACACGAUUAUUUAUUGAAAAUGAUUAUUAUGCUAUGACUUAAUUGAUUAUGAGUUUUACCGCACACAUAUGAUUACAAAAUGAUUUUUGUUUCCUAACUUGUGGUACUACAUAAUAAUGAUUAUAUACUUUUUUCCUUAUUGGUAACCUUAUGCAUGAGUUCGCUUACCGAUUGACGGCUCACCCCUCGUCUCCAACAUUUUAUAGAUUGAUUUUAGUGAUGUGCGCUUUUGGUCUAGCAAAGAGGAUUUAGCUGAAAAACUUUGGCAUUUUCUAGAUGAAUUAAUUGUAGCUAGUUUGAUUAUUGCUUAGAGCUAGAUUUUAUUUUGGAGGAUUUUUGAGUUAUUUUUUAUUUUAGAGACUAUGUUUUGUCAAUGAACAACAUUGACUUUAUUUGAAAAUAGUAAUAAGAUUAAUGUUAUAAGGUUUCAUUUGGGGUGUUACAACUUGUCUCUUAGUAAGUUUAUUUUUGUUAGCCUAUCCAGUAAGGUUUAUUAUCGACUGACAUCAUUUUCAAUGAAAUCAUCUUAUGUUGUUAAGUUUUGCAUAAAUAAAUAUUUCAGUAGGGUCAAAAGAGCAAGAGUUUACCUAUAAAAAAAAAGUCAAAAUUAGUUUAACCACCCCAGUGCGAAUUUCUGACCACGUCUUGCUUUGUAUGAUUUAACUCUAUUAUUAAUUAGUACUAAAAUAUCGAUGAAAAAAAUGGACAUGAAUUUUGAUCUCGUGUUGCUUUGUUUUGGUUGAGUGGCCAAUUUUAACUUCAUGUUAAACUUUCUCAAUUAUUAGUUGAAUUAUUUGGAUUUGAAAACUUAAAACCACCAUUUUAAUUUGUUUAGUAAUGACUAUGUUGAACUUCAACAUUUGUUUUCAAGAAAAAAAUUGAUCAAACUAUGAUGCUCUUGUUUCUAUUAUUAUGGAAUCUCUUUUUCAAUCGUCAAAGUUUGAAUUAUAUUAUGCUGCCUCUGUAUUUCCGCAGAAACAGAAUCAGUUGGUGAUCCUUCAAAACAAGAAAAACCAAAAAAAGAUGUAGUGCGUGAUAAGAUAAUGAGACAGAUGGCUCAUGUUGACAUUAAUACUCAAGUUGGAAGUUGCAUGCCCCUUGCUUGUAUGCGGACUGGGACCAUCAUCCACAAAAUUGAGGUAUACCCGGCUGAAGGUGGCAAGCUAGUUCGAGCCGCUGCGACGUCAGCCAAGAUUUUGAAGAAGACCCACUUCAAGGUACUGCUUAGUAAGGCUAACUUCUGGAAAUGAGAAACUGAUUGACGCUAGAUGUCGAGCCCACCAUUGGUACAGUGUCUAACCCCAGCCAUGGAGCUACGAAGCUUAGGAAGGCUGGUCAGAGCCGUUGGUUGGGUCGAAGGCCUGUGGUUGGAGGAGUAGCCAUGAAUCCAGUUGAUCAUCCUCAUGGUGGAGGUGAGGGACGAAGCAAAAGUAGCCGUAACCAUGGAAGGUGUUCACUUACGCCUUGGGGCAAGCCUUGUAAUUCUGGGUAUAAAACUGCAUUUCCUAAGGGAAAAAAAAAAAGAAAAAGAAAUUACCCGUCUGAUAAUAUUUUCCUUCUUUGCUAUUUAGCCUUUUUAAUAAUGUUACAUUGUUUGUCAUAUAUUUGAGGUUAGUUUUAGACCAAUUUUUAACUGAUCCAUAAUGAAACUGAAGUUUAAUUUUCUAUUGAACUUUUCCUGGUUUUACUCUUCUGUCAUUUCAAUUUAGCAAUGAUUUAAGAUGUUGAGUUCUGUGCUUGGAACAUGUAAAUGGGAAAGAGAGAUAUAAUGGGGUAGAAUAUAGAUUUUGUGUUUUGGUUUCUCAUGUUUAGAGAUAUUCUGUUCUUUUUCAUUUGUUCAAUUUGGUUAGUGGUGAUUUCUUAAAGAGUCGAUGCACGUGUGUAUAUAUACUUUUCUUUUGGCCUUGAUUCUGUUUCUUGGGGAGUUUAUGCAGUUUCUUUUUUUAUGCUUCGUAUGCCACAUGAAAGAUGAAAGCAUUUUGUGUAUUUAGAAUUGACUUGCAUCAUAGUAACUUUGAAUCACUGUUAACAUUUGUAUAAUAGCAGUCUGAGAUCUCCUUGAAGGAUUCAAAAGCAUUUUAUUUGAUGGUCUAGACCUAAAAUCAACUCCUUUAUAUAGAUAGGUUGGUCUUCUUCAAAGCAAUUCCUAUUUUAAGUAAUCAAAAUUUUGAUUUGGAAGUGUGUUUUAACACUACCAAAAGUUCUUUAAAUACUAAAAAUGUGUUUGGGAGUGAGGUGAUGUGGCUUUUAAGCUACAAUUACUGCAAAGUAAAAGUCAGUGAGUAUAAAUAAGAAAAAAUGACUGUUGAGUUGCCAAAGCCCAACUGCCGCACAUCACUUCCAAAUGCACCGUAAAAUGAUUUUGAGUCUUCUAUAUUAUUGAAACAAAAUACAUGAAAGCACUUUUGGCUACAGAAGUACACUUGGGGUUCUUUAUAAAAUUCUUCGACAGCAAUUUUUCCCCCUUUUUGCUCAUGGCGGUUUUUCUGGUUGUUCUUUUAAGAAAACACUUAAAGGUUCUUUUUAUAGAUUUCUGAAAGUACUUCCAACAUAAGCAUUUUUCAGAAAUUUUUUCUGAAAUUAAUUUUAUUUACUUAUCGACUUUUCAACUCCUGUGGUUGUUUAUGAAAUGAAAGGCAAGGGUAAUCACAAGAAAUCUGCAAACUUUAUCAAUUUUUAACUAUACCAAUUUGUUGUUUAUGCUUUACUUUUAUUUUACAGUUUUGUUUAAUGUUUAGAUGAUAGAUAUAUAGACAUUUUAGAUUGGAGAAUUUUGUCAACAAAUUCAUUCCUUUCUUUCACUUUUUCCCUUUUCAGAGGAAAGCAAUUUUGACUAAUUUUAGCCAGAAUCGGACUAUAAUAUUUUGGAGCAAGCCUACUUGAAAUGAUGCUUUUUAAAUUUGAUCUAGUUAAAAUACACUGCCGUUACCCAAAAAAUUCUAGUCUUGGAUUUCAUAGAAUGCCCUUUUAAGAUAUUUUCUCAGCUCUUUGUUGGUCGCAGCAUCUGAGAUUAGCAUUCUCACAUUUCACUUGUUUUGCCUUUGUUUUGAAGGUAACUUAGUUGCAUAGGUGAAUCGAGGUUCAAGAAUGCCGAGAUGGCUACAAGUUUCAAGAAUCAUUUAAAGAGGCGUAAUGACAGCACCAAGAUGGGCUUUGUGAUUAACAAGAUUACUAAUUGAACCAAUCUUGAUGGGACAGAGGACAUGUCAGAACCGUUGCGCACAGGGAGAAGAGUUAGGGGAGCUUUGAGAGUUGAGACCAUCAACAUCCAGAAAGGCUGCUGGUAAUGUUUCAUGUGUUACAAAGUUGCAAGGAAAUUUCAUUUAUAUUUUAACACCUUGUAUUUGAAAAAUUUAAUGUAAUUUUCUCUUUUUUCAAUUUAUUAUUCAGAUCGUAGACUAGUAAACGGUUUAGAUCGCAAGCUUUUAUUAUGCAGUUAUUUUCUCCUUUUCAGGAAGAAGUGGUCAGUUCCAUUCCAGAAUUGGAAUAUGGUAAUUAGGUGCAAGCAUACGUUGUAACAAUCAUUUCUUGUUUGUUUGAUUAUGCUUAUCUAUUUAGUUGUUUAUCGUUUGGUUGUGUUAAAUUAUUUGAAUUAGCAUUAUUUGAGAUAAAGCAUAAUUCUUUUAUUUAUUUAUUUAUUUUUUAAAUAAAUUAUUAUAGAAUAUCGUCUUUAUCGUAUAAUGUAUUUUUAUAAAAGUAAGCAUUUUUAUAAAAUUUAAACUCUUCCAAUCUCCUUAUGAUUAAAACCCUUAACCUAAUAAACGUAUAAAAGCAAAGAGUCCUAGGAUUUUCUUUUGUGCACAUUUGGAAGAAUUUUUGAGGUAAUUAUCCUUCUCUAAAACAUAUUCUCUAAUCUUAGGUGUUUAAUGAUGAAUGCAUGCAUUGUUUUUUUAAUCAUGAAUGACUAGCUAGACAUUAUGAGGCAUGAGUACUGUGAUUCUAUUACUGUUUUCCCUUUAUUUUUUAUUCAGGUUUUCACUAAAGUUUUCAUAAAAUUAAACUAGACAUUUUAAGGCUUUCAAUGAUAUAUUUUGUACGAAAAGAUUACCAGUAACCAAUUUGUUGUGAAUUUUCGAAUUCAGAACAGUGGUGCUGGAAAAUUCUGAUUUUCAGCAGCAUGUUUGACUUUGCCCAUUUUUCUGUCUGUCUAAAUGAUCCCUAAAAUUAUGCUGAUUUUUCUAUUAAAUCCUCAUUAUGUCUACUUACUAUAUGUUCACUUUCAUAAUUUUCAUUGAGUAAAAAAAAAAUUAAAAAUCAUUAUGUUGGGCUGCUGCAGUUUUGGAAACUGCUUUCCAGAAUUGCGAUGGCUGACAAUAAAAUUACUUUAGGCUAUUAAAAGGCUUUAGAAUGGCCUAUAAAAAUUAUAUUCAUAUAAUUUAUGAAUUCCUUAUGAUUUAAAGUUUAUUUGACUAAUUUUGAUAGUUAACAUUAAGUUAUGAAUUUUUCAAGUGCAAAACAUAAACCUGAAUGUUUCUGGACAGGUUUGCUGGUCUCUUAAUAUAAAUUCGUUUAAAAUAGUGUCAUAUCUUCAAAAAUUCUAGGAAUUUGAAGCUUUGUUUCUUGAUGCAUCUACUGUUUUAAAAUCAAGUGGUCUAAUUUUUAAGAGUUCUAUUAAAUAUUUUACAAAUUUUCCAGUUCAGCAACCUCUGUUUUUAUCACUGUUGGACAGUCUGGAUAUGCAUGUAAAAUUCUUUUUGCAAUAUGUUUGACUUUUAUUCAUUCUUUUGAAUUUUUAUUUGAAAUGUUAUCCAUGUUUAUGGUUUAUUUUCUUUGAUUUUACAAUUUUCCAACAUUUGAUUAGCUUGGUAAAAAUCGGCUCAGACUAGCUUUAAUGGUUUAGUGCUUAUGACUAGGCUUGAUUAUGUUAGAUUUAUAUCAAGAUCAGAAUGAGUAAUAGUAUUGAUAAGAAUGUGUCUUGAUAUUUUAGGACGAGAUUGAGCUCGAGGCUAAGGUUACUAUUCUUUAUUGUUGAGGAUUGAGAUAAGUAGAUUCAUGCAUGGUAUAUGUAUUUCACUAUUAAAUUAUUUUUAAUUCGAGGUAUCUAUUAUGUUAAAUGAAAAGUAUUUGAAACUAAUUUGUUUUAGCCUAUUACAAUAUUUUGUUAAAAUAAAAUCGUUCUUUAAAUUAUUUAUAAUAAACCUUUUAUUUAUUAAAAACUUGUUUUAUAAAUUGUCUUAAAAAAACUUUUAUUAAAUUGUUUUAAGUCAAAUACUUUGAAAUAAUUAUCAAUUAUUUAAAUGAUUAAAAGUUCAAGGAUGAUUUUAAAUGUUUUUGCUCAUUGUCUGUAAUGAUGCUAUGUUAUGUUAUAUGUUGUGGAAGGCUAGUUGGAAUAUGUGUACAUAUGAUGUUAAUGUUAAUGAUUCUCGUGGGGUACAGUACUCUAAAUGAUGUCAUACGGAUGGGUCACUGGGUCUACAAGUGAUACUAUGUGGAAUGAGCUAAGUAUGUUUUAUGUAUUUAAAAAGCUAAUUAUGUUUUACAUGUUUGAAAUGCUAUUAUUAUGUUUAAAGGAUUUAAAUGACUUUCUGAUGUUUUGAUUUAUUUUUUAUAAAUGAUUAUUUACAAAAGUAAUUUCCCUUAUUAUUAUUAUGCAUAUCUAAGAAAUUCAAACAAUUAUAAUUUAAUGGUUUUUAGUAUUGUGCAUGAAUUUACUUACCGAGUUGACGGCUCACCCCUUGUUAUCAUAUUUUUGUAGAUAGAGUUAGAUGAUGUGAGCUCAUGAUCUUAGGAGGAAGAAUGAGAGCUCGUUUAUUUUUGGGGAUUAAUGUUACAUUAAUAAUUUAGCUUCCUUUGGCAUGAUAUUUAUUUGAGAAUUUGUUAUUUCAUUACUUAUUAUCUUUUGGAAGAGGAGCAUUUACUGUUGGAUAUUAAUUUGAUGAUUUUAGAUACGAGAGUGAUGAAAUACAGUUUCACUUCAAUUUCACUUUAGUAUCUUAUUAGUGGAAUUGGGGUGUUACAUACGUGCCCGGUCAAUGAACUUGAACUUUAAAUAGUUUUUUCAACUCAUUGAUUUUUGGAACUCAUAUUGGUGCAAGGAAAUCAAAAGAAAUUUAUGAUUAGUCAAAUUCUGAUAGUUGCUAUAUAUUAUACAUUCUAAAGUUUCUUGAGUUUGUUUUCAGAUGAAAAUAUGAUCAAUUCAUUUUGUUUUUGAAGUGUAGGAAAAUAGGCUGGGAUAUUAAUGCAUAGGCAAAAACUUUUUGAGUGGCUUUCCAGCGGAUAAUUAUCGGAAACAUGACUGGAUUUUUUGACUUCCGUAAAUCUUGCAUUUUAACCUGGCAAAUUUAACAAAAGUUCAAUACAACUUUGUUAGUGCCUUGUGUUCCAGAAGCUAGAAAGAUGUGUAGAUUCCAUAUAAGCGGGCUUGUAAUUACUCUAGUAAGAAUCCAAUUAUUUGCCUUUGCACCUUCAUUUUAUUUGUGGAUCCUUGCAUGUUUCUGAAUUUGAUCAAUCCAAAAGGAAUUGCUCUGAAGAAUAGCAGUAACUAGCCUAUGUCUUAGUGCAUGGACCUGCAAACCUGAGCUGACAAAGCUGAAACUAUUAGUUUGAGGUGACAAAUCCAUGAUCGUCACCUGUUAACUUCUGCUAGUUGCUUUCGUGAAACACUUUUAAGAAAUAAGCAAUUUGUUGUUAGUCGCCGUAUCUGAUGUGCUUUCUUUUAUAGUUUGUAGAAUCAACUGUAUUAUAUGUUGUCAGUUGCAGUAUCUGAGGUGUCUUUUGCAAUUUACUUGACCUUUAUUUGUUUGCUAGUGAGUUAAGAAUACCAACAUUGGCCAGAGAUUUGGAGAAACAUCCGAAGACGCUUAACAAACUUGGAGAUGCACUUGCUUCCAAGCUUCAUUCAUCACAAUGCGAAUCCGGUGAGUACUUAUGUCUUCAAUUAUGUAGAGUGUUUGAAAUUUUGAUGCAGCGAGAUGGUUUGUUGAUGCAAAACUUUAUACUGUUAAGGACUUACCCUGCAGGCUUUUUGCAUGUUGUAUCAACUCCAAAAUCCAACGAGAACUACAGCACCAAAGCCCAGUUUUCACUGAUUCAAUCAGCUGAAAUCAUGAGGGAAAUAACAGUAUAGCACCAUCAAGCUGGACUUAGAGAAUAAUCAGAUCAGUCAUCCAUUUCAUGAACUGUUAAUUUCAUGAUGGAGGCUUAGUGGAGCUGAAGAGGAAACAAGGAUGUGUAGGGAUCAACAAACAACAGUGAGAAGCACGAUUGGAGCUCUGAUUACAAAUAGACAAUUUAAAAAUAUGUGCUGGUAAGUGGAAAUUAAAGAAAUUUGUGAGCUCAUUCAAGUUUCGGUAUUUUCUUUUUGGAUAACGUUGAUACCAAGUUUGGCAAAUCUGUGUUUUCUGCGUUUAAUCUGUGUUUUGGUUAAAGUAGAUGCUCUGAUUAAUACUUGUUUGUUUUCAUAAAACAGGACAAAAAGAGAUCACCAAUCUUGAUUGAGAAUUCAUUUAAGUAAAAUUUCAAAAAUUGCCAAACACAGUAUAAACUAGGAUGCACUUGCUUAAGAUUCAUUUUCAGACGGAAGUUUGUACCUCCAGAUCAUAAAAUCAUGUUUAUGUUGUAUCUUUAUUCAGCAAUUGAAAGAUUCCAAGUUUGCUGAAACCAUAUUAUUUCUUUCCCAGGCGCUUUCCUGAAGGUAUCGACAUCUAUUUCGAAAAUGUUGGGGAUAAGUUGCUUGAUGCAGUGCUACAAAACUAUGAAGGAUUUCUUGUCGGUGAUUACUACCACCUGGAUAAAAAAUUCAUGGAACUGGUCAUGCCGGCAAUAAAAGAAGGAAAGGUGGUACACGUGGAAGACAUAGAUGAAGGCCUCUGUAUACGUCGAAGACAUAGAUGAAGGCCUGGAGUCCAACAGCCCUCGCUGGGCUAUUCAUUGAUCGGAAUGUCACGAAACAACUGAUUGUAGUUGCUUGGGAAUUUAAAAACCACCAUAUGCUGUAGAAAUGCACAGAGCCAUGCACUUUCAAAGCUUUGUGAAGAUGUCUUGGUCAUGUGUUAGAACAGAUUAUGUUUGUUCGAUUAAAUUGUACGCAGUUAUAAAUCAAAGAUUCAGAACAUUGCAUGUAGAAGUUCAAAUUUUAAAUUUUUGGAAGCAGAGGCGUAGAGUUUUUUUCUUUUGGAAAAAAAAAUCUAAAUUGUGGAGACUAUUUUUAUUUAAUUUUACAAUCUUAUUUUAUUUCUUUCACAACAUAAUUUUAAAAUAUUUAUUUAGUAAAUUAUUAACAUCCAAACCACUAAAGAUUUUUUUGUUAAACGCUCUACUUACAAAGUUAUAUUAAUUAUAGAUUUACUCAAAGAAAGUAUAUUUAAGAAGUUAUAGCAAAAAAAAGUUCUAAUCUGUCUUACAAAGGACUAUUGACAAGAGUGGUGCGACUCCCACCCCUUCAAAGUCCACUUGACACCACGCUUUCUCGAUUUAAAAUUUUAUAUAGUUGAAAAUUGUGUUUUCUUUUAAAUCUCCUUGCUUUCCUCUAUUCUUGUUACUUGAGAAGAAGAACCAGAGUCUAGAAGAACGAAAGAAAAUUCAGCGAGAUAGAAAUUUGGAAAUUUCAUCCGAGCUUUUUUUUUCUUAAAUUUUUUGGUAUUUCUUCCUUGUUUCUAUGGAUUCGUUCAAUGGAUUCUUGACCAUUCUUCCUUCUUUCUAUUUUCUACCAUGAUUCAGAAUUUUUCCUUAAAAAAAAUCUAGAUGCAUGGCCAAAUGAAAUGACCCCCUUUAGAGCUUCGGUUACUGUUGCAUAUUCAGCGUCUGCAUUUGACAAAGCAACUAAAUGCACACUAAAGACUUGCUGUUUCCAUUCAGUAUGCAGUUACACAGACAAAGGCCUUAAUUAUUGUCAAGUUCUCCAGUAGCAUACUCCGAAAUCCACAUACCAACCCACCAGAACUCCAAUCUUGAAACUCCAUAAAUCAAAAUUGAAGUGCCUGCCUCUCUGGUACCUCUCAAGGUCCAUUUUACUACUUUCCAUGUCUUUCCAUGCAUCUACUGACAACUUGGGAAAUGCCAGGUCUUGCAAGCACCACUACUUACAUUUGAGUCUGCUAUUAUUAUUAUUACUAUUUUAUUAUUAUUAUUUAAAAAAAAACACUCUAACUAGGAGAGACAAGUUCCGUGUAGUAGGACUGAGCAACAGGGCCGUAGCAAAUAUUAUGUUUUUAAUCAUUCUUGUACCAAAGUAUUUAAGUAUGCGAUAAAAAAUAAUAAUAAUAAUUUAUUGACAACUAAAAGUUAAUAGUGGCUGGGGUGGACCUGGGUUUUGUUUAAAAAAAUUGAUUAAUAAAAUUUUCGAAAUUUCAAAUUUCUAGUACAGAGAAAAUUGAUGAAUAAAAUUCUGCAAGUUAAUUUCUAAUAUGCCAUGAAAAUAUUAUCAAGUUAAAUUGUAACAUCGUUAAUCACUUAAUCCUCAGUCUAAUAUGCCAUAUAUUUGUUUCUCAGGCUUUAAUCGAAAGUGCCGGUGAUUUAUUGUUAUUUUCAGUAAUCAGAUAGGUAUGUUAAGGCUGUUUAAUUCAUCGACAAUGUACCAACAAGACUCAGAUUGGGAGAUUGUAAAUGUAAUUAACAAUAAUCUUUUAUUCAUUUUGAAGUUCAUUCUAUUGUUUACACAGGAGCAGCGUUCUCUUAUGUUUUAUGGAUAUAAUGUUUGGUAAUCCUAAUUUAAGCUAAGGUAUAUAUAUUUCCUAAUUACAUCUAAUUUAAGCUUAUUCAAAUGCAAUCAAUUAAUGUUCAAUAGUAAAAAUUCCAAAUACUAUAUAUUGUAAGAAUUUUAAUCGUAAUGACAAGGUGAUCAUUUGAAUUAUUAUUAUUAAAUUAUAUGUAUGGUGGAGUCCACACGGUUUUGACUAGAAAUCAAAGAGUUAAGAGACAAUAUUAAUUUAUUUAAGUUAAUAGUAUUUGUUCUGUUUAGUACGUCUUUUGACCAACAAGCAUCCCGGCAUUGCACGCAUUAAUUAAUAAAGCAUUGUGCAUGUCACAUUAUUAGAGCCAAUUGCGCCCGGUACACCUCCAUACUUCAAAAAUUAUCUUAAUACCCUAAAAUCUGUUUUUACCAAAAUUUUCAUCGAUACCCUUUAAAAACGGAUAGGAAAUUACUAAGCUAUCCUCAUUUUAAAACAUUUCAACUCAACGGACAGCACCUCUCCCUUCUCUACUGAAGCAAACAAACACUCAUCUGCUGCAAUUCCCUCCAUUAUCAAACUCAAAUAAACAAACACUGCAAUUCCCUCACCGGCAUCACCUCUGCAAUUCCCUCACCGGCAUCACCUCUACCGAAACAAAUAUUCAUUCUCCAUACAUGAUAAAUUGAACUUCAACACGAGCAAACUAAGCUUGAGAAGGGGAAGCUGCCACAACUGAGAAAGAGAAGCCUAGUUCGUCUCUACAUAAUCGCCGGCGAGAGCUGAUCCUUUACUGUAAAAUAGUCAUAAUUUAACUAGUUGAGGUAAGUAAUUCUCUAUAAAUAGUUUUCUUGUUGAUAUUCAGGGAAAAAAAAAACAAAAAGUUAGGGUUUAUAUAGAAAAAUUAGAUUAAUUAGUUGCGGGUCUCUCAUUACAUGUUCAAAAACAAAUUUCUAGUUGUUUUACUACAUGCAAAUUGUGAACAAUUGAUGGAUUGUGCCGAUUAUAAUUUUGUCAUGUAACACACAAUUUGGUCGUGUAAGGUUAUGUAGGAUUCAAGGUUGUGUAUUACACGACCUUCAUGUAUUGCACUUACACGACUUCAUGUAUUGCACUUACACGACUUCAUGUAUUGCAAUUACACGACUUCAUGUAUUACACGACGUUCAUGUAUUACACGACGUUCAUGUAUUACACGACCUUCAUAUAUUACACGACCUCAUGUAUUACACGACCUCAAAAUUACACGACUUUUUUUACUGUUGUUAAUUCAUUAUAAUAACUUAGUUGUUUAAACACUUAAUUUUUGCUAAGAAUUUAUAUUUGUUGCUAUGCAGAAAAUGUCAACGAAAAGUAUUCAGGAAAAAAUGAAACGAGGCAAACCGAAAGUGAAAAUUACUAAUUUGUCAUCGUUGGAACCAAUAAGAAUAAUAAAAAAUAACCUUAGUGACGUACAAUUGGGGAUUUUUCGCAAAUCAUGUUUUGGGCACUUUUUGGACUUGAAUGAGUUUCAGUUUUGUGCCCAGUUGUUGCACAAGUUGGUAUUAAGUCAUAUGCAUUCAUCCGAUAAGGCAAUGUAUUUUAAGAUAGGGAAAAAAGUUUGUCGAUUUUCAAUGUUUGAAUUUGCAUUAGUUACUGGACUGAAUUGUGAAGAAAUUUAUAAACCUAACUUGGACAUUGUUGAUGACGGUGGUCGUGUAUGUGAUGUUUUGUUGGACGGUUGCACAAAGUUCACUAACACAACGCUAGGUCAGAUAUUUGAAGCAACUAAGUCCAAGGAUGAUAUGAAAAUGGUUAAAUUUGCCAUGUUGUACUUUUUGGAGGUUGUAUUACUUGGAAAAGAAUAUAGAUCAUCUAUAAUUAGGGAUCACAUUCUCCACAUUGACAACUUUGAAGAUUUCAAUAAAUAUCCUUGGGGCCGUGUCUGUUUUGAGAACACAUUAGAAAGUAUGAAGAAUGUGAUUGCAAUUAGACAGAAUAGAGAAAGGGCAAAUCCAGACUAUGUCCCUGAAAAGGAGGCAUACAGUCUUCAUGGCUGUCCAUUUGCAGUUCAGGUAACAAAUUGUCAAUAUUGGUUUCGUAAAGAUUAUUAAGAUUAGGAAUAUUAAUUAUUUCUUUUACUUGCACAGGUAUGGGCACUUGAAAUUUUCAGUGAAGUGUGUGAAACUUUUUCCUCGAAAUGUAAGCAUGUCAAAUAUCCAAGAAUUCUAAAUUGGACAAUCACUAAACAUGUUAGCUCUAAUUUGCUUGACUAUUCCAUAUUUGAUAAGAAAAAGGUAAUAACAAACAAUCUAGAUCGUUAGUGUCUUUCUUUUUUUCUUUUUAAUUUAUCUUUGACAUUUAUUAAUUGGCCUAAUUAUUACAGCUUAAGGUACUGGAGAAGUUGGAUGUCGCUGAUGAAAUAGAGGCAUCACAGCCUAAUCUACAAUGGUUUUGGCAAACAAAUUGGCUGCAACAACUUGAAAAUGAUUUUCGUGUUGACUCAAAGAGUAAAAAAUCAGCCACUCCAGUCUCAGAACAGAAAAGUAGCAGUGUUGUGCAGAAAAAUUAUGUGGCCAUGGAAGUUAAAGAGACUAAUAAACGUGCGAAGUGUCAAGUUAUGUCCAUGAAAUACAAAAUGAAUUAUGAACAUGCAAAUUCUGUUGAGGACAAAACUGUAAGUUUUUUUAAUCUUUUAAUAACAAUUGCAUUUUUCAAUUUUUUUUUUGUUUGCCUAAUAGGCUCUGUCUUGUUCUGCUUGCAAGGGUAAACGUCUUGGUUACAUUGAUAAUUUGAUUUCUUUUAUCGAGGACAAGUUUAAUUGUUUGGAUAAGCGUCUCAAAAAGAUCGAAGAGAAGGUGCAAAAAAUUGACUCAUUAGAGGAGAAUACAGGUGAUGUGAGGGAGAUGAGAGAACAAGUCAAUAAAAUUGUAGACUUAGUGGAGUUCCUAAAUUCAGCGGACUACAAUGUGAAGGUUCAUUUUAUUAUUAUUUUUAACUAAGUAUGUUAUUAUUUUUAACUAAGUACAAAUUGUGUAAAGUUAUUAAUAUUUGCUGCUGUGCAGAUUCCGACAACAUUUGAUGAUAACCCGAGUAUUGCCACACCUGCGACUGUGUUUCCAAGCUUCACCACAAAUGCAGGCAUAGUCAAAGAGGAUCCAAUAAUUAUUCCGUCUACACAGCAAGAGGUGAAAAAAUAUGAAAGAAAAAGGCGAUCUCGAAAGGAUGCAGCUGUUUUACGCACGCCAUAUACUAACCCAUUUCGAAAAUCGCGACAUGUCAACGUCGAUGAAGCAAAACAGCAAGUUCAGUUUGAGCAUUGGCUGAAGGAGGAUAAUAUGGAAUCGUAAUUCCUUAUUUCUCUUUGUAAACUUACUUUUAUUUGAAACAAUAUUUCCUGGUUGACUAUAACAAGCAAUAAGUUUUACUCACAUUUUCUUUUUCGUUACUGCACAGUAAAAUAUUAUCGUGGCCUAUGCAUAAAGCAACAAAGAACUUCUUCCGCAGCUUGUAUGAUGCAGACGCGUGGUUAAAUGGCGGGGUAUUAUUAAUAUAGUUUUUGUUUAGCAUGUAAUUUACUGCAGUAAUGUUUGCAUUUAAUAUUAAUUUACAUAUGUUGGUAAUAUGUACAGCAUAUAGACGUUGGUUGUUACGUGAUAAGAUAUGAUUUGGCCAAGCUCACUAUGCCACAUUUGCACCAAUGUGCAAUCAUGGAUAGUGUAUUUCAGGUACUUAGUACUCUGUAGUAAUAAACAAAUAAGAUAUGUAAAUUUGUGCACUGAAAACUUGCAAAAUUCAUUGUUUUUUCAGCAAAAGCUUUUGUUGAAGUAUGAGUUGUUUAAGAAGGAUCCAACUACAAUAUGGGAUGAAGAUCAAGAACAUGAUUUGACAAUCAAACAAGCAAAUGGCGAAGAUCUUCCAUUCGCUAUUCCAUGGAGAGAUGUUUAUAAGGUAAAGUUUAAAUUUUCUUAAUGCAUCGCUAAAGUUUAAAUUUUCUAUUUUUGAUUGGCUCAAAUUAUUGUAGGUUUAUAUCCCAAUUAAUGUACUUGAGUGUCAUUGGAUUCUUGCUGAGGUUGACAUUGUAAGGGAGACAAUUUCCAUAUAUGACUCCAUGGUUUCUAUAAUGAAUGACUCAACAUUUUUGAAAGAAUUAUUGCCAUAUGCUGUUAUUAUUCCUCUUCUACUGGAGAAGGUUUUAUGGUAUGAUUCGCACCCUGAAACUACCCAAAAAAAUAAAGUUUGGAUAGUUUUGCGUUUAGCGAAUACGCCACAGUAAGAAUCUCGGUGAGCAUACCAAAUGCUCAAUUUAUUUUCAUUUUACUGUUAUAGUUAUAUAUUCAGUAUAUAGUUAACUAUUUUUUAAAAUUCUCAGUGGAGAUUGUGGUGUGUUUGUUUUGCGUUACCUGGACACACUUGCACGUGGUGAAGAUAUUCAAACAAAUUGUACGCAGGCACAUGUCUCUUCUUAUCGCAAGCAACUAGCUGAAAGACUUUUCUAUGACCAGUCAUUACUUUCAAAGAACAACUAACAUGUGAGUAUUAUUUUUUUAAAUGAAGUCAUUGCUGUUGGAAUAGUUUGGUUUCUUAAUGUGAAACCAAAAUAGGCCAUCACUGUUAGUUUGGUUUCUAAUUAAUUUCAUGGAUUUAUUAUAUGCAGGCAUUCCUCAUGCAUGCAUGUAUGCUUCGGCAGAGGAAGAAAGCAAUUUCAAGAAAAAAAAACUUUUAAAUGGUUGUAAUAUGUUUAAUUGCGAUAUCCAUUAGUGUAUCCUAUCCAAAUAUUGACAUUGUAAACUGAUAACUUUCUUUAUUUAUAAUAAUUAAUCUCAUCAUUUCUCAAACUGUCGAAUAUGCAAACUUAUUUGUUUGCUGUAAUUUAUGAACACACAAUUUGGUCAUGUAAGGUCAUGUACACGACGGUCGUGUAUUACACGACCGUCGUGUAGUACACGAGUAUAUUACAUGACCUUAAUAUAGUACGCGACUAUUACAUGACGUUCAUGUAUUACAGGACUUCAUGUGUUACACGACUUUUUCCAAUAAUCAUCAGAUUAAUUUAGUUCUUUAAGGACUUAAUUGGGGCUAAAAUUUUAUAUUUGUUGCUUUGUAGAAAAUGUCAACUGAAAUUAUAAAAACAAAGAAGUUAAAUUAAAUUGGAAUGUAAAGAAAUUUAGUUAUUUCAUAAUGCAACAAAUUACAGUUUCCAAGCAUAACAUAUCCAAGACUAAAAAAUUGUAAAUCCAAUUAUCUAAGUUUGGUUAGCCGUAGGGCCAUGCUCUUGCUCUGAAAGUGGUGUUGUUGCAGUGCAUGUUAGUCGAUUAUGCCCCUCAAUCUGCACCUACUACACUUGCGGUGCACGAUGUCUUCCCCUUGAGAAGGUAUUCUAGUAGUUCGCGGUCGUCCUACCUCUCGCUUUUUCAUUGGCAGUGACAGCACAUAUGCACGCACCUCUUCUGAAACAUCCCAUUCCUCUUGUGGACCCACAAGAUAAAUGCUCUCUGCAUAUGCUGUAACCCAUGCAUUGACAGAAUAAUAAUGAGCACAUAAAUCAUAAAUAGAAUAGUUACGCAUAUGCUUACAUACAGCUACCACAUGUUCAUAGGGAAAUUGGUCAAUUUGAAACUCAUUACAACUGCAAGUCUUUUGUAGCACGUCAACAUGGCCAUCAAGGUCGCCAUCCUUAACUAUAAACUCAUGGAAAUUAAUCUGUAUUACUGGAUAUGUGUGUGAUUUAUCCAAUUUCCCUUUCAACUAUUUCUCAACCCAAGUAGUCAUUAAAGUACAUGCAUCCAUUGCCAAAUCUCGCCUUUUUGCAAACCAUUCUUGUAAUUUGUCAAUGAUACAAUCCAUUAACUUAUAAAUAGGCAAGGUUCGUGCUUCUUUUAAGAUAGAAUUCAUACUUUCUGCAAUGUUAGUCGUCAUAAUCCCAUAACGCCUCCCCUCAAAAUGAGAACGAGCCCACUUCUCAUAUCCGGCAUCAGUCAGGUAUUGGUGAACAUUCAAACUAACACUGCGGAUGACAUUCAUAUAUUGAGUAAACUUAAUGGGCCGAUAUGCCUUUGCAGCCAAUUCAAAUAAAGCACCCACAUCAACUUCUUUAAAAUGAGCAUUUACAUUUCGUUUUAGAUGAUGCGUACAUAUGUCAUACCCUACAGUAGGAAAUACUUUAUCAACUGCUUUCUUAAUACUUCCAUGACGGUCAGAAAUGAAUACUAAAUUAGGAACAUCACCAAUAGACUCUCUUAACUUCAUAAAAUACCAUUCCCAUGAAGCGUCAUUCUCACUGUCACCUACACCAAAUGCAACAGGGUAAAGUUGAUUGUUGCCAUCAAGAGAUGUUGCAAUGAAUAAUGUUCCUUUGUACUUGCCCCUCAUGAAUGUACCAUCAACUGCAAUAACAGGCCUAAUACAUGAAGUGAAUCCUCUCAAAGAACUUCCAAUGGCCAUGAAACAGUACUUGAAGUUGUUCGCACUGUCUUUUUUAAUGAAUGUUCGACUUCCAGGAUUUUUUUUUUUCAACCAUUGCCAUGUAUGAGGGUAAUAAAUGGUAUGAAUCAGCCGGACUGCCCCUAACCAUCUCCAUUGCAAACUCCCUUGCUCUCCACGCCUUGUGAUAACUUAUUUCAUAACCAAACUCUUUUUGAAAAUCUUGCAUAAUAUCAGCUGGCUUAUACGUAGAUGAAGCACCAUCAAACUUGUGCCGAAAAUUUUUCCCAACUAACUUGGAUGAAGCUUGACGGUUGUCUUUUUCCUGUGAAUCAAGGGAGCAAGUAUGGACAUUGUAAUACUUUCUAAUUUCAAACAUGUUGCAACCUUUAAGUCUACUUGCACGAAGGCGCCAUUUGCAGUUGUCAUCCAUACAAACAACAACAAGUAAGUCCUUGUCUGAUUUUGGGGUUUUGAAUUGGAACCUUUUUUUCACAACUAGUGCUUUAAGCUUUUCUUGCAAUGCCUCCUUUGACUCAAACACCUCUUUCACCAUCGACACAUCAGUAUCACCACUAACUUCUGUUGAUAAUAAAUUACUGCUACUAGUAAGUAAAUUUAUUCUGGGCACAUGUCCAUUGUUUGAGGUUCUUGAACUUAUAGGAGCUGGAGUAUUAUCUCCUAAUGCUAAAUCAACAGCUAAUGGUGGCUCAUCCAAACAAUCAACUUCAGUUACAAAUUCAUUAACUUCAGUAAAAUUGUUCGAACUGAGAAUAGGAAAUGAUGGAGGCACGUAGCUGGAGAAAGCAUGACUCUCUUCCCAUGAAAGACGAGGUGAAGGUUGUCUAUCCACCGGAACUGUCGAAAUUGAUCUACGUUCAAAAGUAAUGCAGAGCGGGUUUCUAAACUCCAUUCCACUAGCUACUUCCUCUAAGAAAAAUUCCACAUCAUCAUUGGUUUGAAUUGUAACUGGUGGCAUAGGAUCAGAUGUCUUAAGUUUGAACUUCAUUGUGAUUUCGAAUUCCGAAGUAUCUAUAUCAAUAACUUCAGCUAUCUUGUCCACCAAUUCGGCAUAUGUUGUCGAUCGUGGUAUCAUUAUCCCUUUAGCCUUGGAACCUUUGAACUUAUACUCGUCAUUUUGCUCAAUCCAUUCACCAUUAAAGAGAAUAGGCACACGUACCAAAACCAUUUCUGAUGAUACAAUAAAAACAAUAAUAUCAAAUUUCAUAUACAAGUAAGUACACGACUUACACGACUAUAAUACUUACACGACUUACACGACUAUAUUUCUUACAUGACCUACACGACUUACACGACUAUAUUUCUUACAUGACUUACAUGACUUACACGACUAUAUUACUUACACGACCUACAUGACUAACUAUAUGACGUACACAGUAUCAAGAGAAUGCACGGCGCGAAACAUUUUCGCUAUAAAUAAGUUAUAUUGCUGAAAAAAAUAAUUAAACAACCUACAUUGCAUAUAUUUCUACAUAUAAGAAAAAAUGGUGAAAAUAAAACAUUGUAAUGUGAGGAAAAUUUCUAAAUUUUUCUCAAAAUUAAUAAAUUUAAAACCCAAAAACAUUAACAUACCUUAUUGGGUUGUUUAAUAAGCAAUGCACCUUUAAAGAAAGAGUGGGUGUUAAAGAAAUAAAUACAUAAUUGUAUUUGUGUAAGAAGUUAUGAGAGAUUUUGAGAGAUUCUAAGAGAUUUUGAAAGAAUCGGCAGCAAAAAUGGAGUUGGGUGAAAGAAAUGAGGAAAUGAAUAUGAAGACAAUUUAUUGAAUGAAUUUGAUGCAUUCAUUAAGGGUAUUUCUGACUUUACUCACAUUUGUUAGGGUAUUCAUGAAAACUAAAAAGGGAGGGGGUAUUUCAAUAAUUUUGAAACUAUUAAAGGGUAUUUAAUUAAAAACCCCACAUUAUUAGUACCUAGUUGAUUAGUCAUUUGGUCUUCAAUAAAUGUUAGUUGAUAUAUGCUUGAAAUCAUAUUCUGUUUUAUAUGCCGAAUCAUAUUGUAAGAUGGUGAUAUUAGCAUGUUUCUUUUUCUUUGUGCUGUUUCUCGUUUGAUUACAUUUUCAACAACAAGUCGAUCUGUUGAAGAACAAGUUUGGGUUUGAUGAUGCUUUUAACUAUAAGGAAGAGCCAGACUUGGAUGCAGCUCUCAAUGGGUUGACACGAAUGAAUCCUUUCACCCUUUUUCUCACUUCAUUAUUACAAUGCGCUUUGAAGUUAUCUGUGUUGUUAAGGUUAAGGUUAACCCUGCAGGCUUGUUCGAUGCUGUAUCAACUCCAAAAUCGAACAACAUCUACAGCACCAAGACCCGGUUUCAAUCAGCUCAAAUGAUGAGGUAAAUAACACCAUCAAGCUCAGCUUAGAGACUCAUUAGAUAAGUAAUCCAUUUUCUCAGCUGUUAAUCUCUUGAUGGUGGCUAGUGGAGAAGCAGAGGAAACAAAGGAUGUGCCGGAAUCAAUUAGAACAGUGAGAAGCGUGAGGGGAGUUAUGAUUAUAUUUAGGCUUUUUGAUGAUGCUUUGAACAAAAAGGAAGAGCCAGACUUUGAUGAAGCUCUUGAAAGGUUAGCGAAAAUGAACGCUUUAACCAUGUUUCCAACUUCAUUAUCACAAUAUCUGACAUUGCAUAACUUCAAGUAAAGUUGCUCUUAAAAGGUUAGCAAAAAGCCAAAAAUGAUUGAAGUUAUCUGAGUUGAUCCAGAAAAUGUAAUGGAAAUACUCCCCUGCUUCGUAAAACAGGACAAACAGAGAUCGCUGGUCGCGCAUGGGAACUAAUUGCAUUAAAGUUUCAAACAUUACCAAACAAACUAGGAUGCAUUUGCUUAAGAUUCAUUUUCAAAAGCAAGUUGUAUGUUUAUGUUGCAGCCUAUAAAACCAUGUUUAUGUUGUAUGUUUAUUCAGGAAAUGAAAGAUUCGUCGUGUUAUUUUAUUCCAAGAAUUCGCUGAAACCAUACCUGCUUUCCCAGAUGCUUUCCUGAAGGUAUCGACAUCUAUUUAAAAAAUUCUGGGGGUAAGAUGCUUGAUGCAGUGCUACUCAACAUGAGAAUUCACGGCCGCUGCUGUAUGCUGAAAGAUCUCACCGUACAACCGUGAGAAGCCUGAAGGUGUAUUCAACUUGAUACAACUGGUCGUAGUUGCUAGGGAAGGAUAUAAGGUGUACUCAACUUGAUAUGCUGUAAAAGUGCACUAUGCCAUGUACUUUUAAAGCUUUUUGAAGAUGUUUUGGCCAUGUGUUUGAUUAGAUUGUACUCAGAUAUAAAUCAAAGAUUCAGAACAUGUUUGUUACUGUUUUUCAGAAUCCAGAACAAUAAAUACCUUGAAAUGUUUUUGUUCAAUGAUUUUGCAGAAGACCAGCUUCCUUGUUAAUGAAUCAAGAUGGCUGAAUCCGUCCCUAAGCCAAAUCUGUUUUCACUUUUAGGUUAGAAAUUGUCAUUAAAAAGUGUUUGAUAAAAUAUGCUCCGGGAACGCUAUUCGUCAGAUGGUUACUCCAAGUUUAUGAAAUCAAUGGUAUUUCAUCAUAUUCAUAACACUCUGCUUUAAUAUCUAUUCUAACAGAGAAAUUAUAUACAGAGAAUAGGUUGCGUUAGAACUUUUGCUAGAAAAAAGUGACAAGAAUUCAUCGUUCACUUGUAUCUUAAGUAAGUGUAAAAUUUAAAAUCCCAUCAUGAAAAACUCCUGGGAGAAAAAACUAUAAAAAUUAAAGAAAAAAGAGUGUGGCGUGCAUGUAAAUUAUGUCGAUUCUAUCUAUACGAUAAAUACACUCUCUUUUACAAUGGCACGGAUGCUUCAUUGAGUAAUCAUGAUUGUUGCUGGUAGUGCUUUGUUGAAUCAAUCUGCUAGAUAUUCAGCUUUCUUUCUUUCUUACUUUUUUUUUGUUUUAAUAAAUAGCUUGUGGUUGUGAAAAUAAUUUGAAUUAAACUAUGCUUAACUGCCUAUUUGGUACAACUUCUCUACUAGCCAAAAGAUUUUUUUUUAAUCAUUUAUUUAUACCUCGAGUAGAGUUUUUGGAGAUUAAAUAGGUGAUAUUUUGUCUCUAUUAAAAAGAAAACUCAAAAGGUAGGACUAUUUGAAGUUUGAAUCCACCAAACUACUCAUUAAAAAUUCAUUUGUGAAAAUAAUUUUUAAUUAUUAAAAUACCCCUAAAUUAAAUUACAAUUAUGAACACUAAAAUAUAGUAAACAAUUUUUUUUUUACUCUUUGAAAUUGUCCUUACAUUCGAUAUUAAAUUUUUUUCUUAAACUCUAAAUUAAUUUUUUUUUUCAUUUUUAAGUAAUUUUAAGGCACAUAUAAAGUGAUUCAUAUUGAUUUUAUACUAACAAACUAUUACAGCAGAUUUGGAAAAUGAUUAACUCGUUCUCAUUUUCCUAGUGAAAAUGCAAAUAGCUCAUUUAAACGUUAAGGAAUUGGAGAGUUGCUGCUGGAGAUGAAAGAUGUGAAUUAAACAUCAGAAAAAAAAAUUAUGUUUACUAUCUUACCAGACCAAGCACCGAAAAGCAUGGUAAAGAAAAAUUACAUAAUUCUGACUUAGAAGACGAAAAAAAAUGAAAUACAAUUUGAAUAAGAGAUAGAAGAUAAAGCACGUGAAUGGAGGCAGAAAGCAAGUAAUGAUAACUCUUUCGACAAAACUAAUAUAUAUCAAAAUGCAAUAUCAAAAAUGAAAAUAAAAAUUCAUUACGAAUACAUGUUAAUGAUAUCCCAAGUGUUGAGUAAUAAAAAGUACCAGGCAGGCAUCUCCCCAUUCCAUGCCUGAGAAUGAAUCUCUCCAGCUGAAUGAUACGAGCAGAUUCCUAAUAAUAUAUCCUUUAUGGAACACAUACCAACUAGAAACGAAUACCGACCAGAAGUUCAUACCGACCAGGUACUUGUCACUCAAAGAAAGAGAAUACAAUCUCACGAACGCGCGACAGUUUUGCCACAUUCCAAACCGCUAGGGAGAACACGACGCCCCACGUUUACCCACAUUCAGUUGUUGAAGACCCAUUAAGGCCCUUGAUCACCCAAAUAUGACGGGAAGGAAAAAUAUUCUGAGAAAGUGGGACGAUUGCCUAUAAAAAGCUGGGAAAUCAAUUAAGAAAGGGACAGACAAAAAGAGAGAGGGGGGAAACUCUACCGAAUUGAUACCAGGCAUUACUACAUAAUAGCCUUAAAUACAUUUUACUUUAAGAACAUCACAAUGAGUGUGCGUAACCAUAAAUCAUACAAUUUUCCCGCAAACUUCAUGUACUAACUUAAGCAUCGGAGGGUUUAUUCCGGAAAAACCACCAACGUCUCUGGUUUGUUUAUGUGAAUGUAGAUUUGAAAAGAAGAGAAAGAGUGAUUUGAGUUCAAGGAGCUCGGGCAAUUGCUAAAGUUAGUGGAAAAAAUUAAAUGAGACUCAAAAUCAAUCCAGAGGAAUAAAUGAGAAACCUAAUCCUAAUAAAAUACAUUCACAAAUCUUAAUGCUAAUUAAAAUCACGGAUAAAAAACAUAAUAUGAAUGAAUUACAGGCACAACUAUUUUAUUAAGAAAUUAAUAAAAUCGUGUAUUAAUAUAUUUUGUACAUUUUUUUUCCAUAUAUAACUUUCGGUAAUUUAGUUUUCCACUUAUCAUUUUUACUCCAAAAAAAUAUUGAGAAUAUUAUUUAUGUUUUGGUGUAAAAUAUUUGAACAAUAUACAAAUUUUCAGUUUAAUACAUCUAAACAUUUAUUAAGUUAUAAAUGAAUUUAAUGGGUUUAACUAGUACAAAUACUAUUAUUUUAUAAAUUGGGUUUAAUAAUAGUAUAUUGGGGAUUUAGGUUGAGUAAAUUUUAAAAUUUUAAAAUUAAAGGGUGGGUUUGUUUAGCAAAUGAGUUUUUUUUUUUUUUUUAUUACAUGAGACUAUUGCUCAAAUUACAGUUCAAGUUACAACUCAUAUUACAUGAGAGUAUAAUUGAUAUGUACAAUCAUAUAUUUAUACUGAGCCCUGUUGAUAUUAAUGCUGAUAUGACACCGCUCAGAUUUUUAACCCUCUCAAAUAUUUGAGGGAUGUCAAACUCCCAUCCUGGGAGAAAGACUGUCUUCACUCGAGCUCAAGGGCUCCAAGAAAGAAUAUUUAAAGUAAAACCCCUACAAUGCGACUGCGGAGGCUCGAACCCCUUCCCUCACAUUUGUGAGGGAGGGGCUUAGCCUUAGCCCAAGUGGCUCUUUUAGCAAAUGAGUUAAGGGAAUAGUUUGUUGGGAUUUAAAUAGCCCCACCCAAACUCAAAUGUAAAAUUUUUGAAAAAAGAGACUAUUACGUUUUAAAAAAAAGAAUUAAAAGGUCAAGAAUACCUCUAUUUAAUUUUAUAAUCAUAUUUUAUUUCUACCCUAAUAUAAUAUUAAAAAACUUAACUAAAAAUUUUAUAAUUUUUUAUAAAAAUUACCAUUAACAUCCAAAAAGCUAAAGAUUAAAAAAAAAAAAGGAACUGUAUUUACAAAAGUUAUAUCAAUAAUAAAUUCAGUCCAAAGAAAAAAGUUAUUGUAAACAAGUACUCAUAUUUAUCUCUACUUUAACAAUAAUCUUCGAAUCCGUUUUACAAUGGAUUUUAACCAAUGGGCUUAUGAGUCCUUUUUUGGAAAGCAUGAAAGCGAUGGCCCAAUCUCUAAACUUCAUUUUCUUUAGCCAGAAAGCCUAAAACAAGACCAGCCCAUAGAUAUAUAACUACCGGAAAAAAUUAAAAAGAAAAAAAAGAGUAAAAUUGUGUAAGAGCUUUUAGAAUUACAAUUUUAGGAUCACGUGUGUAAAUGGAACUCCAAGAUUGAUCAAGAAUUAACAAGGCAAGAUGAAGGGAUGAUCUUGUAGCAAAGAAUGAAGAAAUUGAAUCAAGAAAGUACUCUAGUGCUUUAGUGCUUUACAGUUAAGGGAUAUAGGGUGCGUUUGGGAUUGAGGUUGGGCAGCUGUAGCUUAAAAGCUACAGCACUAAAGUGUUUGGUAAACACUAGCUGCUGUAACUUUUAAGCUAUGUUGAUAUAAUUUUUCACUUGUAUAAUAUAAAAUUUAUUAUAUCUUUAAUAAUUUUGAUAAAAUUAUUAUUUACAAUUUAUAUUUAUUAUAUAUUAUUAACUUUUAUUUCAUAAUUACAACUUCUUUUUUACAGCAGCUGUAGCUUAAAAACUACAGCACCUCAAUCCCAAACACAACCAUAGUGUGAAUUCAUUACAAAGCAUUCGCAAAGAAAUUGUUUUUAAAUGAAACUCCUCGUCUUGACCAGAUUAUUUAUUAUUAUUCAAAAAAAAAAUGUUCAAAACUUAGCCAAAGUGAUAAACUCGUAAUUAUUCUACAAAGGGAACAAUUUUGAACGGUCGGAAAUUCCAUGCUUAUGAUUUUCUCUGCACUAUUUCAAUAAAAUUAUUACCCAGUGAAGACUUUAGAGACAAGUGCCCCCAUGAGAUCAAGCAAAUAUGCCCCCACAAAGAUCACAUAAUUAUUUCUUGUUCUUUUUCUUUUUGACAAUUUUAUCUGUGGUUUCAACUUUUACGCUUUAUUGUCAUUUCUCGUUGAGGGCUCCGCUGCACCCAUUACAACUUACCCCUAUAUUGUCUUUUACUGACUAAACCGUUAGAUUUGACGGAUAGCACGUUCAAUGCUGAAUUUUAAUUAUAUCAUCAAAUUUCGUUUAGCUCCUUAAACUCCAUUUUAUUUUUUAUUUCUUUAUAAAAUAUUCAAAGCUUCAUCAAGCUCCCGAUGGACCAUCAUGGCUAGGGGUGCAUUAGAGCCGAACUGAAAUAUGUUAGUUUAGUUUAGUUUGGUCAGUUUAAAUCGAAUGGUUUAGAAAAUAUAAAAUGAUCAAUUUUAAUUUUGAAUUGAACCGAACCAAAAAUUAAUUGAUUUGCUGUUAGUAUUUUUGCAUAAACAUAAAUGAUUAGUGAUUAUAAUUGAAUUGGACUAAAAAAAAUCAAACAAAAGUGAAAAAUAUAAAAUCUUAGACAAUAUAAAAGAAAAAAUAUUAAAUAUAUAAACCAAAACGAACUGAAUUAUUUUGACUCAGUUUUGGUUCAUAAUUUUUUAAACCAAACUGAUUUAUUCCCACCCCCUAAUCGUGGCCCUCUAUCUUUAGUCAUUCACCCUUGAGUUUGAUACCAAUUGUUGGGUUUCAAAUGAUUAUACACUCAAAUGGAACCCCUCAUAACCAAAAACUAACAGAAACAAUAAGAACACAAUGUUAAAAUCUUAAAUCAAUCGCAAAAAAGCACCCAAAACAGAUCGAUUAGGAAUAGUUAACAACAAAAGAUUUAAUGGUUCAAAAUCAUAAUGUGACCUACUUCCAUCCAAGAAUCAUACUAAUUGCUUUACUUGUUGUCAAAUACGAGAUCAUAAGAUUGUUUAUCACUCUACAGAGAAAAAAAAUUUAGAAGAAAUACUCCCCAAUUUUUCUCUUAAUAGUUAUGAAUCAACACCCCUGAUUUACUUUUCCUUAUUUCCUAUGAUCGGUUGCUGCUACUUAAUCCUUACCAAGCUCCAACAUAGUCCAAACACUUUUCAUGGUACAUGCACAGUGCACCUUCAGAAACUUUACAGCUCUUCUUAAAACCUCAGGCCUAUAGAGUGCAAUUUCGCACCUAUAUGCUUAGUCCUCUCAGUUCUCGUGAUGUUUUUGAUUUAUUUCUCGGACGAGUAGCACUUUUAGCUGCCAUAAUACAAUGUAAUUGACUUCUGAGCAUGACUUAAUUUUGAGAUCAUUACUUUUAGUUAAAUGAUCUCCUCCAGAGCUUCUACCUAUGUAGUGUUUUUAGACCUCUAUAGUUGAUAAAGCAUGUUCAAGGUGAAGGCUUGUUUUCCAAUCUAUAGUCCAAUUAUAGACUGGAACUGGUCAGGCUUAAUGCACCUUCAAAAGCUUCACAACUUAUAUUGAAACCUUAAGCCUUGUAGAAUGCUACAAAUUUUAAAUCCAUAUACUUAGUGCUCUUAUGAUUUGUUUGAUUUUUACUUAGAUGAAGAGCAUUUUAGCUAUAGAAUACAGAAACUAAUUCAAAGCCUGCCUUAGCUAUGAGAUCAUUCAUUCUAGCCAAAUGCCCCUUUAGAGAUUCUGCUAUUGUUGCGUAUUAAGCCUCUAUAUCAAAGCAAUUACAUGUCGAAGGCUUGCUUUGCAGUUAACAGCGCAAUUACAAUUAUAUAGAUUAAAGGUGUAAAUCCAUAAAACUACCAGACUUCAAUCUUUAGACUCCAUAGAUCAAACCAUAACUUAGUGUGCCUUUCAAUCUCAGGUAACUGUUUUCCACGUCUUGCCAUGUACUUGCUGCUAACACUAACAAUUUGAGAAAUGUUAGGCAUCGUAAGCAGCCGACAACACUCUUCUUCAUUUCUUCAUUGUCAAUUUCUUUCUUGGAACAUUGCUCCAUUGAGAGUCUGCUAUCAUUGCUCCAAUUAUUAUUAUUUUUGUUUUUGUUUUUUAAAAAAAUAACCGUGCAAUAAGAGUAUAAGACUAAGCAACGGUCCUUUUUUUUUUACCCAUUCUUGAACAUGAAGUAUUUGAGUAUGUAAUAAAAAUUGUUUAUCGAUAAUUAAAAGUUAAUAGUGGGUGGCUUUAGGUUUUGUUUACAAAAUUGACAACAAAUUAGAUUUUUCAAAUUCAUAGGUAAGAAACUUUUCAUUUAUUCAUAGAUUUUCCGGUUUAAACUUUAAAGGAAACUUAAAAGAAAAAGAUGUAUCAUUAGGUUUGUAAUUAAAAAAAUUUAAUAUUGUAUGAUCUGUUCGAUAUGCAUAAUUUAAAUAAACAUUAAUAUAGAUGUUAUAUAUCCUAAAACUUAAUUGACUUAAUUCUUAUGGUGCAAGGAAGAGGUUUCCAAGUUUAAAUCUAAAGUCUUGUAUUUAAUUUGGGGUCGGGAAAGCACUGGGAAAUAAAUGUAACAAAGGAAAAAAAAAAAAGAAUGACAGUCUGAGUGGAGCCAACGCGGUUUUAAAAAAAGUGAAAAAAAGGGUUUAAAAAAAAAAACGCGGUUUGCUUGCUUGUGGAAAUAGAAGUCUCAUGUUUCUUUGAAAGGUAAGCAAGUGUGAAUGUUUCUAUCUAGAGCUGGAAAAUGCAUUUCCGUGCAACUUACUUGAUGAAUGAAGUUUUCAUCGCUGACCCUGAUGUUUCCCUGAGCUGCAUUCAUUGCAGCUGAUGUAUUUCAUUUUGUUUUCGAAGGAGUGACACAAAAUCUCCUUCGUUAAGGUGAGAAUUUAGAGUGGCUUUAACUGUUAACAAAUAGCCUAAUAUAAGACUUAAUCUACUUCCUGCCCUGUUGUAUGCUUAUGAAAUUUGAUAGAGUUAUGAGUUUGCAGAAGCUACUGUAUUAUAUGUUGCUUGAGGCUGUAAAAAUGAGGCAGAUCAAACACACAUUUAAAUUUCAAUGACAAUUUACUGGAAGUAAAUUUCCUAUGACCCUACAUGUGACUAAUUGAUGAGAAGUUGACAAAUGACAAAAGAAAGUGUAUGAGCUUUGCAGGUUGGCAUGCCGAUACUGACUGUGUGGCACCAUCCGCCAUUUGGAAGUGAAUAUCAUUAUUCUUUAAUCAACAUGGUGGAGUCCACUGGGACCACACCACAUGGUCAGUCUUAUCUCUAUUCCUCAAUUUUCAGUAUUCCAUACAUGAAAACAACUUCAGUUUUGUUAUCAAUUAUAAUUUCAUUGUUGGUGACGAUUCUGAUUCCUUUCUUUCUGACAAAACGGAACCAUGGUUGCUGUGGGAGAGAUCUUACUCAACGCCUUCUUUCAGGUGUUGUUUGACAGGUUGGCUUCCCGUGAUUUGCUCAGCUUUGUCCGUCAACUUGGAGGCGGGGUCGAUUCCGAGCUCAAGAAGUGGGAAAGAAAGCUGAAGAUGAUUCAGGCGGUGCUCAACGAUGCAGAGGAGAAGCAACUGACUGACGAGGCUGUGAAGACGUGGCUGGACGAUCUCCAAGACUUGGCUUAUGACGCUGAGGACAUUCUUGAUGAGUUUGCUACUCAAGCUUUGGAAAGCAAGUUGAUGGCGCAAAAUCAGGAUAGCUCUGGCCAGGUUCUCAGUUUCAUCCCGGCUAGUAUCCGAAUGCUGUUAGGUUCAAUUAUAGCAUGAGGUCCAAGAUUAACGAUAUUACUAGCCGGUUGGAGCAACUCUGCAAAGAAAGAAUCGAACUUGGACUGCAACGGAUUCCUGAAGGGGCAUCAUCAACUGCUGCUGCUGCACACCAGAGGCCACCCAGUUCAAGCGUCCCACCAGAACGUGAAGUUUUUGGUAGAGAAGAAGAUAAGGCCAAAAUUCUUGAUAUGGUAUUGGCCGAUAGCCCAAGUGAUCAUGCCAACUUUGCUGUAAUACCCAUUGUUGGCAUGGGCGGGAUAGGAAAAACAACUCUCGCUCGGGAGGUCUACAAUGACAAGGCCGUUGAACAUUCCAAGUUUGAUGUAAAAGCAUGGGUUUGUGUAUCUGAUGUCUUUGACAUUUUGGGCAUCUCAAAGGCACUUCUCGAGUCAAUCUGCUGCGCAGCUAGUGAUCUCAAGACUUUAAAUGAAGUGCAGGUUCAACUGAAAAAAGCAGUGGACGGAAAAAGAUUCUUGCUGGUCUUAGAUGAUGUUUGGAACGAGGACUACAGCUUGUGGGUAGACUUAAAAGCUCCAUUCUUGGCUGCUGCACCAAAUAGUAAGAUGAUUAUCACCACACGCAAUUCACAUGUUGCAUCUACAAUGGGACCCAUUGACCAUUAUAACCUCAAGCAUCUGUUAGACGAUGAUUGCUGGUCUAUUUUCAAAACGCAUGCAUUGGAGGGUAGAGAUCAUAAUGCACUUGAAAUCUCAGAAUCAUUUCGCAAGAAAGUUGUUGCCAAAUGUGGAGGCUUGCCCCUUGCUGCAAAAACACUCGGAGGCCUUUUGCGUACGACGAGGCAUGAUGCGUGGGAUGAUAUAUUAGAGAGCAAAAUAUGGGAUUUACCUCAACAAAGUGGGGUUCUCCCAGUAUUAAGAUUGAGUUACCAUCAUCUUCCUUCUCAUUUGAAAAGAUGUUUCGCUUACUGUGCAAUCUUUCCAAAAGAUUAUGAAUUCAAUGAGAAGGAGGUGACUUUUUUAUGGAUGGCUGGAGGAAUUAUUCGACAGUCAAGAAGCAAAGAGCGGCUAGAAGAUUGGGGCAGCAAGUGCUUCUAUGAUCUGGUGUCAAGGUCAAUUUUUCAGCAAACAGCAAUCUCUGGUAGUUCUAAAUUUGUAAUGCACGACCUUAUUCAUGAUCUUGCUGAAUUCGUCUCUGGAGAAACCAUAUUCAGGUUAGAGGAGUCCACCAACUUGUCGUCAAGCAGAUUUGAAAGAGUUCGCCAUUCUUCCUAUGCCGGCGGUUGGUAUGAUGGUAAAAAUAAGUUUGAGGUUUUCUAUGAAAUUGAACAUCUACGAACAUUCUUGCCAUUACGCUUACGCAUGCGAGGUACUUUUUUCAUAACUAGAACGGUUCUAUCUGAUUUGCUGCCAAAGUUCAAAAAAUUGAGGAUGCUAUCUUUAGAAGGAUACUGUAUUGGUGAGUUACCAAUUCCAUUUGAAGAUCUCAGACUUUUAAGGUUCCUCAACCUCGCUGACACUGACAUAAGAAGUUUACCUGAGUCAACAUGCAAAUUGCUGAACUUGGAAAUUCUGAUAUUAAGAAAGUGUUCCCGCUUGAUAAAGCUUCCCCAGAAAAUGAGGAAUUUGAUCAAUUUACGUCAUCUGGAUAUAAGAGGUGCACAGCAGCUGAAGGAGAUGCCAUUUGGAAUGAAAGAGUUGAAGAAGCUUCAAACAUUGUCCAAUUUUAUUGUGGGCAAGGGUGAAACUGCAUCCGGUGUGGAAGAUUUAAAAUGUUUAAGCUUUCUUUGUGAUGAACUUUGCAUUGCUGGAUUAGAGAAUGUGAAUAAUCCACAGAAUGCAAGAGAAGCCGCAUUAUGCGAGAAGCACAAUCUUGAAGCAUUGACUCUAGAAUGGGGGUCUCAAUUUGACAAUUCUCGAGAUGUAGCAAUAGAAGAGCACGUGCUUGACAUUCUACAGCCUCAUAAAUGUAUAAAAAAGGUGGCAAUCAGGAGCUAUGGUGGUGCAAGAUUUCCACUUUGGAUAGGAGAUCCGUUGUUCUCCAAGAUAGAAUUCCUUGAAUUGGAGAACUGUGACAAUUGUGUAUCUUUGCCAUCGCUUGGCCGUUUGAGUUCACUUAAACACCUUGCUGUUAAAGGGCUGAAGAAACUAAAAAGCAUAGAGCCUGAGGUUUAUGGGGAGGGUUUCUCAACGCCUUUUCCAUCAUUGGAGAUUCUAAGUUUCGAGAAUUUGACAGAAUGGGAGCAUUGGGACACGGAUAUCAAAGGAAAUGCACUUGUUGAAAUAUUUCCUCGUCUCCAUAAACUUUCCAUUGUGAAAUGUCCCAAACUCUCUGGAGAACUGCCUGAGCUCCUGCCCUCCUUGGAGACACUUGUUGUUAGUAAAUGUGAAAAGUUGGUAGUUCCAAUGUCUUGCUAUCCGAUGCUCUGCAGAUUAAAAGUUGAUGAGUGCAAAGAACUGGUCUGCCGGACUCCAAUUGAUUUUAAGUUGAUAAAGUCUGUGACUAUUUCAAAUUGUUCACUAGACAUGUAUGGAUGCAAGGGGAUGCUAUACAAUGGUCCAGCUGGCUCUUCACUGCCGAAAUCCAUGACUAUUACAAAUGUUUUGGCGUUUGGAAAAUUAUUGAAGCCUGGAUUUCAGAUAUUAGAAACUUUGGUAAUUGACAAUUCUGAACAGCUCAAGUCAUGGAGGCAGCGUGGGGAUUUUCGACAAGAAUAUUUGGGCGUUCGCGUAAGGCGUCACAAACCAUCACAAGGGCUAGAUAUGCUCGCCUCCCCAGAAGAGGUAACAAUUGAAGAAAGUUGUGUGAGUUUUGUUUUAUUUCCAGAGAUCAAUUUCUUUCCCAGAAAUCUGCGCUCUCUUCUAAUUUGCAACAGCACAGCUUUAAAAUCCUUACCCGAUGAAAUGAUGGACAAUUCACAACUCGAAAGGUUGUAUAUCAGAGAUUGCGAUUCUCUAACAUUCAUCACAAGACGCAAGCUACCUUCAUCUCUAAAAAGUAUAGAGAUUGAGAAUUGUGAGAAACUGCAACAUUUGUUCGAUGAUAAAGAGGAUGCUUCUUCUUCUUCUCCUCCUUCAUCCUCGUCCUCCCCAGUGAUGCUGAAACACCUGAGUAUAAAUAAUUGCCCAGUGCUCACCAGUUUAUCAACAGGAAUCCAAUUACUUGAGGCGCUUGAAAGCCUCGAGAUACGGGAUUGUCCAAAGCUGGAGUCAUUACCAGAUGGCCUUCACAAUCUUAACUGUUUACAGGAGAUUACUCUAAACAGUUGUCCAAGUCUUGUUUCCUUCCCAGAAAGAGGACUUCCCAACACGAUUUCAAAUCUUGUAUCGUUUCCAGAAGAAGGUUUUCCUACCAAUCUAACAUCACUUACAAUUGGAUAUUUCAAAAUGUAUAAGACACUCGUCCAGUGGGGGUUGCACAGGCUUACCUCUCUUAAACGCCUCUGCAUCAUUGGAUGUGAUGAUGAAGCAGAGUGUUUUCCAGACGAGGAGAUAGGAAUGACGCUGCCCACCUCUCUCACUCAUCUGACACUUUCGGAAUUCAAAAAAUUGAUAUCUCUGUCUUCGACGGGUAUUCAGAGCCUCAACUCUCUUCAAUCUUUGUCGAUCGGGAAUUGCCCGAAUCUCACAUCAUUUCCAGAGGUGGGCCUUCCAUCCUCACUUUUGGAAUUACACAUUUACAGUUGUCCAAAGCUUAAAAAAGCGUGCAAAAGAGAUCAAGGAAAAGACUGGCCCAAAAUUGCUCACAUCCCUUUCGUUGAGAUAGACGGUAAAUUCAUAUACGAUCCCGAAUCAGAGGAGUAGAUUCUAUUACACAGGUCAGUUGAUUUAUAUUAUCCGCUAUAACAAGCUCCUCCUUUUUUAUUUUUUUUAAAUAAUAAUUUUGCAGUCAGUCACGUGAUUCCGUUUUCACAAGUCAGAUUGUAUGUUGAGGCUAUUUGCCUUUUAAUCGCAGAUUAAAUUAUAACACUUAUCUUAAAAUUUAAUACCAUAGACAGAUAGACGAUUUUUUAAUCCAAAGUUUUUUUUAUUCACUUCAGUUAGCAUUUUUUUUUCCCCCAAAUCAUGCAAGCCGAGAGUUUCAAUCAAGAAUUGGAGGAUGUGAAUGGGAUUUUUGUGAAAGAGUAACAUAAUGGAUGACCGAACAUUUCAUCUGUGAUCUCAAAGUCAACAGAAUUUUAUUCACUCAUUGACUUUUCAACUGCCGUGGUUUUUAUGGGUGAAAGAUAAGGGCAAUUACAAAAAAUUUGCAAAAUUUGUCAAUUUCUUAGAUGGUAGAUAUAUCGACAUUUUAGAUUUCAGAUAUUUGUCACCAAUUUGCAAAAUUGAAAUUUCUGUCUUCAAUGGGUUUUCAAAGCCUCGCCUCUCUUCGAUUUUUGUGGAUUGGGAAUUGCACAAAUCUCACAUCAUUUCCCGAGGUCGAGGAAAAGAGCGGCCCAAACUUGCUCGCAUCCCUUGGGUUAUGAUAGAUGGAAAAUUCAUGUACGAUCCAGUCAGAGGUGUUGAUUCUCUUAUUAAGGUCAGCUGAUUUCUAUUAUCCACUCUGACAAUCUCCUAUUAGUGUUUUUCCUUUUUUUUUUUUCAAAAUUUUGCAGUUCUGUAUAAUUGAAAAUGCCACUCACUUGUUUCCUUUUUCACAGGUCAGAUAGUAUGUUGAGGCUAUUUGAUUUCUAUCGGUGUUUGUUAAGGUAAUUAGUGCUCCCUCAUAGGUAUGACUAGAUUUUUUUCACUUCCGUAAAUAUUGCAUUUUAGACUGGCAAAUUUAGCAGUAAUUUUAAUACAAUUUUGUUGGUGCCUUGUGUGCCAGAAGCUAGAAAAAUGUGUAGUUUUCAGAUAAGGAGUCUUGUUAGUUCUCUAGUAAGAAUCCAAUAAUUUGCUUUUGCACGUCCAUCUAAUUUGUGGAUCCUUGCAUCAGAAUUUGAUCAAUCCAAAGGAAUUGCUUUUAGACAGAAGAAGAAUAGCAGCACCUAGCCUAUGUCAUAGUGUAUGGACCCGCAAACCUGAAACUAUUAGAUUGAGGUAAAAAAAUCAUUGACCCUCACAUGUUAACUUCUUCUAGUUACUUUUGUUGGGAAAAAAAAACAUUUAAGGAAUUUGCAAUUUGUUGUUAGUUAUGGUAUCUGAUGUUCUUUUCUGUUUUAGCGUUUGUAGAAUCUACGGUAUUAUGUGUUGGCAGUUGCCGUAUCUGAGGUAACUUGCCUUUAUUUGUUUGCUUCUGACUUAAGGACACCAACAUUUGCCAGAGAUUUAGAGAAGCAUCUCAAAACACUUAGCAAACUUGACAAACUUCAAGAUGCACUUGCCCCCACGCCUUAUUCUCCACAACGCAAAACUUGUGAGUACACUUAUGCCUGCAAUUAUUGUGAAGUGUUUGCAAUUUCGAUGCAGAGAAAUGGUUUCUUGAUGCAAAGUAUUAAACUGUUAAGAUUUAUCCUGCAGGCUUGUUAGAUGUUGUAUACUCGAAAAGCCAACAACAUCAAGAACUACAACUCCAAGACCAACUUUGCAUUAAUUCAGUCAGCUGUAAAAAUGAUGCAAAUGACACUAUAUCAAGCUGGACUUAGAGACUAGUCAGAUCAAUCAUCCAUUUCAUCAACGGUUAAUGUCAUGAUGGUGGCUAUCAGAGGAAACAAAAGAUGUGUCAGAAUCUAUACGAACAUUGAGAAGCAUGAGAGGAGCUUUGAUUUUGAGUAGGGUCAAUGAACUCAUGUUGGUAAGUGGUGAUUAAAGAAAUUUGUAAGCUUAGUAGAGUUUCAGUAUUUUCUGUUUGGAGUAUAGUUGAUAAGUUGACUCUGUUUAAGAAGCCCGAUUAUAGUAGCUGACUGUAUUAACCUUUUUUUUUUUGGUCUGCUGUUGUUUUUGGUUUCGAUUAUUUUUUCAACAUUGGGUUGAUCUGUUGAAGAACAAGCUUGGGUUUGAUUAUGUUUUAACUAUAAGGAAGAGCCAGACUUGGUUGCAGGCGUUAAGCUUUUAAUGGGUAAGAACAAAUGAAUGCUUUAACCAUGUUUCUCACUUAUUAAAAUGCAUGGAUUGAAGGCAUCUGGGUUGAUCCUGACAAUGUGAUGGAAAUACUUCUCUGUUUUCAUGUAACAGGACAAAUAGAGAUCUCUGAUCAUGCCUGAAUUUUUGUUGCAUUGAAAUUUCUACCAUUACCAAACAUAGAAUGAACUGGGGAUACAUUAGCUUAAGACUCAAUUUUGAGAAGGAAGUUUGUACUUGCAGCCUAUAAAAUCAUGUCCGUGUCGUACGUUUCUUUGGGAAAUGAAAGAUUCUGUGUGUUCUUUUAUUUCAAGUUCACUGAAAUCACAUUUGUUUUCUCCGAUGCUUUCCAGAAGGUAACAACAUCAAUUUCAAAAAUGCUGGGGCAAGAUGCAUCAUGCAGUGCGACUCAACUUGAGAAUUCCUGGCCACAUUACCCGUAUGUCGAAUGAUCGCACAGUUCAACCUUGAGAAGCUUGUAAUGAGUACACAACUGGGUGCAAGUAGUUUUGAAAUGAAUUUGCCUCAAAUGAUUUCUUGCUCGCAUCCCUUGGGUUAUGAUAGAUGGAAAAUUCAUAUACGAUCCAGAGUCAGAGGUGUUGAUUCUCUUAUUAAGGUCAGCUGAUUUCUAUUAUCCACUCUGACAAACUCCAAGACCGGGUUUUUUUUUUUUUUUAAUUUUGCCGUUCUGUAUAAUUGAAAUGCCACUCACUUGUUUCCUUCUUCACAGGUCCGAUAGUAUGUUGAGGCUAUUUGCUUUUUAUCGGUGUUUGUCAAGGUAAUUAGUGCUGCCUCAUAGGUUGAUUACUCACAGAUGAAAUCAUAACUUUUAUCUUAAAAUUUAAUAGCAUACACAGAUAGAUGAUUUUUAGUCCAAAGUUUUUUUAUUCACUUCAAUCAAAAUUUUAGAUUGCAGAUUUUUGUCAAGUAUUUCAUUACAAUUUUUUCAUUUUUUAUUUUAAACCAGAAUAUGAGUAUAACAUUUUGGAGCGUGCAUACUCUGAUGCAUGCAAUUAACUGUUUUUAAUCAUUGGAUUUUGAAAUUAAUAAUGGUAAGAUGUGUACUUAUUCUGUCUUCCAACAACCUUGGCCUCUUUCUUCGGUCGCAUAUCUAAUGAAUAUUUCUCUGUUUAGUUAAGGAUGAAUGCUUGGAGUGGGGUACUUGGUAACAUUUCUGCCUCAGAUGAAUCCUUGAAGAAAUGCCCGCAGUUCCUGAGACCAAAUACAGGUCUGAUUCAAAACAGCACCUUUCUCAGAAAAUAUGAUCCAAGGCAAAGUCAUGUUCUGAUAAUGUUUCCUUAAGUACAAAGUUGCAAGGAAACUUGAUUCAUUAACUACAGUUUUUUAUUUUUAGGACCUUGUAUCUGAAAGGUUCAGUGUUUUUUUUUUUUUCAAAUUUAUUGUUCAGAUCUCAGAGGAGUAUAUGGUUUAGAUUACAAAACACCCAUGAUUAAUUUCAUUUUUUUUUUAAUUUCAGGGAGAAGAAGUGGUCAGUUUCAAUCCGGAAUUGGAAUAUGGCAAUUUGGUUCAAGCACACACACCUGGUCACUUGGUCAGUGAACCUGAACUUUACGCAGUUUUUUCAACUCAGUGAUUUUUGGAACGCAUAGUGGUGUAAGGAAAUCAAAAGAAAUUUAUGCAUAGUCAAAUUCUGAUAUUUGCUAUAUAUUAUACAUUCUAAAGUUUCUCCAGUUUGUUCUCAGAUUACCAUCAUUUUUUGCCUUCACCAAAAAAAAAAAAUUGAGUGGCUUUCCAGUGGAUAUUUAAUCGGAGGUAUGACUGGAUUUUUUUCACUUCUGUAAAUCUUGCAUUUUAAACUGGCAAAUUUAACUUUAAUUUUAAUACGACUUUGUUGGUGCCUUGUGCCCCAGAAACUAGAAAGAUGUGUAGUUUUCAGAUAAAGGGGCUUGUAAAUUCUCUAGUAAGAAUCCAAUAAUUUGCUUUUGCACGUUCAUUUUAUUUGUGGAUCCUUGCAUCUGAAUUUAAUCAAUCCAAAAGGAAUUGCUUUUAGACAGAAGAAGAAUAGCAGUACCUAGCCUAUGACAUAGUAUAUGGACCUGCAAACCUGAAACUAUUAGUUUGAGGUAAAAAAUUCAUGACCCUCACAUGUUAACUUUCAUGAAAAACACAUUUAAGAAAUUUGCAAUUUUUUGUUAGUUUCGUAUCCGAUGUUGUUUUCUGUUUUAGCAUUUGUAGAAUCUACUGUAUUAUAUUUUGGCAGUUGCAGUAUCUGAGGUAUGUUUUGCAUUUAACUUGCUUUAUUUGUUUUGCUUGUGACUUAAGAACACCAAUAUUUGCCAGAGAUUUAGAGAAGCAUAUCAAGCUGCUUGGCAAACUUGACAAACUUCAAGAUCCUCCAUUCUUCACAACGCAAAACUUGUAAGUACACCUAUGCCCGCAGUUAUUGUGAAAUGCUUGCAAUUUUGAUGCGCUGAAAUGGUUUGUUGAUGCAAAGGUUUAAACUUUUAAGAUUUACCCUGCAGGGUAGUUGGAUGCUGUAUACUCGAAAAGCGACCAACAUCAAGAACUAUGACUCCAAGACCGGGUUUGCUUUAAUUCAAUCAGCUGAAAUCAUGAUGCAAACGACACUAUCAGCUGGACUUAGAGACCGGUCAGAUCAAUCAUCCAUUUUAUCAACAGUUAAUGUCAUGAUGGUGGCUAUUAGAGGAAACAAAGGAUGUGUCGGAAUCAAUGUGAACAGUGAGAAGAAUGAGAGGAGCUUUGAUUAUACGUAGGCUCAAUGAACUCAUGCUGGUAAGUGGUAAUUAAAGAAAUUUGUGCGCUUAGUAGCAUUUCAAUAUUUUCUGUUUGGGAUAUAGUUGAUGAGUUGAUACUCUGAUUAAGAAGCCUGAUUAUAGUAGCUGACUUUUUUUUUGUGGUUUGCUGUUGAUUUUUCUUUUGAUUUUUUCAACAUUAGGUUGAUCUGUUGAAGAACAAGCUUGGGUUGAUUAUGCUUUAACUACAAGGAAGAGCCAGACUUGGAUGCAGGCGUUCAGCUUUUAAUGGGUAAGAACAAAUGUAUGCUUUAAACAUGUUUCUCACUUAUUACAAUGCACGCAUUGAAGGCAUCUGAGCUGAUCCUGAAAAAGUGAUGGAAAUACUUCUCUGUUUACAUAAAACAGGACAAGAGAUCUCUGAUCAUGCCUGAGAAUUAGUUGCAUUGAAAUUUCUACCAUUGCCAAAAAUAGAAUAAACUAGGAAUACAUUAGCUUAAGACUCAAGUUUGAGAAGGCAGUUUGUACAUGCAGCCUAAAAAAUCAUGUCUGUGUUGUAUACUUGUAUGUUUCUUUGGGAAAUGAAAGAUUCUGUGUGUUCUAUUAUUUCAAGUUUGCUGAAAUCACAUUUGUUUUCUUAGAUGCUUUUGAGAAGGUAACAACAUCAAUUUCAAAAAUGCUGGGGUAACAUGCAUCACGCAGUGCUACUCAACAUGAGAAUUCCGGCCGCAUUACCUGUAUGUUGAGUGAUCGCACAGUACAGCCUUUAGAAGCUUGUAAGGAGUAGACAACUAGAUGUGAGUAGUUUCAAUAUGGAUUCGCAUCAAAUGAUCUCUUGCCAGUGAUUACUAUAACCUCUAUCCCAAAAUUCUUGGAACUGGUCAUACCAAUAAUGAAGUGUUGUGUAUGUUGAAGACAUUGCGAAAGCUCCGUCAGCCUUUGUAUUGGAAAACAGUUGGUUGUAGUUGCUUCUGAAUGAUAUUAUUAAUAGAUACUGUAAAAAUGAACUGUGCCACUCAUUUUCAGAGCCCUGUUAAGAUGUGUUGGUAAUGUGUUUGAAGGUUGUUUGAUUUAUGUUGUAUUCAGCUAUAAAUCAAAGAUUCAGAACAUGGUUAUGUUACUGGUUUCCAAAUCAAAAAAUUGCCUUGUGAUGUUAGUGUUCAUUGUUUUCACAGGAGAUCAGGUUCCCUGUUGAUGAAUCAUUAAGGCAAACGCAUCCAUGUCUUAAGUUCAAAUGUGUCUCUUCUAUUUUCUAUUACUGACUCCUUUAUUUUGAUUUCUUCAUUGUAAUGGAAUUGGUUUUUAUUCCAAAUUAGUCUUAAGUUCUGUUAGCAUUUGAAGAUAGAACUAGAACUAAAUGAUUGACUGGAUUAAAUUCCGAUAAAGAAUUAAGUUAUAUAUUUAGAGAUAUUAUGUUUUUUUUUUUUU
rnacentral:lncRNA from 1 species